rnacentral:lncRNA from 1 species
ACGGUUUCUCUUGUGUCCUAAGGUGUUUUAGCUACUUAGGCGCAAUUCAACGUCAUCAUCACCUCCACUCGACCAUCGACUCGGCCUCCACAUCGUCUUCCACCAACAUUACCUUCAUACCAAUCGUAACCAAGGAUGGUAACCUCGACGACGCCUUUGUGCCACCCUUGCCAAUACUUUGAUAGCUUUGAGCCUCUUUUGUGUAGCUUACCCAUCGAGACUAGCUUGUUGAGUAUUGCCGGGCCACGCCUUAGUGCACCAUUAGUGUUACGUCUCUACUGUGCAAAAACUACUUGUUAUCUCGCAUCGUGGCUCGCAUAUCAAGCAUUGUGGCAUAGUCAAGAAAAAAAGCUUUUAAGCAAAAGAGAAGAGAUGCAAAGAGCUUAUAAGAAAUAGCAUCAAGCUUCAUAAGAUAGUUACUUCAUCUUGGUCCCUACAUACAUAAGCAUACUUGGGAUAGUGAGACGACCCAUUUCUAUAUUAGGUUGUUGCACUAGCGUAUCUAGCCCAUUAGAGCAAUCGAGCUAGCGUCUCUCUCGUAUCCGUACAACAAGAGCAUUGUGCGUGGUUCCUCAUCUUAGAGUUCACCCCUUGGUUGUGCGAAUCCCAUCUAUCUUCCAUGUGUGUGUUCCUAGUGUUAUCCUUGGGCUUGAUAUAUUUGUCUUAUUUGUCAUUUGUGAAUCUUCUCAACUUUAUCAACAUCUUGACUAACAUUUGCUUUAAUUAUUUAUGCCACUUCCUAACCGAGCUCCACCAUAAGCCAUUUACUUGUAGGUGUGAGAAACAAUAGCUGGUACCAAUUCUCCUAUUAUAGCUUCAUGUGGGAUCGUACUUGUUACAUCCACAAUCUUCGAAAAAGGUAACUUUGGUUUUGUUCUCUCAUUUCCUACUCAUCUCCACUUUCACAUGAUGGAUAGGCUGAGUUCUUCUACCAACCUACUCUUCAUCGAGCAAGACGACGACAUGACCUCCUACGUCACCAAGCAACACCUCUUUGGUGCACAAAAAGCUUUGCAUCAAGAACCACAAGCAAUGAGUGACCGCAUCGACCAUCUCACCACCGACUUACACCUCUCCGAGCAACAUACAAGAGACUACUUUGACAACAAGCUCGACAAACAAAAACAAGAGAGCAAUGCAAGAAUGGAUGAGAUUCAUGCCUUGUUGGUCAACCACUCUGCUACCUCUAUGUCCUACUCAAGACGGAGCCGCUUGAGUCGACACUUUGAUGACACCUUCUCCGGUUCAAGUACUCCGACAUCAAACACUCUUCGACGAGCCGCGCACCAAGACCGUCAAGCUAACCGCAAUCCUCUUCACGACACCGAUACUCAAGAGCAACUUCUAGCACAAGAAAGGCAACACCAACGCCACAGAGAGGAAAAUCAGGCACGCCAACACCAAGACGAGCAAGACGCCGAGGCGGCCCAUCUACAACAACAACGGCAUGAAGCUCAAGCACUUGAGGCGCAACGUGUCAUCCAAGACGCUAGUCACGCUUUUGCCGACCGCAACCGAAAAAUGCGAGAACAUGAAGAAACACUUCGAGAAGAUAUUCAAGAGAGGAAUUUUCAAGCAAGAGUACACCGACAACUUCCUCAAGCUCCUCGUCAAGAACCCCAAGUCCGACAAGAGCAACAAGACAAUGGGAAUCCUCCUCGCCAAGAACAACACCAGGCAGAGCAAGUAAGUGAAGAUCCUGUUCCAUGACAAGAGCGACAUCAACAUCAUCACUAUGACGAGGAACUCCGCUAUGGCAAGCUCAAGUUCACCAUGCCCAAGUUCUCCGGAAGCAACGAUCCCGAGGAGUACCUAUCAUGGGCACUGAAAGUCGACAAGAUAUUUUGUCUUCACAACUACAACGAGGAAAACAAGAUCGCCAUGGCAUCCCUCGAGUUUCAAGACUAUGUCCUCAUUUGGUGGGAACAAGUGAUCGAGCGACGGCAAGAGCAAGGCAAGCCACCCAUCACGUCUUGGACACAAAUGAAGGACAUCAUGCGAGCCCGCUUCAUGUCCACAUACUACACACGAGAUCUCUUCAAGAAGUUGCAACUCCUCAAACAAGGCACGAAGAUGGUGCAAUAAUACUAUCAAGAAAUGGAGAUUGCCAUGAUACGAGCCAACAUCAAAGAAGAUGAUGAGCAAACAAUGGCAUGCUUCUUGAAUAGACUCAACCACCCAAUACGGAAGAUCACCGACUUUCAACCUUACUCCAACCUUCUCAAGCUCGUUCACCAAGCGACCAAGGCGGAACGACAAGUACAAGAAGACUUCAAGUACGCCAAGUACUCAUCCAAGAACUAUGGCUCAUUCACUCAAGCUAAUUCUACUACAACUUCGACACUUCCUACCUCGACUAGAGCAUCACCAAGUACCGGCGACAAGUCAAGCUUCAAGCAACCAAUACUUUCCUCGACUCGUCCUCCGGCAAGCAACUACAAGAAUAAGACUUCUUCUUUGGCACCACCGGACGAUCCUGUCAAGACAAGUUCUAUCAAGUGCUUCACAUGUGGUGGUCGUGGACACAAGUCCUUCCAAUGCAUCAACAAGCGAACGAUGAUCGCCAAUCAUGAUGGCACGUAUGACUCCAUGAGUGAAGAUGAGAUGGAAGCUAUCGAGCACGUUGCCAUGCACCAUAAAGUGAAUGACGACAAGGAUGCUCAAGUCUAUUGCGGCAAUGACUCAAGCCCCGCUCUCGUGGUCUCCAAGGUCUUGACACUACAAAACCAUCAAGACGAAGACCAACGGUGUCACAUCUUCCACACCAAGGCUGGCAUCAAUGGGCGAUCCGUGAAAGUCAUCAUCGACGGAGGGACUUGCCAUAACUUGGCAAGUGAAAAGCUAUGUCACAAGAUGCAAUUGGUCAAGAAGAAGCACCCUCGCCCCUACAAGGUUCAAUGGCUAAGCGACUCUGGAAAGAUUCAAGUGGAGCACACCGUGCAUGUUUCUUUCAAGAUCGGCGCCUACGAGGACACCAUUCAGUGUGACAUGGUUCCUAUGUCCGUGUGCCAUCUUCUCUUGGGAAGACCUUGGCAACUCGACAACGACGUCAUCCGCAAUGAGAGAACAAACCACUAUAGCAUCAAAAUGAAGGGCACGGAGUUCGUGCUACGACCUAUGUCUCCAAGCCAAGUGAUCACCGACAAGCAAGCAUCCACCCAUCAUGGAGAGACUAGUGCAAAAGUGAACCACCAAAAAGAGAGUGAGCGCCACAAGCCAAAAUUGAGCGACUCUUCGCCACGAGGAAAACCCUAAUCCUCUUCGCCACAAAAGAGAGAUAAGAGAAGUGUGUGAGAACACCUCGAGUGUCAUCCACUACGUCCUAGUGUGCAAAGAUGAGGUGGCAAAGACUAACACUCCUAAUCCUCUUCCUCUAGUGUUGUCUAACUUGUUGCAGGAAUUCACGGAUGUCUUUCCCGAUGAUCAACAUCCCGGUCUCCCGCCUCUACGUGGUAAAGAACAUCAGAUCGACCUCAUUCCGGCGCACCUCUGUAGCGACCCGACCCGAAUGGAUCAAGUCUCUGUGCUUAAGUGUCAUCUCUGGAUCAGUAUGCUGACACACACACACAGUACUCGAGGAUUUAUAACAGAGGUAAAUCACAUGUAUAAAGUAGCGUAAAUAAUAUUACCUCAAUCCAAAUAGCGUAAGCAACAAGGUUGUGGAUUCCCAUCAACACCAACGGCAAAGUUGAGUGUAGAAAUCAUAACCCUAACGUAACACUUACUCAUCGUAAGAUUCCUGCAACAUGAGAUGUUGCAGCCACAGAGGGUCAGUACAUUGAAUGUACUGGCAAAUUCACAUCAUAGAGCAAUGAUGAAUAAAGGCUAUCACUACAUGCAUAUUUGGCUGGUGGAGGCUCUAUGGUUAUAAUGUUUUUGCGAAAAGCCAAUUUUUUCCUACUUCAAAGGAAUAAAUUUUAUUUAACUAUCAUGGUGGUUGUUAAACAUUGAGAAUGGUUGACAGCAUUCUCAAUCCCAAUUAAGUAACAUCAUCAAAACCCAACAAUAUUAUUUAAAGUAACAUGAUGAGAUCCACACGAUAAUCCAAGUACUAGAUACUCGAGAUGUGCAUAACCGGGGACAUGGCUAAUCAUGAUUAGUUUAUACACUCUGCAGAGGUUUGCACACUUUUCCCCACACGACUCGAUCUCCUCCGUUGGUUUUCUCUCAUUACAUGGUCUUUGAGAAACGGAUGACCGAGACAUAGUCUUUCAGAAGCGCUAGCACCUUACGAUGGGUAGACCUGUACACCUACUUUCCCCUACAUCUGCUAGUCUACCACUGUAAGAGUUCGCACAACUUAAUCAACUAUGCUAGAGCCCAUAAUAGCAUGUGGCUACACACGGAAGUUUCUAGCAUGAAUAAUCUUAUGAUCCCUUUGAGCCUGGGUGGCGGUCCAAAACAAACAGGCAAUCCUGGAAUACCCAAGUGCCUCAAUCCACCUAGAUGUGUAUUAAAGUUGCCACCUUGAAUAAACCAUUAAUUAACAAUCUCACAUCUGUCAUGGAAAUUCAGUCACCAUAUCCACGUCUACUAGCAUAGCAUGGCAUAAUAAGCAAACGUAGAAGUAACUCCCAAGGGUUUAAUAAUAAAACUGGUGAUAGGUACUACCUCAUCUACUUCCCAAAACCCACAUAUUAAUCAGAUCCUAAUCAUGCAAUUGUUUGAGGAUUGAUCUAAUGCAUAAAAACUGGGUAAUAAAGAGGUAUGAUCAAAGUGUGAACUUGCCUUUAAUGUUGAUGAAGAUGAUUCGCACUCAAAACUCUUGAUAGUUCUACUCGUCACACUCCGGUCAAUCUAUCAUGAGCAAGCAAUAGUAACCACACAUAAGCAAUCACUCAAAAGAUCGGAAAGAAUGAAGAGUACGAUUCAGAAAACAUUAAAACCAAGCAAAUAACUCUUGGAACAGAAAACAAUUUCUAAUAGUACCAAAAUUAAGUGAAUUUGGCCUUAUCAGAAAGUUUAGGUCAAGAGCUUCGAUUUGCAAAAAGAAUCAACUCAAAUGGAGUUAUAAAACUCAAGUUACAAUCAAACGAAAUUUAAAUACAAAUCUAUUUGAAAUCAAAUUUUAAACUUGCAAAAACAUGUUUAAGUUGGUUAUCUGGAUAGAGGGGAUCAUAACGAAGAAGUGGGCAUUGGUUUCGUCUAAUUCCGACUAUCGAGCAAAAAGUUAUGGUCGUUUGAAAACUAGGGGCUAAUCUAUAAAUAGAUAUAUUUACAGAUAGGUCCCUGACAAAAAAAAUAACAGAAAAAGAAAAGGCUAAAAAGCGAAUGUUCGUUUUUCUGAUCUAAACAACGGACGUUCUCUAAAUAAAAACAAAACAUUUCGGAGAAAAAAAACGAUCUUGAUCGUUGGAUCCAGAUCCAACGGCGACGGAGGGGGCGGCGGUUACCGCGGCGGCGGCGGCAAAGUCCGGCGGCGCGGGACGACGGCGGCGGCGAAGUCCGGCGGCGCGGGACUGCGGCGGCGGCGAAGNNNNNNNNNNNNNNNNNNNNNNNNNNNNNNNNNNNNNNNNNNNNNNNNNNNNNNNNNNNNNNNNNNNNNNNNNNNNNNNNNNNNNNNNNNNNNNNNNNNNNNNNNNNNNNNNNNNNNNNNNNNNNNNNNNNNNNNNNNNNNNNNNNNNNNNNNNNNNNNNNNNNNNNNNNNNNNNNNNNNNNNNNNNNNNNNNNNNNNNNNNNNNNNNNNNNNNNNNNNNNNNNNNNNNNNNNNNNNNNNNNNNNNNNNNNNNNNNNNNNNNNNNNNNNNNNNNNNNNNNNNNNNNNNNNNNNNNNNNNNNNNNNNNNNNNNNNNNNNNNNNNNNNNNNNNNNNNNNNNNNNNNNNNNNNNNNNNNNNNNNNNNNNNNNNNNNNNNNNNNNNNNNNNNNNNNNNNNNNNNNNNNNNNNNNNNNNNNNNNNNNNNGAUGGCGGCGUCCGCGGUGGCCCAUGGUGACGGGACGGAGUGGGGCGGCGGCGGUGGAUCUCGCUGCAGUGGCGGCUUCCGCAAGCGUGGCGGCGCGUUGCGAAAAAGAGAGAGAGAGGGUCGGGGCUGCAGGAUUUAUAGGAGGAGGGGGCGACGGUGGCGUGGAGGAGGGGCCAAGGCGGUGGGGUGGCUGGGUCGGUCAAGCCGGCGCGGCGGAGUGCGGGCGGUGGACUCCCGCUGGAGCUCGGGGACGGGCGCACGCGCGGCUGGGCUGGCUCGGCCUGGCCUGGCUCGGCUGGGCGGGCCCAGUCGGGAGAAGUUUUUUUUUGAAAAAGAUUUUCUAGACAACAAAAUUAAUAACAACAAAAUAAAAUAAAAAUAUUAUAUAGGCAUAUAAUAUAUCAAAAUUUCAGAAAAAGAUUAUCUACAACAUGAACAAGCUUCAAAUAAAAUCUACAAAAAUUCAAAUAAAUCAAACAAUGCUACUACUCUAAUAAAAUCCAAUAAAAUCAUUUUGAAAAUACCAAAAUGACUUCAAUUUUAUUUCUCUCCAUUUUUUUAUUGUACGAAUCAUGUUACCCUAUUUUCCAUAUAUUUUAUUUUUGGAGAAAAAUAAUUUGAAUAAAACUCAUAUAACUCCAAAAAUAAAUUCAAAAGAACUUUGAAUUUAAUUCUUUGAAACUCCCAACUCAUAUUUCAUAUGUUUUGAAGAAGUCAUUUUAUCUUCGCUCGUGAAAAUCAUUGAGUUGAAUAAAGUUCCUGGGUUGGAAAAAAUUUCGAAAUGAAAUUCAAAUAUUUUCAACACCCCUUGUCAUUUAAAUAAAUGGAAGAAGUCAUGUCAUCUUCUCUCCAGGGUUUUGUGGUGAAAAGAAUUUGAAUUCACGAAGAUCACGAAUGCAAAAUGAAAGUUUGGCUAAGUCCUUUUAUUCCCUCUCAUUUAACUUUCAAAAAAAUUCAAAUUUCACUCAAUCAAUCACCCAACAAUCAAACAAUCAAUCAAAUCUAUCUAUUUAAUAUAACAUUCCAAAAUUUAGAAUUUUGGGAUGUUACAAACCUACCACCCUUAAAAGAAUCUCGUCCUCGAGAUCCGAAGAGGCUAGAAAGAAAUAGGUUAGGUUCGGGGUCUUCUCAAAAUCCAUCGAUCAUCACCGGGGUCUGGGGUGCUACCACCCUUGGAAACAUUGUUACGGUUCCAUCAAAACUCAUAUACUCCAUCCUUAUUCCUGACAGUGUCAGUCUUCUCAGAUCUCGGGAAAAUUCCUUCUCUGGUCUCUUCCGGUAGUGGCAUAACUUUUCCUCAAUACUUCUGUCCUUUCAUCUUGGUAAGGUUAUUCCGAGACUGGGUCUUCUUAGCUGACGGGUCUGGCGCCAAUACUAAACAACUAUCGAUAUCUCCUGAUCGUCAACAAUUUAUGGUUUCUCCUGCAGGAAAUGGGUCUGAGUUGAACCUCACCGUAUAUCCUACGAUUGGCAACAACUGCCUUGUACAAGGGAAAAUACUUAUAGCAUUCUAAGGUUCAAACAAGUUUUUGAUUGUCGUCUCUCUACUAUAGGUAAGUCACUCAGAUUUACCAUCUCAUAUAGCAAGGAGAAUAAUAAGAGUAAGUCGGUAUGGUGAUCAAUCCAUCCUGCACCUAAAUCAUUAUCUUGUAUAUGGUGAUGAGGGCAUGACUACCUUGGAUACGACCAAAAAUAUUGCAUACAUGCAUAUUUGUCAGGUGAUUUCUAGUGCAAACUAUUCAAUAAUCUAUUUAUGUUAUCCAGAACAAAAAUACUUCACACACUUUUGUGUUUUGUCUAAUUGCAGGUGUAUGGGAUAUUUGUACAAUUCACAUAUGAAGAUAAGGGAGAAAGAGAUGUUUAAGUGCUGUUCAAAAAUUUCUCUCACGUCACUUUUGGGCCAAGAGAAGAUAGAGUCCAAGUCUCUCACAUUCUGGAUUCAGAUUCGGACUGCACAGACAUACCUGACUCAAAACGACAACAAUUUUUUCAUACGGACUCCGAAUUGGGUGAUUCUUUUUUUCUUGGAUUCUAGAUUUUUUGCUCUUUCCAGCCCAAUUGGAUUCACCUUAAAAUUCAUCCGGAGUAUUGAGAUAUCGACGAAACAAUGAGACGCUGCAGCAGAAUCCGAGUCAAACAACAAGUCCAAAGGUGUUGCAUCACCUCCACUUGGGCUCAUUGGCCUUGUACGACCUAGGGUUAGUUUUAGGCUGCCUUGGGACGUACUCCCACCUCCUAGGCCUCCACCCCUCGCUCCUAUAUAAGUAGAUCCAUCUAGUAGCUUUUUCCUUGGGUUUUGUUUAGAUUAAAGUUCGCCAUAGUUGCAACUUCACGUACUUCGUUUGUGUUCAACGACCAGACAAAGGCGUCACAGAACCCCACCUGGAUCAAUAAAGCUUUCAUCUAAUAUUCACAAUAUCCAGAUUGCAAUCUCAGUUUCUUGCUUGUUCUUCGUUUGCUCGCAGGAAACAGACCCUUGUGGUCAGGUUGAUCGUGCUCUGGCGUGGUCAAUAACCUCUCGGAGUUGGUUUAGCGAUUGCUAAGGCACGACGUCCUCGCACGUUCGUAGUCGGAUCGUCAAAGUCGACUUCCACCAAAGCGAAAUCCAUCAUCUCAUCGAAAGACGGGACACCUUUGCCUCUAUCAAGUGGUAUCAGUUUUCAGGUUGCUCGGUGAGAAUUUCCAGUUUUCCCUAGAUAAGAUUUAUUUUCUUACCUAUUGUCCAAGAAAAAGCCUAAAAAAAGUUAGAUCUAUUCAUCCUUUGUCCAAGCUAGUCUGAGCCUUUGCAUUUUUCUUUUCAUUGUUUGCAUUACUGAAUUAUCGGUUGCAUCACCGUGUCGAGUUGCUGGUCUUAGUGUCUAGUUCCUUUAGAGUUUCGAGUUCUGUUCACAUUAGUCAUGCCGCCGCUACAUCUCAUUAUCCAUUCCGCUGUCCACCAUCCCAUCCAUCAAUAUCCACCACACGCUAUGCAUUGUUCAUUGUCGUAAUCAUAGUUGAGGUCAUACACAUCUUCGCCUGAUCCAAUCUGCAUCUUAUCUAGUUUGUCUUGGAAAGAAGGAGAAAAAAAGAGAGAAAAAGGAAAAAAAGGAAAGAAAAAAAAGUCGGAGAAAAAAAAUGAAAGAAAAAAAGUGAGAGAAAAAAAAGGAAGAGAAAAAAAAACAAAAUUCGGAUCUAUCUAGACUCAAUCUCGCAGUUUAAUUCGGACUGAAAUCUGUUUUGUGCACUGUUCAGUAAAAAAGGCAUAACUUCCUCAUACGAACUCCGAUUUGGCUCCACAAGUACUCAAAUUAAAGCUAGUGACUAGGCGCAUCUGAAUCAUUACAAAAGCAAGUUCAAUAUUAGGCAUCUCAAAAUCAGCUUCUAAAUAGGUCUUUUUGCCCUCCGAAGUUCGCGCAUACAGUUUGUUCCAGUUUUUCAGGCCAGUUUUAGAAUUAUUUGACUCCUCAUAUCAAUUCAUAAUUGAGUGAUUCUUUUUGCAUUGGAAAGCUUGAGUUAGUAGCUAACUUUUCAAGAGGAAAGUUGGAGGGAGAGUUGUUAUAUAUCCUGCUUGGCAGUUGUUAUUCACCAUUAUCUUUACUGUCGUUGUGAUCUUCACUUAUAUCUUGGUGUCCAGAGUUACUUAUCCUUCAUUGAUGCUAGUUGUGCUAUGCUGUGACCUCAUUAGUGUUCUAGGCUCGCGUCUCUAGUCCGGUCUAGCCUAGGACCAGCACAGUAUCGUUGUUGAGCGUUUAUUCAAGAUUGCAUCUUUGAAUUGAUUAUUGCUAAUCUUUUGCUACCAUAUAUAGCCAACCCAGCUCCACAUAUUUCUACACCGUGUAUACGUAUGUUCCCCUGGCAAUCGCUUUACACAAUCUUCGGAGUUAUUUGACACCGCUGGUUGCCUGUCACCACCUGUCGCAUGGUAAGAACUUGUAAGAUAUUGAUAUUUGCUUUACUGUGAGCACGUUACAACCACAUCCUAGUUGUUCAUAGGAACAUUAUUCUCGAAUUUUGUUUCUUGUUUCUACUAAUCAUGACAGGUUUCGGAGAAAAAAGUUCUUUGACGACGAACACAUCUUCGCCAUCACGAGAGUUGGGACAACACACACAAGCACAUGGUCAGGUUAUCUCUUUACCAUCAUUUAAGGGUAGAUUUAAUCCUGCUAUUUAUCUAGAUUGGAAGCUUGAAGUAGAACAAGUUUUUAGUUACCAUGACUUUUCUGAACUUGAGCGAGUACGAGCUGUCACUAGAGCAUUUACUAGUUUUGCUUCUGUUUGGUGGAGUGUGCAUUGUAAGAAAAAUGUUGAUAACCAACCCACAACUUGGAAAGAUUUGAAACAUGUAGUGAGACAACAAUUUUUCCCUCCUUACUAUCGUCGUGAAUUGCUUCGCAAAUUUGAACAAUUUAAACAAGGCAAUAACACUGUUCAUGCUUACUACCAAGAGUUCAAAUCUUAUAUGCAUCAUUGUGACAUAGAAGAAUCUGAGGAUGAUACAAUGAAUAGAUUUUUUGGUGGUUUGAACCAUGAUAUUCAGGCAAGAUUUAGGUAUAUUCCUCGUUGCAUUACUGGUAUGUAUGUUCGUGCUUGUACCUUUGAGAGACAGUUACAGGAGGAUGCAUUGGGUGACUACAACAACUACUAUUCCAAUUCAUGCUCACUACCAUCGGUUGAUUCCUCCACCGUUGCACCUACUAGAGCAGCCACACCUCAGAUUGUGAGUGCGACAUCAUCUCAAGUGUAUGGUACAUUGUCAUUGUCCAUACCAACAUCAGCUACGUCUUUGCGACAAGGUAAUAGUAAAGGUAUUGAUGAUAUAACUUCACAUGAGAAUGAUGCAUCCCUAAUUAACUUAAAUACAUCAUGUGUUGAGUUACCUGUUGAUUUGAACACGCCACCUAUUUUAGAGAAUCAUGUUACUAUCAUGAAUGCAUCAUGUGAUCAAACAACUGAAAUACCAACAAUUUUGAGUGCACCCAUUGAAUUAACUAUUGAUGCAAAAGAACCAAUGUUUAAUCAUUUUGAUAUGACCUCUAAUCUUGGUGAUGAUUCUGUGUCGAAUGAUUUACUGCAUGUUUGCUUAUUUAAGCAUGUUGUAGCAUGUAAAUUUGAUGCAAGUAAGGUUUAUUCACCAAUGUUGGGAUGGUUUAAUGAUGAAUAUUGUCAAUCUUUUGAUAGGAAUAAGAGCUUCACUUAUAUGUGCAAACUGAGUUGCAAUAUGUUCAUGCCUUCUACUUAUGAUAAUAUUUUGGCUUUAUAUUUUAUGAUCUAUGAAAGUUACUCAUGUAUACAUGUGUCAUAUGUGCAAAAAUCAAGGGAAGUAAAAAUGGAUGACAUAUGCAUAUACAACAUGUAUACCUUGUCUCUUUUGUUAGCCACAUUUCAGAUUAAGCAACGCCGAGGACGGCUUUGUUUUUAAAAAGGGGAGGAUGAUGAGGACAUGACUACCUUGGAUACGACCAAAAAUAUUGCAUACAUGCAUAUUUGUCAGGUGAUUUCUAGUGCAAACUAUUCAAUAAUCUAUUUAUGUUAUCCAGAACAAAAAUACUUCAUACACUUUUGUGUUUUGUCUAAUUGCAGGUGUAUGGGAUAUUUGUACAAUUCACAUAUGAAGAUAAGGGAGAAAGAGAUGUUUAAGUGCUGUUCAAAAAGUUCUCUCACGCCACUUUUGGGCCAAGAGAAGAUAGAGUCCAAGUCUCUCACGUUCUGGAUUCAGAUUCGGACUACACAGACAUACCUGACUCAAAACGACAACAAUUUUUUCAUACGGACUCCGAAUUGGGUGAUUCUUUUUUUUGGAUUCUAGAUUUAGUGCUCUUUCUAGCCCAAUUGGAUUCACCUUAAAAUUCAUCCGGAGCAUUGAGAUAUCGACGAAACAAUCAGACGCUGCAGCAGAAUCCGAGUCAAACAACAAGUCCAAAGGUGUUGCAUCACCUCCACUUGGGCUCAUUGGCCUUGUACGACCUAGGGUUAGUUUUAGGCUGCCUUGGGACGUACUCCCACCUCCUAGGCCUCCACCCCUUGCUCCUAUAUAAGUAGAUCCAUCUAGUAGCUUUUUCCUUGGGUUUUGUUUAGAUUAAAGUUCGCCAUAGUUACAACUUCGCGUACUUCGUUUGUGUUCAACGACCAGACAAAGGCGUCACAGAACCCCACCUGGAUUAAUAAAGCUUUCAUCUUAUAUUCGCAAUAUCCAGAUUGCAAUCUCAGUUUCUUGCUUGUUCUUCGUUUGCUCGCAGGAAACAUACCCUCGUGGUCAGGUUGAUCAUGCUCCGGCGUGGUCAAUAACCUCUCGGAGUUGGUUUAGCGAUUGCUAAGGCGCGACGUCCUCGCACAUUCGCAGUCGGAUCGUCAAAGUCGACUUCCACCAAAGAGAAAUCAAUUAUCUCAUCGAAAGACGGGACACCUUUGCCUCUAUCAAUAUGGUUUAGCGAAUCUCACAUGCUAACACUCGGUCAUCCUCACAAGCAUUGCAGAAUUUCUCUUGUCAACAAACCAAGUUCGGAUAAUCCAUUGAUUCUGCAAGCCAAACAAACAACUAUCGUUUUCUUCACAACUCUCAGGUUUUGCGAAACUCCUAUAAGAUCGUCUGUCGAUAAGGGCAUAUCCUCUUCCAGGGUGUGCUUGCUUCUUGGCAGGUCCUGGGGCCUGUGGGUUAUGGCCCAUCUCAUCACUUGUAAACCUUGAACUCAUCAUCGCGGGCAACUGAUCGUUAUUCCAACAUUCAACUUCCAGCUUUCUAGCAUACUUAAAAUCCAUCCAAUUUUAAUGUCUUUCUUCCUUCUAUUUGUACCAAACUAAGACGUGAUUACUCAGACUCAUCAUGGAAUUUCCAUUGAUCCAUAUUUCCAACAUCAUACCUCCUUUAUAUCCAAUAGUAAUUCAUCUCUUCAUCCUUGUGGGAUAUCCCACAUACCGAGAUAAAAACUUAUACUUAUGAAGUCCAUACUCCACUUCAUGGAACAUCAUUAUCCUUUCCAGGGUCAAGCGUCCUUACACGGGAAUAUUGGCCAUCUCUGCAUGGCACUUCUUCAACUGGGAACCGUGAAACACAUCAUGAACUCCUGACAGUCCUUCGGGUGACUCAAACAUGUUGGCCACUUCUCCCAUACGCUCCAAAACUCGGUAUGGUCCUACAAAUCUCGGGGCUAACUUUCCCUUAACUCCAAAUAGUUUAACUCCGCACAGGGGGGACACACGAGGACAUGCUUUGUCUCCAAUUUCAUAUACUUCCUCCUUGCGUUUUUUGAGUCUGCAUAAUUCUUCUGCCUGGACUGAGCUACCUUCAGUCUAUCUCGAAUCAACUUAACAUUCUCUUCAGACUCCUUGAUCACAUUUGGUCCAACCAACUGACGGUCUUCAACUUCAUCCUACAUCAACGGUGUCUGGCUCCUUCUCCCAUACAAAGCUUCAAAAGGGGCCAUAUUCAACUAGCUUGGUAAUUGUUGUUGUAUGAGAACUCCGCGUAAGGUAGAUUAUCAUCCCUACUAGUUCCAUAAUCUAGCGCACACGCUCUCCAGAAUAUGAUUGACUCUCUCGGUCUAUCCAUCUGUCUCUGGAUGAAAGGUUGUACUGAACUCUAGCCUAGUACCCAAAGUGUGGUGCAGCUGAUUCCAAAACUUUAAGGUAAACUGUGUUCCUCUAUCUGAUACGAUGGUCCGCGGAACUCCAUGCAGACAUACGAUCCUGGUCAAAUAUAUCUUGGCCAACUUCGCACUUGUAUAGGUGGUUUUCACUGGGAUAAAGUGAGCCACUUUGGUCAAGCGAAUCAACUACUACCUAGAUAGAAUCAUAUCCCGAUCGGGUUCUGGGAAAUCCGGUAAUGAAAUCCAUGCCAAGCUUAUCCCACUUCUAUUCGGGUAUCGGCGUAGGCUGUAGUAAUCCAACUGGCUUCUGAUGCUCUGCUCUUUACUCUCUGGCAUACAUCACCUACGACUACAUACUCUGCAAUAUCCUUCUUUGUACCAGUCCACCAGAAACGCUCCUUCAAAUCCAAAUACAUCUUGGUGUUUCCAGGGCGAAUCGGGUAUGGUGAGUCAUGAGCCUCCUGAAGUAUUAACUUCCUGAUCUUUGCAUUAUUGGGAACAUAUACACGGUCCUCGAACCAUAAAGUGACGUGCUCAUACUAACGAAAACCUUUGGCCUUUCCUUUGCUCAUCCUCUCUUUUACCUCAGCAAUCUCUUUGUCAUCCUUCUGAGCUUCACGGAUAUACCUGAGAUCCUCGGCUAACUCCUUUGGUAAUCCUCCGCUUAGGGAACAAUCUCCAACAAUGUAGACUGAACUUCCAUUGCUGCAAUAAAACCUUUGGGAACAAUCUCCAACCAAAGUUCCCUGAGAUCCUCGGCUAACUCCUUUGGUAAUCCUCCGCUUAGGGUAUUCGUCCUUGUUUUCUUUAUUGUUGGGUCUUAUUUCUUCGCAAAGCUUGUAUGCACAAGGUUUCUUCACAUCCUUUCCAUAAGGCCUCAACUUCUGGGACACAAGACAAGAUCUUUGCAGAGUCAACUUAAAUUCUUCCCAAGUGGUUACUCUUUGCCAUCCAUUGAUGGUUUGGUACAUCCUCUACCAGGUAGUGGCAUCUCUUUCAGAGCACUCAAGAGCAUGUUGGAUCAUAUCCUUUCCGGCUAUAGGGUUAUUCUCCAUGUGAUCCUCCAUGUUCGGAAUCCAUUGGUCCAUCUCCAAUUGACUCAUCGGUCCAGAAAAUAUAAGCUCAUCUCCAUUCAUCCUCUAUUGGGUCCAAGGGUAUUGGGGUGGGAUAAGAGAGAUAGAGAGGGAUGCACACAAUACAAACAAAAGUUUUGAAAAGGCAGAUUUUAUUGUGGCUGUCAGAAAAACAACAAACAACUGAUAGCUCACAAUCGUCGCAUCUAACGUAAGUAUAUAACAGGGGUUUGGUCUUCUAAGGUCAAUAAAUCUUCAAAGUAAUGAAAUCUUCAAGCCUUGUUCAUGUCUCCGGUGGCUUCUUUCUGAUCAUGCUUGUCCUUCUCAAGUUCUUUUGCCAAAUCAUCUCUGUUGACGCGAAGUCUCUCAUGACAUCCUUUAAUAUUUCUAGGAUUGUAUUCCAAACUUCUGGGUUUCAACCUCCUUGACAUGAUCCAUGGUCCUACUGUCCUUCAGUUCCUGACAAAUCUCCGGUAUCUCGAGGUUUAGCUCCUCCUGCUUGGCUACUUUAGCUUCUGGUUCCUGAGUUCUUCAUGAAUUGCCUCCUUGUCAAAUAUGACUUCCUAAAGUCCAUCUUGAAAUCCUUGAUGUAAUACUCCAGAUCCUGGCGAUACACUAGCUAAGGUUAAAACUGCAUCCUUUGCUGAUGGGUGCUCCAUCAGCUUUCUACCAUCCAAUACUUCCGAAGGAAUGCAUGCUUAACUCAACACGAUAAUAAUGGCAUAAGAGAGCGAUAACAUCUUGGAUAUCCAUAUUUCUACCCUAGUCAUUGACAUGAACUUUUAUUCCAUAGUUUAUAUCUCCUGCCUUAGGGUUUUCUUGACAAAACUUUGAGUUCUAAUGCUCCAUAUUCAGGUCUUUCUCGGAUACACCUUGAUCUCGGGUAUUGAUAGCUUCCAUAGUCUGUUAAGUUCCAUAAGUGUAGCUUUCCUUGGUCAUACCAAAUCUGGAAAUUCUUCAUAUUCUCCUAGUCUUCAAAGUCUUUAUCCAUCGUAGUUUCCAUCAUUAUAAUCCUCGGUAGAAUCCUCUUCAUUCCGCAGUGGUCUUAGUUGUCUGAUAUCUGGUCCUUCUUGGAGUGGUCUCAUCAGUCGAAUCUUCGAGGGGUCAAAAGGGGAAAGGGGUAUGGUCUCACUAAAAGGGAAUAUUUGAAUAAGCUCAAAAGAGAAGAGAGGUAAAAGAUUCUUUUGAAAAGAAAGUUGUAGAGAAAAAUCUUUCCUAUGGGCUUGCCAGUUUCUAGGGUCACGUCCUACAGUCAACAUGUGCUCUGAUACCAUCUUGUAGCGACCGGACCCGAAUGUAUCAAGUCUCUGUGCUUAAGUGUCAUCCCUGGAUCGGUAUGCUGACACACAUAGUACUCGAGGAUUUAUAAUAGAGGUAAAUCACAUGUAUAAAGUAGCAUAAAUACUAUUACCUCAAUCCAAAUAGCGGAAGCAACAAGGUUGUGGAUUCCCAUCAACACCAACGGCAAAGUUGAGUGUACAAAUCGUAACCCUAACGUAACACUUACUCGUCGUAAGAUUCCUGCAACACGAGACAUUGCAGCCAUAGAGGGCCAGUACAUUGAAUGUACUGGCAAAUUCACACCAUAGAGCAAUGAUGAAUAAAGGCUAUCACUACAUGCAUAUUUGGCUGGUGGAGGCUCUAUGGUUAUAAUGUUUUUGCGAAAAGCCAAUUUUUCCCUACUGCAAAGGAAUAAAUUUUAUUUAACUAUCAUGGUGGUUGUUAAACAUUGAGAAUGGUUGACAGCAUUCUCAAUCCCAAUUAAGUAACAUCAUCAAAACCCAACAAUAUUAAUUAAAGUAACAUGAUGAUAUCCACAUGAUAAUCCAAGUACUGGAUACUCAAGAUGUCCAUAACCGAGGACACGGCUAAUCAUGAUUAGUUUAUACACUCUGCAGAGGUUUGCGCACUUUUCCCCACACGACUCGAUCUCCUCCGUUGGUUUUCUCGCACUACAUGGUGUUUGAGAAAUGGAUGACCGAGACAUAGUCUUUCAGAAGCGCUAGCACCUUACGAUGGGUAGACCUCUACACCUACUUUCCCCUACAUCUGCUAGUCUACCAUUGUAAGAGUUCGCACAACUUAAUCAACUAUGCUAGAGCCCAUAAUAGCAUGUGGCUACACACGGAAGUUUCUAGCAUUAAUAAUCUUAUGAUCCCUUUGAGCCUGGGUGGCGGUCCAAAACAAACAGGCAAUCCUGGAAUACCCAAGUGCCUCAAUCCACCCAGAUGUGUAUUAAAGUUGCCACCUUAAAUAAACCAUCAAUUAACAAUCUCACAUCUGUCAUGGAAAUUCACUCACCCAAUCCACGUCUACUAGCAUAGCAUCACAUAAUAAGCAAACGUAGAAGUAACUCCCAAGGGUUUAAUAAUAAAACUGGUGAUAGGUACUACCUCAUCUACUUCCCAAAACCCACAUAUUAAUCAGAUCCUAAUCAUGCAAUUGCUUGAGGAUUGAUCUAAUGCAUAAAACUGGGUAAUAAAGAGGUAUGAUCAAAGUGUGAACUUGCCUGCAAUGUUGAUGAAGAUGAUUCACACUCAAAACUCUUGAUAGUUCUACUCGUCACACUCCGGUCAAUCUAUCGUGAGCAAGCAAUAGUAACCACACAUAAGCAAUCACUCAAAAGAUCGGAAAGAACGAAGAGUACGAUUCGGAAAACAUCAAAACCAAGCAAAUAACUCUUAACAGAAAACAAUUUCUAACAGUACCAUAAUUAAGUGAAUUUGGCCUUAUCAGAAAGUUUAGGUCAAGAGCUUCGAUUUGCAAAAAGAAUCAACUCAAACGGAGUUAUAAAACUCAAGUUACAAUCAAACGAAAUUUAAAUACAAAUCUGUUUGAAAUCAAAUUUUAAACUUACAAAAACAUGUUUAAGUUGGUUAUCUGGAUAGAGAGGAUCAUAACGAAGAAGUGGGAGUUGGUUUCGUCUAAUUCCGACUAUCGAGCAAAAAGUUAUGGUCGUUUGAAAACUAGGGGGUAACUUGAGUUUGAAAAGUGAACGUUCGUUUUUCUGAUCUAAACAGCGGACGUUCUCUAAAUAAAAACAAAACGUUUCGGAGAAAAAAAAUGAUCUGGAUCGUUGGAUCUAGAUCCAACGGCGAGGGAGGGGGCGGCGGUUACCGCCGCGGCGGCGGCGAAGUCCGGUGGCGCGGGAUGGCGGCGGUGGCUUUGCUCCGGUCGGGGCGGUGGCUCCGGUCAUUGAGGAGGGAAAUGGAGGGGUUGGGGAGGGGCGGCGCGGCGAGGCGAAGAGGAUGGCGGCGUUCGCGGUGGCCCACGUUGACGGGACGGAGUGGGGUGGUGGCGGUGAAUCUCGCUGGAGCGACGGCUUCCGCAAGCGCGGCGAGAAGUGCGGCGACGCGUUGCGAAGAGAGAGGGUCGGGGCUGCAGGAUUUAUAGGAGGAGGGGGCGAUAGUGGCGUGGAGGAGGGGCCAAGGCGGCGGGGUGGCCUGGUCGGUCAAGGCGGCGUGGCGGCGUGAGGGCGGCGGACUCCCGCUGGAGCUAGGGGACGGGCGUGCGCGCGGCUAGGCUGGCUGGGCCUGGCCUGGCUCGGCUGGGCCGGUCGAGUCGGGAAAAGUUUUUUUUUUCAAAAAUCUUUUCCAGACAACAUAAUUAAUAACAACAAAAUAAAAUAAAAAUAUUAUAUAGCCAUAUAAUAUAUCGAAAUUUUCAGAAAAAGAUUAUCUAUAAAAUGAACAUUAUCCUAGCUUCAAAUAAAAUCUACAAAAAUUCAAAUGAAUCAAACAAUGCUACUACUCUAAUAAAAUCCAAUAAAAAUCAUUUUGAAAAUACCAAAAUGACUUCAAUUUUAUUUCUCUCCAUUUUUCUAUUGUAGGGAAUCAUGUUACCCUAUUUUCCAUAUAUUUUAUUUUUGGAGAAAAAUAAUUUGAAUAAAACUCAUAUAACUCCAAAAAUAAAUUCAAAAGAACUUUGAAUUUAAUUCUUUCAAACUCCCAACUCAUAUUUCAUAUGUUUUUAAGAAGUCAUUUUAUCUUCGCUCGUGAAAAUCAUUGAGUUGCAUAAAGUUCCUGGGUUGGAAAUAUUUUCUAAAUGAAAUUCAAAUAUUUUCAACACCCCUUGUCAUUUAAAUAAAUGGAAGAAGUCAUGUCAUCUUCUCUCCAGGGUUUUGUGGUGAAAAGAAUUUGAAUUCACGGAGAUCACGAAUGCAAAAUGAAAGUUUGGGUAAGUCCUUUUAUUCCCUCUCAUUUAAGUUUCAAAAAGUUUCAAAUUUCACGCAAUCAAUCACCCAACAAUCAAAUAAUCAAUCAAAUCUAUCAAUUUAAUAUAACAUUCCAAAAUUUAGAAUUUUGGGAUGUUACAACCUCUUCCUAACAAGGCUCCAUACCACGUCAACCCCGAAGAAACCAAAGAAAUACAAAGGCAAGUCCAACAUCUCAUAGGUUAUGGACAUGUGCGUGAAAGUUUGAGUCCUUGCGCCGUUCCGAUAAUUCUUGUGCCAAAACGAGACGGUAGCUUUCGCAUGAGUUCUGAUUGUAGACCUAUCAAUGCUACCACCGUUCGCUAUAGGCAUCCCAUUCCACGCCUUGACAACAUGCUAGAUGAACUUAGCGGUGCCACUAUUUUCUCAAAAAUUGAUCUUAAAAGUGGUUACUAUCAAAUUUGCAUACAAGAGGGUGAUGAAUGGAAAACCGCUUUCAAAAAAAAGUUUGGAUUGUAUGAGUGGUUAGUCAUGCCUAUAGGUCUAUCGGAAGCACCCGCUACUUUCAUGCGUCUUAUGCAUUAUGUGUUUCGUCCUUACAUUGGUGUGUUUGUUGUAGUUUACUUUGACGACAUUCUUCUAUUUAGCAAAUCCCUCAAAGAGAAUGUUAAUCAUAUUAGGGCCGUUUUGCAAAUGCUUCGAAAAGAACGUCUCUAUGCUAAUAUGGAUAAACGCACUUUUGGUGUUGACAAGAUCGUUUUCUUGGGCUUUAUUGUGUCUUCCAAGGGAGUUCAUGUAAAUGAGUCUAAAAUUGAAGCAAUUAAAACUUGGCCCCAACCCACUAAUUCGCAAUAAGUGUGUAGUUUUCUUGGUCCAACGGGAUUUUAUCGUUGCUUUGUGAAAGAAUUUAGCACUAUUUUCGCACCGUUACAUUCUUUGAGUAAUAAAAAUGCACCUUUUGUUUGGGGACCGUCUCAAUCUACCGCAUUUUAUGAGCUCAAAUCUUUGCUUACACAUGCCCCAAUUCUUGCAUUACCUGAUUUCACCAAAACUUUUGAGGUUCAUUGUGAUGCUAGCGGUCAUGGAAUUGGUGGAGUUUUGAUGCAAGAAAAGUGAGCCAUUGCAUACUAUAGUGGAAAAAAAAUUGGUGCUCAACUUAACUAUCCUAUAUAUGACAAAUAAUUGUAUGCUUUAGUGAGAGUAUUGCAUGUUUGGGAGCAUUAUCUUCACCCACAUGAAUUUGUCAUACAUACCGAUCACGAGACACUUAAGUACCUAAAAGGUCAAACUAAGUUGAAUAAACGGCAUGCUAAAUGGAGUGAAUUUAUUGAGUCUUUUCCUUAUGUGAUCAAAUACAUUAAAGGCAAAGACAACAUUGUCGCGGAUGCUCUUUCCCACAUAUGCAUGCUUGUUACUACACUUGAGUUAAAUGUGAUUGGCUUUGAGCAUAUUAAAGAUCUUUAUGUGAAUGAUCCUUCUUUUGCACUUCCUUACGCUAAAUGUCUUACUCAUACUUGUUGGGAGCACUUUUAUCUCAAAGAUGGCUACCUUAUGCAUGCUAACAAGCUUUGCAUUCCCGAGUCUUCUCUUUGUUUGUUGCUUUUGCAAGAGGCUCACGGAGGUGGACUCAUGGGACAUUUUGGAUGUGACAAGACAUUCGCCAUACUCUCCUUCAAGUACCUUUGGCCAAAGAUGUUCCGCAACGUGGCACGCUUCACCACCAAAUGCUCUACAUGUUGCAAGGCUAAGUCAAAAGCUCAAUCUCAUGGUUUACAUAUGCUACUUCCAAUUCCGUAUCAACCAUGGGCGGAUAUUAGUAUGGAUUCCGUGCUUGGUUUGCCUAGAACUAGAAAUGGAAAGUAUUCCGUCUUUGUUGUUGUGGACCGAUUCUCGAAAAUGGAACAUUUCAUACCAUGCAACAAGAUAUACGAUGCUUCACAUGUUGCUAAUCUUUUUUGCAGGGAAAUCUUGAGGUUGCAUGGAGUGCCAAGGACCAUAGUAUCGGACCGAAAUUCUUAAGCUACUUUUGGAAGACCAUUUGCGCCAAGAUCGGCAUCAAGCUUCUAUUCUCCACAGCAUACCACCCACAAACCGAUGGCCAAACCGAAGUCACCAACCGGGCGCUCUCCACUCUUCUACGUGUGUUGAUCAAGAAGAACAUCAAGGAGUGGGAGGAUUGCUUACCCAUCGCUGAGUACGCCGACAAUCGAGCUCGACACACUACUACCAGCAAGUCCCCCUUUGAGGUUCUCUAUGGCUUCAACCCAUUGUCCCCAUUGGAAGUCCUACCCCUUCUGGUCCAAGAACAGGCAAACAUGGAUGCAAGAGCAAGGGCAAGCUUUCUCACGAAGAUGCAUAAAAUACAAGGGCAAUGAUCGAGCGUCAAGUCCAUCGCAUCGCCACCAAGCUCAACAUCAACAAUACACCAAUGGUGUUUCAACCGAGAGAUCUCGUAUGGAUUCACCUUCGCAAGGACCGUUUCCCCAACAAGCGCAAGUCAAAGCUACUACCUCGAGCCAACGGACCCUUCAAGGUGCUACCACGCUACAAUGACAACGCUUACAAGAUUGACAUACCACACGACAAGUACAACAUAAGUGACAUCUUCAACGUCAAAGACUUGGCCAAGUACCAUGGUGAUGAAGAUCAUGAUCCGUGGAUGGAUCUCCCCCAAGGGGGAGAUGAUGUGGAGCAUCCUUCCAUCAUCCCCAUGGACUCUACACUGAUACGUCCCAACGUAUCUAUAAUUUUUGAUUGCUCCAUGCUACUUUAUCUACUGUUUUAGGCAAUAUUGGGCUUUAUUAUCCACUUUUAUAUUAUUUUUGGGACUAACCUAUUAACCGGAGGCCCAGCCCAGAUUUGCUGUUUUAUGCCUAUUUCAGUGUUUCGAGGAAAAGGAAUAUCAAACGGAGUCAAAACGGAACGAAAUCAACUGGAGAAGUUAUUUUUGGAAGGAAACCCACGUCAGAAGAUACGGGAGGUGCUCAUGAGGGUGGGGGGCGCACCCACCCCCCCUGGGCGCGCCCCCUACCUCGUGGAGCCCCCGUAGCUCCACCGACGUACCCCCUGCACCCAUAUAUACUCUUAUACCCUAAAACUUCCAGAACAGAAGAUAAAUCGGGAGUUCCGCCGCCGCAAGCCUCUGUAGCCACCAAAAACCAAUCGGGACCCUGUUCCGGCACCAUGCCGGAGGGGGAUCCCAUCACCGGAGGCCAUCUUCAUCAUCCCGGCGCUAUCCAUGACGAGGAGGGAGUAGUUCACCCUCGGGCCUGAGGGUAUGUACGAGUAGCUAUGUGUUUGAUCUCUCUCUCUCGUGUUCUCUCUCGUGUUACUCUAUGGCACGAUCUUGAUGUAUCCCAAGCUUUGCUAUUGUAGUUGGAUCUUAUGAUGUUUCUCCCCCUCUACUCUCUUGUGCUGAAUUGAGUUUCCCCUUUGAAGUUAUCUUAUCGGUUUGAGUCUUUUAUGAACACUUGAUGUAUGUUUUGCGUGGGAUAACCGUGGUGACAAUGGGUUAUUCUAUUGAUCCACUUGAUGUAUGUUUUGGUGAUCAACUUGCGGGUUUCGUGACACUUGGGAACCUAUGCAUAGGGGUUGGCACACGUUCUUGACUCUCCGGUAGAAACUUUGGGGCACUCUUUGAAGUACUUUUAUGUUGGUUGGAUGAAUCUAAGAUUGUGUGAUGCAUAUCGUAUAAUCAUGCCCACGGAUACUUGAGGUGACAAUGGAGUAUCUAGGUGACAUUAGGGUUUUGGUUGAUUUGUAUCUUAAGGUGUUAUUCUAGUACGAACUCUUUUAUAGAUCGAUCCGAAAGAAUAGCUUUGUGGUGGUUUCGUACCCAACCAUAGUCUCUACGUUUGUUCUCCGCUAUUAGUGUCUUUGGAGUGACUCUUUGUUGCAUGUUGAGGGCUUGUCAUAUGUUCUAUCUAUGUUAUUAUUGUUGAGAGAACUUACACUAGUGAAAGUAUGAACCCUAGGCCUUGUUUCCUAUCAUUGCAAUACCGUUUACGCUCACUUUUACCAUUAGUUACCUUGCUGUUUUUAUUAUUUCAGAUUACAAAAACCUAUAUCUACUAUCUAUUUUGCACUUGCAUCACCAUCUCUUCGCCGAACUAGUGCACCUAUACAAUUUACCAUUGUAUUGGGUGUGUUGGGGACACAAGAGACUUUUUGUUAUUUGGUUGCAGGGUUGCUUGAGAGAGACCAUCUUCAUCCUACGCCUCCUACGGAUUGAUAAACCUUAGGUCAUCCACUUGAGGGAAAUUUGCUACUGUCCUACAAACCUGUGCACUUGCAGGCCCAACAACGUCUACAAGAAGAAGGUUGUGUAGUAGACAUCAAGCUCUUUUCUGGCUCCAUUGCCGGGGAAGUGAGUGCUUGAAGGUAUAUCUUUAGAUCUUGCAAUCGAAUCUUUUUGUUUCUUGUUUUAGCACUAGUCUAGUUUAUAAAAGAAAAUUACAAAAAAAUGGAGUUGAGUUUGUCUCAUAUGCUUCACCAUUUUAAUAUCUUUCGUGAGUAUGAUGGAAAGGAUAAUUGUGCUCAAGUGCUAGAAGAAGAAAUCUAUAGAAUGUUUUUAUAUGAUGAGCAUGAUUGCAAUGUUGUUAGCAUGAAUUCUUUGAAUAUCCAUGAUGCUAAUGAUAUGCAAAGCCACAAGCUUGGGGAAGCUAUGUUUGAUGGAGAUGAUAUUUUUUGUCCCCCAAGCUUUGAUGAGCAAAUUUACUAUGAUGAAAGCAUGCCUCCUAUUUAUGAUGAUUAUUGUGAUGAUACGUAUGCUAUAAAGAAGAAAUUUGUUUAUGUGGAGAGUAGUGAAUUUUCCAUGCUAGUAGAUCAUGAAAAGAAUGCUUUAGGUGCUGGUUAUAUUGUUGAAUUCAUUCAUGAUGCUACUGAAAAUUAUUAUGAGAGAGGAACAUAUGCUUGUAGGAAUUGCAAUAAUGUCAAGUUUCCUCUCUAUGUGUUUAAAUUCUUGAAGUUAUGCUUGUUGUGACAUCCUAUGCAAGAUGAUUAUUGUUCCCAUAAGUUGUUUGCUCACAAAAUCCCUAUGCAUAGGAAGUGGGUUAGGCUUAAAUGUGCUAGUCAUAUGCUUCAUGAUGCUUCCAUUAUGUUUCAAUUCUUAUCUUUUAUGUGAGCAUCAUUGUCAUCAUCAUGCCUAGCUAAAAAGGCAUUAAAGAAAAGCGCAUGUUGGGAGACAACCCAAUAUUUAUCAUUACUCUUUUUGUAUGUACACAUGAUUAUGCUACUGUAGUAAUCAUGUUUUAUAGCUUUUGUUUUAAUAAAGUUCCAAGUAGAACCUUUGGGAAGACAUGGGUGAAGUUUACAUGAUCUUGCUGUGAAAAACAGAAACUUUAGCGCUCACGAGAUUAGCUGCCAUUUUUUACUGGAGAGUGCCUUUAGGUUGAUUCUUUUUGCAGAUGAUUAAUAGACAAAUUGCUCAGGUCCAGAAAUUUAUUUCAUAAUUUUUGGGGUUCCAGAAGUAUACGUUUUAUACAGAUUACUACAGACUGUUCUGUUUUUGACAGAUUCUGUUUUCUAUGUGGUGUUUGUUUAUUUUGAUGCAUCUAUGGCUAGUAUUAAGUGUUAUGAACCAUAGAGAAGUUAUAAUAAAGUAGAUAUUGCACCAAUAUGAAUUUAGAAUGAGUUCAUUACAGUACCUAAGUGGUGGUUUUAUUUUCUUAUACUAACGGAGCUUACGAGUUUUGUUUUGAGUUUUGUGUGGUUGAAGUUUUCAAGUUUUGGGUAAAGAUUCGAUGGACUAUGGAAUAAGGAGUGGCAAGAGCCUAAGAUUGGGGAUGCCCAAGGCACCCCAAGGUAAUAUUCAAGGACAACCAAGAGCCUAAGCUUGGGGAUGCCCCGGAAGGCAUCCCCUCUUUCGUCUUCGUUCAUCGGUAACUUUACUUGGAGCUAUAUUUUUAUUCACCACAUGAUAUGUGUUUUGCUUGGAGCAUCAAUUUAUUUUGUUAGUUUUUGCUUGCUGUUAGUUAGAAUAAUGUUUUGCCUCUUUAGUUUCAAUAAAAAAGUCAAGGAUAGCCUUUGCCAUGCUUAUUUUGCUAGUUUGCAUGUUGCUGUUUGAAAACAGAAAGUUUACCGCUGUUGCAAACAUUCCCUAGAAAAGUCAGAGCAUGGUCUAACGUUGAAUAUUUUUGCAUAUUGAGAUCUGACAAAUUUAUUACAGUGGGAAUUUUAGUUCAUAAUUUUUGGAGUCAGGGAAGUAUGGAUACUCUUGCAUUCUUUACAGACUAUACUGUUUUGACAGAUUGCUGUUAUGUUUGCGUUGUUUGCAUAUGUUUGCUUGUUUAAUGAUUCUAUUUGAUGAUAGGAGUAUUAAAUAUGCAGAGGCAUUUAGUAUUCAAUGUUGAAUAAUAAUUUUAGUGAUUUGUUACAGUAGAAAAUGACAAGGUUUUGCAUUGGUUUAUACUAACCUAUCUCACGAGUUCUUGUUGAGUUUAUUGUGAAUGAAGCUUUUGAUAAAAAGAGAAACCAUGAUAUGAGAGGAAUUAAGGAGACACGAAAGUUAAAGCUUGGGGAUGCCCAAGGCACCCCAAGAUAAUAUUUCAAGAAGUCUCAAGCAUCUAAGCUUGGGGAUGCCCCGGUAGGCAUCCCACCUUUCUUCUUCAACAACUAUCAGUUAGUAUCGGUUGAGCCUAAGUUUUUGCUUCUUCACAUGAGUUGUGCUAUCCUUGCAAUGUAGUUUUCUUUAGCUUUGCCUGCUGUUUGAAUGAAGUAUCAAGAUCUGAAAUCCUUUAAUGAGAGAGAGCCAUACAUAAAUUGGAAUUUUCUAGAAUACUCUUUGUGCUUCACUUAUAUCUUUUGAGCUUCAUAGUUUUGCUCUAGUGCUUCACUUAUAUCUUUUGAGCUUCAUAGUUUUGCUCUAGUGCUUCACUUAUAUCUUUUGAGCGUGAUAAUUUUUGCUCUAGUCCUUCACUUAUAUCUUUUAGAGCAUGGUGGUGGAUUUGUUUUAAAGAAACUAUUGAUCUCUCAUGCUUCACUUAGAUUAUUUUUAGAGUCAUUAAUAGCAUGGUAAUUUUCUUAAUGUUAAUAUACUUGGUAUUCAAGAUAUGUGAAACUUUCUUAUGAGUGUGUUAAAUACUAAGAUAAGUUUGAUGCUUGAUAAUUGUUUUGAGAUAUGGAGGUGAUAAUAUCAAAGUCGUGCUAGUUGGGUAAUUGUGAAUUUGAGAAAUGCUUGUGUUGAAGUUAGCAAGUCCCGUAGCAUGCACGUAUGGUUAAAGUUGUGUAACAAAUUUGAAGCAUGAAGUGUACCUGGCUUGUGCAUCUUAUGAGUGGCGGUCGGGGACGAGCGAUGGUCUUUUCCUACCAAUCUAUCCCCCCAGGAGCAUGCGUGUAGUACUUGAUUUUUGAUGGCUUCUAAAUCUUUGCAAUAAGUAUAUGAUUUCUUUAUUACUAAUGUGAGUCCAUGGAUUAUACGCACUCUUACCCUUCCAUCAUUGCUAGCCUCUACGGUACCGUGCAUUGCCCUUUCUCACCUUGAGAGUUGGUGCAAACUUCACCGGUGCAUCCCAACCCCGUGAUACGAUACGCUCUAUCACACAUAAACCUCCUUAUAUCUUCCUCAAAACAGCCACCAUACCUACCUAUCAUGGCAUUUCCAUAGCCAUUCCAAGAUAUAUUGCCAUGCAACUUCCAUCAUCAUAUUCAUGACAUACAUUACUUUUGUCAUAUUGCCAUUGCAUGAUCAUGUAGUUGACAUCGUAUUUGUGGCAAAGCCACCAUGCAUUAUUUCAUACAUGUCACUCUUGAUUCAUUGCACCAUCCCGGUACACCGCCGGAGGCAUUCAUAUAGUCAUAUCUUGUUCUAGUUUCGAGUUGUAAUUUAUAUGUUGUAAUGAAAGUGUGAUGACCAUCAUUAUUAGAGAAUUGCCGAAAAAAAGAGAGAAAGGCCAAAAAAAAGAAAGGCCCAAAAAAAGGAAAGGCCAAAAGAAAAAAAAAGGCCCCAAAAAAAAGGGCAAUGCUACUAUCUCUUUUCCACACUUGUGCUUCAAAGAAGCACCUUGUUCUUCAUGUAGUGAGUCUCAUAUAUUGUGCUUCAAAAUAGCACCUUGUUCUUCAUGUAGUGAGCCUCAUAAGUUGUCUUUUUAUACUAGUGGGAAUUUUUCAUUAUAGAACUUGGCUUGUAUAUUCCUACGAUGGGCUUCCUCAAAUGCCCUAGGUCUUCGUGAGCAAGCAAGUUGGAUGCACACCCACUAGUUUUCUUUAGUUGAGCAUUCAUAGCUCUAGUGCAUCCGUUGCAUGGCAAUCCCUACUCCUCAUGUUGACAUCAAUUGAUGGGCAUCUCCAUAGCCCGUUGAUUAGCCUCGUCAAUGUGAGACUUUCUCCUUUUUUGUCUUCUCCACACAAUCCCCAUCAUCAUAUUCUAUUCCACCCAUAGUGCUAUAUCCACGGCUCACGCUCAUGUAUUGCGUGAAGGUUGAAAAAGUUUGAGAUUAUUUAAGUAGAAAAAAUUUCUUGGCUUGUCAUCGGGGGUAUAGAAGUUGGUAACAUCUUUGUGUGACGAAAAUAAAGCAUAGCCUAACUAUAUGAUUUUGUAGGGAUGAACUUUCUUUAGCCAUGUUAUUUUCAGAAGACAUGAUUGCUUUGAUUAGUAUGCUUGAAGUAUUAUUAUUUUUGUGUCAAUAUGAACUUUUGUCUUGAAUCUUUCGGAUCUAAAUAUUCAUAUCACAAUUAAGGAGAUUUACAUUGAAAUUAUGCCAAAGUAUCACUCCGCAUCAAAAAUUCUUUUUUAUCAUUUACCUACUCGAGGACGAGCAGGAAUUAAGCUUGGGGAUGCUUGAUACGUCUCCAACGUAUCUAUAAUUUUUGAUUGCUCCAUGCUACUUUAUCUACUGUUUUAGGCAAUAUUGGGCUUUAUUAUCCACUUUUAUAUUAUUUUUGGGACUAACCUAUUAACCGGAGGCCCAACCCAGAUUUGAUGUUUUAUGCCUAUUUCAGUGUUUCGAGGAAAAUGAAUAUCAGACGGAGUCAAAACGGAACGAAAUCAACUAGAGAAGUUAUUUUUGGAAGGAAACCCACCUGAUGGACUUGGACUCCACGUCAAAAGAUACGGGAGGUGCGCAUGAGGGUGGGGGGCGCGCCCACCCCCCUGGACACGCCCCCUACCUCGUGGGGCCCCCGUAGCUCCACCGACGUACCCCCUGUACCCAUAUAUACUCUUAUAUCCUAAAACUUCCAGAACAGAAGAUAGAUCGGGAGUUCCGCCGCCGCAAGCCUCCAAGCCUCUGUAGCCACCAGAAACCAAUCGGGACCCUGUUCCGGCACCCUGCCGGAGGGGGAUCGCAUCACCGGAGGCCAUCUUCAUCAUCCCGGCGCUAUCCAUGACGAGGAGGGAGUAAUUCACCCUCGGGGCUGAGGGUAUGUACCAGUAGCUAUGUGUUUGAUCUCUCUCUCUCUCUCGUGUUCUCUCUCGUGUUCCUCUAUGGCACGAUCUUGAUGUAUCCUGAGCUUUGCUAUUGUAGUUGGAUCUUAUGAUGUUUCUCCCCCUCUACUCUCUUGUGAUGAAUUGAAUUUCCCCUUUGAAGUUAUCUUAUCGGAUUGAGUCUUUUAUGAACACUUGAUGUAUGUCUUGCAUGGGAUAGCCGUGGUGACAAUGGGUUAUUCUAUUGAUCCACUUGAUGUAUGUUUUGGUGAUCAACUUGCGGGUUUCGUGACACUUGGGAACCUAUGCAUAGGGGUUGGCACACGUUCUUGACUCUCCGGUAGAAACUUUGGGGCACUCUUUGAAGUACUCUUAUCUUGGUUGGAUGAAUCUAAGAUUGUGUGAUGCAUAUCGUAUAAUCAUGCCCACGGAUACUUGAGGUGACAAUGGAGUAUCUAGGUGACAUUAGGGUUUUGGUUGAUUUGUAUCUUAAGGUGUUAUUCUAGUACGAACUCUUUUAUAGAUCGAUCCGAAAGAAUAGAUUUGUGGUGGUUUCGUACCCGACCAUAAUCUCUACGUUUGUUCUCCGCUAUUAGUGUCUUUGGAGUGACUCUUUGUUGCAUGUUGAGGGCUUGUCAUAUGUUCUAUCUAUGUUAUUAUUGUUGAGAGAACUUACACUAGUGAAAGUAUGAACCCUAGGCCUUGUUUCCUAUCAUUGCAAUACCGUUUACGCUCACUUUUACCAUUAGUUACCUUGUUGUUUUUAUUAUUUCAGAUUACAAAAACCUAUAUCUACUAUCUAUUUUGCACUUGUAUCACCAUCUCUUUGCCGAACUAGUGCACCUAUACAAUUUACCAUUGUAUUGGGUGUGUUGGGGACACAAGAGACUUUUUGUUAUUUGGUUGCAGGGUUGCUUGAGAGAGACCAUCUUCAUCCUACGCCUCCUACGGAUUGAUAAACCUUAGGUCAUCCACUUGAGAGAAAUUUGCUACUAUCCUACAAACCUGUGCACUUGCAGGCCCAACAACGUCUACAAGAAGAAGGUUGUGUAGUAGACAUCAUACACCAACACAUCAAGCCCCACGUGGACCCAUGAUAAGAGCUAGAGCAUGUGCAAUGGAAACCAAGGUGAACUCCUUCCUAGUUGACAUGCAUAUGGAUACAAGUGGAACUUGGUUUCUACCUCACCAAAAUACCCUAUGCAGCAGAGGAACACCACCAAGUCCAAGGAGAAGUGACCCAAGUCACCAAGGAUGAAGAACAAGCCGAACAACAGCUGGACAGGAAGUCCCAGGCGACCCCGUGCGCACGGCCCCCCGAGACCCCGUGCCCACAGACUACAUAGGGAGCUACGGUUGUAGCACCCCAUGUGCAUGGGCGUGUACCGUGCGCACAGGACCCCCGUUGAGAUUGCCCCUUCGCUCUCCUCUCCAUCUCCUUCGACCCCAAAGCUAUAUAAGUCGUACCUAGGACCAUGUUUAGGGUUAGCAAAGAGAUAGAUGAUAAUUUGAGAGCUUUGCUCCUUCUACCACCUCCAUUGAAGAUCAGGGCCUCUUUGGAGGAGAUCCACUUGUGGAUAUCAAGACCUCCAUCUUGGAGGAGACUACCAUCAUCAAGACCUCAUCUCCUAGGAGCGGAAAGAACUUAUCCAUUGUAUCUUUCCUUUGGUUGUGUUUGUGAACUUGUGGAUCGUGUGUUGCUAUUCUAGCAGAUGUGUAAUUGGGUAUUGUUGGAGUGAUUUCCUCUUUGUGUUUCUUGGUGUUCAUCAUUUCCCCCUCCAAGUGUGAAAAAAUCCAUCUUAGGGUUCUACCCUACAACACUUAAGGUGGCAGAGCAAGAUAUUAAGAAAGGCACAGAUCAAGUGUUGAUGGUGUAGAACUCGGGGAAGUUCAAGAAGAGUUCGUCCAAGAAGAAGGCUAAGGUAAAGGGCACGGAGAUGGUAACCUCUGCCGUUGUGCCGAAGUCUGUCGGUGGGAAACGACACCUAUGGGAUCACUGGAAUCCCUACUACGGUUGCGGGGCGCGGGGAACGUGAGAAGAGCAGGACUAGCAGACAGCACAAAGGGGAUUUACCCAGGUUCGGGCUGCAAAGAUGCGUAAAACCCGAUGAUCCUGCUUUGGUGGAUGUAUUUAGUGUUCUUGAGCUCUUGAACUAGCUCUGGGUGCUGCUAAGGUUCGAAAGAGCCGAAUCCUUCUCCAGUGCGCCAUGGGCCUCCUUUUAUAGGCAAAAGGGGCUGCCAUAGUGGCACACAGGAGGUGGAAAGUGUCACAGUGCUGUGAGCUUAUCGCUGGUAUUACAGGACAAAGUGCAUUUAAUGCAUGCUUAGGUGUCCCUCACUUUAUCGGGGACGGGAGCAAGGCCCGUCCCAUCCGCCGCCGCUCCUCCUUGCUUCGACACGCGCCCUGGCCAGCGAUGCAUGCGGUGCCAUGUAGGCAGGCAAGCAGCUGAGGUGGCACGGUGGUGGAGCCUCCACGAAGAUCUGCAUGCCGCCACACAGGUGCGUGCUGAGUUAGCCUGGAAGCUGCCUGUUGCCACGCCGGUGCCUGCCCAGCGAGGAAAUGGCACGCUUCACACUUGAGCUGGUUGAUGGAGCUUCUUCAAAUGGAACUGGCACGCUUCACACUUGGUUACUAGUGCCGUCGCAUCCUGGAGGGCGGUGGGCCAAAAGAAACCUUGCCAGAAAGCCUUGCCGGCAAGGGCCCUCAACCCUAUGUGGGAGCCACAUAUGCCUCCAUGUAUCUCUGCCAACAGCUUUAGUCCUUCCUCCCGGGAGAUGCACUUCAAUUUCACCCCAUUCGGUCUUUUUCUGUACAAUACAUUAUCAACAAAUUGGUACAUAGCAGACCGGCAGGCUACUCUUUCUGCCUCUUCCUGCUCCUCAGGAAGCUCUCCUUUUCGAAGGAAUCAGACGGUGUGCUGCGCCCAUGCCGGAGCCUAUGGCUCGAUGACAAGGACCAAAGGCAUCUCUUCUACCAAGGGAGCGGCCAUCUCCACGGCCAUGAACUGAGGUCCUGCCAGAGUCGGUUGUCCCGCGGCAGGCUCGACAUCCACGACAACAUCUUCGCCGGCGGCUCCGGGGACCUCGGUUGGGAAGUACUUUCUAGAGCCUAGCUUCCUCCGCUUGUUCUGCCCGAUCAACGGCUCAACGGAUGGUUGAGUUAACUGAAGCACAAAAGUACCUGGUUCCAUAGGUAGCUUGAGGGCAGCGCGCUUUGACAGGUAGUUGGCGAUGUCAUUCUCUGUCUGAGGGACAUGCUCCGCUUGUAUACCGUCAAAGCGCUCCUCCAGUUUCCUCACCUCAUCUACGUAAGCUUCCAUCAACGGGCUUUGAUAAUCUUUUUUGACCUGCCUGACGACGAGUUGCGAGUCGCCCCUGACGAUGAGCUUUUUAACUCUGAGGUCCGCCGCGAUCCUGAGACCGGCAAGCAAACCCUCGUACUCGGCGGUGUUGUUGGUUGACAUCUCCCGGGGAAAGUGCGUCUGGAUGACGUACUUGAGGUUCUCUCCGAUGGGUGCGACAAGCAGCACACUGGCACCGGCGCCUUGUAGCGAAAAAGCCCCAUCAAAGUACAUGAUCUAGUUGCCGCUUGUUUCCUCGCCAGGGAGAGUAGUCUCCUGUAACUCUUUGUCAGGCAUCGAGGUCCAUUCUGCAACAAACUCCGCCAAGAUUAGGCUCUGGAUCGUCGAGGUACUUUCAAACUUUAGACCAAAAUUUGAUAGCUCCAGGGCCCAUUCCAUGAUCCUUCCUGUUGCAUCUGGGUUAUGCAGUAUCUGUUGCAAUGGAAGGCGGGUAACCACGGUGAUAUCUUGUGCUUGGAAGUAGUGGCGCAGCUUCCUCGAGGCCAUAAGGAGGCCGAAGAGCAAUUUUUGCACACCUGAAUACCUCGACCUAGCUCACUGCAAGAGGGACCUGAUGAAGUAAACCGGGUGCUGCACCAUCUUCUUCCUUUGCGCCACUUCACCUGGCCGUGCUGGUCCUAUCGUACUGGCGCCAGUUUUGCCGGGACCGAGCCCUGCCGGGGACUCAGUCUUGCUGGGACCGAGCCCUACGGGGAGGUUUCUGGCCCGCCAACCAUUGACCCUGCCGCUGUCGCUGCCUCCUCGUCGACCUCUCUCUGCGCCACUAGUGCGACGCUAACCACCUGAUUUGUUGCCGCUAGAUAAAGCAGCAACGGUUCUUGUGGUUUGGGCGCAACCAGCAUUGGGGUAGAGGAGAGGUAUUUCUUCAAAUCUUGCAGCGCUGCCUCGGCCUCUGGGGUCCACUCCACUGGCCCUGCCUUCUUUAAGAUCUUGAAAAAAGGAAGGGCACGCUCCACAGACUUGGAGAUGAACCAGCUCAUGGCAGCAACGCAGCCAGUGAGCCGACACACGUCCUUGAUCUGUUUGGGUGCCUCAAUCUGCUCGAUGGCCUUGAUCUUAUCUGGGUUUGCUUCAAUCCCGUGCUAGGACACAAAGAACCCGAGAAGCUUGCCAGAAGGGACGCCGAAGACACACUUCUCAGGGUUCAAUUUGAGGUUGAUCUUGCGCAGGUUUGCAAAUGUUUCCUCCAGAUCUUGCACAAGGGUUGUUUUGUCCUUGGUUUUGACCACUAUGUCAUCCAUAUAAGCUUCCAUAUUUCUAUGCAGUUGGGGCUCAAAACCAAUUUGUCCCGCUCUUGCAAAGGUUGAGCCAGCACUCUUCAACCUGAAAGGCAUCCGUAAAAAGAAAUAUGUACCACAUGGGGUGAUGAAUAAUGUCUUCUCCUCGUCCUCCUUCGUCAUGAAGAUCUGGUGGUAUCCCGAGUAGGCGUCGAGGAAUGAUAAAAGGUCACACCCAGCUGUGGAGUCAACAAUAUGGUCAAUGCGCGGUAACAGGAAGGGAUCCUUUGUACAAGCCUUAUUAAUGUCUGUGUAAUCAAUACACAGCCUCCACUUCCCAUUUGCCUUGCGCACUACUACCGGAUUGGCCAACCACGUCGGAUGGACUGGUGGAGUACUCCUCUCACCAGGGCUGCCACCUCUAGCUUUCUGAUUUCCUCUGUGAUGAACUCCUGCCUCUCCAGAGCUUGCUUCCUGACAUUCUGCUUGACGGGUCACGCAUGAGGACAGACAUCAAGGUGGUGCUCAAUCACCUCCCUGGGAACAUCGGGUAUGUCGGAGGCUUGCCAUGCAAACACAUCGACAUUCGCCUGCAGGAAGGUGACAACCUCGCUUUCCUAUUUGCCGUCGAGGGUGGAGCUUAUGGUAAAAGCUCCCCCCGUGCCGUCCUCCUUGACGGGCACAUUCUUGGUCUCUGGUGGUGUGGCUCUGGACUUCUUGGUCUUGCCGGCGGAGCUCUCUGGCACGUUCUCAACGGAAGCGCAACACCCUGAAGAGGUGCGCUUGCCGGAGUGGGUGCGAGGGGUCUCGCCGGUCUUCUUCCCCCCUGGGGCUCCAUCGGCAGGAGCAGGUGCCUUAGCGGCAGCUGCUACAACUACUUCCCGGUAGAGUUGGUUGGCGCAGAUCAAUGCAUCUUUCUUGUCGGAGGGGACAGUGAUGAUGUACAUCGGCUCGGGCAUCUUCAGCAUGUUGUAGGCGUAGUGUGAAGUUGCCAUGAACUUGGCUAGUGCCGGGCGACCGAGGAUCCCGUUGUAAGGCAAGGGGAUCUCGGCUACAUCGAAAGCAAUCCUUUCCGUCCUGUGGUUCAGCUCACCUCUGAAUGUCACGGGCAGCGUGACCUUUCCCUUUGGCUAGCUCCUCCCCGAGUUAACCCCUUGGAACGUGCCCGUCUCCUCGAGUUCUCCUUCGGGGAUCUGCAGCCUUUUGACCACAACAGGCGAGAUCAAGUUCAGGCUAGCCCCGCCUUCAACCAACAUCCUUGUCACCUUGAGGUUGCGGAUUGUUGGUGAAACCAACAAUGGCAAGCACCUGACUGCAGUAGUGCGGUCAGGAUGGUCCUCGCUGUCGAAGAUGAUGGGCGUGCUGGACCAUUUCAGCGGCUUCCGUGCGUCGAACGAUGGCUCCACCGUCGUGAUCUCAUGCACCCACUGCUUGAGUUGGCGGUGGGACUUAUGCAGCGAGGCGCCACCAUCGACGCACAUGGCCUCUGUGGCUUUUUGAAACUAGUGGUCGCCGGACUCGUCAUCCUCGUCAUGAUCAUCGUCUUCCUGCUUCUUGUCGCGGCCCUGGGCGGGCCUCUCCCGCUGAUUAUCCUUGCCGCGGAGGCUUCCUUGGCCACCACAUUUCUUGCCGGAUCCCUCGGCGCCAUCUGGGCCUUUCUCCUUGCCCCGCCGCUCAUACUCAGCUUUCUGCUUCUCGGCGAGCAGCUCUACCUGCCGGCAGUUUUGGAGGUCAUGGCCCUUGGUGUGGUGGAUCUUGCAGUACUGCUUGUCGGAGCCUCCUGGCUUGUCGGCAGCCGCCAAGGCCCGGCAAGCGACACACCGGCAACCUCCUUGCCGGGGUCGCCCGCCUUGGUCUUCUUGGUGGCGCCGGUGUCGUCGGAUCCCUCGACGGCAAGCACGACCUUGCCCUUGCGCUUCCUGUUACGGCGUCGGCCCUUCUUCGCUGGGGUGGCGGUGUCGCCAGUGGAGUCGGUUUCCACACCGGCAUCUUCGCCGGGGUACUUCCUUCCCUCUUCAGCGCGAGCGCAUCGAUCGGCCAAGACAUAAAGCGCGGCCACAUUCUUGACCUUGUUCAUCGCUAGCUCUUCACGCAUCUUGUGAUUGCGCAUGUUCUGAUGGAACGCACUGAUCACGGCGGCGGGAUGAACAUUGGGGAUGUUGUACUGCACCCGUUGAACCUUUGGAUGUACUUGCGCAAGUUUUCGCCUUCCUUCUGGGGAUGAUGUAUAAAUCACUUGCCUGGCCAUGAGCUUCGUGACCUCCGGUAAAGGCGCCAACAACCUCUUGGCACAGAUCCGCCCAAGAAGAGAAGGAAUCCACCGGCAAGUGCAUCAACCAUGACAUAACAUUAGGCUUGAGUGCCAAUGGGAACUAGUUGGCAAGCACCUUAUCGUCGCGCGCCCCAGCAGCUUGCAUCGCGAUGGUGUAGAUGCUGAGGAACUCUGACGGGUGAGUCUUGCCGUUGUACUUCUCGCCAACGUCAGGCUUGAACGUAUGGUGGGAGGGCCACUGGAACUGUUGCAGCUCACGGGUAAAAGCCGGACAACCCACCUCGUAGGGUAGGCCACCGUAGCCUCCCAGCGCUGGGCGGUCCGUAGCGGGCCCUGCCCGCCUGUCCGACUGGUGGCACGCAUCACGUCGGCGCUCGAUGGUAGUUCGAGCGUUGUAACAUCCCAAAAUUCUAAAUUUUGGAACGUUAUAAUAAAUAGAUAGUUUGGUUGAUUGUGUGAUUGAUUGACUGAAAGUAAGUGAAUUCGAAACUUUUUGAAAGUUAAAUGAGAGGGAAUAAAAGGACUUUCCCAAACUUUCAUUUUCUUUUAUGAUCUCCGUGAAUUCAAAUUAUUUUCAUCACAAAACCCUGGAGACAAGAGGACAUGACUUCUUCCAUUUUAAUAAAUGAAAAGGGUUUUUGAAAAUAUUUGAAUUUCACCUGGAAAUAUUUCAAAUUCAGAAACUUCAAGCAACUCAAUGAUUUUCAUGAGGGAAGAUAAAAUGACUUCUUCAAACAUAUGAAAUAUGAGUAGGGAGUUUAAAAGAAAUCCAAUUUAAAGUCCUUUUGAAAUUAUUUUCAAUUGGGAGUUAUUUGGGUUUUAUUCAAAUUAUUUUUCUCCAAAUAUAAAAUAUAUAGAAAAUAGGGUAACAUGAUUCCCUCCAAUAGAAAAUUGGAGAUAAAUAAAUUUGAUAUCAUUUUGCUAUUUUUAAAAUGAUUUUUAUUGGAUUUUACUAGAGCAGAAGCACUCUUUGCUUUAUUUGAAUUUCUGUGUAUUUUAUUUGAUAUUAAAGAAAUGUUCAGGUUAUAGAAAAUCUUUUUCGGAAAAUUUUGAUAUAUAAUACGCCUAUAGUAUGUUUUUAUUUUGGUGGUUUAUUUCUAUUUAUUGUUUUCCGGAAAAUGUUAAAAAAAACACUUUCCUCCGCCGCCGAACUGGGCCAGCCCAAUAGGCCGCAGCGCAGCCCAGCGCGCAGCUCGUCCCCGACCCCGAGCGGAGUCCGCCGCCCGCACACCUCGCCGGCGACGCCGUGUCCGCCCCGGUCUCCUCGUGCCCCAACCCCUCCCGCACGCCACCGCCCUCCCCUGGCCUUUAAAAGGCGGGUCCCGACACCCCCCUCUCUCACUCUGCUCGCACCGCCAGAUCCGCCGCCGCCAUCGUCGGUCGCCGCCGCCGCCUCGCAUCUCGCCGCCGCACUCCGCUAGCGCCGCCGCCGCCGUUGCCACACCUCGCCGAACACCGGCGCUGCCCCGACGCCCGCGCCGGAGUUCGCCGCUGGCCGAAUCCGCUCCGCCACCCGACCCGUCGGUUUUCCCGGUCCGGUAAUAAACCACCCCGGUUUUCUUCGGUUUUCCCUUUAGGAUUCGGUGUUUGUUUAAAACACGUUUUUUAUAUAGUUAGUUAGGUAGCGAACGUUUUCUGUUUAGUUAGUAUCGGCGAACGUUUUCGUUCGUUAGCGUUCGGUAACGAACGUGCGUUAUUUAGCUCUUCUUCUUUUUCUAUUAGUUUUAUUUAGGGACUUCUUUGUAGAUGUUUUAUUUACAAUUUAACCCCUAGACUUCAAACGAUCACUACUUUGCAACCGUUUAUCCAAAUCUAAUGAAACCAAUGCCCACUUCUUCGUUAUGAUCCCCACUAUCCAGUAAUCCAACUCCAACAUGUUUUUGGAAGUUUAAAAUUUGAAUUAGACCAGAUUUGUAUUCAAACUUCGUUUGAUCAUAACUUGAGUUUUAUAACUCCGAUUUAGUUGAUUCUUUUUGCAAAUCGAAGCUCUUGACCUAAACUUUCUGAUAAGUCCAAAUCCAUCUAAUUUUGGUACUGUUAGAAAUUGUUUUGCAAGAGUCAUUUGCUUGUUUUUUAAGCUUUCCGAGAUCUUUUCUUCGAUUCUUUUGCAUGAUUGCUUAUGUGUGGUUACUAUUGCUUGCUUACGAUAGAUUCACCGGAGUGUGAUGAGUAGAACUAUCAAGAUUUUUGAGUGUGAAUCAUCUUCAUCAACAUUGUAGGCAAGUUCACACUUUGAUCAUAUUUCCUUUCAUACCCAGUUUUAUUGCAUUAUAUCAACCCUCAAACAAUUGCAUGAUUAGGAUCUGAUUAAUAUGUGGGUUUUGGGAAGUAGAUGAGGUAGUACCUAUCACCAGCUUUAUUAUCAAUCCCUUGGGAGUUACUUCUACGUUUUCUUAUUAUGCCAUGCUAUGCUAGUAGACGUGGAUUGGGUGAGUGAAUUUCCAUGACAGAUGUGAGAUUGUUAAUUAAUGGUUUAUUUAAGGUGGCAACUUUAAUACACACCUGGGUGGAUUGAGGCACUUGGGUAUUCUAGGAUUGCCUGUUAGUUUUGGACCGCCACCCAGGCUCAAAGGGAUCAUAAGAUUAUUCAUGCUAGAAACUUUCGUGUGCAGCCACAUGCUAUUAUGGGAUCUAGCAUAGUUGAUUAAGCCGUGCGAACUCUUACAGUGGUAGACUAGCAGAUGUAGGGGAAAGUAGGUGUACAUGUCUACCCAUCGUAAGGUGCUAGCGCUUCUGAAAGACUAUGUCUUGGUCAUCCGUUUCUCAAACACCAUGUAGUGCGAGAAAACCAACGGAGGAGAUCGAGUCGUGUGGGGAAAAGUGCGCAAACCUCUGCAGAGUGUAUAAACUAAUCAUGAUUAGCCGUGUGCCCGGUUAUGGACGUUUUGAGUAUCUAGUACUUGGAUUAUCAUGUGAAUCUCAUCAUGUUUCUUUAAUUGAACUUGUUGGGUUUUAAUGAUGAUGUUACUUAAUUGGGAUUGAGAAUGCUGUCAACUAUUCUCAACGUUCAACAACCACCAUGAUAGUUAAAUAAAAUUUAUUCCUUUGUAGUAGGGAAAAAUUGGCUUUUCGCAAAAACAUUAUAACCAUAGAGCCUCCACCAGCCAAAUAUGCAUGUAGUGAUAGCCUUUAUUCAUCAUUGCUCUAUGGUGUGAUUUUGCCAGUACAUUCAAUGUACUGACCCUCUGUGGCUGCAACGUCUCUUGUUGCAGGAAUCUUACGAUGAGUAAGUGUUACGUUAGGGUUACGAUUUAUAUACUCAACUUUGUCGUUGGUGUUGAUGGGAAUCCACAACCUUGUUGCUUCCGCUAUUUGGAUUGAGGUAAUAUUAUUUAUGCUACUUUAUACAUGUGAUUUACCUCUGUUAUAAAUCCUCGAGUACUGUGUGUGUCAGCAUACCGAUCCAUGGAUGACACUUAAGCAUAGAGACUUGAUCCAUUCGGGUCAGGUCGCUACAAGAUGGUAUCAGAGCACAUGUUGACUGUAGGACGUGACCCUAGAAACUGACAAGCCCAUAGGAAAGUUUUUUUUCUCUACAACUUUCUUUUCAAAAGAAUCUUUUACCUCUCUUCUCUUCUAAGCUUAUUCAAAUAUUCCCUUUUAGCUAGACUACCCCUUUUCCCCUUUUUGACCACAUGAAGAUUCGGAUGAUAAGACCACUCCAAGGAGUACAAGAUAUCGGACAACUAAGACCACUUUGGAAUAAACAGGAUUUUACCGUGCAUUACAAUGAUGGAAACUACAAUGGUUGAAGACUCCGAAGACUAGGAGAAUUUGAAGGCUUGAAGAAUUUCCAGAUUUGUAUGACCUAGGAAGGCACCCCUUAUGGAACUUGGCAGACUAAGGAAGCUGUCAAUACCCGAGAUCAAGGUGUAUCGGAGAAAGACCAGAACAUGGAGCAUUAGAACUUGAAGUUUUCGUCAAGGAAAACCCUAAGACAGGAGAUAUCAAUUAUGGAAUGAAAGCUCAUGGCAGUAACAUGGCCAUAAACAUGGCUAUCCAUGAUGUUAUCGCCCUCUUAUGCUAUUGUCACUGUGUCGAGUUAAGCAUGCAUAUGCAUGGAAAGAUUGGAUGGUAGAAGGCUGAUGCAGCAUCUAUCAGCAAGAUGAAGUUUUAACCUUAGCCGGUGUAUCACCAGGAUCUGGAGUGUUACAUCAAGAAGUUAAGAUGGACCUACAAGAAGCAGUAUUUGAUAAGGAAGCGUUUCAUGAAGAACUCAGGACCCAGAAGCUGAAAGUAGCCAAGCUAGAGGAGCCAAACCUUGAGACAUCAAAGAUUCGUCAGGAACUGAAGAACAGUAGGACCAUGGAUCAUGUCAAGGAUGUUGAAACCGGAAGUUUGGAAUGCAAAUCCAGCAAUAUUAAAGGGCGCCACAAGAGACUUCUCAUCAAUAGAGAUGAUCUGGCGAAAGAACUUGAGAAGGACAAGCAUGAUCGGAAGAAGCUAUCAGAGACAUGAACAAGACUUGAAGAGUUUGACGACUUUGAAGAUUUGUUGACCUUUAGCAGACCAAUCCCCGUUGUACCUACGUUAGAUCCGACGUUUGUGAGCUGUCAUUUGUUUGAUGUUUUUUUGGCAGCCACAAAUAAAAUGCCCUUUUCAAAACUGUUGUUUGUAUUUUGUGUAUCCCCUCUCUAUAUCUCUUAUCCCACCCCAAAACCCAUGGACCCAAUAGAGGAUGAAUGGAGAUGAACUCAUAUUAUCUGGACCGAUGAGUCAAUUGGAGACGGACCAAUGGAUUCAGAACAUGGAGGAUCACAUGGAGAAUAACCCUAUAACCGGAAAGGAUAUGACCCAGCAUGCUCUUGAGUGCUUUGAAAAAGAUGCCACUACCUGGUAGAGGAUGUACCAAACCAUCAAUGGAUGGCAAAGAUGUAACGCCCCGGAUUCGAUACGCCAGGUGUCUGCCAGUUAUUCACCGUAGUUGCCAUGUCAUUUGCUUCCGUGUUGCAUUUUGCCAUGUCAUCAUCUGCAUUUCAUCUACAUGUUUUUCAAAACUUGCAUCCGUUCGGGUUCUCCCGGUUCUCUCCGUUGUCCGUUCGGAGUCUGGACUUCUCGCGCGCGCCUGUCGCCCCUCUCAGACCUUGUUUUCGUGAGGGGGUGUGAAACGUUCUCGGAAUGGCCCGAGGUUUGCCAGGCGGCCUUGGUAUAGCACCGGUAGACCGCCUGUCAAGUUUCGUGCCAUUUGGAGGUCGUUUGAUACUCCAACGGUUAACUGGGUAACCGCAAAAGCCUCUUUUGUCUUGCAGCCCAACACCCUUCCAAACUGGCCCAAAACCCAGCAAACUCCCCUCCAUGCUCUUGGUCGUUCCAUCACGAUCGCGUGGCCCAAAACCGCUCCUCAUUUGGACUCUCCUAGCUCCCUCUACCUACAUAAAGGCCCUCCCCUUCCAUUUUCGCGGAUGAAACCCUAGCCUAGCCUCCCUCUCGCCCGCCGGACAUGUCCGUGCGCCGCCGGACGUGUCCGCCGCCAUCAGCCACGUCGUCCGGGCCAAUCAGCGCUCGCCACGUCACCUCCACCGCCGCCCUCAACCUAUCGCGCCGCGCCACCUCACUGCCGCCGACUCUCUCUCUCCUCUGCGCCCGCGCAGGCCCGGAAGGCCCACAUCCGGCCCCCGCCGGGCCCGAACUGGGCCGCGCCCCGCCGUCCGCAUCUCCGCCCCGGUGCCGCCGCCUCGGCCCUCGCCGCCGCCACCGCACCAGCCUCCAGCGACCUUGCCGCCGGUCACCGAAGGGCUGGGCCGCCCCUGCGCUUCCUCCGACGGUCCUGUCCUGCCCCGCCGUCGUGAACCGCGCCGUUCCCCGCGCCCGAGCACCGCGCCUUCGCAGUUCGGCACCCGCCUCCUCCGCCGCCUUGCUCCCCGGAGCGCCACCGUCUAUGGAGCUCCGCCCGUCGUCGCCCGACCCUGCCGCCGCCGGGAACGGAUCCAGCUGCUCCAGAUCCACCCGGAUCCGGCCGGUCCCCACCCCAUCUUCACCGCUCGCCGCCGGGCAACCGCCACCGCCGCCGCCUGCCACCCCGAUCCAGUCGGGACCGAGAAGGUCGAUGCCCAUCUCCUCCCGCGCGUGGGCCACCGCGGGCCCCGCUCCAUUCCAGAUCCACCGUCCCAGUAGCCUCUUCCCACAACCUGGGCCUCGUCCUGCUCUGGUGAGAUCCCGCGAAAUCCCGCCCCGGGCGACGUAUAGUUACCUUGCGCUCACCUGUUUUUUUUUUAAAAAAACUGCUAAGUCCCGAAAUAUUUUGACAUUUUCAUGCCCUGUUUGACCUGCCAUAUCUCUGCAUCCGUCGCUCCGUUUCGUGCGUGUAAUAUUUCAAAUUGUUUACCUCAACGAGUACUUCAUUUCAUUCCAUUGCAUCAUGGUCAUUUGAGCUCAUAUUGAUGCCUGAAUCAUCGUUGCAAGAGUGCAUCAUAAUGUUGUCUAUUGUCUGUUAACAGAACUUGCUCUUUUGUCAUUUUUUCCAUGAUUGAUGUGUGCAUCCUAUGAGGUUGAUGUCUACAUGUGUUUUGAACUAUGCCAUGCCAUCUUUACAGGGGUGUAUGUCAUGUAUUUUUGUGAUCAAUGUGGUGAUUAGCACAAGCAUGUAAACUAGGCUUCGUGAUGUUGCUGAUUUUAGUCCCUGUUCUGCUGUUAUUUUGAUGCCAUGUAAACAUGAUGCUACAGAGAGAUCCAUGCUUAUUUUGAGAUACUUCACUAAGGGUGUUUUGUUAUACAUGUUAUGCUCUAUCCACCCAUGCCCCUGGUUGCAUUUAUAGCCUGCUGUAGCUUGUUGUUAUCUUGCUCCAAAGUUGCCAAAUAAUGUUGAUGUCAGCCUAUUAACAUUAAGUUCGGUUGUUGCCAUGCUUGUUGUUAGUGAUACAUGUAUCCUAUGGACUUGCUAUUGCCAUGCUUAGCUUCACAAACAUGCCUUCUUACUGUUGGUUGCCUUGCCAUGCCAUAUCUUGCUCUGUGGUGAGUGGUACAAGCUCACCAACAAGCCUUCAUAAUGCUAUUCCUGCCAUGUAUGAAUCUGUAUUAUAACUUGCUAUGUUUACAUGGGUGCCAUCAUAUUUUCUGAUACUUUUUUGCUCAUGGUCAGUAAGGGACUUUUGUUCUAUGCAUUUAGUAGUAUCAUGCCAUGCCUUUGUUUGCCAUGAUAAGUUCCUGUAACAUGUUGUUUGAUACCUCUGAACAUUACAACCUGAUGUUAUUUUCUUUAAAGUCUAAAACUAUUAUCGUUUGCAAUUUUGCCAUGUGUGUUUGAGCAUGUUCCAGUGAUUUCUGGAGAUAGCUCAGUGUUCAUGUUUUGUUAUGCUUUACCUAUACAUCAUGCCCAUGCCUUUUGUUUUCUUGUUGAGGUCAUGUAGCAUUUUGUUUUGAUGCUUGCAAUAUGCCUAGUUGCUGUUUUGGACAGCUUGUCCUUUAAACUUGUAUAGAGUGUAUGUGUUGCACCGUUGCUCCGUUUUGAGUGUGCUCUAUAUGAAACUUGCUUGAUUUUGCAUGCAGUUUCAUAUUAUCAUGUUGCAUCCUUGUUUUGAGGUGUUUGCUUGAUGUUUGUAUGCAUUUUGCAUCAAUGCCAUGUUUUACUUGUUUUGCUCAUAUCUUCUAGGCCGUAGCUCCGAACUAAAUGAACUUUAUAUGUAACUUGACUAGAAUCUCGGGUAGAUCAUCUUGGUGCAUUUUAACUUGCUUCUUAACAACCUGAACAUAAUGUUUAUUCAGAUCUGGACCAAUUUCGAAACUUGCAUAUGAGGACUUACCGAAAUUGUUAUAUGUUGUUACCGGCCUCAUUUAAACUUGCCUUGAUGUGUUGCUCUUGUUUGCAUCAUCUAUUGCCAUGAGUAGCUUCAUGUAGUCUUGUCAUGCAUCAUGCUUGUUUGUGCAUCAUGCCUUGUUCAUGUGUGGUGUGUUUACCAUGUUGUGUGCUUCUUCUCGAUAGUUCCCGUUUCGUUGCGAUUGUGAGGAUUCGUUCGUCUACGCUUGGUUCGUCUUCGUGGCUUCAUCUUCUUCAUGGACUCGUUCUUCUUCCUUGCGGGAUUUCAGGCAAGAUGACCACUACCCUGGAUCUCACUACUAUCAUUGCUAUGCUAGUUGCUUCAUUUUAUCGCUUUGCUGCGCUACCUAUCAACUGUUUAUCAAGCCACCCAAAUUGCCAUGGACCUCUAACCUUUGACACCCUUCUUAUGCAAACCGUUGUUUGGCUAUGUUACCGCUUUUCACAGCCCUCUUAUAGCGUUGCUAGUUGCAGGUGAAGUUGAAGAUUACUCCAUGGUGGACAGGAUUAUGUUGGGAUAUCACAAUAUCUCUUCAUUAACUAAUGCAUCUAUAUAUUUGGUAAAGGGUGGAAGGCUCGGCCUUAUGCCUGGUGUUUUGCUCCACUCUUGCCGCCCUAGUUUCCAUCAUACCGGUGUUAUGUUCCCGGAUUUUGCAUUCCUUACGCGGUCGGGUGAUUUACGGGACCCCCUUGACAGUUCGCUUUGAAUAAAACUCCUCCAGCAAGGCCCAACAUUGGUUUUACCAUUUGCCUCACCACCACCUACUUUUCCCUUGGGAGUCGCCCUCUCGAGGGUCAUAUUUAUUUUAGCCCUCCCCCCCGGGCCAAUGCUUGUUUAAGAGUUGGUCCAAACCGAGCGAUGUCCGGCACCCCUUGGGCAACCAGGGUCUAUGCCAACCCGACGUCUGGCUCAUCCGGUGUGCCCUGAGAACGUGAUAUGUGCAGCUCCUAUCGAGAUAUGUGCAGCUCAUAUCAUGCGUGUAAUAUGUCAAAUUGUUCCUCUCAACGAGUACUUCAUUUCAUUCCAUUACAUCAUGUUCAUUGAGCUCAUCUUGAUGCCUGAAUCAUCGUUGCAAGAGUGCAUCAUAAUGUUGUCUGCUGUCUGUUAACAGAACUUGCUCUUUUGUCAUUUUUGCCAUGAUUGAUGUGUGCAUCCUAUGAGGUUGAUGUCUAGAUGUGUUUUUAACUAUGCCAUGCCAUCUUUACAGGGGUGUAUGCCAUGUAUUUUUGUGAUCAAUGUGGUGAUUAGCACAAGCAUGUAAACUAGGCUUCAUGAUGUUGCUGAUUUUAGUCUCUGUUCUGCUGUUAUUUUGAUGUCAUGUAAACAUGAUGCUACAGAGAGAUCCAUGCUUAUUUUGAGAUACUUCACUAAGGGUGUUUUGUUCUACAUGUUAUGCCCUAUCCACCCAUGCCCCUGGUUGCAUUUAUAGCCUGCUGUAGCUUGUUGUUAUCUUGCUCCAAAGUUGCUAAAUAAUGUUGUUGUCAGCCUGUUAACAUUAAGUUCAAUUGUUGCCAUGCUUGUUGUUAGUGAUACAUGUAUCCUAUGGACUUGCUAUUGCCAUGCUUAGCUUCACAAACAUGCCUUCUUACUGUUGGUUACCUUGCCAUGCCAUAUAUUGCUCUGUGGUGAGUGGUACAAGCUCACCAACAUGCCUUCAUAAUUCUGUUCCUGCCAUGUAUGAAUCUGUAUUGUAACUUGCUAUGUUUACAUGGGUGCUAUCAUAUUUUCUUAUUCUUUUUAGCUCAUGGUCAGUAAGGGAAUUUUGUUCUAUGCAUCUAGUAGUAUCAUGCCAUGCCUUUGUUUGCCAUGAUAAGUUCCUGUAACAUGUUGUUUGAUACCUCUGAACAUUGCAACCUGAUUUUAUUUUAUUUAAAGUCUGAAACUAUUAUCGUUUGCAAUCUUGCCAUGUGUGUUUGAGCAUGUUCUAGUGAUUUCUGGAGAUAGCUCAGUGUUCAUGUUUUGUUAUGCUUUAGCUGUACAUCAUGCCCAUGCCUUUAUUUUUCUUGUUGAGGUCAUGUAGCAUUUUGUUUUGAUGCUUGCAAUAUGCCUAGUUGUUGUUUUGGACAGCUUGUCCUUUAAACUUGUAUAGAGUGUAUGUGUUGCACCGUUGCUCCGUUUUGAGUGUGCUCUAUAUGAAACUUGCUUGAUUUUGCAUGUAGUUUCAUAUUAUCAUGUUGCAUCCUUGUUUUGAGGUGUUUGCUUGAUGUAUGUAUGCAUUUUGCAUCAAUGCCAUGUUUUACUUGUUUUGCUCAUAUCUUCUAGGCCGUAGCUCCGAACUAAAUGAACUUUAUAUGUAACUUGACUAGAAUCUCGGGUAGAUCAUCUUGGUGCAUUUUAACUUGCUGCUUAACAACUUGAACAUAAUGUUUAUUCAGAUCUGGACCAAUUUCGAAACUUGCAUAUGAGGACUUACCAAAAUUGUUAUAUGUCGUUACCGGCCUCAUUUAAACUUGCCUUGAUGUGUUGCUCUUGUUUGCAUCAUCUCUUGCCAUGAGUAGCUUCAUGUAGUCUUGUCAUGCAUCAUGCUUGUUUGUGCUUCAUGCCUUGUUCAUGUGUGGUGUGUUUACCAUGUUGUGUGCUUCUUCUCGAUAGUUCCCGUUUCGUUGUGAUCGUGAGGAUUCGUUCAUCUACGCUUGGUUUGUCUUUGUGGCUUCAUCUUCUUCAUGGACUCGUUCUUCUUCCUUGUGGGAUUUCAGGCAAGAUGACCGCUACCCUGGAUCUCACUACUAUCAUUGCUAUGCUAGUUGCUUCGUUCUAUCGCUUUGUUGCGCUACCUAUCAACUGUUUAUCAAGCCUCCCAAAUUGCCAUGGACCUCUAACCUUUGACACCAUUCCUAUGCAAACCAUUGUUUGGCUAUGUUACCGCUUUUCUCAGCCCUCUUAUAGCGUUGCUAGUUGCAGGUGAAGUUGAAGAUUACUCCAUGGUGGACAGGAUUAUGUUGGGAUAUCACAAUAUCUCUUCUUUAACUAAUGCAUCUAUAUAUUUGGUAAAGGGCGGAAGGCUCGGCCUUAUGCCUGGUGUUUUGCUCCACUCUUGCCGCCCUAGUUUCCAUCAUACCGGUGUUAUGUUCCCGGAUUUUGUGUUCCUUACGUGGUCGGGUGAUUUACGGGACCCCCUUGACAGUUCGCUUUGAAUAAAACUCCUCCAGCAAGGCCCAACAUUGGUUUUACCAUUUGCCUCACCACCACCUACUUUUCCCCUGGGAGUCGCCCUCUCGAGGGUCAUAUUUAUUUUAGCCCCCCCCCCGGGCCAAUGCUUGUUUAAGUGUUGGUCCAAACUGAGCGAUGUCCGGCACCCCUUGGGCAACCAGGGUCUAUGCCAACCCGACGUCUGGCUCAUCCGGUGUGCCCUGAGAACGAGAUAUGUGCAGCUCCUAUCGAGAUAUGUGCAGCUCAUAUCAUGCGUGUAAUAUGUCAAAUUGUUCCUCUCAACGAUUACUUCAUUUCAUUCCAUUACAUCAUGUUCAUUGAGCUCAUCUUGAUGCCUGAAUCAUCGUUGCAAGAGUGCAUCAUAAUGUUGUCUGCUGUCUGUUAACAGAACUUGCUCUUUUGUCAUUUUUGCCAUGAUUGAUGUGUGCAUCCUAUGAGGUUGAUGUCUAGAUGUGUUUUUAACUAUGCCAUGCCAUCUUUACAGGGGUGUAUGCCAUGUAUUUUUGUGAUCAAUGUGGUGAUUAGCACAAGCAUGUAAACUAGGCUUCAUGAUGUUGCUGAUUUUAGUCCCUGUUCUGCUGUUAUUUUGAUGUCAUGUAAACAUGAUGCUACAGAGAGAUCCAUGCUUAUUUUGAGAUACUUCACUAAGGGUGUUUUGUUCUACAUGUUAUGCUCUAUCCACCCAUGCCCCUGGUUGCAUUUAUAGCCUGCUGUAGCUUGUUGUUAUCUUGCUCCAAAGUUGCUAAAUAAUGUUGCUGUCAGCCUGUUAACAUUAAGUUCAAUUGUUGCCAUCCUUGUUGUUAGUGAUACAUGUAUCCUAUGGACUUGCUAUUGCCAUGCUUAGCUUCACAAACAUGCCUUCUUACUGUUGGUUACCUUGCCAUGCCAUAUAUUGCUCUGUGGUGAGUGGUACAAGCUCACCAACAUGCCUUCAUAAUUCUGUUCCUGCCAUGUAUGAAUCUGUAUUGUAACUUGCUAUGUUUACAUGGGUGCUAUCAUAUUUUCUUAUUCUUUUUAGCUCAUGGUCAGUAAGGGACUUUUGUUCUAUGCAUCUAGUAGUAUCAUGCCAUGCCUUUGUUUGCCAUGAUAAGUUCCUGUAACAUGUUGUUUGAUACCUCUGAACAUUGCAACCUGAUUUUAUUUUAUUUAAAGUCUGAAACUAUUAUCGUUUGCAAUCUUGCCAUGUGUGUUUGAGCAUGUUCUAGUGAUUUCUGGAGAUAGCUCAGUGUUCAUGUUUUGUUAUGCUUUAGCUGUACAUCAUGCCCAUGCCUUUAUUUUUCUUGUUGAGGUCAUGUAGCAUUUUGUUUUGAUGCUUGCAAUAUGCCUAGUUGUUGUUUUGGACAGCUUGUCCUUUAAACUUGUAUAGAGUGUAUGUGUUGCACCGUUGCUCCGUUUUGAGUGUGCUCUAUAUGAAACUUGCUUGAUUUUGCAUGUAGUUUCAUAUUAUCAUGUUGCAUCCUUGUUUUGAGGUGUUUGCUUGAUGUAUGUAUGCAUUUUGCAUCAAUGCCAUGUUUUACUUGUUUUGCUCAUAUCUUCUAGGCCGUAGCUCCGAACUAAAUGAACUUUAUAUGUAACUUGACUAGAAUCUCGGGUAGAUCAUCUUGGUGCAUUUUAACUUGCUGCUUAACAACUUGAACAUAAUGUUUAUUCAGAUCUGGACCAAUUUCGAAACUUGCAUAUGAGGACUUACCAAAAUUGUUAUAUGUNNNNNNNNNNNNNNNNNNNNNNNNNNNNNNNNNNNNNNNNNNNNNNNNNNNNNNNNNNNNNNNNNNNNNNNNNNNNNNNNNNNNNNNNNNNNNNNNNNNNNNNNNNNNNNNNNNNNNNNNNNNNNNNNNNNNNNNNNNNNNNNNNNNNNNNNNNNNNNNNNNNNNNNNNNNNNNNNNNNNNNNNNNNNNNNNNNNNNNNNNNNNNNNNNNNNNNNNNNNNNNNNNNNNNNNNNNNNNNNNNNNNNNNNNNNNNNNNNNNNNNNNNNNNNNNNNNNNNNNNNNNNNNNNNNNNNNNNNNNNNNNNNNNNNNNNNNNNNNNNNNNNNNNNNNNNNNNNNNNNNNNNNNNNNNNNNNNNNNNNNNNNNNNNNNNNNNNNNNNNNNNNNNNNNNNNNNNNNNNNNNNNNNNNNNNNNNNNNNNNNNNNNNNNNNNNNNNNNNNNNNNNNNNNNNNNNNNNNNNNNNNNNNNNNNNNNNNNNNNNNNNNNNNNNNNNNNNNNNNNNNNNNNNNNNNNNNNNNNNNNNNNNNNNNNNNNNNNNNNNNNNNNNNNNNNNNNNNNNNNNNNNNNNNNNNNNNNNNNNNNNNNNNNNNNNNNNNNNNNNNNNNNNNNNNNNNNNNNNNNNNNNNNNNNNNNNNNNNNNNNNNNNNNNNNNNNNNNNNNNNUGUUGGUCCAAACCGAGCGAUGUCCGGCACCCCUUGGGCAACCAGGGUCUAUGGCAAACCGACGUCUGGCUCAUCCGGUGUGCCCUGAAAACGAGAUACGUGCAGCUCCUAUCGAGAUAUGUGCAGCUCCUAUCAUGCGUGUAAUAUGUCAAAUUGUUCGUCUCAACGAGUACUUCAUUUUAUUUCAUUGCAUCAUGUUCAUUGAGCUCAUCUUGAUGCCCGAAUCAUCAUUACAAGAGUGCAUCAUAAUGUUGUCUGAUGUCUGUUAAUAGAACUUGCUCUUUUGUCAUUUUUGCCAUGAUUGAUGUGUGCAUCCUAUGAGGUUGAUGUCUACAUAUGUUUUUAACUAUGCCAUGCCAUCUUUAUAGGGGUGUAUGCCAUGUAUUUUUGUGAUCAAUGUGGUGAUUAGCACAAGCAUGUAAACUAGGCUUCGUGAUGUUGCUGAUUUUAGUCCAUGUUCUGCUGUUAUUUUGAUGUCAUGUAAACAUGAUGCUACAGAGAGAUCCAUGCUUAUUUUGAGAUACUUCACUAAGGGUGUUUUGUUCUACAUGUUAUGCUCUAUCCACCCAUGCCCCUGGUUGCAUUUAUAGCCUGCUGUAGCUUGUUGUUAUCUUGCUCCAAAGUUGCUAAAUAAUGUUGCUGUCAGCCUGUUAACAUUAAGUUCAGUUGUUGCCAUGCUUGUUGUUAGUGAUACAUGUAUCCUAUGGACUUGCUAUUGCCAUGCUUAGCUUCACGAACAUACCUUCUUACUGUUAGUUGCCUUGCCAUGCCAUAUAUUGCUCUGUGGUGAGUGGUACAAGCUCACCAACAUGCCGUCAUAAUUCUAUUCCUGCCAUGUAUGAAUCUGUAUUGUAACUUGCUAUGUUUACAUGGAUGCCAUCAUAUUUUCUUAUUCUUUUUAGCUCAUGGUCAGUAAGGGACUUUUGUUCUAUGCCUUUAGUAGUAUCAUGCCAUGCCUUUGUUUGCCAUGAUAAGUUCCUGUAACAUGUUGUUUGAUACCUCUGAACAUUGCAACCUGAUUUUAUUUUAUUUAAAGUCUGAAACUAUUAUCGUUUGCAAUCUUGCCAUGUGUGUUUGAGCAUGUUCUAGUGAUUUCUGGAGAUAGCUCAGUGUUCAUGUUUUGUUAUGCUUUACCUGUACAUCAUGCCCAUGCCUUUUUUUUCUUGUUGAGGUCAUGUAGCAUUUUGUUUUGAUGCUUGCAAUAUGCCUACUUGCUGUUUUGGUCAGCUUGUCCUUUAAACUUGUAUAGAGUGUAUGUGUUGCACCGUUGCUCCGUUUUGAGUGUGCUCUAUAUGAAACUUGCUUGAUUUUGCAUGUAGUUUCAUAUUAUCAUGUUGCAUCCUUGUUUUGAGGUGUUUGCUUGAUGUAUGUAUGCAUUUUGCAUCAAUGCCAUGUUUUACUUGUUUUGCUCAUAUCUUCUAGGCCGUAGCUCCAAACUAAAUGAACUUUAUAUGUAACUUGACUAGAAUCUCGGGUAGAUCAUCUUGGUGCAUUUUAACUUGCUGCUUAACAACUUGAACAUAAUGUUUAUUCAGAUCUGGACCAAUUUCGAAACUUGCAUAUGAGGACUUACCGAAAUUGUUAUAUGUUGUUACCGGCCUCAUUUAAACUUGCCUUGAUGUGUUGCUCUUGUUUGCAUCAUAUCUUGCCAUGAGUAGCUUCAUGUAGUCUUGUUAUGCAUCAUGCUUGUUUGUGCAUCAUGCCUUGUUCAUGUGUGGUGUGUUUACUAUGUUGUGUGCUUCUUCUCGAUAGUUCCCGUUUCGUUGCGAUCGUGAGGAUUCGUUCGUCUACGCUUGGUUCGUCUUCGUGGCUUCAUCUUCUUCAUGGACUCGUUCUUCUUCCUUGCGGGAUUUCAGGCAAGAUGACCGCUACCCUGGAUCUCACUACUAUCAUUGCUAUGCUAGUUGCUUCAUUUUAUCGCUUUGCUGCGCUACCUAUCAACUGUUUAUCAAGCCUCCCAAAUUGCCAUGGACCUCUAACCUUUGACACCCUUCCUAUGCAAACCGUUGUUUGGCUAUGUUACUGCUUUUCUCAGCCCUCUUAUAGUGUUGCUAGUUGCAGGUGAAGUUGAAGAUUACUCCAUGGUGGACAUGAUUAUGUUGGGAUAUCAUAAUAUCUCUUCUUUAACUAAUGCAUCUAUAUAUUUGGUAAAGGGUGGAAGGCUCGGCCUUAUGCCUGGUGUUUUGCUCCACUCUUGCCGCCCUAGUUUCCAUCAUACUUGUGUUAUGUUCCCGGAUUUUGCGUUCCUUACGCGGUCGGGUGAUUUACGGGACCCCCUUGACAGUUCGCUUUGAAUAAAACUCCUCCAGCAAGGCCCAACAUUGGUUUUACCAUUUGCCUCAGUACCACCUACUUUUCCCUUGGGAGUCGCCCUCUCGAGGGUCAUCUUUAUUUUAGCCCCCCCGGGCCAAUACUUGUUUAAGUGUUGGUCCAAACCGAGCGAUAUCCGGCGCCCCCUGGGCAACCAGGGUCUAUGCCAACCCGACGUCUGGCUCAUCUGGUGUGCCCUGAGAACGAGAUAUGUGCAGCUCCUAUGGGGAUUUGUCGGCACAGCGGGAGGCUUUGCUGGUCUUGUUUUACGAUUGUCGAAAUGUCUUGUAAACCGAGAUUUCGAGUCUGAUCGGGUCUUCCUAGGAGAAGGUAUAUCCUUCGUUGAUCGCGAGAGCUUAUCAUGGGCUAAGUUGGGACACCCCUGCAGGGUAUAAUCUUUCGAAAGCCGUGCCUGCGGUUAUAGGCAGAUGGGAAUUUGUUAAUGUCCAGUUGUAGAUAACUUAACACCAGAUACGAACUAAAACGCAUCAACCGUGUGUGUAGCCGUGAUGGUCUCUUUUCGGCGGAGUCCGGAAAGUGAACACGGUCUUUGGGUUAUGUUUGACGUAAGUAGGAGUUCAGGAUCACUUCCUUAUCAUUGCUAGCUUCACGACCGUUCUGUUUGCUCUCUUCUCGCUCUUGUUUGCGUAUGUUAGCCACCAUAUAUGCUUAGUCGCUGCUGCAGCCUCACCACUUUACCCCUUCCUUUCCCUUUAAGCUUUGCUAGUCUUGAUACCCAUGGUAUGGGAUUGCUGAGUCCUCGUGGCUCACAGAUUACUACAACAACAGUUGCAGGUACAGGUUAUGUGAUGAUCAUGACGCGAGAGCGAUGUUUGCUUGUCUUGGAGUUCUUCUUCUGCUUCUUCUUCAAUCAGGGAUAGGUUCCAGGUCGGCAGCCUGGGCUAGCAGGGUGGAUGUCGUUUGAGUUUCUGUUUGUGUUUCAUCCGUAGUUGGAUGAUGCUCUUAUGUAUUGUGAUGUUGUAUUCAUGUGGCAUUGUAUGCCUCUUGUAUGUAUCCCCAUCUAUUAUGUAAUGUUGAUGUAAUGAUAUCCACCUUGCAAAAGCGUUUCAAUAUGCGGGUCUAUCCUUGGUGGGACCUUCGAGUUCCUUUUGGAUAGGGUCGCAUAUUGGGCGUGACAAAAGAGUAACCACUUGAGAAGAAUUUAAGUUGACUCUGCAAAGGUCUCGUCUUGUGUCCCAGAAGUUGAGGCCUUAUGGAAAGGAUAUGAAGAAACCUUGUGCAUACAAGCUUUGUGGAGAAAUAGGACACAACCAUAAAUAAAACAAGGACGAAUCCCUCAUAAGCUGGGGAUUACCAAAGGAAGUUAGCCGAGGAUCUCAGGGAACUUCGGUUGGAGAUUGUUCGCGAAGGUUUUGUUGCAGCAAUGGAAGUUCAGUCUACAUUGUUGGGAAAGAUUCGUGAAGCUCAGAAUGUAUGACAAAGAGAUUGCUGAGAUAAAAGAGAGGAUGAGCAAAGUAAAGGCCAAAGGUUUUCGUAAGGAUGAGCACGACAUCUUAUGGUUCGAGGAUCGUGUAUAUGUUCCCAAAAAUGCAAAGAUGAGGAAGUAAAACUUCAGGAGGCUCAUGACUCACCAUACUCGAUUCGCCCCGGAAACACCAAGAUGUAUUUGGAUUUGAAGGAGUGUUUCUGGUGGACUGGUAUGAAGAAGGAUAUUGCGGAGUAUGUAGUCGUAGGUGAUGUAUGCCAGAGAGAGUAAAAGCAGAGCAUCAGAAGCCAGCAGGAUUAAUACAGCCUAUGCCGAUACCUGAAUCGAAGUGGGAUAAACUUGGCAUGGAUUUCAUUACCGGAUUUCCUAGAACCCGAACGGGAUAUGAUUCUAUCUGGGUAGUUGUUGAUUCGCUUGACCAAAGUGGCUCACUUUAUCCCAGUGAAAACCACCUAUACAAGUGCGAGGUUGGCCAAGAUAUAUUUGACCAGGAUCGUAUGUCUGCAUGGAUUUUCGAGGACCAUCAUAUCAGAUAGAGGAACACAGUUUACCUCAAAGUUUUGGAAUCAGCUGCACCAGACUUUGGGUACUAGGCUAGAGUUCAGUACAACCUUUCAUCCGCAGACAAAUGGAUAGACCAAAAAAGUCAAUCAGAUUCUGGAAGACAUGUUGAGAGCGUGUGCGCUAGAUUAUGGAUCUAGUGGGGAUGAUAAUCUACCUUACGCGGAGUUCUCAUACAACAACAGUUACCAAGCCAGUUUGAAGAUGGCCCCUUUUAAAGCUUUGUAUGGGAGAAGGAGCCAGACACCAUUGAUGUGGGAUGAAGUUGGAGACCGUAAGUUGUUUGGAUCAAAUGUAAUCAAGGAUUCAGAAGAGAAUGUUAAAGUUGCUUCGAGAUAGACUGAAGGUAGCUCAGUCCUGGCAGAAGAGUUAUGCAGACUCAAAAACGCAAGGAGGUAGUCUAUGAAAUUGGAGAUAGAGCAUGUCUUCAUGUGUCCCCUCUGCGAGGAGUUAAACGAUCUGGAGUUAAGGGGAAGUUAGCCCCGAGAUUUGUAGGACCAUACCGAGUUUGGAGCGUAUGGGAGAAGUGGCCAACAAGUUGGAGUCACCCGAAGGACUGUCAGGAGUUCAUGAUGUAUUUCACGUUUCCCAGAUUGAAGAAGUGCUAUGCAGAGAUGGCCAAUAUUUCCCUGUAAGGACGCUUGACCCUGGAAAGGAUAAUGAUGUUCCACAAAGUGGAGUAUGGACUUCAUAAGUAUAAGUUUUUAUCUCGAUAUGUGGGAUAUCUGUUGGAGAUAUGCCCUAGAGGCAAUCAUGUAUGACGAUAUUUCCUAUGUGUUUAUGAAUAAAGAUAGUCCUUGGACAUUAUCAAUGAUGUGUAUCAGCAAGUACGUGACUUGUUUGUGGGACUAUGCAUUGUAUGUGACUGUCCUAAAAGGUCCCUAGUCGAAAGGGCUGUGUGGAUGCGCAGCCGACUAGACUAGCAUAUGACACGGUCGAUGGCUUGGUCUCACUAGCCAUGGAGCAUUGGAUGCUAACCAGAUAAUAUGGAGUUGGAAAGGUCUGGUCGAAUUCGACGUAGUGCGAUCUGAGUCGAGAUAAGGUCUGAGUCGGACAGAUCCAACUAUGAGACGUAGCGAUAUGUCAUUUGUGAGUCUCUAGUACAACAUACGUUCUAUGUCCUAAGACCUGAGCUGAUGCAUGUACUCGGGAUGGUGACAUACUUGCUUUAGCCGACCAAACGCUACUCCGUGACUGGGUAGUUACAAAGGUAGGUUUCGGGCUUGUCUAGACCCAUGCUGCGAGACGUGGUCGAGCAAGAUGGGAUUUGCCCCUCCGAUAAGGAGAGAUAUACUCUGGGCCCCUCUUGUGAUCCGACCAGGAUAAGCAUGGCCAUGCGACAAGGAUUAUGAGAUAAUCCGGAUUGUGGUCGGCAUCACUGGAACGAGAAAGAGGUCAGGCUAGCACAAGGAUGAUUGUCUCGCCUUGAGCCCGACAACAUAUAUCGUGUGGCAAAGGGAACAGAAGUGUGACACGUUGUACAGGUUCGCCUAACCAGCUUCAUAGUCUGCUUGGUGGUCGGCACGCCUUGCUAGAGGCCGCUACCAACCCUGUAGGUCGGAGGUGAUCCGAACUGUGACCAAGCCGACUUGAACCUAAGGGGUCGCGCACUUAAGGGAAGGAACCUACGAGGUCGGUUCAUAGGACACUGGUCGGAUGUGAUCCGAACUGGACUAGGGCUUUAGGGUCCGUGCGAGGCCCAAGUGUUGUGCCUGCGACGGACGCCUAUAGAAAGUGGAGGUAUGGCACACUCAUGUGGUUGAUCGCUUCGGCGCUGCGAUUAGGGUUUGCGUGUGUUGCGAAUAGCCACCUCCACUCACUGCCGACUGUGUGAUCGGACCUGGCAGUCCGCCGCAUGGUGUUCCUCCUGCAUGCAUGGAUACCGUUAGAGGCGGUGCACUUGCACCGCUCCGGCGAACUUGUACGUGGGAUCGGACAACCAGCUGUUCGAGGGAGAUCGGACGAGGAGGAGACCAUCCACGCGGACACGCUGCCCCAACUCUUCUUCCGCUGCACGGCACUGCGCGUCUAGUGGUAACGAACUGUGAUCCAUCUCCCGUAGCAUGUUCCUGGAUGUUCUGCGCAUAGGAAAAUUUUAUUUUGCAGUCGACACACCCUACCAUAGAACCCAACAGUGGUAUCAGAGCCUCUGCUAUAGGAUUUGGAUUCAGAUCGUAUGCAUAUUAGAUAUGUGGAGGCGGCAGAUGAGAUCUGUUGUCCUUGAAGAGAUCAGCUAUGUGCACGGUUGAUGUGAUCAAGUGCACAUGGGGUUCAUUGAGGCUACAUUUUCUGUAAAUCGGGAUCGAUGAGGUCGUGACAUGAUCUACCCCAACCGGUCAGUCAUCCGCCAUUGGGGUUAACAGUGAAACGUAAAUCCGAAUCGGAUUCACGAUGAUCGAUUAAAUCGGUCAGAUCAGAGAAUUUGGCGUGAUCGGAGUUCAGAUGUGAUCUGUGAUUUCCGAAUCGGGACUGCCGUGUGCGUAGCGCCGUGUAUUUCGUACCCGACACACAAACCAGUAGAAUGUGAUUCUAUGCAUAACUUUUGUUUUGCAGGUUUGAUGUGAAUAGUAUGGCUCAUGUGUAUGUGAUGUAUGUGUGUAAUUUAUACGUGGCAUGCGUGUCAUGUUUGUCAGCCGGCAGGAGCCAAAGUGCUGUCAUUAUAUUGUAUAAUGACAUGCAUGUCGACUUGUGACUCUAUGUAAAAUUCAUUACUAGUUGUAGUAGUUGGAUAAUAGAUAUCAUGUUAGUGGCUUGGCGUCCCGGCGUGACAAACAAGAUGGAGUUCAUAGAUGGUCAUCGGAGUUGGAGCCAACCUGGAAGAAUGUCCAUGAAGGAGCCAUACUAUUUCACAAUAUAUGUUCAUUUGUGAUUGUUAUGCUUCUUUGUUUCUAUGCUUGUUAGAAUGGUAGAAAGAUCCCUCAUGAAUAUCAAGCGAAUUGCCAUCCCCGAUGUUGCACCUUCGCACAUCAAGUACGUCUAGUAGUGGGCUCAUAAAAUUGGGGUGCUGCUGGAUGUCCUUGAACUGAAGGGUUCGUGUCGGACACAGACAUGCACUGCAUCAGGUUAACUUACAAGGCUAUCAAAACGGUUUUGGGCCUUGUGGCAAAGAAGGUUGGGAGCCGGGGUAUAAGAUACCUUUCCCGACCGACAGGAGUCAUAUAGAGAUACGACUAGCAAGGAGUUGCUUACCGGAUAGGUAUGUUGGCUAGCAGUGAUACUAAAGCUCACUAGUCGCAUGCGCUAGUCGGAUCCUGAAUCACUGAGAGUUUGCGGAGGGAUUAUGACUUCAGUGGGAGUAUUUCUGUUUAGGCUAGAACUACUCUACAUAAACACAUUGCUCAGUGAUUGCAUAUUUUCUGUUGUAGAUCAAUGACACCACCUGCUCAACCCAACUUUGCAUUGAAAUCAAUUCUGGAAAAGGAUAAACUGAAUGGAACAAACUUUACCACCUGGUAUAGAAAUCUGAGAAUUGUUCUCAAGCAUGAUAAAAAGGAACAUGUUCUAGAGGAUACACUUCCAAAGGAACCUAUCGAUAAUCCUAAUGCCACAACUAAGAAUGCCUGCCAAAAACUCGUUGAUGAAUCAACAUAGAUCAGUUGUCUGAUGCUGGCUUGUAUGGAGCCCGAUUUGCAACAGCAUUUCGAAAAUGUUGAGGCUUACGAUAUGAUCGAGAGUCUCAAGAGCAUGUUUCAGACACAGGCUAGGACCGAAAGGUUCAACGUCUGGUGAUCCUUGAUGGAUUGCAAGCUGAAGGAAGGUGAUCCACUGAGCCCACAUGUGAUCAAGAUGAUCGGAUAUGUGCAAGCUUUGGAUUGUUUGGGCUUCCAGCUCUUGGAUGAGCUGGCUACAGAUGCAGUUCUGGGUUCUCUUCCGCCCAGCUAUGGGACGUUCAUCUCGAACUAUCAUAUGCAUGGCAUGGAUAAGAAGCUCACUGAAUUGCAUGGGAUGCUCAAGGUGGCAGAGCAGGAUAUUAAGAAAGGCACGCAUCAAGUGUUGAUGGUGCAGAAAUCGGCUAAGUUCAAGAAGAGUUGGUCCAAUAAAAAGGCUAAGGCAAAGGGCACGGAGACGGUAACCUUUGCCGUUGCGCCGAAGUCUGGACCGGACUCGAAGACCGUUUGCUUACUGUAAGGAGACCGGUCACUUGAAGAGGAACUAUAGCAAGUGGCUUGCAGAGCAUGGCAAGAAGGCCGGAAAUGCUUCUUCAGGCAAAGGUACUGAGGGAGUCCUGGAUUAGGGGGUGUCCGGAUGGCCGGACUAUGACCUUCGGCCGGACUCCCGGACUAUGAAGAUACAAGAUUGAAGACUCUGUCCCGUGUCCGGAUGGGACUUUCCUUGGCGUGGAAGGCAAGCUUGGCGAUACGAUAUGAAGAUCUCCUCCCAUUGUAACCGACUUUGUGUAAUCCUAGCCCUCUCCGGUGUCUAUAUAAACCAGAGAGUUUUAGUCCGUAGGACUCAUACCAUAGGCUAGCUUCUAGGGUUUAGCCUCUCUGAUCUUGUGGUAGAUCCACUCUUGUACUACCCAUAUCAUCAAUAUUAAUCAAGCAUGAGUAGGGUUUUACCUCCAUCGAGAGGGCCCGAACCUGGGUAAAAACAUCGUGUCCCUUGUCUCCUGUUACCAUCCGCCUAGAUGCACAGUCUGGGACCCCCUACCCGAGAUCCGCCGGUUUUGACACCGACAUUGGUGCUUUCAUUGAGAGUUCCUCUGUGUCGUCGCCUUUAGGCCCGAUGGCUUCUUCGAUCGUCAAUCACGACGCGGUCCAGGGUGAGACCUUUCUCCCCGGACAGAUCUUCGUAUUCGGCGGCUUCGCACUACGGGCCAACUCAUUUGGCCAUCUGGAGUAGAUCGAAAGCUACGCCCCUGGCCAUCAGGUUAGGUUUGGAAGUUUAAAUUACACGGCCGACAUCCGCAGGGACUUGAUCUUCGACGAAUUCGAGCCAUGGCCGAGCACGCCGUACUGUCACGAUGGGCAUGAUUUAGCUCUGCUGCCGGACAAUGCCCAGAGCGUCGCUCAGGUGUCCGCUCCGACCAUUAGCUCAGAGCCUACUGCGCUAGUCGGGGAUGGACGGUUGGACGCCACCCCGGGAGCCGCAAUCUCAACGGCGAUAGAGCCAAAUACCAGCCUAGUCCUUUGCAGGGCCCGUGACUCUAAGGUGCCGGACUCCGUUCCGGACUCCGUAUAUCACGCACCUCUUCCGAUCGAACCCGAUUGGGCUCCGAUCAUGGACUUCACCGCCACGGACGUCUUUCAGCACUCGCCCUAUGGCGAUAUCCUGAAUUCACUAAAGUCUCUCUCUUUGUCAGGAGAGCCCUGGCCGAACUACAGUCAGCAUGGUUGGGAUACGGAUGACGACGAAAUUUGAGGCCCACCCACCACCCACUUCGUAGCCACUGUCGACGAUUUAACUGACUUGCUCGACUUUGACUCCGAAGACAUAGACGGUAUGGACGCCGAUGAAGGAGACGACCAAGAACCAGCACCUAUAGGGAACUAGAAAGCCACCUCGUCAUAUGACAUAUACAUGGUGGACACCCCCAAAGCAAGGGAUGGCAUGGAGAAAACGGAGGAUGACCCCUCCAACAAGCAACCCAAGCGUCGACGUCAGCGGCGCCGCUCUAAGUCCCGCCAAAGCAAAAAUGGCGAUUCCGGCACCGGAGAUAACAACACGCCGGACGGUGCCGAAGACAACCCCCUCCAGCAGGAUUCAGUGCAGGAGGACGAAGGAGCCAGCCCUCAUGAGAGAGCGGCCGACAGAGAGGUUGAGGAUGACAACUAUAUGCCUCCCUCCGAAGACGAGGCAAGCCUCGACGACGACGAAUUCGUCGUGCCAGAGGAUCCCGUCGAACAAGAGCAUUUCAAAAGCAGGCUUAUGGCCACCGCAAGCAGCCUCAAGAAAAAACAGCAGCAACUUAGAGUUGACCAAGACUUGCUAGCCGACAGAUGGACCGAAGUCCUGGCGGCCGAAGAGUAUAAACUCGAACGCCCCUCCAAGAGCUACCCAAAGAGCAGGCUGCUACCCCAACUUGAGGAGGAAGCAACUAAACCUACAUCUCCAGCGUACGAUGCGCCCGAUCGGCCACCCCGUGGCCGCGAUAGAGAGGCCUUCAGGCCCUCGACCCAAGCCGCACCCCGUCACCGCUCAAAACAUACCAGAGUACGGGGAGACGCAACAGACCUGCGAGACAUAUUGGAGAAUAAGGCAAGGCAAACAAGAUCGAUCUACGGAUCGCAUGGGCACCCCGCUUCACGUGACGCUAGCCGUCCCGUCGGACAUGAUAAGUACGGCCAGGCCGAAUACAAGAGACCAAGCUCAUCCGAGGUGCGUCGUGAUAUAGCCCAGUACAGGGGCGCCGCACACCCACUAUGCUUCAUAGACGAAGUAAUGGAUCAUCAAAUCCCCGAGGGCUUUAAACCCGUAAACAUCGAAUCAUACGAUGGCACAACAGAUCCUGUGGUAUGGAUCGAGGAUUAUCUCCUUCAUAUCCACAUGGCCCGUGGUGAUGAUCUACACGCCAUCAAAUACCUCCCACUCAAGCUUAAAGGACCAGCUCGACAUUGGCUUAACAGCCUGCCAGCAGAGUCAAUUAGUUGUUGGGAGGACCUGGAAUCCGCAUUCCUUGACAACUUCCAGGGCACUUAUGUGCGACCACCAGACACCGAUGACCUAAGCCACAUAAUCCAGCAGCCAGAGGAAUCGGCCAGACAAUUUUGGACACGGUUCCUAACCAAGAAAAAUCAAAUAGUCGACUGUCCGGACGCCGAGGCCCUUGCAGCCUUCAGGCACAACAUCCGAGACGAAUGGCUUGCCCGGCACCUAGGACAGGAAAAGCCGAAAUCUAUGGAAGCCCUCACGACAUUCAUGACCCGCUUUUGUGCGGGAGAAGACAGCUGGCUAGCUCGUAGCAAUAACAUAACCAAGAGCCUUGGCAAUUCGGAUACCAAGGACAAGAACGGCAGGUCACGUCGCACCAAGCAUAAGCACCGCAUUAAUGGCGACAAUACUGAAGAUACGGCAGUCAAUGCCGGAUUCAGAGGCUCUAAACCCGGUCAGCGGAAGAAGCCAUUCAAAAGAAACCCUCCGGGCCCAUCCAGCUUAGACUGGAUACUCGAUCGCUCAUGCCAGAUACACGGCACCCCCGAACAGCCAGCCAACCACACCAACAGGGAUUGUUGGGUGUUCAAGCAGGCAGGCAAGUUAAGUGCUGAAAACAGAGACAAGGGGCUGCAUAGCGAUGACGAGGAGGAGCCCCGGCCGCCGAACAACAGAGGACAGAAGGGAUUCCCCCCGCAACUUCAGACGGUGAACAUGAUAUACGCAACCCACAUCCCCAAAAGGGAGCGGAAGCGUGCUCUCAAGGACGUCUAUGCGUUGGAGCCAGUCGCCCCAAAGUUCAACCCGUGGUCCUCCGGCCCGAUCACUUUUGAUUGAAGGGACCACCCCACUAGCAUCCGUCAUGGUGGAUUCGCCGCAUUGGUCCUAGACCCAAUUAUCGAUGGAUUGCACCUCACCAGAGUCCUAAUGGAUGGCCGCAGCAGCCUGAACCUGCUUUAUCAGGAUACAGUGCAAAAAAUGGGCAUCGAUCCCUCAAGGAUUAAACCCACAAAGACAACCUUCAAAGGCGUCAUACCAGGUGUAGAAGCCAGCUAUACAGGCUUGGUUACACUCGAAGUGGUCUUCGGAUCCCCGGAUAAUUUCCAAAGUGAAGAGUUAAUCUUCGACAUAGUCCCAUUCCGCAGUGGCUAUCACGCCCUGCUUGGAUGAACCGCAUUCGCAAAAUUCAACGCGGUGCCGCACUACGCAUAUCUCCAGCUCAAGAUGCCAGGACCUCGCGGAGUCAUCACGGUAAAUGGAAACACCGAAUGCUCUCUCCGAACGGAGGAGCACACGGCGGCCGUGGCGGCGGAAGUACAGAGUAGCCUCUCAAGGCAAUUCUCCAAUCCAGGUGUCAAACGUCCGGACAACGUCAAGAAAGCCCGAAGUAACCUACAAAAAAUCAGGCUGGCACGUUCCGAGCAAGCAUAGCAGUGCGGCCCCAACCCCAGCCCUCGCCAAAUGGUGAUAUCGGUACCACGCGUACAUAAUUACGCCUUAGAGAUACCAUGGGCAUAAGGGGAGGGGCACAACUACGGCACGCCCAGAAUGCGGCUCAACCGCACUAAGGGGCUCCCUAUUCCGUUGUUUCCUUUUUACACACUUUCAGGACCCAACUAUUCGGAAGGCCUGUCCGGCAAUACAUUCGCCGAACACACGAUGCAACAGCCAGGGAGAGAACAAGCCGCGUCAAAUGUCCAGGUGGUCUCUAUAACGAGCUUAAUACCUGUUUUACUUAAAAUCCUGCAGCUUGCCCCUGGAGGGGAACAUGUCAAAUAAUCCCAUCUCUUUCUUAUCGCACUACUUGUAUCGUUCUGCUUUCGCAGCAGCCCUUUUUUAAUAAACAAUACAUAGCUCUUAUCUAUUAUUGUACUCAUCUAUUUUCUAUAUACACAAAUAUGUUCAGUCAUGACAUUCUGCAACCGUACACUUUGGUACGGCCAAUACACCAGGGGCUUAAACACCCCAUAACAUGGUGUGAGAAGACUGAACACUCUCAUGAGUGCGGCACCCCGAACUUAUAGCACUAUAUGCAUCGGCUCCGAAUCAUGUCUUUGGUCAAUAGUUGGGUUUGCCCGGCUCCCAUGUUUUGGUACCUUACGUUCUGCAAUGUUGGCUAAGGUAGCGUUGGGAGAACUACUGCGAUUGUGCCCCAGUUGAGCUGGGUUAACACCUCAGUAGAGAAAGCUAAAACUGACCGUCAUGAUAGUGCAAGAGACCGGUCGCUGUUCGCGAGGUUUUUCGAGUCCUUAAAGACUUAUGCCGCUUAGAGCGAGGAACCGGACUUAUCCUCCCUAGGCGUGGAUAGCGCCCCGAACUCGGUCUUCUGAAUACUAGGGGCUUUGCCAAAAUUUAAAAUUAUAGAAUUUAUGGCUAAGUGAGAGUGAUAAAGCAUUAUAAGUCCGACGGCCUGGUUCGUUGUGCUGAGCACCUCCCUAGAUGGACCCAAGAAUGGGAACAAGAACACUCAGGUUUAUCCUAAACACGCCAGCACUCGUGGCAUGGGGGUCGAAGCCGACGACUUGCAUCUCUCGGAUUUGAUAAACGGCCGCACAGAAGGUAAUAUUUUAAAUUAACAAGCGUUGCUUAACACACAUGAACAAAGUUUUCAGUGUACAGGAUAACAAAUGUGAGUCUACUGAAAAAUUACAUCUUUGGAGCACUCAUCCGCUAUACGGCGGGAACCCUUCAGGAUGCCUUUAUAAUACAUCUCGGGCGUGUGAUACUCCUUGCCCGUCGGUGGCGCGUCUGUCAAAAGCUUCUCCGCGUCCAGCUUGCCCCAGUGCACUUCAGCACGGGCAAGGGCCCGACAGGCACCUUCAAUGCAGACGGAGCGCUUGAUGACCUCAAUCCACGGACAAGCGUCCACCCGCCGCCACACCAAACCGAAGUAGCUCCCAGGCAUGGCUUCCCUAGGCCAUAGUCGAACUAUGAGGCCCUUCAUGGCCUGUUCGGCCACCUUGUGGAGCUCGACCAGCUGCUUCAGCUGGUCGCUCAGGGGCACCGGAUGCUCGGCCUCAGCAUACUAAGACCAGAACACCUUUUCCGUCGAGCUCCCCUCCUCGGCUCGGUAGAACGCGGCAGCAUCAGACACACUACAGGGCAGAUUGGUGAACGCUCCUGGAGAGCUCCGGAUUCGGGUAAGUAAUAGAUAAUUUACUUUUACAUGCUUGCUUUGCAUAAAGAAUGCCUUACCCGCCGCUAUUUUCUUUAUCGCCUCGAUCUCCUGGAGGGCCUUCUGGGCUUCAGCCUUAGCGUUUUUGGCACACUCAAGAGCCAAGGCGAGCUCGGACUCUCGAGUCUUCGAGUCACGCUCCAAACUCUCGUGUUUUUCCACGAGAGCCUGGAGCUCUUGUCGCACCUCCGCCACCCGCGCCUCCUGCUUCUCUCGCUCGGUGCGCUCCAAGGCCGCACUGUUCUCGGCCUUGGACACUGCCUCCUUCAGGGUCGCCACCUCGGUCGUGGCCCCUGCAACAUUUAUAUUGGUCCUGUCAUUAUUUGCAACCAAGUAUUUCUAUAUACAUUUACAUGCGGUACUACGUACCCUCUUUAUCCUCGAGUUGCUUCUUGGCACGGCCGAGCUCGCUCUCGGACCGCUCGAGGCUUUCCUUCAAUGCAUUGACCUCCGCAGUCAGUGCGGCAGAGGUCAGCAGCGCAGCCUGCAUUCCCAUAUUGACAUAUUUUUAUUAGACUCCUGAGUAUAUCUUUUUAGAUCCUCAGCUCGGCUUUUCUUUCCGAACGCCGAACUGAGCAUCAGGGGCUACUGUCUAUGCGGUAAAAAAAAUAUAUGUUUUUGAACACAUACCUCAAAGCCUGUUAACAGGCUUGUACAGGCUUCUGUCAGCCCGCUCUUGGCGGACUGAACCUUCUGAAUCACCGCACUCAUAACAGCGUGGUGUUCCUCGUCGAUGGAGACGCCGUUAAGCACCUCCAGCAAAUUGUCCGGCGCCUCUGGAUGGACGGAGGUCGCCAGCGUUGUAGGCUUGCCAUUCUUAUGAAGGCGCCGCCUGUCGGACUCUGGAACCAUUAAUGGUUCCGGAGCAGUGUCCGGCCCGGGGCCAGACUUGGAUCCCUCCAGGGCUUUACCCCCUUUGGGCCUGGGGUCCGGGAGGUCGCCUUGCGGCGCCUCCAAGACCACCUCCUCCUAGUUUAGUCCCUUUCAGGACUCCACCUCAGCAUUGUCCGUAGGGAGAGGGGAGGAGGCCGUCGAGAGUGAAACGCUAUUCACAUCCGACAAAUCCAAGGAGCCGCUCGUCGAAUCGUCGAGCUGAGCCUUGGGCGGACUGCAUGAUCAAAUACGGCGUGAGCAAAUGCCAAAUAAUGGAGGGGCAUCAUAAGUUAUUCGGAUGACCGGAUGCUUACGAUUUUGCCAGGGGCUUGACCCUGGAUGGCCAUUCCUCCCCGCCGUCUUCGGCGUUGGAGGUGUAGUCCGGAAGGAGGGUUCUCCCCUUCUUGGACCCUCCGGCCUCCCCAGUCGGGGCGGCUUUCCUUUUCUUCCCUUCCCCCAUUGGAGGGGGAGAGGCUUCUUCUUCCUCCUCCUCCUCGUCCUCAGAGGCGGAGGGUGCUUCGGGGUUGUUAGGCGAUGAAUCCGACACCACCAGGCGCCGGGAACUCUUUCGAGUCCCCGUGGCCUUCUUCUUGGCCUUCUUCUCUGGCACCACAUGAGGUGCCGGAACCAGCAGCUUCGUCAAGCGAGCGUCUGCUGGGUCUUCGGGCAAGGGAGCCGAACAGUUGAUUUGUCCGGCCUUUUUCUGCUAGUCCUGUUAAAAAGAUGGGGGUUUAGUUCCCGCAUAGAAUCAAAUCUAUGAAAAACAAAUACCCCGUAAAGGGAAAAAUAAGCUCACCACGCUGGCUUGGCGCUCGGUGCAGAAACCGCGAUCCUCGGUGACGGGAGGAGAGACCUCGGAGCUCUUGAAUAGCACCUUCCAGGCGUCCCCAUGCUUUGUGUCGAAGAGCCGGGACAGAGUCUGAUGCUGGGCUGGGUCGAACUCCCACAAGCUGAGAGCUCGUCGUUGACACGGGAGAAUCCGGCGGAAGAGCAUGACCUGGACUAUGUUAACGAGUUUAACCUUCCUACCGAUCAGGUCUUUGAUGCAGGUUUGAAGUCCGGUCACUUCCGCCGAACUACCCCACGACAGGCCCGUCUCUUUCCAAGAUGUGAGCCGUGUGGGUAUACCAGAUCGGAAUUUGGGGGCUGCUGCCCAUUCAGGUUCACGCGGCUCGGUGAUAUAGAACCACCCUGAUUGCCACCCUUUGAUGGUCUCUACGAAGGCGCCCUCGAGCCAUGUAACGUUGGCUAUCUUGCCCACCAUGGCACCUCCGCACUCCACUUGGUGGCCGCCCACGACCUUCGGCUUGACGCUGAAGAUCUUCAGCCAUAGGCCAAAGUGAGGCUAGAUGCGGAGGAAGGCCUCGCACACGACGAUAAACGCCGAUAUGUUGAAAAUGAAGUUCGGGGCCAGAUCGUGGAAGUCUAGGCCGUAGUAGAACAUGAGCCCCCGGACAAACGGGUGAAGAGGAAAACCCAGUCCGCGGAGGAAAUGGGGGAUAAAUACAACCCUCUCAUGGGGCCUAGGGGUGGGGAUGAGUUGCCCCUCAUCUGGAAGUCGGUGCGCGAUGUCGUCAGACAAGUAUCCGGCCUUCCUCAGCUUUUUGAUUUGCCCCUCCAUGACGGAGGAAGCCAUCCAUCUACCUCCCGCUCCGGACAUGAUUGGAGAAGGUUGAGGUGGGAAGUGCGGGCUUGGGCAUUGGAGCUCGAGCGCGCAGGGGCGAAUAAGCAAAGGAGGAAGAAGGCGUGAAUGGAAAGGGCGGAUUCUUAUCCCCUUAUAUGGGCGGCCGAAACUACGAGCCCCCACCAGCCUAAUAAAACUCGCUUAUCUCCCAAGUGCUGCGGUUAAUGGCGCGGUUGGGUUACCCAUGCCCGUAUUGAUGAGAAUCCCGGAAUAAGGGGACACGAUCUCCGCUUUGACAAGACGUGCCAAGGAAACUACCUCGCUAAACGCGCUAAGGUGGAGCGGUAUAAUGAAUAAAAGCCUGGCUGUGGCGUGAUGUCAUGUUGCGUAAUACGUCAGUAGAUCUGAUUGGUGCAAAUAUUAUUCUCUCUACGGUGGAAUGUGGAACUUAUUUUGCAGAGCCGAACACUAUCCUGGUGUUCAACAUCUUCUAUGAAGUAUUCGGAGGAGGAACCCGCCUUGCAAUGCCGAAGACAACUUGCGUGCCGGACUCGUCGUCAUUGAAGCCUGGUUCAGGGGCUACUGAGGGAGUCCUGGAUUAGGGGAUGUCCGGAUGGCCAGACUAUGACCUUCGGCUGAACUCCCGGACUAUGAAGAUACAAGAUUGAAGACUCUGUCCCGUGUCCGGAUGGGACUUUCCUUGGCAUGGAAGGCAAGCUUGGCGAUAUGAUAUGAAGAUCUCCUCCCAUUGUAACCGACUCUGUGUAACCCUAGCCCUCUCCGGUGUCUAUAUAAACCAGAGAGUUUUAGUCCGUAGGACGAACAACAAUCAUACCAUAGGCUAGCUUCUAGGGUUUAGCCUCUCUGAUCUCGUGGUAGGUCCACUCUUGUACUACCCAUAUCAUCAAUAUUAAUCAAGCAGGAGUAGUGUUUUACCUCCAUCGAGAGGGCCCAAACCUGGGUAAAAACAUCGUGUCCCUUGUCUCCUGUUACCAUCCACCUAGACGCACAGUCCGGGACCCCCUACCCGAGAUCCGCCGGUUUUAACACCAACAGGUACACUUGUUGCAUAUGUUAUAGACAUUUACCUUGCUGACAUACCUAGUAGCUCUUGGGUAUUUGAUACCGGAUCGGUUGUUCAUAUUUGCAACUGGAUGCAGGGGCUGGUAAGAACUAGGCGUGUCGCACAAGGGGAGAUUGACAUCAGGGUCGGCAACAAAGCAAGAGUUGCUGCGUUGGAGGUCGGCAUGAUGCAGCUCCAGCUUCCUUCCGGAUUCAUAAUGGAAUUAAAUAAUUGUUAUUACAUUCCUGCACUUAGUCGGGACAUUAUUUCUACCUCAUGUUUGAUGAGUCAAGGUUAUGAAUUCAAUUUAAAGGAAAAUGGUUGUUCGAUAUUUUUGAAUGGUAUGUUCCACGGCUAUGCACCCAUUGUUGAUGGGCUAUUUAUAUUGAAUCUAGAACAGGAACUGUUCUAUAACGUGAAUGUCAAGAGGCAUAAGCCUAAUGAGAUAAAUCCGACAUACUUCUGGCAUUGCCGGCUUGGACACAUUAGUCUGAAAUGCAUGACGAAGCUCCAUGAUGAUGGGUUCCUAACUUCGUCCAACUUCGGGUCGUUCGAGACAUGUGAAUCAUGCUUGCUCGGCAAGGUGACUAAGUCUCCUUUCACAAAGAGUUGCAAGAGGGCGUCUGAUCUAUUGGAACUCAUACAUAGUGAUGUGUGUGGUCCAAUGAGCACAACUGCCAGAGGUGGCUAUCAGUACUUCGUGACUUUUACCGACGACUUGAGUAGAUAUGGAUAUAUCUAUUUAAUGAGGCACAAGUCGAAGACUUUUGAAAAGUUCAAAGAGUUUCAGAACGAGGUUGAGAAUCAGCUCGGCAAGACUAUAAAGCUUCUGCGAUCUGAUAGUGGAGGUGAGUACAUGAGCCAGGAGUUUGAUGAUCAUCUGAAAAGUCGAGGUAUAUUACCUCACCUCACACCUCCGGGUACGCCAUAGAGAAAUGGCAUGUCGGAAUGGAGGAAUAGGACCUUGUUGGACAUGGUCCGGGCUAUGAUAAGCAAAUCGGAUUUUCCCUUGUCAUUCUGGGGAUACGCUCUAGAAACCGCAACUUUCAGACUUAAUAGGGUACCAUCAAAAUCCAUAGACAAGACACCACAUGAGAUGUGGACCGGGAAUAGUCCCAGUUUGUCUUUUCUAAAGAUUUGGGGUUGUGAAGCAUUUGUCAAGUGACUUAUGUCAGACAAGCUUACACCUAAAUUAGAUAAAUUCAUAUUCGUGGGAUAUCCGAGGGAAACCUUGGGAUAUAGCUUCUACAACCGGGAAGAGAACAAAGUGUUUAUUGCUCGGAACGGGGUUUUCCUUCAGAAAGAGUUUCUUAGUCGGGAGGCCAGUGGGAGGACAGUUCAACUCAAAGAAAUUCGAGGACCACUCGGGGACGGCUCGGCUGGUGAUGAGAUCAUACCGGAGUCAGUCAGGGAACCUGUAGUGGAAGCGGCACCGGAACCACAGAGGUCAGAAAGAUUGCGCAGAGUGUGUGAUGUAUUGGUGCUAGAAAGCGACGAGCCGACCACGUAUGCGUAAGUGAUGGUGAGCCCAGAUUCCGAGGCAUGGAUACAGGCCAUGAGAUCCGAGUUAAAGUCCAUGGAUGAGAAUCAAGUCUGGGACUUGGUUGAUCCGCCGCCUGGCGUAGCGGCCAUUGGUUGCAAAUGGGUCUUUAAGAAGAAAACCGAUGUGGAUGGAAAUGUUCAGAUCCACAAAGCCCGGCUUGUCGCUAAGGGUUAUGGACAAGUUCAAGGAAUUGACUACGACGAGACUUACUCGCCAGUAGCGAUGCUAAAAUCGGUGAGGAUCAUACUAGCUAUAGUUGCAUAUUUCGAUUACGAGAUAUGGCAGAUGGAUGUAAAAAUGGCUUUCCUACAUGGAAAUUUAACCAAGGACGUGUAUAUGAUACAACCCGAGGGUUUUGUCAAUCCGACUAGCACUAGUAAGGUAUGCAAGCUCAAGAGAUCCAUUUAUGGGUUGAAGCAAGCAUCUCGGAGUUGGAACAUUCGUUUCGAUGAGGUCAUCACUGGUCUCGGUUUUAUCAAAAUUGAAGAGGACUAUUGUUUAUACAAGAAGAUAAGUGGGAGCUCGAUAGUGUUUUUGAUCUUGUAUGUGGACGACAUACUACUGAUCGGAAAUAAUGUUUCGAUAUUGAACUCGGUCAAGGAAUCAUUGAAUGGCAAGUUUUCGAUGAAAGACCUUGGUGAGGCAGUGUAUAUUUUAGGCAUUAAGAUCUAUAGAGAUAGAUCGAGGAGGCUGCUCGGCUUAAGCCAGAGCACGUACAUAGAUAAAGUGUUGAAGCGGUUCAACAUGAGUGAGGCGAAGAAAGGGCUCUUGCCACUCUCACAUGGUAUAAGGCUAAGCGAGACUCAGAGUCCUUCGACAUUUGAUGAGCGAAGCAGGAUGAGUAGGAUUUCGUAUGCCUCGGCAAUCGGAUCCAUCAUGUAUGCCAUGAUAUGUACAAGGCCUGAUGUUGCUUUUGCAAUAAGCCUAACAAGCAGAUACCAGGCCAACCCAGGUGAGAGUCACUGGGCAUCGGUAAAGACUAUUUGGACAUACCUGAAAAGGACUAAAGAGAUGUUCCUAGUUUAUGGAGGUGAGGAAGAGCUUGUGGUAAAGGGUUACACCGAUGCUAGUUUCCAAACCGACAGAGAUGAUUGUCGAUCACAGUCCGGAUUUGUGUAUGUCCUGAACGGAGGAGCAGUGCACUGGAUGAGUUCCAAGCAGGAUAGGGUGGCCGAUUCUACCACAGAAGCCGAAUACAUUGCGUCUUGUGAAGCUGCAAAGGAAGGUGUUUGGAUCCGGCAUUUUCUGGAUGAUCUUGGUAUUUUCCCAGCCUCGGUGAAACCGUUGGACCUUUAUUGUGAUAAUUCUGGUGCCAUCGCACAAGCCAAGGAGCCGAGGAAUCACCACAAGGUCAGGCACAUAGACCGGAAAUAUCACCUGAUACGAAAGAUCCUAAAGAAUUGUGAUGUAGAGUUAUGCAAGAUUCACACGGAUGCAAAUGUUGCAGAUCCGUUGACUAAGCCGCUUCCACAACCCAAGCAUGAGGGGCACGUUAGAGCUAUGGGCAUUCGAUGUCUAUUUGAUUGACUCUAGUGCAAGUGGGAGACUGUUGGAGAUAUGCCCUAGAGGCAAUCAUGUAUGAUGAUAUUUCCUAUGUGUUUACGAAUAAAGAUAGUCCUUGUACAUUAUGAAUGAUGUGUAUCGGCAAGUACGUGACUUGUUUGUGGGACUAUGCAUUGUAUGGUGACUGUCCUAAAAGGUCCCUAGUCGAAAGGGCUGUGUGGACGCGCAGCCGGCUAGACUAGCAUAUGACACGGUCGAUAGCUUGGUCUCACUAGCCAUGGAGCAUUGGAUGCUAACCGGAUAAUAUGGAGUUGGAAAGGUCUGGUCGGAUUCGACGUAGUCGGAUCCGAGUCGAGAUAAGGUCUGAGUCGGACAGACCCAACUAUGAGACGCAGCGAUAUGUCAUGUGUGAGUCUCUAGUACAACAUACCUUCUAUGUCCUAAGACCUGAGCUGACGCAUGUACUCCGGAUGCUGACAGACUUGCUUUGGGCCGACCAAAUGCUACUCCGUGACUGGGUAGUUACAAAGGUAGGUUUCGGGCUUGUCUAGACCCAUGCUGCGAGACUGUCAGGACCCCGACUCGAUGUCACAUCGAUCUAGCAUGUAACACCUCAUAUCACUUUGCGGCCUCACGCACGGUAUUCCCACGGGUGUCGUCUUACCUUUGCCCGGGACCGUUUGCGCCUUUUGGCACACAUAUAUGAUAGUGUCGCUAGCAUCCAUAUGGUAAGGAGCCCGGGCUGACAUGGCUAGUCGUAAACCCAAAGCGGCACAAACUUACAGGGACAGGCAUCCAUGACCCAGCAUCGAACGUGUCGGUCAUCAGCAAGUGAAUCCGGGCUGUAGCACUGGGCUAGCAGGACUCCGGUAAACCGGGCUGUAGCGGGCUAACAGGACUCCGGUAUCCAUUGCGUGACAUUUCCCCGAAGGGACAGACACAGGAACGAAGAAGGACACAUGUCGGCCAGCCUAAGUGUUCCGGAGCAGUAGCAAGCUACCAAGGCUCAGUGCAGACACUAGGAGACAUUUCCCGGUAAGAGAGGCUACUAAGAAUAAACAACUAGAUAGUCAGACCCCACACAUACCAAGCAUUUCAGUCAUACACACAAUAUGCUCGAUAUGUGCAAAUACAACAAGGCAUCACAACAUGACUCUAUGACACCAGUACUUUAUUUAAGGCUCAGAGAGCCAUUCAUAACAUACAUACAAGUACGGGUCACAUGACCCAGCAUUCAUGUCAUACAGACAUACAAGCCAGCAGCGGAAGUAACUUGUCUGGGUACAGACAACUAGUAAAAUAAAAGAGGCUUGGAAAGUCUCGCUAUACUACGUGGUCCUUCACAAGCUUAGGAUCACCACCUGGGCCUCAGUCUACUCAUCAAUGUCAACGUCUAUGAAGAACCCAUCAGAAGGGGUUGCAGCGUCUUCUGAAAAAUGUAAAUUAAAGCAACAUGAGUACAAAGGUACUCAGCAAGACUUACAUCAGAUCCUACAUACAUGCACAUUAUCAAGAGGGGUUGGUGGAGUUAUUGCAGCAAGCCAGCUUUGACUCUUGGCUAAGCUAUCCUACGGUACACCAACUUGAAAUGGUUUUGCGCACACGAGUCCACUACUCACCACUUCAAUACACCACCGAGGAUCCACCUCCGUCAUCCUACGGAAGAGCCAUCCUCGGCACUCACGCUUAUCUUGAGAUUUUUAGUAGUAUCCAUUUACUUGUCUAUGAACUGUAUAGGCAACCAAGUAGUCCUUUACCGCGAUCGCGGCUAUUCGAAUAGAUAAUGUUAACCCUGCAGGGGUGUACUUCUUCACACACGCUCUCACCACUUACCGCCGUUUACACGACAUGUACUCGGCAACCUUCAAGCGGAAGCCCAACGUGGGUGUCGGCCGCGACCUACCUAAACACCUAAGUCUCUAGUCCAGGUUUAUCGCCUAUCCAGGUUCCAUCCGCAGGGAGUCCGGCCGAGGUUUCCCAUACGGCCCCGAACGAUGUGUACAGGGUUCCCGAGAUACCUAACGGGUAUUCGGUACACCCGGCCACGUACCUACCGCAUCACAGCCCACCCCUACGGUCAGCGCUGUCCACGGCCUUCAGUAGGCUACAAACACUAGAAACUACUUGCAACUCCUGGACAGAGGACUAGGGUGAAUAAGAAGUCGAGAGGGUCCAUUGGUUUCGGGCCCAAUGCAUGGUAGUAGCUGAUUCUUAAAUCACACAUACAGAUCUCAGUGCUUAGGGACGGCUUCAAUGAAACAACCCACCAUGUACUCCUACAUGGCCUCUCAUCGAUACCUUUACCAAAUCGUGUUCACCACAUCAUUCUCAUUACCGGCACGAUCAUUUCACUCUAGCCCAUCACCCAGAUGAACCAGACCUGACACGACUCUAAGCAUAGCAGGCAUAGCAAGGUAGGAACAUCACACAAACAUGGCUCAAUCAACUCCUACACAUGCUAGUGGGUUUCAUCUAGUUAAUGUGGCAAUGACAGGUCAUGCAGAGGAAAUGGGUUCAACUACCGUAGCACACAGCAGUUUGAAACGCGUUGUCUUAAUGCAGUAAAAGAGAGCAGGAGCGAGAACAUGGGAUUGUAUCGAUAUGAUCAAAUGGUUGGUUGCUUGCCUAAUGGGUCUAUGCACUGAUAUGGUUCUUCGUUAGGGUGAUCGUGGUACUCCACGGAGGCAGAACCUGCCGCAAAGAGCACGAUACACAACAUCACCAAACAAUAUGCAACAAUUUGAUGCAUGCAUGAAACAUGGCAAAAUGAGUGUAUUGGGCUAAUGCAACUAAGACCAGAUGGGUUUGAACCAUUUUGAAUCAAAGAUUCAAGUUUCAAACUCAUACAUGGCCCUUAUAAGUGAUUUAUCUAGUUUUGCUCUAAACACCAGAUUAACUUGCUUAAACAUGCAUGAAACCAGUACAGAUGGAUAGAUUGGAUUUUUCUGAUCAUUUUUCAUAUAUAAAACUUUGCAUUUGGAGCUACAGAUUAAUUUCUAUGAUUUUUUUGAAGUUUGGGUUAUUUUUUGGAAUUUAUAAAUCAUUCUGGAUUUAUUUUAAUUCCAGAAAAGGAUUACUGCGUCAGCAUGAGGUCAUGCUGACCUCAGCAAGUCAACAGACUGGUCCAGGUCAAACUGACCAGUGGGUCCCGCAUGUCAGCAGUUUAAUUAACUAACUAAAAUUAGUUUAAACUAGUCUGGGUUAAUUAGCAGAGGGGGCCCCACUUGUCAUAGACUCAGGGGAGUCAAACUGGGCCCACCCUGGUCAAGGUCAAAGUCAAACACGCCGGCGACUAGCCGCCGGCGAGCCCGGUGCGGCGGCGGAAGUGACUUUGGCCGUUCCGGCCACCAAAUGGGUCGCAGAAGGCAUCUAAGUGGAGCUAGGGACAACCCGCAGCUCUUGGUGGAGUUAGUUGGGGUCGGGGUGGCCGGAAUCGGCGCCGGCGACGACCUAGGCGGCCGCCGGAGUUCGGGUGGAGGCGAACUCGUACCUAGGGUGUGCGGUGAGGUGCGGGGAGUGCAUGGCUAGACCCUACGCGACAUGGUGAGUGCGAUGGACACCGAGAGGUGACCGGAGGAUGACCGGGAGCACGUCGGCGACGAUCUCCGUGGCGGUGCGUGCGGUUGAUCUUCGUGUGCUCAUGCCGGUGCACGAGAGCGAGCAAGGAAAGGGGGGAGAGGUAUCUAGGCUCACGGUGAUCUCAAGGGAGCAAACGAUGAGGUCGGAGAUGAGCUGGUGCGGCGGCAACGGUGAAGGGGAUCUCCGGCGAUGGUGGUUCGGUCGAGGUCAGCGUGGUGGCCUCGGGGCACGCGAGCGCUCGGGGCUCGGCUUGCUCGAAGGAGAGGAGGGUGGCAGAGCUCUUGGAAAUGGUGGCGCGGCGCGAGGUUGACGAGAGCGCGUCUAUGGCGAAGGUGCGGCGGCGGUGGCGUCGGCCAUGGCUGGGGAGCGCGAGGGAGAGGAGCUGGGGAGAAGAGGAGAUGUAUGGGGGGUUUGGGGGAGAGAGGGGGAGCGAUCCCCGUCAUCAGCUGGACGAGGGGAGCGGCAAGGCAGCGACCAGGUGCGUGGCACCCAUGCGGUGCUCGUCGCCGAGCACCUGCCUGCCUGCCUGGCCGAGCCAAGCAGCUCGGUGGCGUGGCAGCUGGGCUGGGCCGGCAGGCGGGCCGGUUAGUAGGCGCCAGGUAAGAUUUCCCCUGUUUUUCUGUUUUUAAUUAUUCUGUAAGUUUGUGGACUUAUUAAAAAUACCUACACAACUCCUAAAUUCACCAAACUGCUCCUGGUCCAUAGUUGGAAUAUUUCCAACAUGAAACAUUUUAGUUUGGGAAUAUUUGGGCAUUUGAAAUAUUUUAUAUAAUUUAAAUGCCCAAACUCAAAUACUUAUGAAUUAAUUCAAAGACCUUAGGAUGACCUAGAAAACUGUGCAUCACUUUUGGCAGAGGUUCUGAACCAAGACAAAAAUGAUGGACAUUUUAGAAGGGCAUUUCAGGUUCAUUGAAAAUAUUUUUAGUAAACCCUAGUUGUUUCAGAGGGGGCUGGGGGUUCUGUCAUCCCCAUUUCAAGUUUCUGAUAAAAGAAUAAACAUGAUGCAACACUCUAAUGCAUGAACUAGCUAGGGUGUGACAGAGACGUGGUCGAGCAAGAUGGGAUUUUCCCCUCCGAUAAGGAGAGAUAUACUCCGGGCCCCUCGUGUGAUCUGACCAGGAUAAGCGCCAUGCGACAAGGAUUAUGAGAUAAUCUGGAUUGUGGUCGGCAUCACUACAACGAGAAAGAGGUCGGGCUAGCACAAGGAUGACAGUCUCGCCUUGAGCCCGACAACAUAUAUCGUGUGGCAAAGGGAACAGAAGUGUGACACGUUGUACAGGUUUGCCUAACCAGCUUCAUAGUCUGCUUGGUGGUCGGCACGCCUUGCUAGAGGCCGCUACCAACCGUGUAGGUCGGAGGUGAUCCGAGCUGUGACCAAGCCGACUUGAACCUAAGGGGUCGCGCGCUUAAGGGAAGGAACCUACAAGGUCGGUUCAUAGGACACUGGUCGGAUGUGAUCCGAACUGGACUAGGAACGUCACCGAGUAGACUUUGGGCUUUAGGGUCCAUGCGAGGCCCAAGUGUUGAGCCUGCGAUGGACGCCUAUAUAAAGUGGAGGUACGGCACACUCACGCGGUUGAUCGCUUCGGCGCUACGAUUAAGGUUUGCAUGUGUUGCGAAUAGCCACCUCCACUCGCCGCCGACUGUGUGAUCGAACCUGGCAGUCCGCCACACGGUGUUCCUCCUGCAUGUGUGGAUACUGUUAGAGGCGGUGCACUUGCACCGCUCCGGCGAACUUGUACGUGGGAUCGGACGACCAGCUGUUCGAGGGAGAUCGGACGAGGAGGAGAUGAUCCACUCGGACGCGCUGCCCCAACUCUUCUUCCGCAGCACGGCACUGCGCGUCUAGUGGUAACAAACUGUGAUCCAUCUCCCGUAGCAUGUUCCUGGAUGUUCUGCGCGUAGGAAAAUUUUAAUUUGCAGUCGACGCACCCUACCGUAGAACCCAACAAUAUCCCACGAGGAUGAAGAUAUGUAUUACUAUUGGAUAUAAAGGAGGUAUGAUGUUGGAAAUAUGGAUCAAUGGAAAUUCCAUGAUGAGCCUGAGUAAUUAUGUCGUAGUUUGGUGCCAAUAGAAGGAAGGAAGACAAUACAAUUGGAUGGAUUUUAAGUAUGCUAGGAAGCUGGAAGUUUGAUGUUGGAAUAACGAUCAGUUGCCCAGAGGAUGAGUUCAAGGUUUACAAGUGAUGAGAUGGGCCAUAACCCACAGGCCCCAGGACCUUCCAAGAAGCAAGCACACUCUUGCUGAAGGAAAAACCCUGGAAGAAGUUACGUUUAUCGACAGAUGAUUUUAUAGGAGUAACGCAAAACCUGAGAGUUGUGAAGGACCGAUAGAUGUUUGUUUGGCUUGCAGAAUCAAUGGAUUUAUCCGAACUUGGUUCGUCGACAAGAGAAAUUCUGCAAUGCUUAUGAGGAUGACCGAGUGUUAGCAUGUGAGAUUUGCUAAACCAUAUACAAGAUAAUGAUUUGGGUGCGGGAUGGAUUGAUCACCAUACCGACUUACUCUUAUUAUUCGCCUUGCUAUAUGGGAUGGUAAAUCUGAGUGACUUACCUAUAGUAUAGAGACGAUGAUAUUAAACCUUGUUUGAACCUUAGAAUGGUAUAAGUAUUUUCCCCUGUACAAGGCAGCUGUUGCCAAUCGUAGGAUAUACGGUGAGGCUCAACCCAGACCUGUUUUCUGCAGGAGAAACCAUAAAUUGUUGACCACCAUGAGAUAUCUAUAGUUGUUUAGUAUUGGUGCCAGACCAGUCAGCUAAGAGGACCCAGUCUCGGAAUAACCUUACCAAGAUGAAAUGGAUACAGGAAUCAAGAAAAAGGUUAUGCCACCACUGGAAGAACCCAGAGAAGGAAUUAUCCUGAAGAACUGAGAAGACUGCCACUGUCAACAAUAAUGAUGGAGUAUAUGAGUUUUAAUGGAACCGUAACCAUGCUUCUAAGGGUGGUAGCACCUAGACCCCGGAGAUGAUCGAUGGAUUUUGAGAAGACCCCAAACCUAACCUAUUUCUUGCUAGCCUCUCUGAAUCUCGAGGACGAGAUUCAUUUUAAGGGUGGUAGGUUUGUAACAUCCCAAAAUUCUAAAUUUUGGAAUGUUAUAAUAAAUAGAUAGUUUUGAUUGAUUGUGUGAUUGAUUGACUGAAAGUGAGUGAAUUCGAAACUUUUUGAAAGUAAAAUGAGAGGGAAUAAAAGGACUUUCCCAAACUUUCAUUUUCUUUUAUGAUCUCUGUGAAUUCAAAUUCUUUUCAUCACAAAACCCUGGAGAGAAGAUGACAUGACUUCUUCCAUUUUAAUAAAUGAAAGGGGUUUUUGAAAAUAUUUGAAUUUCACCUGGAAAUAUUUCAAAUUCAGAAACUUCAAGCAACUCAAUGAUUUUCAUGAGGGAAGAUAAAAUGACUUCUUCAAACAUAUGAGAUAUGAGUUGGGAGUUUAAAAGAAAUCCAAUUUAAAGUCCUUUUGAAAUUAUUUUCAAUUGGGAGUUACUUGGGUUUUAUUCAAAUUAUUUUUCUCCAAAUAUAAAAUAUAUGGAAAAUAGGGUAACAUGAUUCCCUACAAUAGAAAAUUGGAGAUAAAUAAAUUUGAUAUCAUUUUGGUAUUUUUAAAAUGAUUUUUAUUGGAUUUUACUAGAGCAGAAGCACUCUUUGCUUUAUUUGAAUUUAUGUGUAUUUUAUUUGAUAUUAAAGAAAUGUUCAGGUUGUAGGAAAUAUUUUUCUGAAAAUUUUGAUAUAUAAUAUGCAUAUAGUAUGUUUUUAUUUUGGUGGUUUAUUUCUAUUUAUUGUUUUCAGGAAAAUGUAAAAAAAAACACUUUCGUCCACCAUCGAACUGGGCCGGCCCAACAGGCCGCAGCGCAGCCCAGCGCGCAGCUCGUCCCCGACCCCGAGCGGAGUCCGCCGCCCGCACACCUCACCGGCGACGCUGUGUCCGCCCCGGUCUCCUCGCACCCCAACCCCUCCCGCACGCCACCACCCUCCCCUGGCCUUUAAAAGGUGGGUACCGAUGCCCCCCCUCUGUCUCUCUCCUCGCGCCACCAGAUCCGCCGCCGCCAUCGUCUGUCGCCGCCACCGCCUCGCAUCUCGCCGCCACACUCUGCUAGCGCCGCCGCCGCAUUCCACAUCGCCACCGCCGCCGUUGCCACACCUCGCCGGACACCGCCGCUGCCCCGACGCCCGCGCCGGAGUUCACCGCCGGCCGGAUCCGCUCCGCCACCCGACCGCCGGUUUUCCCGGUCCGGUAAUAAACCACCCCGGUUUUCUCCGAUUUUUCCUUUAGGGUUCGGUUUUUGUUUAAAACGUGUUUUUAUAUAGUUAGUUAGGUAGCGAACAUUUUCUGUUUAGUUAGUUUCGGCAAAUGUUUUUGUUCGUUAGCGUUCGGUAACGAACGUUCGUUAUUUAGCUCUUCUUCUUUUUCUGUUAGUUUUAUUCAGGGACUUCUUUGUAGAUGUUUUAUUUACAAUUUAGCCCCUGGACUUCAAAUGAUCACUACUUUUCAACCAACGCCCACUUCUUCCUUAUGAUCCCCUCUAUCCAGUAAUCCAACUCCAACAUGUUUUUGGAAGUUUAAAAUUUGAAUUAGACCAGAUUUGUAUUCAAACUUCGUUUGAUCAUAACUUGAGUUUUAUAACUCCAAUUUAGUUGAUUCUUUUUGCAAAUCGAAGCUCUUGACCUAAACUUUCUGAUAAGGCCAAAUCCAUCUAAUUUUGGUACUGUUAGAAAUUGUUUUGCAAGAGUCAUUUGCUUGUUUUCGAAGCUUUCUGAGAUCUUUUCUUUGAUUCUUUUGCAUGAUUGCUUAUGUGUGGUUACUAUUGCUUGCUUACGAUAGAUUGACUGGAGUGUGCUGAGUAGAACUAUCAAGAUUUUUGAGUGUGAAUCAUCUUCAUCAACAUUGCAGGCAAGUUCACAGUUUGAUCAUAUUUCCUUUCAUACCCAGUUUUAUUGCAUUAGAUCAACCCUCAAACAAUUGCAUGAUUAGGAUCUGAUUAAUAUGUGGGUUUUGGGAAGUAGAUGAGGUAGUACCUAUCACCAGCUUUAUUAUCAAACCCUUGGGAGUUACUUCUAUGUUUGCUUAUUAUGCCAUGCUAUGCUAGUAGAUGUGGAUUCGGUGAGUGAAUUUCCAUGACAGAUGAGAGAUUGUUAAUUAAUGGUUUAUUUAAGGUGGCAACUUUAAUACACACCUGGGCUCAAAGGGAUUGUCUGUUUGUUUUGGACCGCCACCCAGGCUCAAAGGGAUCAUAAGAUUAUUCAUGCUAGAAACUUCCGUGUGCAGCCACAUGCUAUUAUGGGAUCUAGCAUAGUUGAUUAAGUCGUGCGAACUCUUACAGUGGUAGACUAGCAGAUAUAGGGGAAAGUUGGUGUACAUGUCUACCCAUCGUAAGGUGCUAGCGCUUCUGAAAGACUAUGUCUCAGUCAUCCAUUUCUCAAACACCAUGUAGUGUGAGAAAACCAACGGAGGGGAUCGAGUCAUGUGGGGAAAAGUGCGCAAACUUCUGCAGAGUGUAUAAACUAAUCAUGAUUAGUCGUGUCCCCGGUUAUGGACGUUUUGAGUAUCUAGUACUUGGAUUAUCAUGUGAAUCUCAUCAUGUUACUUUAAUUAAACUUGUCGGGUUUUAAUGAUGAUGUUACUUAAUUGGGAUUCAGAAUGCUGUCAACCAUUCUCAACGUUCAACAACCACCAUGAUAGUUAAAUAAAACUUAUUCCUUUGUAGUAGGGAAAAAUUGGCUUUUCGCAAAAACAUUAUAACCAUAGAGCCUCCACUAGCCAAAUAUGCAUGUAGUGAUAGCCUUUAUUCAUCAUUGCUCUAUGGUGUGAUUUAGCCAGUACGUUCAAUGUACUGUCCCUCUGUGGCUGCAACGUCUCAUGUAGCACGACGAGUAAGUGUUACGUUAGGGUUACAAUUUCUACACUCAACUUCGCCGUUGGUGUUGAUGGGAAUCCACAACCUUGUUGCUUCCGCUAUUUGGAUUGUGGUAAUAGUAUUUACGCUACUUUAUACAUGUGAUUUACCUCUGUUAUAAAUCCUCGAGUACUGUGUGUGUCAGCAUACCGAUCCAGGGAUGACACUUAAGCACAGAGACUUGAUCCAUUCGGGUCGGGUCGCUACAAGAUGUCCUCAUGAACCAGCUCCCGAAGGACUUGUUGCUGAUCGUGGUUGGUUAGCGGGUCGAACGAUGCGAUGGAGAUAUCAUCACAAGCGUCAUCACGAUGGACCGACGCCCGGGGUGGCCGGGAUGGAGGUGGGGAGUGCACCAUGGCCGCAUCGCCUCCUACACGGCCUCUGCUGGCCUGUGGUGGCCCGACGAAGCGACGGCCUACGGGUCCCAUCGGCCGCAACUCAUCGUUGUUGGUGAUGCCGACGAGGCUCUGGAUGGUGGCCCUCCAUUCGUCGAGGUUCUCCGCGGCGGGAGGAAAGUCGAGGAGCAGCUGCACGCGUGCUAGGGCUUCUGCUGGCGUGGGUGGCGGCGAAAGCUGGGUGGACCGCGAUGCACCUCGACUUGUAACCAUGUUAGAAGGAGCCGCGUCACGGCCCCGCAGCCGUUCGCCACCUCCGUCUGCACCUCGGCGCGCAUGCUGGUCCUCCUUAUCAUGUGAUGGGCGCACGGGACUCUUCCCUUGGCGGCGCGCAGGGUCACUGGCAGGGUGACACUGCUCAUCGCGCACAACCUGAGAAGAGAGCGCCGUGGGCGCCAGUGUCGGUGUCUUGGAGGUCGCCGUGCCGCCAUCUGGUGGGAUGGCGACGCCCCUGGAGGGCCCCAUGCUGCCUGUGGGGGGCCUUACUCCGUCUCUGGAGCCCGCGACUGGUGGCUCGUCGCCUGGCGCGCGAACGACGCCACUCGCCAUGCCCGGACCGCCAGGGUGAUGUGGAUGUUCGCGGGCCGCGCCAUGGGUUCUCUCCGCGAGUGGCCCGCUACUGGUCUGCGCUGGUACUGGCAACCCGGUCCCGGACAAACCGAUCACCGUGGUCGUCUUCUUCUUAGGAGCCAUGGUGAUGAAGAACAGCUAGGUCAGCUGCUAGACCAGAUUCUCACAAUUGCGCCCCCUACCUGGCGCGCCAAAGAUGUCGGUAGGAAACAACACCUAUCGGAUCACUGGAAUCCCUACUAUGGUUGCGGGGCGCGGGGAUCGUGAGAAGAGCAGGACUAGCAGACAGCACACAAGGGGAUUUACCCAGGUUCGGGCCGCAAAGAUGCGUAAAACCCUAUGAUCCUGCUUUGGUGGAUGUAUUUAGUGUUCUUGAGCUCUUGAACUAGCUCUGGGUGCUGCUAGGUUCGAAAGAGCCGAAUCCUUCUCCAGUGCGCCAUGGGCCUCCUUUUAUAGGCGAAAGGGGCUGCCACAGUGGCACACAGGAUGUCAGGACCCCGAUCCUGAGUCACACCGAUCUAGCAUGUAACACAUCAUAUCACUUUGCGGCCUCACACACGGUAUUCCCACAGGUGCCACCUUACCUCGCCCGGGACCGUUUGCGUCUUUUGGCUCACGUAUAUGAUAGUGCUGCUAGCAUCCAUAUGACAAAGAACCCGGGCUAACAUGGCUAGUCGUGAACCCAAAGUGGCACUAACUUACAGGGACAGGCAUACAUGACCCAACAACGAACGUGUCGGUCAUCAGCGAGUGAAUCCGGGCUGUAGCAACUGGGCUAGCAGGACUCCGGUAAACCGGGCUGUAGCAGGCUAACAGGACUCCGGUAUUCAUCGCGUGACAUUUCCCCGAAGGGACAGACACAGGAACGAAGAAGGACACAUGCCGGCCAGCCUAAGUGUUCCGGAGCAGUAGAAAGCUACCAUGGCUCAGUGGAAGCACUAGGAGACAUUUCCCGGUAAGAGAGGCUACUAAGGAUAAACAACUAGAUAGUCAGAUCCCACACAUACCAAGCAUUUCAAUAACAUACACACAAUAUGCUCGAUAUGUGCAAAUACAACAUGGCAUCACAACAUGACUCUAUGACUCAAGUAUUUAUUCAAUAGGCUCCGAGGAGCGAGAUAUUACAAACAUGGGUCUCAUGACCCAACACUCAGAGCAUACAAGUCAAAGCACAAGCAGAAGCUUAACAUGUCUGAGUACAGACAUCUACAAAUGAAAAAGGCUAAGAAGCCUGACUAUCUACCAGAUCCUGCCGAGGGCACAAGAUCGUAGCUGAGGUAACGAGCUAAACGUCGAAGUCCACGCCGAACUACUAGCGAGACUGAAGUCUCUCUGCAAAAACAUAAAUUAAGCAACGUGAGUACAAAUGUACCCAGCAAGACUUACAUCAGAUCUAACUACAUAUGCAUCAUCAUCAACAAAGGAGAUGGUGGGGUUUAACUGCAGCAAGCCAGCUUUGACUCGGUGGCUAUCCUGAACUACGACUGCAAGUAACUCUUUUGAGGUGGCGCACACGAGUCCACAUAUUCACCAUAUCAAUACAACACUAUGGAUCCGCUCCCGUCUCCCUACGAGAACGCCAUCCAUAGCACUCACGCUUAUCUUGCGUAUUUUAGAGUAUCCACUUUCACUUGUCUAUGAACUGUACAGGCAACCCAGAAGUCCUUUUCCGCGGACACGGCUAUUCGAAUAGAUCAUAUUAACCCUGCAGGGGUGUACAUCUUCGCACACGCUCUCACCACUUACCGCCAUUUACACGACAUGUACUCGGCAACCUUCAAGCGGAAGCCCACCAAGGGUGUCGGCCACGACCUGACUAACCACACAAGUCUCUCGUCCAGGUUUAUCGCCUAUUCGGGUUCCAUCCGCAAGGAGAUCCGGUCGGGGUGUCGCUCACGGCCCCAAACGAUGUGUGCAGGGUUCCCAAGCCCACCAUCCGGGUUCCACUUGGUACACCGGGCCACUGUGCCUAGUCUGUCCCAAGCCCACCUGUACCGGGUGCCACUUGGUAGACUACUAACACUACCUACAAACACCAGAAACUAGUUGCAACUCCUGGACAGAGAUCAAGUUGAUUAAUAAGUCGAGAGAGCUUGGAGCGCCCGAAGCCCAAUGUGUGGUAGUAGCUAUUCAUGGAUCACAAACACAGAACUCAGUUCCUGAGGAUGGCUGCAAUGAGACAACCCACCAUGUACUCCUACAUGGCCUCUCACCACUACCUUUACCAAAUCGUGUUCACACACUUAGCUCACACACAGUAGGACAUGUUUACACACCUCCGAUUCAUUCCCGAUGAAUCAGACCUGACUCAACUCUAAGUAGUAGCAGGCAUGACAAACAAGCAUGAAUGAGUAGGCACAUCAGGGCUCAAACAACUCCUACUCAUGCUAGUGGGUUUCAUCUAUUUACUGUGGCAAUGACAGGUCGUGCAGAGGAUAAAGGGGUUCAGCUACCGCAGCAAGUAACAGUUGAAUCGUUGUUGUCCUAAUGCAGUAAAAGAGACCAGGAGCGAGAGAGUGGGAUUGUAUCGGAAUGAACAAGGGGGUUUUGCUUGCCUGGCACUUCUGAAGAUAGUAUAGCUCUUCAUCGGUGUCAUCGAUCGCAUCGUCGAUACACGUCUACUGAGAGCGGACAUGCACCGACAAACAAAGAAGAAAGACAAUCAAUGCAAUGCACAAUAUGAUGCAUGCUCAUGACAUGGCAAUAUGAGUGUGUUGGCCUAAUGCAACUACAACCAGAUGGAUUUGGGUCAUUUUGAACCAAAGGUUCAAUCCCAAACUCAAAUUAUGAAUUUAAAUAGUGCGUUAUCAUGUUUUGCACUAAACAGCAAGGUUAAGUUGUUUAAACAUGCAUGAAACCAGUACAGAUGGAUAGAUUGGAUUUUUCUGGUAAUUUUUCAUAUAUAAAUUAUUUCAUUUGGAGCUACGGUUUAAUUUCUAUGAUUUUUAGAAGUUUAGGACAUUUUCUGGAAUUUCCUGAAUUAAAACUAAUCCAGAAAAUGAGUUAUGGCGUCAGCACUACGUCAUUGUGAUGUCAGCAGGUCAACGGGGCGGUCCAGGUCAAACUGACCAGUGGGUCCCGCAUGUCAGUGUUAUUAGUCUAACUAAUUUUUAGUUAGUCCUAAUCCUAACUUAAUUAGCAGGCGGGUCCCAUUUGUCAUUGACCCAGAGGGGUCAAACUGGGCCCACCCGGGGUCAACUUGGUCAACAGGUCAAACCUGCCGGCGUUGAGCCGCCGGCGAGGCCGAGACGGCGGAGAGCGUCGGAAACACUGCCCCGGCCACGGUUCGAUGCGCGGGUGGGUGCUAUGGGUAGCUGGCGGUGUGGCGCAUCCAACGGUGGCGGUGGUUGGUGCUGGGGUGGCCGGGAACAACGACGGCGUCGAGCCGGGCAGCGGCCGGAGCUCGGGUGUUUUCGGGACCGGCGCUGCGGUGUGCAAACGAGCGCAACGUGGCGCUGGGAAGACUCUACGCGCGACAGUGAGCAUGUUGGGCGCACGCCCGGGACCAAAUGGUCACCGGAGAGUCACCGGCGACGAACGCAGGCGGCGGCGUGUGCGGGUGAACACGGUGCAGCAUCUACGGCGUGCGAGAGAGGGAGCGGAGAAGGGAACCAGGGGAAGGAGCUCACUGCGGUUGCGUCGGGGCGAACGGCGAGCUCGGGGAGGGGUCGGAGCAAGCGGGGCGGCGAUGGCGAUCUCGGCGGACCGAGGUUGAAGAAGACGGCGUGGUCGGCAUUCGAGGGCGUCCGGCGGGGCAUGGCUCGGUGAGGGGGUCGAGGACGACGUUGCCGAGCUUCUGGGCGUGUCGAUGAGACAUGGGGUGGCCGGUCAUCAUGCCAACGACGGGCGGCGGCGACGCCUGCGCUCGGGCAUGAGAGGGAGAGAGAGCAGAGGAGGGAAAGAGCUCGAGAGAGAGUGAGGGGCGGUCGGGGAGGCUGCGUGGCAUGCGCGGAGGGAUCCAGGGCGGCGGGGACGCAGGCAAGCAAGGAGCUCGCGUGGCGCGUGGAGCGCACGCGCGCGUCGGGCACGCGCCCUGUCCGACUGGCGGGAGGACAACGACGACUGGCACAGGCCAGUGGGCUGGGCCGUGCUGGGCCAGGCCAGGUGAGCGCCAGGUAAGACCCUCUCUCUCUGCUUUCUGUUUUUCUUUUCUAUUUUUCUUUCUGUGUUCUAGUUUAGUUUAGGCACUAAACCAUUUUUCAUAAAUUCUGAAAUUAUUUGUGGGAGCUCUCUGCAAUAUACAAGUGACCCACAAUUAUUUUCAAAAUAUCUGGAGCUAUAAAAUUAUUUAUAGCUUUUAUUUGCUCCAACUCAAAUACAAUAUGGAUUACUUCAAAAAUCCAAAUUGUCCUAGAAAUAUACUCAUCAUUUUUGGCAGAGGUUUCCACCUUAACCAGAAAUCAUGAGCAUUUUUAAAGGCAUUUUGGGAUCAUUGAAAAGAUUUUAUUUAAUUCUAUUUGAAGUCAUUUGGUGCUAGGGUUUGAAUCAAUCCCCAUUUCAAGAUUAAGAGCCAAAUAAACAUGAUGCAACACAUGACUAGCUAGCCCAGAGCAAAUCAGAACUAGGGAUGUGACACAGGAGGUGGAAAGUGCUAAAGCGCUGUGAGCUUAUCGCUGGUAUUACAAGACAAAGUGCAUUUAAUGCAUGCCAUAGAUGUCCCUCACUUUAUCGGGGAUGGGAGCGAGGCCCGUCCCAUCCGCCGCCGCUCCUCCUUGCUUUGACACACGCCCUAGCCAGCGAUGCAUGCGGUGCCAUGUAGGCAAGCAAGCAGCUGAGGUGGCGCGGUGGUGGAGCAUCCACGAAGAUCUGCAUGCCGCCACGCAUGUGCGUGCUGAGUUAGCCUGGAAGCUGCAUGUUGCCACGCAGGUGCCUGCCCAGCUGGUUGGGCUGGCAGCUGCAUGCGAACAGCGGCGGGGAGUUGGCUGGUACGGGCCUGGCAGUGGCCCCGUGGUUGCCUCUGGUGUGGGUCUUGUCGGGUGGCCCGGAAAGGGUCUUGCCAUGGCGCGCUGGCGUCCCCAGCAAGGAUCUUGGUGAGGAUUGUUGCCUUCCUAUCCUCAUUUGAUCUUGACUAUUCUUUUGUCUUCACAAAGAUCUGCAUGCCACCACGGAGGUGCCUCCGGAGCCCUGUCCCAAUGCGUUUGUCUAUCGUUUGUGGGCUCAAAGGUGGCUCGCUCGGCUGGUGGGGGAGAUCUCCCCCGGCAAAGGUCUUGCCGGGGCCGCUGAGGCUGCCCUGGCAAGGGUCCUUGCCGGGGAAACCUGCUUCAUCCAUCCGAUCUUUGUGGCCUUGGUCCUUAUCAUUGCUUUGUUUGUCUUGUGCCUUCGGCUUCUCUCCGGCUUCCCUUUCCUUCCCUGUUAUGCGUGGCUGUGGCGGGUAGCUCUGACUGCCCAUGCACAAGUAAAGGGGUCAAAAGGAGAGCCCCUACUUUUGUACACCGACAGGAGCCCCCGGGCCUGGGCCGUACAUAGGUGCAGCAUGUUGUUGGGCCAGGCCCAGAACGGUGCGCGGGCAGUUGGGGCAGAUUUUUAUGGCAGUAACUGCUCCGUCCGCUGUGCUUCCCCAUGACCCGCGUUAAACGCGCGAUGUGGGGGUCGUGCGCGUGCAUGAUGGAGGCAUGAUGGCGCAUCCCGCGGUGGAUAGUAAAGAUCCGGCUUGCGUGUCUCUUUGAGACUGCACGGCCGCUGCUCAUUUAGUGCCCUCGUUUGGGAACCGUCGUUCCACGCGUCCCACUGCGCCUAUCCCUUGCGCCAUGUUCGCUGCAUGUGAUGCAGGGCGAAUGACAGGCGCGCGAGAUGUGGGAAGUCAUGCACGUGUGUGGGUUGAUUCCCACGCGCCUUCAAUGGAGCGGGGAGGGCGGUCGACGACCCUGCUUGCUAUCACUUCAACGGGCCGGAUUGGCCGAGAGGGGGCGGCCGAGCCUCGGCCCCGCCCCUUUAUAAAGAGGGGAGCGGGAGGAACGGUGCCUCUCAACCCUCCGCCAUCUGCCUCUCCCCAUUCCUGCUUCCCCCUUUCUUCUGCCAUGGCGAGGGGGCGUGGCGACGCUUCAUCGGUGGCGGCGAGGGUCUCGGCUCGACAACGCAUCGCUCCUCCCCUAGAGCUCGUGGCGGCGGAGCCGCCUGUUAGAGGGAGGGGGAGGGGGUGAGGUCGAGGCCGCCGUGGUGCUCGUGACAUCGAAGACAAUCCUUUCCGUCAUGUGGUUCAGCUUGCCUCCGAAUGUCACGGGCAGCGUGACCUUUCCCUUUGGCUGGCUCCUCCCCGGGUUAACCCCUUGGAACGUGCCCGUCUCCUCGAGGUCUCCAUCGGGGAUCUGCAGCCUUUUGACCACAACAGGCGAGAUUAAGUUCAGGCCGGCCCCGCCAUAACCAACAUCUUUGUCACCUUGAGGUUGCGGAUUGUUGGUGAAACCAACAAUGGCAAGCACCCGACCGUAGUAGUGCGGUCAGUGUGGUCCUCGGUGUCGAAGAUGAUGGGCAAGUUGGACCAUUUCAGCGGCUUCCGUGCAUCGAGCGAUGGCUCCAACGCCGUGAUCUCACGCGCCCAUUGCUUGAGUUGGCGGUGGGACGUAUGCAGCGAGGCGCCACCAUCGACGCACAUGGCCUCUAUGGCUUUUUGAAACUCGUGGUCGCCGGACUCGUCGUCCUCGUCAUGAUCAUCGUCUUCCUGCUUCUUGUCGCGGCCCCGGGCGGGCCUCUCCUGCUGAUUAUCCUUGCCGCGGCGGCUUCCUUGGCCGCCACGUUUCUUGCCGGAUCCCUCGGCACCUUCUAGGCCUUUCUCCUUCCGCCUCUCAUACUCGGCUUUCUGCUUCUCGGCGAGCAGCUCUACCUGCCGGCAGUUUUGGAGGUCAUGGCCCUUGGUGCGGUGGAUCUUGUAGUACUGCUUGUCAGAGCCUCCUGGCUUGUCGGCAGCCGCCAAGGCCCGACAAGCGACACACCCGGCAACCUCCUUGCCGGGGUCGCUCGCCUUGGUCUUCUUGGUGGCGCCGGUGUCAUCGGGUCCCUCGAUGGCAAGCACGGCCUUGCCCUUGCGCUUCCAGUUACGGCGUCGGCCCUUCUUCACUGGGGUGGUGGUGUCGCCAGUGGAGUCGGUUUCCGCGCCGGCAUCUUCACCGGGGUACUUCCUUCCCUCUUCAGCGCGAGCGCAUCGAUCAGCCAGGACAUAAAGCUCGGCCACAUCCUUGACCUUGUUCAUCGCCAGCUCAUCACGCAUCUUGCGGUUGCGCACGUUCUGAUGGAACGAACUGAUCACGGCGGUGGGAUGAACAUCGGGGAUGUUGUACUGCACCCGGUUGAACCUUUGGAUGUACUUGCGCAAGUUUUCUCCUUCCUUCUGGGGGGAUGAUGUGUAAAUCACUCACCUAACCAUGAGCUUGGUGACCUCCGGUAAAGGCGCCAACAAACUCAUGGCACAGAUCCGCCCAUGAAGAGAUUGAAUCCACCGGCAAGUGCAUCAACCAUGACAUAACAUUAGGCUUGAGUGCCCACGGGAACUAGUUGGCAAGCACCUUAUCGUCGCAGGCCCCAGCAGCUUGCAUCGCGAUGGUGUAGAUGCUUAGGAACUCUGACGAGUGAGUCUUGCCGUUGUACUUCUCACCAACGUCAGGCUUGAACAUACGGUGGGAGGGCCACUAGAAUUGCCGCAGCUCACGGGUAAAAGUCGGACAACCCACCUCGUAGGGUAGGCCACCGUAGCCUCCCAGCGCUGGGCGGUCCAUAGCGGGCCAUGCCCGCCUGUCCGACUGGUGGCACACGUCACGUCGGCGCUCGAUGGUAGUUCGAGCGUCCUCAUGAACCCGCUCCCGAAGGACUUGACGCUGAUCGCGGUUGGUUAGCGGGUCGUAUGACGCGAUGGAGAUAUCAUCACAAGCGUCAUCGCGAUGGACCGACGCCCGGGGUGGCCGGGAUGGAGGUGGGGAGUGCACCGUGGCCGCACCGUCUCCUGCACGGCCUCUGCUGGCCUGCGGUGGCCCGGCGGAGCGACGGCCUAUGGGUCCCGUCGGCCGCAACUCAUCGCUGUUGGUGAUGCUGACGAGGCUCCGGACGGUGGCCCUCCAUUCGUCAAGCUUCUCCACGGCGGGAGGAAAGUCGAGGAGCGGCUGCGCGCGUGCUAGGGCUUCCGCUCGCAUGGGUGGCGGUGAAAGCUGGGUGAACUGUGAUGCGCCUCGACUUCUAACCAUGUUAGAAGGAGCUGCGUCACGGCCCCGCAGCCGUUCGCCACCUCCGUCAGCACCUCGGCGUGCAUGCUGGUCCUCCUCAUCAUGUGAUGGGCGCACGAGACUCUUCCCUAGGCAGCACGCAAGGUCACUGGCAGGGUGACACUGCUCAUCGCGCACAACCUGAGAAGAGCGCGUCAUGGGCGCCGGUGUCGACGUCUUGGAAGUCGCCGUGCCGCCGUCUGGCGGGAUGGCGGCGCCCCUGGAGGGCCCCGCGCCGCCUACGGGAGGCCCGACUCCGUCUCUUGAGCUGGCGACUGGUGGCUCGUCGCCUGGCGCGCGAACGACGCCCCUCGCUAGGCCCGGACCGCCAGGGCGAUGUGGAUGUUUGCGGGCCGCGCCAUGGGUUCUCUCCGCGACUGGCCCGCUACUGGUCCGCACCGGUAGUGGACCCGGUCCUGGACGAACUGAUCGCCGUGGUCGUCUUCUUCUUAGGAGCCAUGGAGAUGAAGAACAGCUAGGUCAACUGCUAGACCAGAUUCUCACAAUUGCGCCCCCUACCUGGCGCGCCAAAGAUGUCGGUGGGAAACGACACCUAUGGGAUCACUAGAAUCCCUACUACGGUUGCAGGGCACGGGGAUCGUGAGAAGAGCAGGACUAGCAGACAACACAAAGGGGAUUUACCCAGGUUCGGGCCGCAAAGAUGUGUAAAACCCUACGAUCCUGCUUUGGUGGAUGUAUUUAGUGUUCUUGAGCUCUUGAACUAGAUCUGGGUGCUGCUAGGUUCGAAAGAGCCGAAUCCUUCUCCGGUGCGCCAUGGGCCUCCUUUUAUUGGCGAAAGGGUCUGCCACAGUGGCACACAGGAGGUGGAAAGUGCUACAGCGUUGUGAGCUUAUCGCUGGUAUUACAGGACAAAGUGCAUUUAAUGCAUGGCUUAAGUGUCCCUCAUUUUAUCAGAGACGGGAGCGAGGCCCGUCCCAUCCGCCGCCACUCCUCCUUGCUUUGACACGCGCCCUGGCCAGCGAUGCAUGUGAUGCCAUGUAGGCAGGCAAGCAGCUGAGGUGGCGCGGUGGUGGAGCGUCCACGAAGAUCUGCAUGCCGCCACGCAGGUGCGUGAUGAGUUGGCCUGGAAGCUGCAUGUUGCCACGUAGGUGCCUGCCUAGCUGGGUGGGCUGGCAGCUGCAUGCGAACGGCGGCGGGGAGUUGGCUGGUGCGGGCCUGGCAGUGGCCCCAUGGUUGCCUCUGGCGUGGGUCUUGUCGGGUGGCCCGGCAAGGGUCUUGCCGGGUGGCCCGGCAAGGGUUUUGCCGGGUGGCCCAGCAAGGUUCUUGUCGUGGCGCGCUGGUGUCCCCAGCAAGGAUCUUGGUGAGGAUUGUUGCCUUCCUAUCCUCAUUUGAUCUUGACUAUUCUUUGUCUUCACAAAGAUCUGCAUGCCACCACGGAGGUGCCUCCCGAGCCCUAUCCCAAUGCAUUUGUCUAGCGUUGGUGGGCUCAAAGGUGGCUCGCUCGGCUGGUGGGGGCGAGCUCCCCCAGCAAGGGUCUUGCCGGGACCACUAAGGCUGCCCCGGCAAGGGUCCUUGCCGGGGAAACUUUAUUCGUCCAUCCAAUCUUUGUGGCCUUGGUCCUUGUCGUUGCUUUGUUUGUCUUGUGCCUUCGGCUUCUCUCCGGCUUCCCUCUCCUGCGCUGUUAUGCAUGACCGUGGUGGGUGACUCUGACUGCCCAUGCACAAGUAAAGGGGUCAAAAGGAGAGCCCAUAAUUUUGUACACCGACAAAGUCUGGACCGGACUCAAAGACCAUUUGGUACCAUUGCGAGGAAACUGGUCACUAGAAGAGGAACUAUAGCAAGUGGCUUGCUGAGCAUGGUAAGAAGGCCAGGAAUGCUGCUUCAGGCAAAGUUACACUUGUUACAUAUGUUAUAGACAUUUACCUUGCUGACAUACCAAGUAGCUCUUGAGUAUUUGAUACUAGAUCGGUUGUUCAUAUUUGCAACUUGAUGCAGGGGCUGGUAAGAACUAGGCGUGUGGCACAAGGGGAGAUUGACAUCACGGAUAGCAAGAAAGCAAGAGUUGCUGCAUUGGAGGUCGGCGCAAUGCAACUCUAGCUUCCUUUUGGAUUUAUUUUGGAAUUGAAUAAUGGUUAUUACAUUUGUGCACUUAGUCAGAACAUUAUUUCGGUCUCAUGCUUGAUGAGUCAGGGUUAUGAAUUCAAUUUAAAGGACAAUGUUUGUUCAUUUUAUUUGAAUGGUAUGUUCCUCGGCUAUGCACCCAUUGUUGAUGGGCUAUUUAUAUUGAAUCUGGAACAGGAACCGGUCUAUAACAUGAAUGUUAAGAGGCAUAAGCCUAAUGAGAUAAAUCCGACAUACUUCUGGCAUUGCCAGCUUCAACACAUUAGUCUGAAACGCAUGAAGAAGCUCCAUAAUGAUGGGCUCCUAACUUCGUCCGACUUUGGGUCAUUCGAGACAUACGAAUCAUGCUUGCUCGGCAGGACGACUAAGUCUCCUUUCGCAAAGAGUUGUGAGAGGGUGUCUGAGCUAUUGGAGCUUAUACAUAGUGAUGUGUGUGGUCCAAUGAGCACAACUGCCAGAGGUGGCUAUCAGUACUUCAUAACUUUUACCGACGACUUGAGUAGAUAUGGAUAUAUCUAUUUGAUGAGGCACAAGUCGGGAACUUUUAAAAAGUUCAAAGAGUUUCAGAAUGAGGUUGAGAAUCAGCUUGGCAAGACUAUAAAGCUUCUACGAUCUGAUCAUGGAGGUGAGUACAUGAGCCAGGAGUUUGACGAUCAUCUGAAAAGUCAAGGUAUAGUACCUUAGCUCACACCUUCGGGUAUGCCAUAGAGAAACGGCGUGUCGGAACGGAGGAAUAGGACCUUGUUGGACAAGCUCCAGUCUAUGAUGAGCAAAUUGGAUUUACCCUUGUCAUUAUGGGGAUACACUCUAGAAACUGCAGCUUUCACACUUAACAGGGUACCAUCAAAAUCCGUAGACAAGACACCACAUGAGAUGUGGACCACGAAGAGUCCCAGUUUGUCUUUUCUAAAGAUUUGGGGUUGUGAAGCAUUUGUCAAGCGACUUAUGUUAGACCAGCUUACGCCCAAGUCAGAUAAAUGCAUAUUCGUGGGAUAUCCAAGGGAAAUCUUGGGAUAUAGCUUCUACAACCGGGACAAGAACAAAGUGUUUGUUGCUCGGAACGGGGUUUUCCUUGAGAAAGAGUUUCUCAGUCGGGAGACCAAUGGGAGGACGGUCCGACUCAAAGAAAUUCGAGGAACAGUCGGGGACAGCUCGGCUAGUGAUGAGAUCAUACCAGAGCCAGUCAGGGAAUCAUAGUGGAAGCAGCACCGGAACAAUGGAGGUCGAAGAGAUUGUGCAGAGUAUGCGAUGUAUUGUUGCUAGAAAGCGACGAGCCAGCCACAUAUGCGGAAGCGAUGGUUAGCCCAGAUUUUGAGGCGGGCUGGAGGCUAUGAGUUUCGAAUUGAAGUCCAUGGAUGAGAAUCAAGUCUGGGACUUGGUUGAUCCACCGCCUGGCAUAACAACCAUUGGUUGCAAAUGGGUCUUUAAGAAGAAACCCGAUGUGGAUGGAAAUGUUCAGAUCCACAAAGCUCGGCUUACCACUAAAGGUUAUGGACAAGUUCAAGGAAUUGACUACGAUGAGACUUACUCGCUGGUAGCGAUGCUGAAGUCGGUGAAUAUCGUACUAGCUAUAGCUGCAUAUUUCGAUUAUGAGAUAUGGCAGAUGGAUGUCAAAAUGGCUUUCCUUCACAGAAAUUUAACCAAGGACGUGUAUAUGAUACAGUCCAAUGGUUUUGUCGACCCGACCAGCACUAGUAAGGUAUGCAAGCUCAAGAGAUCCAUUUGUGGAUUGAGGCAAGUAUCUCAGAGCUGGAAUAUUCAUUUUGAUGUGGUCAUCACUGGUCUUGUUUUCAUCAAAAGCGAAGAGGACGCUUGUUUAUACAAGCAGUUAAGUGGGAACUUGAUAGUGUUUUUGAUCUUUUACAUGGAUUACAUAUUGUUGAUCGGGAAUGAUGUUUCGAUGCUGAACUCGGUCAAGGAGUCAUUGAAUGGCAAGUUUUCGAUGAAGGAUUGGUGAGGCAGUGUAUAUUUUAGGCAUUCAGAUCUAUAGAGUAGAUCAAGGAGGCUACUCGGCUUAAGCCAGAGCACGUACACAGAUAAAGUGCUGAAGUGGGUCAACAUGAGUGAGGCGAAGAAAGGUUUCUUGCCACUCUCACAUGGUAUAAAGCUAAGCGAGACUCAGAGUCCUUCGACAUCUGAUGAGCGAAGCAGGAUGAGUAGGGUUCCAUAUGCCUCGGCAAUCGGAUCCAUCAUGUAUGCCAUGAUAUGUACAAGGCCAGAUGUUGCUUUUGCAAUAAGCCUAACAAGCAGAUACCAGGCAAACCCCGGUGAGAGUCAGUGGGCAGCGGUGUAUAAUAUUCUGAAGUACCUGAAAAGGACUAAGGAAAUGUUUCUAGUUUAUGGAGGUGAGGAAGAGCUCGUCGUAAGGGGUUAUGCCAAUGCUACUUUCCAAACCGAUAGAGAUGAUUUUUUAUCACAGUCCAGAUUCUUGUAUGUCAUGAACAGAGGAGCAGUGAGCUAGAUGAGUUCCAAGCAAGAUAUGGUGGUCGAUUCUACCAUAGAAGCUGAAUACAUUGCGGCUUGUGAAGCUGCAAAGGAAGGCGUUUGGAUCCGGAACUUUUUGGAUGAUCUUGGUAUUUUCCCAGCCUCGGUAAAACCAUUGGACCUUUAUUGUGAUAAUUCUGGUGCCAUCAAACAAGCCAAGGAGCCGAGGAAUCACCACAAGGUCAGACACGUAGAUCAGAAAUAGCACCUGAUACGAAAGAUCGUAAAGAAUGGUGAUGUAAGUUAUGCAAAUUUCACAUGGAUGCAAAUGUUGUAGAUCCGUUGACUAAGCCGCUUCCACAACCCAAGCAUGAGGGGCAUGUUAGACCUAUGGGCAUUAGAUGUCUAUUUGAUUGACUCUAGUGCAAGUGGGAGACUAUUGGAGAUAUGCCCUAGAAGCAAUCAUGUAUGACGAUAUUUCCUAUGUGUUUAUGAAUAAAGAUAGUCCUUGGACAUUAUGAAUGAUGUGUAUCAGCAAGUACGUGACUUGUUUGAGGGACUAUGCAUUGGAUGAUGACUGUCCUAAAAGGUCCCUAGUAGAAAGGUUGUGUGGACACGUAGCCAACUAGACUAGCAUAUGACACGGUCGAUGGCUUGGUCUGACUAGCCAUGGAGCAUUGGAUGCAAACCGGAUAAUAUGGACUCUGAAGGAUCUGGUUGGAUUCGACGUAGUCGGAUCCGAGUGGAGAUAAGGUCCGAGUCGGACAGACCCAACUAUGAGACGCGGCGAUAUGUCAUCUGUGAGUCUUUAGUACAACAUACGUUCUAUGUCCUAAGACCUGAGUUGGCACAUGUACUCGGGAUGGUGACAGACCUGCUUUGGGCCGACGAAAUGCUACUCCAUGACUGUGUAGUUAGAAAGGUAGGUUUCAGGCUUGUCCAAAUCCAUGCUGUGAUACAUGGUCAAGCAAGAUGGGAUUUGCCCCCUCUGAUCAGGAGAGAUAUACUCUGGGCCCCUUGUGUUAUCCGACCAGGAUAAGCAUGGCCAUGCGACAAGGAUUAUAAGAUAAUCUGGUUUGUGGUUGGCAUCACUGGAACGAGAAAGUGGUCGGGCUAGCACAAGGAUGACAGACUCACCUUGAGCCCGACAACAUAUAUCGUGUGUCAAAAGGAAUAGAAGUGUGAUGUACAGGUUCACCAACCGGCUUCAUUGUCUACUUCGUGGUCGGCACGCCUUGCUUGAGGCUGCUACUAGCCGAGCACGUCGGAGGUGAUCUGACCUGCGACCAAGACAACUUGAAUCUAAGGGGUGGCACGCUUAAGGGAAGGAACCUGUGAGGCCGGAUCGGACUCCAUGAGUCAGGUGAUCCUACUCGAACUCGGAUCCUGGCCGAAUAGAUUUUGUGCUUUAGGGUAUGUGCGAGGCCCAAGUGUUGAGCCCGCGGAGGAUGCCUAUAUAAAGUGGAGAUGCGGCGCACUCAUUCGGUUGAUCGCUUUGGCGCUGUCACUAGGGUUUGCACAUUUUGUGAAUAGCCACCUCAACUCGCUGCCGAUUGUGUGAUCGGACCUAGCAGUCCUCCGCACGGUGUUCCUCCUGCACAUGCGGAUAUUGUUAGAGGUGGUGCACCUGCGCCGCUCUGGCGAACUUGUACGUGGGAUCGGGCGACCGGCUGUUUGAGGGAGAUCAGACGAGGAGGAGAAGAUCCACGUUGACGCAAUUCCCCAACUCUUUUUCCGCUGCACGGCACCACGCGUAUAGUGGUAACGAUCCAUGAUCCAUCUCCUGUAGCAUGUUCUUGGUUGUUCUACAUGUAGGAAAAUUUUAAUUUGUAGUCGACGCACCCUAUUGUAGAUUCCAACACCGACAGUCGUGCCUUACAGGUAGAACUUGCAGAGAUGCUCAAUAUUUCAUGAGUUUUGCAACCGAAUGCCACCUCCGGUUUCCAGACGGACUGCGCAAGGUCUGGUGACUCGUACUACCCGGUAAGGGCCUUCCCACUUUGGCGUCAACUUGUUUGCACCCUUGGCGGACUAAACGCGCCUAAGGACAAGGUUGGCUUCCUCAAAACACCAGGCGUGAACCCUGCGACUGUGAUAGCAACGCAGGGCUUGCUGGUAGCAUGCAGCACACGUAGCAGCCCGAAGACGGUUCUCCUUGAGAAGCACAGCGUCAUCACGCCUAUGUUGUUCCUGCGCUACUUUAUUGUAGGCAAGCACUCGAGGUGACCCAUAAAUGAGUUUCGACGGGAUAAUUGCUUCUGCCCCAUAGACUAGGGAGAAGGGAGUCUGCCCGGUAGCUCAAUUUGGUAUCGUUCUGAGGAACCAAAGAACCACCGGCAGAUCAUCGAUCCAUCGCCUGCCACACUUCUGCAGCUUAUCAGAGGUUCUUGUCUUGAGUCCUCGCAAUACUUCAGCAUUUGCCCUCUCAGCUUGCCCAUUGCUUCUGGGAUGUGCAACAAAGGCAAAUGAGACCUUGCUUCCGAGGGCAUAAACAUAUUGCAUGAAGGCGUGACUCUUGAAUUGGGUGUCGUUAUCGGUGGUGAUCUGGGCAAGGACUCUGAAGCGGCACACCAAUCCUUUCAAGAACUUGAUAGCUGACUGAGCAGUCACCUUUAUCAUGGCUUCUACUUCCGGCCACUUUGUAAACUUGUUGAUUGCUACGAACAAGAAUUCAGAGCUCCCGGUAGCACAGGGGGGGCGAGGAUAUCGAGCCCCUAGACCAAAAAUGGCCAUGACAAAGGGAUUGUCUGAAGAGCUUGGGUAGGCAGAUGGAUGUUCUUGGAAUCGAACUGGCAUGCUUCAAAUUUGGUGACUAGCUCGACAGCAUUUUGGAGGGCAGUGGGCCAAUUGAAUCCUUGACAGAAUGCUUUCCCAACCAAAACCCUUGAUCCAAUGUGGGAGUCGCACAUGCCUUUGUGUAUUUCUGCCAGCAGUUCCUUUCCUUCUUCCUGGCAAAUGCACUUCAGUUUCACACUGUUGGGCCUUCUUCUGUAUAGCACAUCAUUGACGAACUGAUACAUACUGGCCCUCUGGGCUACUCUCUUAGCUUCUUCUUGCUCUUCGGGAAGUUCUCCAGUUUGGAGGAAAUGAACUAUGUGUCGUGCCCAAGUUGGAUCCUGAGGCUCGGGAACAAGGACUAGAGGCACCUCCUCCUUCGCGGGAGCAGACCUCUCGACCAUGGGGACCGGUGGUCUGGUGGGAUGGGGUAGCUCAGCAGCUGAAGGGGAGUUGUUCCCAUCAAGCUUCCUAUUGGGAGCCUCGAGAAGCUCUACCGAGAGAGGCUUGCCGGAGUCCAGUUUCCUCCUCUUCCGGGCUAUUGUUGUCGAGGAUACGGAGGGCUGAGUAAGAUGGAGAACAAAAGUUCCUGGUUCCACAGGGAGAUUUUGCGCAGCGCACUUUGACAGAUGAUCAGCAAUGUUGUUUUCCGCAUGGGGUACAUGCUCUAUUUGCAAUCCUUCAAAGUGCUCCUCCAGCCUCCAUCAACGGACUUUGGUAAUCAUUAUUCACUUGUCGCACCAUGAUCUAUGAGUCUCCGCGGAUGAUCAUCUUCUUGAUCCCCAGUUCCGUGGCAAUCCUGAGCCCGGCAAGGAGCCCUUCAUACUCUGCAGUAUUGUUGGUGGCCUUCUCCCAUGGAAAAUGCAUCAAGACGACGUACUUAAGGUGCUCCCCAGUGGGAGCAACGAGAAGCAUGCCAGCCCCUGCACCUUGUAGGGAGAAGGCACCAUCGAAAUACAUGAUCCAUUCUUGGGGCGUUUCCUUGCCAGGAAUAACUGUCUCUAGCAUUUCUUCAUCAGGGGUUGGCGUCCAUUCUGCGAUAAACUCCACCAAUGCUCUACUUUGGAUAGUUGAUGUGCUCUCAAACUUCAAACCAAAGUUGGAUAAUUCCAAGGCCCAUUCCACUAUCCUGCCGAUGGUCUCAUGGUUUCUGAGUAUCCAUUGCAGAGGGAAGCGGGUGACAACAGUGAUCUCAUGGGCUUGGAAGUAGUGGUGCAGUUUCCUUGAGGCCAUGACAAGGCCAAAAAAUGAACUUUUGCACGCCAGAGUACCUCGACCUAGCCCCCUGCAAUAGGGAACUCAGAAAGUACACUGGGCGCUGCACCAGUUUCUUCCUUGCCGCAACCUUGGGGUUGUCUCCACUGCCUUGCUCUUCUCUGCCUUGAUCUGCAUUUGACUCUGCUGGUGUGUGCUCACUUCCCUCUUCGGAGGGGACACUUGACGUGGCUGCCACUUCCGCUACUUCCCGUUGUGCCACUAGUGCUGCGACAACUACUUGAUUAGUUGCCACCAAGUAUAGCAACAACGGCUCCUGUGGUUUGGGAGCGACCAAAGUGGGCACAGAGGACAAGUAGGCCUUCAAAUCUUGUAGUGCAGCGUCUGCCUCUAGAGUCCACUCCAUGGAUCCUGCCGUCUUCAAGAUUUUGAAGAAUGGUAGGGCAGGCUCAGCAGACUUGGAAAUGAACCUGCUGAGCACGGCAACGCAUCCAGUCAAACGCCUCACAUCCUUGACUGUCUUGGGUUCUUGAAUUUGCUCGAUAGCCUUGAUCUUAUCGGGAUUGGCCUCUAUCCCAUGAUGGGGCACAAAAAACCAAUUAGCUUGAUAGAGGGAAUGCCAAACACACACUUCUCUGGGUUCAGCUUCAAGUUGAUCUGGCGCAGAUUGGCAAAGGUCUCUUCCAAAUCCUGGAGAAGGGUUAAUUUGUCCUCGGUCUUGACUGCAAUAUCAUCCAUAUAAGCUUCAACGUUUAUGUGCAGCUGUGACUCAAAACCAAUCCGGACUACCCUUGCAAAGGUAGAUCCAGCGCUCUUCAAUCCGAAGGGCAUACGUACAAAGCAGUAAGUGCCACAUGGAGUGAUGAACACUAUCAUUUAUUCGUCUUCCUUGGACAUAAAGAUCUGAUGGUACCCAGAGUAGGCAUCCAAAAUAAAGCAGGUCCCACCCAGAGGUGGAAUCCACGAUCUGAUCGAUGAACAUCAAGGGGAAUGGGUCCUUUGGGCAGGCACUGUUCAGUUCAGUGAAAUCUAUGCACAAGCUCCAUUUCCCAUUAGCCUUGUGCACUACCACUGGGUUUGCUAGCCACGUUGGAUGCAGUACUCCUCUAACCAAACCAGCUGCCUCAAGUUUCUUAAUUUCCUCGGCAAUGAACUAUUGCCGCUCCAAAGCUUGCUUUCAGACCUUCUGCUUGACGGGUCGGGCAUGUGGGCACACAGCAAGGUGGUGAUCAAUUACCUCCCUGAUAACACCGGGGAUGUCAGAUGGUUGCCAUGCAAACACAUCGACAUUCGCCUGCAAGAAGGCAACGAGUGUGCUUUCCUAUUUGUUGUCAAGGGUGGCACUGAUUGUAAAGGUACCAUCAGCGCCAGCCAGCCCUGCUGGCACCCUCUUCACAGCAGGUGCAGCAGCUUUGGAUCUCUUGCUAUUGGAACUCUCCGGCAAGUCAUCAACAGGUGUAGCACACUCCAAAGAGGCACGCUUCCCGGAUUCCUCACCGGAUACCUUGUUAGCUUUCUUCUUUUUCUUGUUUUCCUUGGCAGGAACGGCGGCCUCUGCCGCAACUGUGUCCCGAUACAUCUUGUCCACGCAAACGAUUGCAUCCUUCUCGACUGAUGGAAUGGAAAUGACGCCCACUGGCCCUGGCAUCUUCAAGGCAUAGUGUGAUGCCGCCAUGAAUUUGGCAAGAGCUGGGUGUCCGAGGAUUCUGUUGUACAACUGAGGGAGGUCGACCCCAUAAACCACAACUUUCUCAGUCUGGUAAUUCAACUCUCCCCCAAAUGUCAUCGGCAACAUGAUCUUCCCCUUAGGACGACUCCUGCCGGGGUUAAUCCCUUGGAAUGUGCCAGUAACCUCAAGCUCUUCCUCUGUAAUCUGAAGUUUCCUGAUGACCUUCGGAGAAAUCAGAUUCAACCCGGCCCCACCGUCAACCAACAUCUUUGUGACUUUGAGGUUGCGGAUGUUGGUGAGACCAACAAUAGCAAGCACCCUACCGGAGUGGUGCGGUCAGGGUGGUCCACUUCAUCGAAGAUGAUGGGCGUGCGGGACCACUUGAGCGGCCUCCGAGAAUCUGUCGCUGGCUCCAUGACAUUGACUUCACGCGCCCACUGUUUAAGUUGGCAAUGAGAGGAGUGCAGAGAUGCACCUCCGUCAAUGCACAGGGCAUCAGUCGCUUUCUGGAGUUCCUAAUCGCAAGUUUCCUCUUCAUCCCCUCCAUCACUUUCAUCGUUGCAAUCUUCCUUAUCAUGGCCCAUGUCGGGUUUCCCUUGGUUCUGAGCAGCCUUGUCAGGACGACCUGCUUUGCCGCUGUGGCUCUUCUUGCCAGCGCCAUUCUGACCUCUUUCCUUAUCACGCUUCUCAUAUUUAGCCUUUUGCUUCUUGACGAGCUGCUCAACCCGACGACACUGCUAGAGAUCAUGGCCUUUGGUCUGAUGGAUUUUGCAGUAUGGGCCAUCACCUUUCCUAGCCUUCUCGGCAGCCGCGGCCUCCCGGCAAUCAGUGCAUGCAACAUCUUUCUUGCUGGGUACCUCAGUCCUAGCCUUCUUGCCGGUAUUAGGUGUGCCCGAUCCCUCAAUGGUCAUCACUGCCUUAUCCUUGCGCCUUUUAUUGCGCUUCUUAUUCUUCUUCUUCUGACUGGUGGCCUCGUCAUCAUCCUAUGAGUCGACGUUGAUGCCAUCCUCUUCGCUGGGGAGCCGCCUCCCCACCUCCACCCGAGCACACUUGUCCACCAAGGUGUAAAUCUCCUUCACAAUCUUGGGCAAUUGAACGUUCAUCUUGGCACGUAUCCAUCGAUGGUGCACAUUCGACUGGAACGCAACUAUCACAGCCGCCGGGUGGAUGUCUGUAAUAUUUCUAUGAACUUGGUUGAACCUCUGCAUGUACUUCCGCAGAGUCUCUCCUCCUUUUUGUGGGAGAAGCUGCAAGUCGCUGGGCCGUCCUGGUUCUUGAUGGCCACCCGUGAAGGCGCCAAUGAAGCCGUGGCAAAGCUUGGCCUAGGUUGAAAUGUAGUUCUCCAGUAGAUGCAUCAGCCAAGACCUCACAUUUGGCUUGAGUGACAAAGGGAAGUAAUUGGCGAACACCUUCUCAUCUCUUCCUCCGGCAGCUUGAACAGUAAUGGUGUAGAUACUCAAAAACUCUGCCGGGUUUAGCCUCCCAUCGUACUUCUGGUAUCUCUGGCUUGAACAGGCGGGCAGACGGCCAAUGGACUUGCUAUAGCUCUCGGGUGAAGGCGGGGCACCCAGCCUCGAAAGGCAGGUACCCGCCUCGUCGACGUUGGGGCCAUCGCGCCCAUCGGACCGGUGGAUGGUGUCACGGAGUUGCUCGAUGGUGACGUGCGCGCCUUCCCACUGCCUGUCCUCCGAGGCCCACCAUUGGCCUUGUCGUGCUCGAGGAUCGGACGAGGCCAUCGAGAGUUUGUCGGGUUCUUGGUUAUGAGGCUCCCGUGCUGGCUGCCGUGGAGGGGACGACACUGUGGGGGUGGCCCCUUUGGUACGGCCAGUAGCACGGGCGUUGUCGUCACCUGGGGAGGCUUUGGCGGGCCAACUCGCUGUGAUCCUCCUGCCUCAGCGAAACCAACCAGGCUUUGGAUGGUGGCUCACCACUCAUCCAUCUAAUCGGCUGCCGACGGAAAUCUCAACAGCAGUUGGGCCUGCAACACGGCCACCGAGGCGGUGCUUGGCAUGGGUGACGACAAUGUAGACCACACCGUCGCCCUGCUCCUAACGGUGCCAGUAGCGACCGCAUUGUGCUCUCGUUGCUGUGAGCCAGCCGCUUGGAUGGCGUGUUGACGAGGUGGAGGUGCUUGAGGACCAGCGUCUGCGUUCGGCACAACGGCUAGGUCAGCUUGCUCCGAGGGUGGUGCGUGCCCUGCGGUCGCGCCCACAGCAGGAGCACCCGAAGAGUUGCGAUUCACCCCAGAGCAAUCGCCACUGCUGUGGCUGUGCCCUUUGCCCGGGUGGAGGGGUAGCGACGGAAUAAUCUCUCCACCCAUACCUCAUGGAGUGUCACUGCCGGGGUGCUGCUGACGUUAUCCUUCCCUAGUGCCUCCUGCUCCUGUUUCGGCCGCAAGGGAGGUGGUGACGACACCGCCCGCGUCGACCACAUUCCCCGCUAAGGGAGUUCCGGACUAGGGGUGUCCAGAUAGCCGAACUAUCAUCAUCGGCCGGACUCCAAGACUAUGAAGAUACAAGAUUGAAGACUUCGUCCCGUGUCCGGAUGGGACUUUCCUUGGCGUGGAAGGCAAGCUUGGCGAUACGGAUAUAUAGAUUUCCUACCAUUGUAACCGACUUUGUGUAACCCUAGCCCUCUCCGGUGUCUAUAUAAACCAGAUGGCUUUAGUCCAUAGGACGAACAACAAUCAUACCAUAGGCUAGCUUCUAGGGUUUUAGCCUCCUUGAUCUCGUGGUAGAUCUACUCUUGUAACACAUAUCAUCAAUAUUAAUCAAGCAGGACGUAGGGUUUUACCUCCAUCAAGAGGGCCCGAACCUGGGUAAAACAUCGUGUCCCUUGUCUCCUGUUACCAUCCGCCUAGACGCACAGUUCGGGACCCCCUACCCGAGAUCCGCCGGUUUUGACACCGACAUUGGUGCUUUCAUUGAGAGUUCCUCUGUGUUGUCACCGAUAGGCUCGAUGGCUUCUUCGACCAUCAUCAAUGAUGCAGUCUAGGGUGAGACCUUUCUCCCCGGACAGAUCUUCGUAUUCGGCGGCUUUGCACUGCGGGCCAAUUCGCUUGGCCGUCUGGAGCAGAUCGAAAGCUACGCCCCUGGCCGUCAGGUCAGAUUUGGAAGUUUGAACUUCAUGGCUGACAUCCGCGGGGACUUGAUCCUCGAUGGAUUCGAGCCACAGCCGAGCGUGCCGUGCUAUCACGGCGAGCAUGAUUUAGCUCUGCAGCCACACAGUACCCUGGAGGCUGCACUCGAACCCGCUCCGAUCUUCAAUUCGGAGCCGGCUACGCAGAUCGAGGACGGAUGGCUAGACACCGCCUCGGGGGCUGCAACCUCUACGGCGAUGGAGCCGAACAAUGACCUUGUCCCUCAUGAAGUUCGUGACUCCGAGGUGCCGGACUCCUUGCCGGACUCCGAACCUCCAGCGCCCUCUCCGAUCGAAUCCGAUCGGGCACCAAUCAUGGAGUUCACCGCAGCGGACAUCUUUCAACACUCACCUUUUGGCAACAUCUUGAGUUCGCUAAAGUAUCUGUCGUUAUCAGGAGAGCCCUAGCCGGACUGCGGUCAGGACGGUUGGGAUGCGGACGACGAAGAAAUUGAAAGCCCACCCACCACCCACUUGGUAGCCGCUGUCGACGAUCUAACCGACAUGCUAGACUACGACUCCGAAGACAUCGGCGGUAUGGACGAAGAUGCCGGAGACAACCAAGAACCAAGAACCACCUCAUCAUAUGACAUAUACAUGGUGGAUAUCCCAAAGGAUGGGAAUGGUGAAGGAACAGAGGAGGAUGACCCCUCCAAGAAAUAGCCCAAGCGUCGGCGUCAGCGGCGCCGCUCUAAAUCCCGCCACAGCAAGAAUGAAGAUUCCGGCACCGGAGACAAUAAUACACCGGAUAGUGCCGAAGACAACCCACUCCAGCAAGAUCCAGCGCAGGAGGAUGGAGACGCCAGCCCUCAUGAGAGAGCGGCAGAAGAAGAGGUAGAGGAUUAUAUGCCUCCCUCCGGAGACGAAGCAAGCCUCGACGAUGAUUAAUUCGUCGUGCCUGAGGAUCCCGUCGAACAAGAGCAUUUUAAACGCAGGAUUAUGGCCACGGCGAACAGCCUCAAGAAAAAGCAGCAACAGCUUAGAGCUGAUCAAGAUCUGCUAGCCGACAGAUGGACUGAAGUCCUCGCGGCCGAAGAGCAUGAGCUCGAACGCCCCUCCAAAAACUACCCUAAACGCAAGCUGCUCCCCCGAUUAGAGGAGGAAGUGUAUGAACCCGCAUCACUAGGAGACAAUACGGCUGACCGACCACCCCGUGGUCGCGACAGAGAGGCCUCUAGGACCUUCACUAGACCCGUACCCCGGCAUCGCUCAAAAAGCACAAGGCCACAAGGGAAUGCUCCGGACUUGCGAGAUAUAUUGGAGCAUAAGGCAAGACAAUCAAGAUCAAUCUAUGGAUCGCGUGGGCGCCCCACGGUACGUGACGACAGCCGUCCCGCCAGACACAGUAAGUCCGGCCGGGUCGAUCAAAACAGACAAAGUUCUUCUGAGCUCCAUCGUGAUAUCGCCCAGUACAGAGGCGCCGCACACCCACUAUGCUUCACAGAUGAAGUAAUGGAUCAUCAAAUCCCCGAAGGGUUUAAACCCGUGAAUAUCGAAUCUUACAAUGUCACAACAGACCCCGCAGUUUGGAUCGAAGACUAUCUUCUUCACAUCCACAUGGCCCGCGGUGACGAUCUUCACGCCAUCAAAUAUCUCCCCCUCAAGCUUAAAGGACCAGCCCGGCAUUGGCUUAACAGCUUGCCAGCAGAGUCAAUUGGGAGUUGGGAAGACCUGGAAGCUGCAUUCCUCGAUAACUUCCAAGGCACGUAUGUGCGACCACCAGACGCUGACGACCUAAGCCACAUAAUUCAAUAGCCAGAUGAAUCGGCCAGACAAUUCUUGACACGGUUCUUAACCAAGAAAAACCAAAUCGUCGACUGUCCGGAUGCGGAGGCCCUCGCGGCCCUCAAGCAUAACAUCCGCGAUGAGUGGCUUGCCCGGCACCUGGGACAGGAAAAGCCGAAAUCCAUGGCAGCCCUCACAUCACUCAUGACCCGCUUCUGCGCGGGUGAGGAUAGCUGGCAAGCACGCAGCAACAACCUCAGCAAAAAUUCUGGCAGUCCGGAUUUCAAGGACCGAAAUGGCAGGUCGCGUCGUAACAAAAACAAGCGCCGCAUCAACGGCGACAAUAGUGAGGAUACGGUAGUCAAUGCCGGAUUCAGAGGCUCUAAACCCGGUCAGCGGAAAAAGCCAUUCAAAAGAACUGCUCCGGGUCCGUCCAAUUUGGACUGAAUACUCGACCGCUUGUGCCAGAUACACGGCACCCCCGAAAAGCCAGCUAACCACACCAAUAGGGACUGUUGGGUAUUCAAGCAGGCAGGCAAGUUAAUUGCCGAAAACAAUGACAAGGGGUUGCGUAGCGAUGACGAGGAACAGACCCGACCGCCGAACAAUAGAGGACAGAAGGGUUUCCCCCCAUAGGUGCGGACGGUGAACAUGAUAUACGCAACGCACAUACCUAAAAGGGAGCGGAAGCGUGCACUCAGGGAUGUAUACGCGAUGGAGCCAGUCGCCCCGAAGUUCAAUCCAUGGUCCUCCUGCCCGAUCACUUUUGACUGAAGAGACCACCCCACCAGCAUCCGCCAUGGAGGAUUCGCCGCAUUGGUCUUAGACCCAAUCGUCGAUGGAUUUCACCUCACCAGAGUCCUGAUGGACGGCGGCAGUAGCCUGAACCUGCUCUAUCAUGAUACAGUGCGCAAAAUGGGCAUAGACCCCUCAAGGAUUAAACCUACCAAGACGACCUUUAAAGGCGUCAUACCAGGUGUAGAAGCCAAUUUUACAAGCUCAGUUACACUGGAAGUGGUCUUCGGAUCCCCGGAUAACUUCCGAAGCGAGGAGUUAAUCUUCAACAUAGUCCCAUUCCGCAGCGGCUAUCAUGCCUUGCUCGGGCGUACCGCGUUUGCAAAGUUCAAUGUGGUGCCGCACUACGCAUACCUCAAGCUCAAGAUGCCAGGCCCUCGAGGAGUCAUCACGGUCAACGGAAACACUGAACGUUCUCUCCAAACGGAGGAACACACAGUGGCUCUCGCGGCAGAAGUACAAUGCAACAUCUUAAGGCAAUUCUCGAGUCCGGCCAUUAAGCGGCCGGACAUAGCUAAGCGCGCCCAGAGUAACCUACAACAAGACCACUUGGCACGUUCCGGGCACGCGUAGCAGUGCGGCACCAACCCCAGCCCCUGCAAAAAGUCAAAACAGGUCCUUCGCGUACACCAUUACGCUCUGAAGAUACCAUGGGCAUGGGGAGAGGGGCACGACCACGAUAAGCCCAGACUGCGGCUCAACCACACCAGGGGCUCUCAAGUGUGUCGUUCUUUUUUUUCUUCUUUUUACCUUUUAUUUUUUACCCACAGGACUCCGUUCGUCAGAAGCCCUGUCCGGCAGCAGACCUGCCGAACUCACGAUGCAACAGCCAGGGAAGGAUAAAGGCUACAACGAAUAUACAGGUGGUCUCCAUUACGAGCAUUUUUAUACACCAAUCCGCAGCCUACCCCUGGAGAGGGACAUGUUUAACAGUCCCAUCCCUUCCUUAUCGCACUAUUUGUAUCGUUCUGCAUUCAUAGCAGUACUUAUUGAAUAAAACAAUGCAGCACCUUUUUGCUUAUAAUUGCAUUUCUUUUCAUACAUAUGUUCAUUUACGACAUGUCGCAUCCGUACACUUUGGUACGGUUAAAACACACCAGGGGCUUAUGUUUCCCGCAUCAUGGUGUUAUAAGUCCGAACACUUUCACAAGUGCGGCACCCCGAACUUAUAGCAUUAUAUGCAUCGGCUCCGAAUCAUGUCUUGGGUCAAUAGUUGGGUUUGCCCGGCUCCCAUGUUUUGGUACCUUACGUUCCAUUGUAUCGGCUAAGGUAGCACUAGGAGAACCACUGCGAUUGCGCCCCAGUUGAGCUGGGUUAACGCCUCAGUGGAGAAAGCUAAAACUGUCGUCAUGAUGAGGCGAGAGCCGGUCGUUGUUCGAGAGGUUUUUGCGAGUCCUUAAAGACUUAUGCCGCUUAGAGCGAGGAGCCGGAUCUUGUCCAGCCCAGGCGUGGAUAGCGCCCCAAAUUUGGCCUUCCGAAGACUAGGGGCUUCCCCGAAAUUUAAAAUUAUAGAAUUCUAUGGCUAAGUGAGAGUGUUCAAGCAUUAUAUGUCCGGUUGCCUUGUUCGCUGUGUUGAGCGCCUCCCUAGAUGGACCCAAAAAUGGGAACAAGAGUGCUCAAGUUUAUCCCGAACACCCCAGCACUCGUGGCAUGGGUCCGAAGCCGACGACUUGCCAUCUCUCAGAUUUGAUAAAUAGCCGCACAGAAGGUAAUAUGUUAAAUUAACAAACGUUGCUUAGUGCAUAUGAACUAAGUUUUCAGCGCACAGGAUAACAAAAUGCGAGUCUACUCAAAAAUUACAUCUUUGGAGCACUCCCCCGCAAUAGUGCGGGCGCCCUUCAGCACACUCUUAUAAUACAUCUCGGGCAUGCGAUGCUCCUUGCCCUCUGGUGGCGGGUCCGUCACAAGCUUCUAGGCAUCCAUCUUGCCCCAGUGCACCUUUGCGCGGGCAAGGGCCCGACGGGCACCCUCAAUACAGGCAGAGUGCUUGAUGACUUCAACCCACAGGCACGCAUCCACCAGCCGCCGCACCAGGCCGAAGUAUCUCCCAGGCAUGGCCUCCUAAGGCCACAGCCGAACUAUGAGGCCCUUUGUGACGCCCGGGUAAUCAAGCUACAGUAACCCUGCGCUAAUGAUGCCACGUCACCUAGGUUACUGCUAGUAAACUCGUGUUAGUUCAAAACGAUUCAAAUUCAAAUUUAAAAUAUAAGCAAACAACAAAAGUUUUUCAAAAUUUAAAACAAAAAUGUUCGGGAGAUGCCAUAUUUUACAUAAGUCAAUAUGGUGUAAUAGACACAAUUUUAUAAAAUGUCUAAAUAAUUUAAACUGAUUUAAAACAGAAAAGUAAAUAAAUAAAAGAAAAGAAAUAAAGACUAAAACAAAACAAAAGAGAAGAAACCCCCCCGGGGCUCCGGCCCAGCAGGCAACCGGCCCAACUGGGCCACGACCUGCCAGGCCGGCCCAAAUCCCCACCGGCCCCAUCCGGCCCACCCCGUGCCCCAUAACCUCCCCCCACUCCCCCAUGGACCCACCGACACUCCCCCGCACCCCCCUCGCAAAAUAUCUCUCCCCUUCUCCCCCGAUUGGAUCGGGAUCGAGGGAGGAGGCCCUCGCCGCAGUCGGGACCGCGCCGACGCCACCCGNNNNNNNNNNNNNNNNNNNNNNNNNNNNNNNNNNNNNNNNNNNNNNNNNNNNNNNNNNNNNNNNNNNNNNNNNNNNNNNNNNNNNNNNNNNNNNNNNNNNNNNNNNNNNNNNNNNNNNNNNNNNNNNNNNNNNNNNNNNNNNNNNNNNNNNNNNNNNNNNNNNNNNNNNNNNNNNNNNNNNNNNNNNNNNNNNNNNNNNNNNNNNNNNNNNNNNNNNNNNNNNNNNNNNNNNNNNNNNNNNNNNNNNNNNNNNNNNNNNNNNNNNNNNNNNNNNNNNNNNNNNNNNNNNNNNNNNNNNNNNNNNNNNNNNNNNNNNNNNNNNNNNNNNNNNNNNNNNNNNNNNNNNNNNNNNNNNNNNNNNNNNNNNNNNNNNNNNNNNNNNNNNNNNNNNNNNNNNNNNNNNNNNNNNNNNNNNNNNNNNNNNNNNNNNNNNNNNNNNNNNNNNNNNNNNNNNNNNNNNNNNNNNNNNNNNNNNNNNNNNNNNNNNNNNNNNNNNNNNNNNNNNNNNNNNNNNNNNNNNNNNNNNNNNNNNNNNNNNNNNNNNNNNNNNNNNNNNNNNNNNNNNNNNNNNNNNNNNNNNNNNNNNNNNNNNNNNNNNNNNNNNNNNNNNNNNNNNNNNNNNNNNNNNNNNNNNNNNNNNNNNNNNNNNNNNNNNNNNNNNNNNNNNNNNNNNNNNNNNNNNNNNNNNNNNNNNNNNNNNNNNNNNNNNNNNNNNNNNNNNNNNNNNNNNNNNNNNNNNNNNNNNNNNNNNNNNNNNNNNNNNNNNNNNNNNNNNNNNNNNNNNNNNNNNNNNNNNNNNNNNNNNNNNNNNNNNNNNNNNNNNNNNNNNNNNNNNNNNNNGCGGCCAGUCGCCGGCCACCACUCGCCUGGCCGGCGCCUUCGCCACCGGCGCCCCGCAUCGCUUUGUUGGGCUGCGCCCGCGGCGCCCAGCGCCCACGCCCGUUCGGGCGAGCGCCCGCACCCGCGCCCGUUUAGCCUCAUGGGCCACUGACCACAGUGGCCCACGCCCCAGAACGUUAAAAAAAGAGAAUUAAAAAUAAAAAUAAUAAAUAAAAAUAAAAAUGAUUUAAUAAAAUUAAUUAUUAAUUAAUUAAUUAUCUAAUGAAUUAAUUAAGUUAAUUAAUCCGGUUUAAUUAAUUUAAUUAACUAGUUAGGUUAAUUAAAUAGUAAUUAAAUUAACUAAUCUGUAAUUAACCUAAACAGUGUAUGACAGGUAGGUCCCACUGGACCCACCUGUCAGGUUGACCAAGUCAACUCUGUUGACUGCUCAUGUCAGCAUGACAUCAUGCUGAUGUGAUUAAUCUGUUUUCCAAAUUAAUUAAAUAAUUAAUUAAAUUCCAGGAAUUAAUAAAAUCUUUAGAAAAUCAUAUCUUUUAAUCCGUAACUCGGAUUAAAAUGUUUUCAACAUGAAAGUUGCUCAGAACGACGGGACGAAUCCAGGUACGCAGUCAGUUCGUCCGCCACACACCCCUAACCUAUCGAACCCGCAACUUUCCCCCUCCGGCUCCUCUGCCCGAAAACACGAAACACCGGGGAUAUUUUCCCGGAUGUUUCCCCCCUUAACCGGCAUCACCUCACACCACGUCAGGUCACGCCUAGCAUCAUUACUUGUCAUUUCAUGCAUCAAUAUGCAUUUGUUUACAUGGUAUUCAUUGUUUCUUCCCCCUCUUCUCUCCGGUAGACUAAGAGACCGACNNNNNNNNNNNNNNNNNNNNNNNNNNNNNNNNNNNNNNNNNNNNNNNNNNNNNNNNNNNNNNNNNNNNNNNNNNNNNNNNNNNNNNNNNNNNNNNNNNNNNNNNNNNNNNNNNNNNNNNNNNNNNNNNNNNNNNNNNNNNNNNNNNNNNNNNNNNNNNNNNNNNNNNNNNNNNNNNNNNNNNNNNNNNNNNNNNNNNNNNNNNNNNNNNNNNNNNNNNNNNNNNNNNNNNNNNNNNNNNNNNNNNNNNNNNNNNNNNNNNNNNNNNNNNNNNNNNNNNNNNNNNNNNNNNNNNNNNNNNNNNNNNNNNNNNACUCUAUACUGCUUGCAUUAGAGUGGUGUAGCAUGUUACUUCUUUCUGUUAUACCUAUCCUGAUGCAUAGCCUGUCCUUGAUACUACUGUUGUUACCUUUACCUGCAAUCCUAUAUGCUUAGUAUAGGAUGCUAGUAUAUUCAUCUGUGGCCCUACAAUCUUGUCCGUCAGCCGUGCUAUACUAUCGGGCCGUGAUCACUCGGGAGGUGAUCAUGGGUAUAUACUAUAUACUUUAUACAUGAUACAUGUGGAGACUAAAGUCGGGUCGGCUGGUGGAGCACCCGCGAGUGGAUCUUUGUGGCGGAGCGACAGGGCAGGUUGAGACUGCCUAGGAGAGAGGUGGGCCUGGCCCUGUUCGGCGUUCGCGGAUACUUAACACGCUUAACGAGAUCUUGGUAUUUGAUCUGAGUUGGCUACGAGCCUAUACGCACUAACCAACUACGUAGGAAAGAUAUGGGCACUCGGCGUCGUGGUAUCAGCCGAAGCACUUCGUGACGCCAGCGACUGAGUGGCGCGCGCCGGAUUGGAACGUAAGCCUGCUCUUGUAUUAAGGGGGCUAGUUCUGCUUUGGGCCGCGUACGCAACAUGCAGGUGUGCUAUGGGCGAUGGGCCCAGACCCCUGUGCGCUUAGGUAUAGACCGGCGUGCUGGCCUCUCUGUUGAGCCUAGGUGGGGCUGCAACGUGUUGAUCUUUCGCGGCCGGGCAUGACCCGGGAAAGUGUGUCCGGCCAAAUGGGAUCAAGCGUGUUGGGUAAGUUGGUGCACCUCUGCAGGGAAGUUAAUCUAUUCGAAUAGCCGUGAUCUUCGGUAACAGGACGACUUGGAGUUGUACCUUGACCUUAUGACAACUAGAAUCGUAUACUUAAUAAAACACACCCUUCCAAGUUCCACAGACAACCCGGUGAUCGCUUUUCCACAGGGCGACGAGGGGAGGAUCGCCGGGUAGGAUUAUGCUAUGCGAUGCGACUGGAGAUGCUACUUGGAUAUGCUACUUGGAGAUGCUACUUGGAGAUGCUACUUGGAGGACUUCAAUCUACUCUCUUCUACAUGCUGCAAGACGGAGGCUGCCAGAAGCGUAGUCUUCGACAGGAUUAGCUAUCCCCCUUUUAUUCUGGCAUUCUGCAGUUCAGUCCACCGAUAUGGCCCUUUACACAUAUACCCAUGCAUAUGUAGUGUAGCUCCUUGCUUGCGAGUACUUUGGAUGAGUACUCACGGUUGCUUUUCUCCCUCUUUUCCCCUUGCCCUUCUACCUGGUUGUCGCAACCAGAUGUUGGAGCCCUGGAGCCAGACGCCACCGUCGACGAUGAUUCCUACUACACUGGAGGUGCCUACUGCUACGUGCAGGCUGCUGACGACGACCAUGAGUAGUUUAGGAGGAUCCCAGGCAGGAGGCUUGCGCCUCUUUCGAUCUGUAUCCCAGUUUGUGCUAGCCUUCUUAAGGCAAACUUGUUUAACUUAUGUCUGUACUCAGAUAUUGUUGCUUCCGCUGACUCAUCUAUGAUCGAGCACUUGUAUUCAAGCCCUCGAGGCCCCUGGCUUGUAUUAUGAUGCUUGUAUGACUUAUUUAUGUUUUAGAGUUGUGUUUGAGUCCCUGAUCUUGAUCGUACACAUUUGCGUGCAUGAAUAGUGUAUGAUAGAAUCGGGGGCGUCACAAGUUGGUAUCAGAGCCAACUGCAUGUAGGAAUUCCCCCUUCCAUACUCCUUGGCCGAAGUCGAGUCUAGACAUUGCAAAACUUUUACUAACAUGGCUGUGUGCCUUACGGGCCCACGUCGCCAUCUGGGUGGUAUUAGGAUCUUUUACUCCUCGAUCCUUACUCUGGGAGUCUGAGCUCUCUUCUACUCGGGUUAAAUGAAUUUUGCUAAAUCUAACAUUAGGAUCUCAUUAUCUCUUUCACCCGGAGAGCCCCUUAUUACUGAUGAUCGUGUGCUACACGCGGAGACCCUGAAGAUACUCUCCGCUGUUAACCCGAGAACUUGUGUUCAUCGCGUUUGCAAUUCCCUUCCACCAUCAACCCUUAUGGAUAACUACUUGCAGUUGUUAUUCUUACAUUCAUCCCCAGUUGGUCUUGUUAUUACAAGAUACCCCGAAUUACUCGUCGAUGUUUCGAUAAUCCUUUAAGCUUACUGCCUUGCAGUUAUUUGUCACCUGAAUACCCCUAUGGAAAAUUCUCACACUUAUCGAGUAUCCGCUCAUCCCCCAGUUGUUCAUGUGUUUCACAAUGGUCUUCGAAAUACUAUUUGAUCUUUCGAAAAUCCCGAGCAGCCUAUUGCUCUUGAAAUUCUCGCUUUCUUAAAUUGCGGUUAAUCCAAUAAGUUUCGUAAUCUUAUUGGCCUCCCUUGUCUUUAUCAUUUUAAGUCCGUUGAUUCAAUAUGUUGAGGAUGCCCGCAUUCCUCGGUCGAAUCCUAGGAUUCAUCCUUCCGGCUCAGACGUCAUUUGGAUAUGAGUUGGUUCUUGACCAAUCAAUGCCUUGAUCGUUUGUGCUUCUAAGUCUAUUGAACUUAUUCAUUUUUGAUCAGAACGAUUGCUUCUGAUCCCUUGAUUUGGGAAUCAUAAAAUUUCUUUGCAUUAAGCUUUGAAUUAGUCAGUUGUUUCUAUAAUCCGAUGCCUUGGCAUUCCUUCUUCCUUUGAUUGAGUACCGAUACUCACAUCAGCCCCGUUGUGGACCGCCAUACCCAUUGCCGGGUUAUUUUUCCGACAAUGUCCUCCACAACCAAAAUUCUUGUGAGUUCUUUACCUAAUACAUAAUGCCCUUGUAAAUUGUAUACUCUACUUUUGUCAGCCAUGCUCUACUUUGACCUUGUGUUAUUUACUCCUGAAGUUCAUGGUAUAUGUUCUAAGAAGCCCCGAUGGGUUGAACCUAUGCCUUCCUUAAUCUGUGUGAACCCGAAAGUUUUCACGGGUCAUACUCCUCUGGUAAUUCACCGGGUAGGUUUUGACACUAAGAUCAUUUUUACCUAGAGCAAUGAAUGAAAGGUUAUGCAUUGAAGAAGUGGGAGUCGACCUUGAACUUUGUGUUCAUGCCCAUGGACAUGAUGUAGAUCUUACCAUUAAAGCUUCUCUUUAAUUAAUUAUUCCCUUGGUAGAAGUUCAUCUUAUAUCUGGGAUCUGGCCUUCUACAAUCGUGGUUCCGACCAUGUUCUUCUCUGAUCCCAUUUCUCAGGCAAGUUUAAGAACUUGUUUUCUGUAGGUCAAUACACCAGUCCAACCUUUACUUUGACAUGUCGUCGAGUAUUACCCCCUGGUAUCUCGAGAUUAUCAUGGAACUGCAUAACCUCUUAUGAGUUCUUCAUCAGGUAUUACAUUCGCACGGACUCCAAUUUUUCACGGGCUUUGAGUUAUGAAACACUCAAGGACACCGAUAACGGAAUCGAGUCUGCACUGUGAUUCAACGAGGAUUAGAGAUCUUCAUCGCUUACAAGUUUAAUACUCCAUGUCUGUCCUAGCCUGAACGGAUACAUCAUUAUCGUGCUAAUUUUAAUCAUCAACAUUCUGAGCUCUUCAAGGGUAUCAACUAAAUUCAUGAUGAGAAAUACCAUCCUUGCCCCUGAUGAUUUGUGUUAUCAUCGGCCACUUUAUUGCCUUCCCUCCAACACAAACUUGUUCAUGUUUUGUGUUAUACCUUGAGUUCCUUGCUAUCCAACAUUUGUCCUUCUUUACCUUGGAACAUUACCACCUUUUAUGUCAAGAAUGUCGUGGCAAUUUUACCACCUCUUGAGAAUUCUUGAUAUAGUAAUAUCUCUCGCCAUUUGCGUUCAUUCUUGGUCUCCGUGUUGUUUCUAACCGGAAUACCGACAAAUAGUCUGUGAUGUGUAAAUUCUAAACUUCUAGCAACCCUAUUGCUUUGAAGUUAUUGGUCUACAGUUUCUUUAGAAAUUCUAUUGCUUAUUGAAUCAUCAUUCGAACAUUGAUCGUGCUACCUAGUCCAGAUUCCUGGGUGCACCCUUCUAUCAUUGUUCAGUUGAGUAUGUUCCCCUCGAGCAUACAUCAUUAUAUCAUUGAUCCGACAAAUGAUAUUUCCUUGUUCACAUAAUUGUGGAAAUCCAUCUUUUGGAAAUCUUGAUGAAUUGUCGUUGAGUUUAUCAGCCACCUCCUCAUCCUCUCCUUCGUUUACUGAUGAACUCUUGUUUCAGAACCCGCUUCCAUUGUUCAUUUCCCAAGAAUCUUAUGAUGUCUUCUCGUCAAUUUGUGUUGCACCUUUUCUUCUCAGACAUUCUGAGUCUGAUGUAUCCUGACACCAAUCAGAUCUGAAUCUCGGUCAGAUAUGAUGGUUGGAACAUAUUUCCAAGAGUUAUAACCUUGGUCUUAUGUGACCCGGUCAGGUGAUGUCGUGCCUAGAACACCUGGCCGGUUGGCCCUAUUGUUAUAGAUUCCUUUUCAGCAAGGUUAUCCAUUCGUCCAUGAGGAAAUUAUAAGACUUAUUCUACAAGUUAUUCCUGAUGGAUCCUUGUGUUUCCAAAGUCUGAUCUUUGCUUAAAGACCUUGUCAAUGCUAUCUCGAAGCAUGUAUGUGGUACUUCGAUUUUCAACAAGAAAGUUUGAAAUCCAAUGCUAAAUGUUUCUUGCUCAAUUAUCCAAACACCGUUGUAUGGGUAAUGUCAUGAAAUUUCUCUCUCCCCUUACCUAAAGGGUUUUCUACCUUAUGUCCUGUCUUGGAUAUCAUGCUCUGCUUGACUUUGGGAAGGAUAUACCCCUGACAUAUGUGUUUAAACACAUUUUCUUUUCAUUGUUCUAUUUAAAUCUGAUGAUCACAAUGUCCUUUCCAUUGUCUUGUUUAAACUUUCUCGUGGUUUAUAUGAUCUAAGCAGUAAUGAUACACUGCUUAUAUAAACACCUCGGUUGUACGACUCUGUCAAUAAGACCUUGUUACUAUUGUUGAUGACAUUCUAGUAGCCACCGAUGGACGAGAACCUUGCCUAUUGGUCCGCCUCAUUCAACGAGCAGGAAAAUGGUUCUCUUCGUCCCUCGCCCUUGGUACUGACAUUGUUGCCGACAUAACUGAUAGGAUAUCCUCUAACAUGCCUUGCUUGCAUGAUUGUGCAAGACGUCAUCGCUUUUCCUACUUUUAACCCACAUUGUGGGCCCAUAACCCACAGUUCUACAGGAUCAAAACCUGACUCUCCUAUACACCCUAUUGCCAAAGUUAUUCCUAGAGCUUGACUUCGAAUGUAAUUUGCGAGCCACCUUCCUAGUGAUCAAUUCUGGUAUCGGAGACAAUACUUAUUCCCGUUGCUCUGAACCCCAUUCACACUCUGUUUCAGGCAAUGAACGAUUGCCUAUCCGUUUGAAACUUCUAAUUGCACCGUAUUACUUUGUUCUCGAUGUGUUUCAUUUGUUCAACUCGAGAGAUACUCAUAUGAUCAUACUUGGGAAACCCCCAGAAGAUUUUCCCUUAUAACAUCAUAUCGUUGUAGAGCUGCCCCUUACCUAUUCGUAAGUACGAUGGAGAUCCCGAAGAAAGGAUGACAAUUGAUCAUGGUGACUUGAAGCAGUGAAAUGAAGCAAUCAACGAAAGGGAUCAACCUCUUAGAAAGGGCAGCCAAGACCGAGAAGACUCGUUAGGUUUUUCGCUACCAACACCUUCGCCCCUUACUCCACCGCUUAAAUCUCGGGACGAGAUUUCUUGUAGUGGAGGAGAAUUGUGACGCCCGGGUAAUCAAGCUACAGUAACCCUGCGCUAAUGAUGCCACGUCACCUAGGUUACUGUUGGUAAACUCGUGUUAGUUCAAAACGAUUCAAAUUCAAAUUUAAAAUAUAGGCAAACAACAAAAGUUUUUCAAAAUUUAAAACAAAAAUGUUCGGGAGAUGCCAUAUUUUACAUAAGUCAAUAUGGUGUAAUAGACACAAUUUUAUAAAAUGUCUAAAUAAUUUAAACUGAUUUAAAACAGAAAAGUAAAUAAAUAAAAGAAAAGAAAACAAGACUAAAACAAAACAAAAGAGAAGAAACCCCCCGGGGCUCCGGCCCAGCAGGCAACCGGCCCAACUGGGCCACGACCUGCCAGGCCGGCCCAAAUCCCCACCGGCCCCAUCCAUCCCACCCCGUGCCACAUAACCUCCCCCCCCCACUCCCCCAUAGACCCACCGACACUCCCUCGCACCCCNNNNNNNNNNNNNNNNNNNNNNNNNNNNNNNNNNNNNNNNNNNNNNNNNNNNNNNNNNNNNNNNNNNNNNNNNNNNNNNNNNNNNNNNNNNNNNNNNNNNNNNNNNNNNNNNNNNNNNNNNNNNNNNNNNNNNNNNNNNNNNNNNNNNNNNNNNNNNNNNNNNNNNNNNNNNNNNNNNNNNNNNNNNNNNNNNNNNNNNNNNNNNNNNNNNNNNNNNNNNNNNNNNNNNNNNNNNNNNNNNNNNNNNNNNNNNNNNNNNNNNNNNNNNNNNNNNNNNNNNNNNNNNNNNNNNNNNNNNNNNNNNNNNNNNNNNNNNNNNNNNNNNNNNNNNNNNNNNNNNNNNNNNNNNNNNNNNNNNNNNNNNNNNNNNNNNNNNNNNNNNNNNNNNNNNNNNNNNNNNNNNNNNNNNNNNNNNNNNNNNNNNNNNNNNNNNNNNNNNNNNNNNNNNNNNNNNNNNNNNNNNNNNNNNNNNNNNNNNNNNNNNNNNNNNNNNNNNNNNNNNNNNNNNNNNNNNNNNNNNNNNNNNNNNNNNNNNNNCAACCGCGCCGGACCGCCCCGCCCCGUCUCCUCCUUUCCCCGCGCUCGUCGCGCUCACCGUGACCCUCGCGUCCAUGGCCGCGCCCUCUCCCCCCAGGUCGGCUCGCCGUCCGCGCUCGGUGCGUGACCGCACCCCGGCCUCCUCACCCUCCGGCGACGCCGGCCCCUCCCCGCUCCCCCGUGCUGCUCCCCUACCUCUGCCUCGCGCGAGCGCGCCCCUGAACACCGUCCCGUGCCUCCUCUACUGACCGCACUGGUCGCGGCCAGUCGCCGGCCACCACUCGCCUGGCCGGCGCCGUCGCCACCGGCGCCCCGCAUCGCUUUGUUGGGCUGUGCCCGCAGCGCCCAGCGCCCACGCCCGUUCGGGCGAGCACCCGCACCCGUGCCCGUUUAGCCUCAUGGGCCACUGACCAGAGGGGCCCACGCCCCAGAACGUUAAAAAAGAGAAUUAAAAAUAAAAAUAAUAAAUAAAAAUAAAAAUGAUUUAAUAAAAUUAAUUAUUAAUUAAUGAAUUAUCUAAUGAAUUAAUUAAGUUAAUUAAUCCAGUUUAAUUAAUUUAAUUAACUAGUUAGGUUAAUUAAAUAGUAAUUAAAUUAACUAAUCUGUAAUGAACCUAAACAGUGUAUGACAGGUAGGUCCCACUGGACCCACCUGUCAGGUUGACCAAGUCAACUCUGUUGACUGCUCAUGUCAGCAUGACAUCAUGCUGAUGUCAUUAAUCUGUUUUCCGAAUUAAUUAAAUAAUUAAUUAAAUUCCAGAAAUUAAUAAAAUCUUUAGAAAAUCAUAUCUUUUAAUCCGUAACUCGGAUUAAAAUAUUUUCAACAUGAAAGUUGCUCAGAACGACGGGACGAAUCCGGAUACGCAGUCAGCUCGUCCGCCACACACCCCUAACCUAUCGAACCCGCAACUUUCCCCCUCCGGCUCCUCAGCCCGAAAACAUGAAACACCGGGGAUAUUUUCCCGGAUGUUUCCCCCCAUAACCGGCAUCACCUCACACCACGUCAGGUCACGCCUAGCAUUGUUACUUGUCAUGUCAUGCAUCGAUAUGCAUCUGUUUACAUGGUAUUCAUUGUUUCUUCCCCCUCUUCUCUCCGGUAGACUACGAGACCGACGCUAUUGCUGCCCAGUUCGACUACGGAGUUGACGACCCCUCUCUCUUGCCAGAGAAACCAGGCAAGCCCCCCCCCCUUGAUCAGCAGAUAUCGCCUAUUCUACUCUAUACUGCUUGCAUUAGAGUAGUGUAGCAUGUUACUGCUUUCUGUUAUACCUAUCCUGAUGCAUAGCCUGUCCUUGAUACUACUGUUGUUACCUUUACCUGCAAUCCUAUAUGCUUAGUAUAGGAUGCUAGUAUAUUCAUCUGUGGCCCUACAAUCUUGUCCGUUAGCCGUGCUAUACUAUCGGGCCGUGAUCACUCGGGAGGUGAUCACGGGUAUAUACUAUAUACUUUAUAUAUGAUACAUGUGGAGACUAAAGUCGGGUCGGCUGGUGGAGCACCCGCGAGUGGAUCUUUGUGGCGGAGCGACAGGGCAGGUUGAGACUGCCUAGGAGAGAGGUGGGCCUAGCCCUGUUCGGCGUUCGCGGAUACUUAACAUGCUUAACGAGAUCUUGGUAUUUGAUCUGAGUUGGCGACGAGCCUAUACGCACUAACCAACUACAUGGGAAAGAUAUGGGCACUCGGCGUCGUGGUAUCAGCCGAAGCACUUCGUGACGCCAGCGACUGAGUGGCGCGCGCCGGAUUGGAACGUAAGCCUGCUCUUAUAAUAAGGGGGCUAGUUCUGCUUUCGGCCGACGUGCAGGUGUGCUAUGGGCGAUGGGCCCAGACCCCUGUGCGCUUAGGUUUAGACUGGCGUGCUGGCCUCUCUGUUGAGCCUAGGUGGGGCUGCGACGUGUUGAUCUUUCGCGGCCGGGCAAGACCCGGGAAAGUGUGUCCGGCCAAAUGGGAUCAAGCGUGUUGGGUAAGUUGGUGCACCCCUGCAGGGAAGUUAAUCUAUUCGAAUAGCCGUGAUCUUCGGUAACAGGACGACUUGGAGUUGUACCUUGACCUUAUGACAACUAGAAUCGGAUACUUAAUAAAACACACCCUUCCAAGUUCCACAGACAACCUGGUGAUCGCUUUUCCACAGGGCGACGAGGGGAGGAUCACCGGGUAGGAUUAUGCUAUGCGAUGCGACUGGAGAUGCUACUUGGAGAUGCUACAUGGAGAUGCUACUUGGAGAUGCUACUUGGAGGACUUCAAUCUAUUCUCUUCUACAUGCUGCAAGACGGAGGCUGCCAGAAGCGUAGUCUUCGACAGGAUUAGCUAUCCCCCUUUUAUUCUGGCAUUUUGCAGUUCAGUUCACCGAUAUGGCCCUUUACACAUAUAACCAUGCAUAUGUAGUGUAGCUCCUUGCUUGCGAGUACUUUGGAUGAGUACUCACGAUUGCUUUUCUCCCUCUUUUCCCCUUGCCCUUCUACCUGGUUGUUGCAACCAGAUGCUGGAGCCCUGGAGCCAGACGCCACCGUCGAUGAUGAUUCCUACUACACUGGAGGUGCCUACUGCUACGUGGAGGCUGCUGACGACGACCAUGAGUAGUUUAGGAGGAUCCCAGGCAGGAGGAUUGCGCCUCUUUCGAUCUGUAUCCCAGUUUGUGCUAGCCUUCUUAAGGCAAACUUGUUUAACUUAUGUCUGUACUCAGAUAUUGUUGCUUCCGCUGACUCGUCUAUGAUCGAGCACUUGUAUUCAAGCCCUCGAGGCCCCUGGCUUGUAUUAUGAUGUUUGUAUGACUUAUUUAUGUUUUAGAGUUGUGUUGUGAUAUCUUCCCGUGAGUCCCUGAUCUUGAUCGUACACAUUUGCGUGCAUGAUUAGUGUGCGAUUGAAUCGGGGACGUCACACCCUUCAUGGCCUGUUCGGCCGCCUUGUGGAGCUCGACUAGCUGCUUCAGCUGGUCGCUAAGGGGCACCGGAUGUCCAGCCUCAGCAUACUGAGACCAGAAGACCUUCUCCGUCGAGCUCCCCUCCUCGGCCCGGUAGAAUGUGGCAGCAUCGCACACGCUGCAAGGAAGAUCUGUGAACGCUCCUAGAGAGCUCCGAAUUCGGGUAAGCAACAGGUAAUUAACACUCACAUGCUUACUUUGCAUGAAAAAUGCCUUACCUGCUGCUAUUUUCUUCACCGCCUCAAUCUCCUGGAGGGCCUUGUAGGCUUCGGCCUUAGCGGCUUUGGCACUCUCAAGAGCCGUUGCAAGCUCAGACUCUCGAGUCUUCGAGUCACGCUCCAGGCUCUCAUGUUUUUUCUUGAGAUCCUGGAGCUCUUGUUGUACCUCUGCCACCCGCGCGUCCUGCUUCUCUCGCUUGGUGCGCUCCGCGGCCGCAUUGCGUUCGGCCGCAGCCACCGCCUCUUUUAGGGUCGCCACCUUGUUAGUGGCCCCUACAAUACCCAUGUUAUCCUUGUCAUUCUUUUGCAACCAAAAUCCUUUUCUAUAAGGUACAAUUUUAAUAAGGUGUUACUCACCUUGCUUGUCCUCGAGCUGCUUCCUCGCACGGCCGAGCUCGUUCUCGGACCACUCAAGGUUUUCCUUCAAAGUAUUGACCUCCGCAGUCAAUGCGGCAGAGGUCAGCAGCGCAGCCUGCAAUCCCAUAUUGACAUAUUUAUUAUGACUCAUGCGUAUAUCUUUUUAGAUCCUCAGUCCGGCUUUUCUUUCCGAACACCGAACCGAGCAUCAGGGGCUACUGUCUAUGCGGUACCAUUCUAUACAUAUUGAAAUUCUUACCUCAAAGCAUGUUAGAAGGCUGCUGCAGGCUUCGGUCAGCCUGCUCUUGGCGAGCUGCACCUUCUGAAUCACCGCACUCACAGUGCGGUGUUCCUCUUUGAUGGAGGCGCCAUUGAGCUCCUCCAGCAAGCUAUCCAGCGCCUCCAGUUGGACGGAGGCUGCCGGCGUCACGGUCUUGCCCUUCUUACGAAGGGGUCGCCCGUCGGACUCCGGAGCCACUGUGGGUUCCGGGGCCGAGUCCGGUGCAAAGUCCAGGAGGUUGUCCUGCGACACCUCCGGGGCCCUCUCCUCCUGGUGGGUCCCUUCCUGGGAUCCUACCUUGGCAUCAUCCGCAUCACGGGGGGUGGAGGUAGUCGGAAGAGAAUCCAUAUCCGACGCACCUAAGGACCCGCUCGAUGAAGCGGGAAGAUCAUCCUUAGGCGGACUGCAGGGUUGUAUGCGGCAUUAGAAAGACAUUAUGUGGCGAAAAAUAUAAACCUUGAAGUUAUUCGGUAGUCCGGAUACUUACGAUCUCGCCAGGGGCUUGGCACUUGGAGGCUAGUCCUCGUCGUUGUCACUGGCGUUGGCGGAGCAGUCCGGGGGAAGAGUUUUUCCCUUCUUGGACCCUUCGGCCUCCCUUGUUGGGGAGGCCUUCCUCUUCUUCCCUCCCCCACUGGGGGAGAGGCUUUCUUCUUCUCCUCCUCGCCUUGGUGGGAGGAGUCGGCCUCGGAUUCAUCAUCCGAUAGCACCUGAAAACGGGAACUCUUCCAAGUCCCCGUGGCCUUCUUCUUGGCCUUCUUCUCUGGCACCACGUGGGGUGCCGGAGCCAGCAGCCCCGUUAGGCAGGUGUCCGCUAGGUCCUCUGGCAAUGGGGUCGGACAGAUAGUCCGUUCGGCCUUCGCCAGCUAGUCCUGUCAAAGGUAAAGGGAGUUUAGAUCCCGCAUAGAGUCGAACUAUGGAAAACAAGUGGCAAAGUCACUUACCUCGUCAGCUGGACGCUGCGAGCGGAAUCCGUGAUCUUCGGUAGAGGAUGCGGGAGCCUCGACGCCCUUGAACAGCAUCUUCCAGACAUCUUCGUACAUAGUGUCGAAGAGCCCGCUCAGAGUCUGGUGCUGCGCCGGAUCGAACUCCCACAUGUUGAAGCCCUGUCGUUGGCACGGGAGAAUCCGGCGGAUGAGCAUGACCUGGACUACGUUGACAAGCUUGAGCUUCUUGUCCACCAGCUUCUGGAUAUAGGCUUGCAGUCCGGUCAGCUCCUCCGAAUCCCCCCAGAUCCGGCCACUCUCUUUCCAGGAGGUGAGCCGUGUAGGGCUGCCGGAUCUAAAUUCGGGGGCCGCUGCCCAAUCAGGGUCACGCGGCUCGGUGAUGUAGAACCACCCCGAUUGCCACCCCUUAAUGGUUUCCACAAAAGUGCCCUCCAGCCAUGUAACAUGGGACAUCCUGCCCACCAUGGCACCUCCGCACUCCGCUUGGCUUCCCUUCACAACCUUCGGCUUGACACUGAAGGUCUUGAGCCACAAGCCGAAGUGGGGCUGGAUGCAGAGGAAGGCCUCGCACACGACGAUAAACGCCGAGAUGUUGAGGAUGAAAUUCGGGGCCAGAUCAUGGAAAUCUAGGCCGUAGUAGAACAUGAGCCCCCGGACAAAGGGAUGAAGUGGGAAGCCCAGUCCGCGGAGGAAAUGGGGAAGAAAUACUACCCUCUCAUGGGGCCUGGGGGUGGGGAUGAGCUCUCCCUCGUCGGGGAGCCAGUGCGCGGUGUCGCUGGACAAAUAUCCGGCGUCGCGCAGCUUCUGGAUCUGCCCCUCCGUGACGAAGGAGGCCAUCCACUUGCCUCCCGCUCCGGACAUAGUUGGAGAAGGUUGAGGUGAGAAGUGCGGACUUGGGCGCUAGAGCUCGAGUUCGCGGAGAUGGAUAAGCCAAGGAGGAAGAAGGCGCAGGUAAAAGGGUUGGAUCUUUAUCCCCUUAUAUGGGCGGACAAAAACAUGUGUCCCCACCGGCCUGGUAAAACUCGCUUAUCUCCCAAGCGUCACAAUCAAUGGCGCGGUUGGGUUACCCAUGUCCGUAUUGAUGGGAAUCCCGGAAUAAGGGGAACACGAUCUCUGCUUCGACAGUACGUGCCAAGGAAACCGCUUCGCUAAACGCGUGGAGGUGGAACAAUAAAAACAAUUUGAGUAAAGGCUUGGUAGUGGUAUGACGUCACGCCACAAAAUACGUCAGCAGAUUGAACUUGUGUAAUAUUAUUCUCUCUACGGUGGUACGUGGAAUUUAUUUUUGCAGAGCCGGACACUAUCCUGAUGUUCACAAUCUUCUAUAAAUUAUUCGGAGCAAGAACCCGCCUAGCAAUGCCGAAGACAACAUGCGCGCCGGACUCGUCGUCAUUGAAGCCUGGUUCAGGGGCUACUGAGGGAGUUCCGGACUAGGGGGUGUUCGGAUAGCCGAACUAUCAUGAUCGGCUGGACUCCAAGACUAUGAAGAUACAAGAUUGAAGACUUCGUCCCGUGUCCGGAUGGGACUUUCCUUGGCGUGGAAGGCAAGCUUAGCAAUAUGGAUAUGUAGAUUUCCUACCAUUGUAACUGACUUUGUGUAACCCUAGCCCUCUCCGGUGUCUAUAUAAACCGGAUGGCUUUAGUCCAUAGGACGAACAACAAUCAUACCAUAGGCUAGCUUCUAGGGUUUUAGCCUCCUUGAUCUCGUGGUAGAUCUACUCUUGUAACACAUAUCAUCAAUAUUAAUAAAGCAGGACGUAGGGUUUUACCUCCAUCAAGAGGGCCCAAACCUGGGUAAAACAUCGUGUCCCUUGUCUCCUGUUACCAUCCGCCUAGACGCACAGUUCGGGACCCCCUACCCGAGAUCCGCCGGUUUUGACACCGACACCCGCAGCGUCCACAUCCCUGUGUGUCUCCGUAGCCCCCGCGGCGUCGGCAGCCACGCAUGAUGGGGCCUUCGAGGUGGGCAGGUGAGCUGCGGCACCGGGCUUCUUCUUGGGCGCCAUGGUCGAUGGAGCCGCUAACGAAGAAAAUGAUGAUGAAGAUGAUGUGCUACGCUCUCUUCUCGGGCUCGCGCAAGUGCACGCCACCUACCCGGUGCGCCAAAUAUGUCAUGGGAAACCACGAUCACCUAUGGUACCAUGAGCCCCUUUGUGGUUCGGCGGGGGGAUGGGCACGCUGCACAAAGAGCGGAGAAGCGUAACACAGCACGGCAGAGAUCGCACAGGAAGUUUUACCCAGGAUCGGGCUACCGCGAGGCGUAAAACCCUACUCCUGCUUUGGUGGAUUAUGGUGGAAAAUGCAACGUUCUUGCCCAGCAGAGUUGCCUCGGGGAGAGAGUGACUACACGUGUAUGAGAACGCGAGGGUCCGAAUCCUCUCUAUGGUUGCCAUGGAACUCCUUUUAUAGAUCAAGGGGUCACCACAGUGGCAAAUCAUUCUUUAUGCACUGAUUAGAUAGAAAACGGAGCUAUCAUGCCUAACUCUACAGGUGGACAGAGCGCAUUAAAUGCACCACUUACUGUCACAUCACAGCGUGCCCGGCAAGGCUGUUUUGCCAGCUAUGCACCUGCUUGCUUGACACGUCUCAGGACGGGCGUCAUUUGGAGGUGUUUUCCGUAGGAAGUGGCUGCCAUGUGGCAAGAAACAGCCACUUAGUUACUCAGGGGCUUGACACCGCACUAAUUGAUGACUUGCGUUGCUGUGAGGUGGAGCGGUGAAGUUUUGGUGGGGCAGCUCGCCCUUGCCGUGCCCGACAAGCCUACCGGGGCGGUCUGGUGGCUUAUCUUCUAGGCAAUCCUCGUCCUCGCCAGGCUCGCCUGCACGGCAAGGGAAGUUUUUCCCUUAGUGACAUCUGGUCUCUCUGGCUUGACUUGGUCUUCUUGAUCUGCACUUUGAUUCUUCAAAGAACUGAUCUCUAGUGCUUGGUCUGAUCUCAGGUGCCGCAAUCUCAUCCUUAAGCAUGUGCUCAGUCUGGGCAACAGACCCAGGGUUUGUUGCACCAACACCUGGACAUCCGGCCCCCCUUGCCCCGGACAUCAAGCACCCCCUCGAAGUCCCAGACAUCCAGCCUGACGUCCCGAACAUCCUCCCCCCUGUCUACGCACAGUAAAGGGCCGAGGCCCAUGUAUCCCUUCACCCCCUAGACUAUAUAUACUUCUUCUCCUCCCUCUUUUUAUGAUCAGCAAUAUGAUAGCUCAUUUGAGAGAUAGAGCUUUUCUCAUCCACUUGAUUACUUCUCCAUCGGAGUUCACGACCUCUACGGAGAAGAUCUCCCAAGUGGAUUCAAGACCCCUCACGGGAAGACCCCCUCAAGACCUCCUCAUGGAGAAGAACUACCGCCUCUUGUAUCGUCCUUUGUUGCAUUUGGAUCUUGUAUCACUCUUUAUGCUCAUGGAUCUAACAUAUGUGUGAUUGGAUCUCGUCAAUUUGAGUGUUUUCCCUCGUUUUCUUCAUGCUCAUCAUAGGAUCACAUCCAAAUCGUGAAAGAUCGGCCCUAGGGUUUCCACCCUACAUCUUCUUCUUGUCUUGAAUUGGGAGAAGUGCCACUUUAUGGUUAAUGAAGGUAUUGUCUUGGGGCAUAAAAUUUCUGAACGAGGUAUUGAGGUGGAGAAAGCUAAAGUUGAUGCAAUUGAGAAAGUGCCAUGUCCUAAAGAUAUUAAAGGUAUUCGUAGUUUCCUUGGUCAUGCUAGUUUCUAUAGGAGGUUUAUUAAAGACUUCUCUAAAAUUUCUAGGACUCUUGCAAACCUUUUAUAAAAGGAUGUUCCAUUUGUUAUCAAUGAUGAUUGUGUAGAAGCCUUUGAAACACUAAAGAAAGCCUUAAUUUUUGCACCUAUAGUUCAACCACCUAAUUGGAACUUGCCUUUUGAAAUUAUGUGUGAUGCUAGUGAUUAUGCUGUUGGUGUUGUUCUAGGCCAAAGAAUUGAUAAGAAAUUAAAUGUUAUCCAUUAUGCUAGCAAAACUCUAGAUAGUGCCCAAAGAAAUUAUGCUAAUACUAAAAAAGAAUUUUUAGCAGUUGUCUUUGCUUGUGAUAAAUUCAGAUCUUACAUUGUUGAGUCCAAAGUAAUUGUUCAUAUUGAUCAUGCUGCUAUAAAAUAUCUUAUGGAAAAGAAAGAUGCUAAACCUAGACUCAUUAGGUGGGUUCUCUUGCUACAAGAAUUUGGUUUACAUAUCACUAAUAGGAAAGGAGCUGAGAACCCUGUAGCUGAUAACUUUUCUAGGUUAGAAAAUAUUCUUGAUGACUGAUACGUCUCCAUUAUAUCUAAUUUUCCAAACACUUUUGUCCUUCUUUUGGACUCUAACUUGCAUGAUUUGAAUGGAACUAACCUAGACUGAGGCUAUUUUCAGUAGAACUGCCAUGGUGUUAUUUUUGUGUAGAAAUAAAAGUUCCCGGAAUGAUCUGAAAAUCCACGGAGCAACUUUUUGGAAUUAAUAAAAAAUAUUUGUGAAAGAAUCAGCAUCAAGGGGCCCACACCCUAUCCACGAGGGUGUUGGGCGCCCCCCCCCCUAGGGUGCACCCCUGCCUCGUGGGCCCCCUGGGACUCCACCGACCUCAACCCCAACUCCAUAUAUUCACUUUCGGGCAGAAAAAACAGGAGAGAAGGAUUCAUCGCGUUUUAUGAUACGGAGCCGCCGCCAAGCCCUAAUCUUCCUCGAGAGGGCUGAUCUGGAGUCCGUUCGGGGCUCCGGAGACGGGAAUCCGUCGCCAUCGUCAUCAUCAACCAUCAUCCAUCACCAAUUUCAUGAUGCUCACCAACGUGCGUGAGUAAUCCCAUCGUAGGCUUGCUGGAUGGUGAUGGGUUGGUUGAGAUUUACCAUGUAAUCGAGUUAGUUUUGUUAGGGUUUGAUCGGGACCACUCCCGGUGAUGACCGUAGUUUGAGGAGUUCAUGUAUUCACUAAGUGUUAAUGCUUUGGUCCGAUACUCUAUUAAAAGGAGGCCUUAAUAUCCCUUAGUUUCCAAUAGGACCUCGCUGCCAUGGGAGGGUAGGACAAAAGAUGUCAUGCAAGUUCUUUUCCAUAAGCACGUAUGACUAUAUUCGGAAUACAUGCCUACAUUAUAUUGAUGAACUGGAGCUAGUUAUGUGCCACCCUAUGUUAUAACUGUUGCAUGAGGAAUCGCAUCCGACAUAAUUAUCCAUCAGUGAUCAAUUGCCUACGAUCUUUCCACAUAUUGUUCUUUUCUUAGUCAAUUUUCCAUUGCCACUGUUACGAUUGCUACAAAACUGCUACUGUUACUUUUGCCACCAUUACUGUUACUUCCAUACUACUUUGCUGCAGAUAUUAAGUCUUUCAGGUGUGGUUGAAUUGAAAAAUCAGCUGCCAAUACUUGAGAAUAUUCUUUGGCUCCCCUUCUGUCGAAUCAAUAAAUUUGGGUUGAAUACUCUACCCUCGUAGCUGUUGCAAUCCCCUAUACUUGUGGGUUAUCAAGACUAUUUUCUGGCGCUGUUGCCGGGGAGCAUAGCUCUAUUCUUUGAAUCACUUGGUAUUUAUAUUUGUUGAUCACUAUGAGGAACUUUAAAGAUGAAAGAACCAAGAUUUUUCCCUCAACUACAAGGGGAGGUAAGGAACUGCCAUCUCGCUCUGCACUUGAUUCACCUUCUGUUUUGUGUAAACUUGCGACGCCUGCACCUACUACUAAUUCUGAUAUGUCGCAUGUUAUUGAUGAUGCCACUUCUGCUAUGCAUGAUGCUUCUGAUGAAACUACUUCUAGGCUUGAUAAUACUGUGCCAUUAGGUGAAUUUCUUGAUGAACAACUUGCUAGCGUUAGAGAGAAUGAAAUUAUUGAAACUGAUAAUAUUGAUGAAAGUGAUGAUGAAGAUUCUCCCCCUACAUAUGAAUUGCCUAAUGUGCCUAAGGGUUUUGUUAUGGAUGAAGAAACUGCUAGAGACCUUUUUGCUUGUAAAGAUAGAUAUGAUCUUAAAAACUGUUAGCUAAGUUGAAAGAAAAAUCUCUGAAUGCUAGAAUGAAAUAUGACCCUGAUGUCUACUACGCAACCUUAUCCUUGUAGACGUUGUUGAGCCUCCAAGUGCAGAGGUUUGUAGGACAGUAGCAAAUUUCCAUCAAGUGGAUGACCUAAGGUUUAUCAAUCCGUGGGAGGCGUAGGAUGAAGAUGGUCUCUCUCAAGCAACCCUGCAACCAAAUAACAAAGAGUUUCUUGUGUCCCCAACACACCCAAUACAAUGGUAAAUUGUAUAGGUGCAGUAGUUCGGCGAAGAGAUGGCGAUACAAGUGCAAUAUGGAUGCUAGAUAUAGGUUUUUGUAAUCUGAAAAUAUAAAAACAGCAAGGUAACAAGUGGUAAAAGUGAGCGUAAACGGUAUUGCAAUGCUAGGAAACAAGGCCUAAGGUUCAUACUUUCACUAGUGCAAGUUCUCUCAACAAUAAUAACAUAAUUCAAUCAUAUAACUAUCCCUCAAGAUGCAACAAAGAGUCACUCCAAAGUCACUAAUAGCAGAGAAAAAAACAAGAGAUGAUUGUAGGGUAUGAAACCACCUCAAAGUUAUCCUUUCUGAUCAACCUAUUCAAGAGUCUGUAGUAAAAUAACACGAAGCUAUUCUUUCCAUUCGAUCUAUCAUAGAGUUCGUACUAGAAUAACGCCUUAAGAUACAAAUCAACCAAAACCCUAAUGUCACCUAGAUACUCCAAUGUCACCUCAAGUAUCUAUGGGCAUGAUUAUACGAUAUGCAUCACACAAUCUCAGAUUCUUCUAUUCAACCAACACAAAGAACUUCAAAGAGUGCCCCAAAGUUUCUACCGGAGAGUCAAGGCGAAAACGUGUGCCAACCCCUAUGCAUAGAUUCCCAAGGUCACAGAACCCGCAAGUUGAUCACCAAAACAUACAUCAAGUGGAUCAAUAGAAUACCCCAUUGUCACCACGGGUAUCCCAUGCAAGACAUACAUCAAGUGUUCUCAAAUCCUUAAAGACUCAGUCUGAUAAGAUAAAUUAAAAGGGAAAACUCAAUCCAUUACGAGAGAGUAGAGGGGGAGAAGCAUCAUAAGAUCGAACUAUAAUAGCAAAGCUCGCGAUACAUCAAGAUCAUACCACCUCAAGAACACGAGAGAGAGAGAUCAAACACAUAGCUACUGGUACAUACCCUCAGCCCCGAGGGUGAGCUACUUCCUCCUCGUCAUGGAGAGCGCCGGGAUGAUGAAGAUGGCCACCGGUAAGGGAUCCCCCCUCCGGCAGGGAGCCGGAACAGGGUCCCGAUUGGUUUUUCGUGGCUACAUAGGCUUGCGGCAGCAGAACUCCCGAUCUAUUGUGCUCCCCGGUGUUUUUAGGGUAUAUGGACAUAUAUAGGCGAAAGAAGUUGGUUAGGGGAGCCACGAGGGGCCCAUGAGGGUGGGGGCGUGCCCAGGGGGCAGGGCGUGCCUCCCUGCCUCGUGGCUUCCUCGAAGCAUCCCUGACAUCUACUCCAAGUCUCCUAGAUUGCUUCCGUUCCAAAAAUAACUCUCCCGAAGGUUUCAUUCCGUUUGGACUCCGUUUGAUAUUCCUUUUCUUCAGAACACUGAAAUAGGCAAAAAAAUAGCAAUUUGGGUUGGGCCUCCGGUUAAUAGGUUAGUCCCAAAAAUGAUAUAAAAGUGUAGAGUAAAGCCGAGAAACAUCCAAAACGGGUAAUAUAAUAGCAUGGAACAAUAAAAAAUUAUAGAUACGUUGGAGACGUAUUAAGCAUCCCCAAGCUUAAUUCCUGCUCGUCCUCGAGUAGAUAAAUGAUAAAAACGGAAUUUUUGAUGUGGAAUGCUACCUAGCAUAUUUCUCAAUGUAAUUUUCUUUAUUGUGUCACGAAUGUUCAGAUCCAAAUGACUCAAAAUAAAAGUUCAUAUUGACAUAAGAAAUAGUAAUACUUCAAGCAUACUAACAAAGCAAUCAUGUCUUCUCAAAAUAACAUGGCUAAAGAAAGUUCAUCCCUACAAAAUCAUAUAGUUAGGCUAUGCUUCAUUUUCAUCACACAAAAUACUCCCAUCAUGCACAACCCCGGUUCAGGCAAGCAAUUGGUUCAUACUUUUUAACGCGCUUCAACUUUUUCAACUCUCACGCAAUACAUGAGCGUGAGCCAUGGAUAUAGCACUAUGGGUGGAAUAGAAUAGGAUGAUGGAGGUUGUGUGGAGAAGACAAAAAGGAGAAAGUCUCACAUUGACGAGGCUAAUCAACAGGCUAUGGAGAUGCCUAUCAAUUGAUGUCAACAUGAGGAGUAGGGAUUGUCAUGCAACGGAUGGACUAGAGCUAUAAAUGUAUGAAAGAUCAACAAAAGAAACUAAGUGGGUGUGCAUCCAACUUGCUUGCUCACAAAGACCUAGGGCAUUUUGAGGAAGCCCAUCAUUGGAAUAUACAAGCCAAGUUCUACAAUGAAAAAUUCCCACUAGUAUAUGAAAGUGACAACAUAAGAGACUCUCUAUAUGAAGAACGUGGUGCUACUUUGAAGCACAAGUGUGGAAAAGGAUAGUAACAUUGUCCCCCUUUUUUAUUUUCUUUUUUUAUUGGGCUUUAUUUUUUAUCUCUUUUUUAUUGGUCUUUCCCUUUUUUUUAUUUGGCCUUUCUUUUUUAUAAGGGACAAUGCUCUAAUAAUGAUGAUCAUCACACUUCUAUUUAUUUACAACUCAAAAAUUACAACUCGAUACUAGAACAAGAUAUGACUCUAUAUGAAUGCCUCCGCCGGUGUACUGGGAUGGGCAAUGACUCAAGAGUGACAUGUAUGAAAAAUUAUGCAUGGUGGCUUUGCCACAAAUAUGAUGUCAACUACAUGAUCAUGCAAGGCAAUAUGACAAUGAUGAUGCGUGUCAUAAUAAACGGAACGAUGGAAUGUUGGAUGGCAAUAUAUCUUGGAAUGGCUAUGGAAAUGCCAUAAUAGGUAGGUAUGGUGGUUGUUUUGAGGAAGAUAUAAGGAGGUUUAUGUGUGAUAGAGUGUAUCGUAUCACGGGGUUUGGAUGCACUGGUGAAGUUUGCACCAACUCUCAAGGUGAGAAAGAGCAAUGCACGGUACCGUAGAGGCUAGCAAUGAUGGAAGGGUAAGAGUGCGUAUAAUCCAUGGACUCACAUUAGUCAUAAAGAACUCAUAUACUUAUUGCAAAAGUUUUAUUAUCCCUCAAAGCAAAGUACUACUAUGCAUGCUCCUAGGGGAAGGGUUGGUAGGAGUUAACCAUCGCGCAAUCCCGAUCUCCACUCAUAAGGAAGGCAAUCAAAAGAGCACCCCAUGCUACAAAUUUUUUACACAACUUUUACCAUACGUGCAUGCUACGGGACUUGCCAACUUUAACACAAGUAUUUCUCAAUUUCAUAAUUACCCAACUAGCAUGACUCUAAUAUUACCACCUUUAUAUCUCAAAACAAUUAUCAAGCACCAAAUUGAUCAUAGUAUUCAAUGCACUUUCUAUGAUAGUUUUUAAAACGAAAGCAAAUUACCAUGCUGUUCUAAGAGACUCUCAAAAUAUUAUAAGUGAAGCAUGAGAGAUCAAUAAUUUCUACAAAAUAAAACCACCACCGUGCUCUAAAAGGAUAUAGGAGAAGCACUAGAGCAAAUGACAAACUACUCCGAAAGAUAUAAGUGAAGAUCAAUGAGUAGCCGAAUAAUUAUGCAACUAUGUGAAGACUCUCUAACAUUUAAGAAUUUCAGAUCUUGGGAUAUUAUUCAAACAGCAAGCAAAACAAAACAAAAUGACAUUUCAAGGAUAGCACACAUCAUGUGAAGAAGUAAAAACUUAGGUUCAACCGAUACUAACCGAUAAUUGAUGAAGAAGAAAGGUGGGAUGCCUACCGGGGCAUCCCCAAGCUUGGAUGCUUGAGACUUCUUGACAUAUUAUCUUGGGGUGCCUUGGGCAUCCCCAAGCUUGAGCUUUUGUAUCUCCUUAAUUCCUUUUAUAUCUUGGUUUCCUAAAUCUCGGAAGCUUCAUCCACACCAAACUCAACAAGAACUCGUGAGAUAAGUUAGUAUAAACCAAUGCAAAAACCUUAUCAUUUUCUACUGUAAAAAAUCACAAAAGUUAGUAUUCAACAUUUCAUACUAAAUGUCUCUGCAUAUUUAAUACUCCUAUCCUAAAAUAGAAUCAUUAAACAAGCAAACAUAUGCAAACAAUGCAAACAUAACAGCAAUCUGCCAAAACAGUAUAGUUUUUAAAUAAUGCAAGAUUCAUCAUACUUCCCUAACUCUAAAAAUUAUGAGAAAAAUACUAAACUGUAUAAGAUUUAUCAGAUCUCAAUAUGAAAAAAGUUUCAAUAUUAUAUCAUUCUCUGACUUUUCUAGAGAAUUUUUGCAACAGCGGUAAACUUUCUGUUUUGAAACAGCAACAUGUAUACUUGCAAAAUAAGCAUGGUAAAGGCUAUCCUUAACAUUUUUAUUGAAAAUAUAGAUACAAAAAAUAUUAUAAAUAACAGCAUUCAAAUACUAACAAUAGGAAAUGAUGCUCCAAGCAAAACACAUAUCAUGUGGUGAAUAAAAAUAUAGCUCCAAGUAAAGUUACCGAUGAACAAAGACGAAAGAGGGGAUGCCUUCCGGGGCAUCCCCAAGCUUAGGCUCUUGGUUGUCCUUGAAUAUUACCUUGGGUGCCUUGGGAAUCCCCAAGAUUAGGCUCUUUCCACUCCUUAUUCCAUAGUCCAUCGAAUCUUUACCCAAAACAUGAAAACUUCACAACACAAAACUCAACAGAAGAUCUUAUGAGCUCCAUUAGUAUAAGAAAAUAAAACCACUUAUAGUACUGUUAUGAACUCAUUCUAAAUUCAUAUUGGUGUAAUAUCUACUAUAUUCCAACUUCUCUAUGGUUCAUACCCUCUGAUACUACUCAUAGAUUCAUCAAAAUAAGAAAACAACACAUAGAAAACAGAAUCUGUCAAAAACAGAACAGUCUGUAGUAAUCUGUAGCUCUCGAGUACUUCUAUAACUCCAAAAAUCCUAAAACAUUAGGAAAUCCUUACCAAUUUGUGUACCAAUCCAGAGUAAAAAGAAUCAGAUCAAAAUCAAGUUUCUGUGAAUUAUCAAAACUAAUUUACUGGGUGCAAAAGUUUCUGGUUUUCAGCAGGAUCAAACCAACUAUCACCGUAAGCUAUCCUAAAGGUCUUACUUGGCACUUUAUUGAAACAAAAGCUGUAAAAAAUGAUUACUACAGUAGCAUAAUCAUGUGGGCACACAAAAACAUUAAAGGUAAAUAUUGGGUUGUCUCCCAACAAGCGUUUUUCUUUAAUGCCUUUCUAGCUAGGCAUGAAGAUGACAAUGACGCUCACAUAAAAGAUAAGAAUUGAAACAUAAAGAGAGCAUCAUGAAGAAUAUGACUAGCACAUUUAAGCCUAACCCACUUCCUAUGCAUAGGAAUUUUGUGAGCAAACAACUUAUGGGAACAAUAAUCAACUAGCAUAGGAAGGCAAAACAAGCAUAACUUCAAGAUUUUCAACACAUAGAGAGGAAACUUGAUAUUAUUGCAACUCCUACAAGCAUGUGUUCCUCCAACAUAAUAAUUUUCAGUAGAAUCAUGAAUGAAUUCAACAAUAUAACCAUCACAUAAAGCAUUCUUUUCAUGAUCUACAAGCAUAGAAUUUUUAUUACUCUCCACAUAAGCAAAUUUCUUCUCAUGUAUAGUAGUGGGAGCAAACUCAACAAAAUAACUAUCAUGUGAAGCAUAAUCCAAUUGAAAUUUAAAAUCAUGAUGACCAAUUUCAUGGUUAUAUUUAUUCUUUAUAGCAUACGUGUCAUCACAAUAAUCAUCAUAAAUAGUAGGCAUGCUUUCAUCAUAAUAAACUUGCUCAUCAAAACUUGGGGGACUAAAAAUAUCAUCUUCAUCAAACAUAGCAUCCUCAAGCUUGUGGCUUUGCAUAUCAGUAGCAUCAUGGAUAUUCAUAGAAUUCAUACUAACAAAAUUGCAAUCAUGCUCAUCAUACAAAGAUUUAGUGCCAAACAUUUUAUAGACUUGUUCUUCUAGCACUUGAGCACAAUUUUCCUUACCAUCAUUUUCACGAAAGUUAUUAAAAAGAUGAAGCGUAUGAGGCAAACUCAAUUCCAUUUUUUUGUAGUUUUUCAUAUAUACUAAACUAGUGAUAAAACAAGAAACAAAAAGAUUCGAUUUCAAGAUCUAAAGAUAUACCUUCAAGCACUCACCUCCACGGCAACGGCCCCAGAAAGGAGCUUGAUGUCUACUACGCAACCUUCUCCUUGUAGACGUUGUUGGGCCUCCAAGUGCAGAGGUUUGUAGGACAUUAGCAAAUUUCCCUCAAGUGUAUGACCUAAGGUUUAUCAAUCCGUGGGAGGCGUAGGAUGAAGAUGGUCUCUCUCAAGCAACCCAGCAACCAAAUAACAAAGAGUCUCUUAUGUCCCCAACACACCCAAUACAAUGGUAAAUUGUAUAGGUGCACUAGUUCGGCGAAGAGAUGGCGAUACAAGUGCAAUAUGGAUGAUAGAUGUUGUCGGUGUACUAGAAUAGGGGUACCCUAGUAUCCCGAACUUGUGCACGGGCAGUUGCAGCGCCCCGCGGCAAGGCUUGCCGGGCGACCGCCAAGGUCCUCCAUGGUUCCUUUGGAGCCAUUCAAGAACAAAGUAUUCAAGCCAAGGCCCCGGCAAGAGGAGCUUGCCGGGAAGGCCAACCAAGGCAUCCCAAGGAACUUUCCGCGACGCUCCACGCGUCCCGGCAAGGCGACAAGGCCCCGACAAGAGGAGCUUGCCGGGAAGACCAACCAAGGCAUAUCAGGGCCCGGUGAGCGACAAGCUUCCGGACCCGACAAGACAACGGCCGCGGCAAGGCGCUUGCCGCGGCAGGCGGCCACUCUGUGCCCACGCUCCAGCAUUCCACCAACGUGUCGCUCUAGGGGCCUUUCCAGGCGCGCGUGGUGGGAGGCUGUGCAGCCAGCGGUGCGCGGUGGCAUGCGAAGCUGACAAGAUCGCCAUCGUGGCGAGCGGUGGCGCCCCUGACGGUCCUUUUCUACACUGUUUGGGCUACACAGACGGGCAUUUAAUGCCCUUGUCCCCUACCGUCAGGGUUAGGUAGGUAACAUUGUACAAGUAACUGUACCAACCACCUCGCUUUUUACGCUUUUACCCUUCUCUGCGUUGCCACCUGUCGGUGACCCCUUGAGCAUAUAAAAGGAGGCCCAUGCGCAACAUAGAGGGGGUUCGACUCAUUCGUAAGCCAGAAAACACUUAGCUCUCUCAAGCAAGAACACAAUACAAUCAGACAAGCAGCAGUAGGAUUAUUAUCUCUUCGGAGAGCUCCGAAGCUGGGUAAACUGCUCGUGUACUUUGCCUCGAUCUGCUCUUCGUNNNNNNNNNNNNNNNNNNNNNNNNNNNNNNNNNNNNNNNNNNNNNNNNNNNNNNNNNNNNNNNNNNNNNNNNNNNNNNNNNNNNNNNNNNNNNNNNNNNNNNNNNNNNNNNNNNNNNNNNNNNNNNNNNNNNNNNNNNNNNNNNNNNNNNNNNNNNNNNNNNNNNNNNNNNNNNNNNNNNNNNNNNNNNNNNNNNNNNNNNNNNNNNNNNNNNNNNNNNNNNNNNNNNNNNNNNNNNNNNNNNNNNNNNNNNNNNNNNNNNNNNNNNNNUCCACCGGCCCCAUAGGUGUUCGUGGAUCAGUUUCCCCGACAUCUUUGGCGCGCCAGGUAGGGGGCGUCGAGAUUGCGUGGACCUGAUCCGGCGUUCACACGAGCUAGAUCUUCAUUUUCUUCAUCAACAUGCCACCGAACAAGAAGGCUUCGGAGGCAGCUGUUCUGUCCACGUCGAUCCCACUGCCACCGGAGCAAACGGGUGGUGGGGUAGACGCCGGCGGAAGGACGGACGUCGACGAGGAAGCUCACGACGCUGCCAGGUCCAAGGGCAAGGCGGCGCAGACCUCGACGUCCGCGCUUGUUCCGCGCCCAUCUCAGGAGGCGCAGGACCGACAGCGUCAUGGUACUCGCAGUACCAUAUGUUUGUUGGGACAAGAUCAAGAUGGUGGAUCCCGGGGCGCUCAAGACCAGCAUGCACGCCAACGUGCCAGCACGAGAGAGACACGGUCGCCCGGACGGGAAAAUGCUCCUUCUAAAAUAGUUAGAAGUUCAAGCAUAUCCCGCUCCUCGCGCCGUCCGCCACUGCCACCCACCACUCCGGCAGAAGCUUUGGCGCGAGCUCAACUGCUCCUGGAUUACCCUCCGACGUCGGACAAGAUCGACGAAUGGAGGGCCACCAUUCAGAGUCUCAUCGGCUACGCCAAUGGCGACACUCCGCGGCAGCCGAGCGCGUCGCUGCCGCGGCAGGGUUGCCAGGCGCGAGCCGGUGGCGACGAAACUGGUGGGGGUGCAACAACCAUGCAAUCACCACGCCGAAGGCCAAGAUCGCCGACUCGCCGGAUCCACAUCGACAGCGACUCCACCGCAUCUUCGGAUCCACGAGCUCGUCGUGAUCAGCGCCAAGUUCUUCACGAUCGACAACAAGAAGACGCUCGUACUCACAUCGAGCGCCGAAGAGAAGCGCGACGUCAAUCCGACAAGCGCGCUGGGCCCUCUGUUGACAUGCAUGAGCUAGGGGAACCAGGCGACUUGCCGUACGCGGUAGGUUGCCCUACGUUCACUCGUGAGCUGCGGCAAGUCCAGUGGCCCAACACGAAGAACUUCAAGCCAGACGUACCGGAGAAGUACGACGGCAAGACGCAUCCGUCGGAGUUCCUCAGCAUCUACACCAUUGCGGUGCAGGUUGCUGGGGGACGGGACGACAAGAUCCUUGCCAACUACUUCCCGCUGGUGCUCAAGCCCAACGUCAGAUCCUGGCUCAUGCACUUGCCGGACAACUCCAUAUCCUCUUGGGCCAAUCUAUGCCAUCAGUUUGUCGGCGCCUUCACAGGCGGCCACAAGCCUCAUGGCCAAGAGAGUGACCUUCAUCUGCUCGCCCAGAAGGAAGUAGAGCCCCUGCGCAAGUACAUUCAGAGAUUCAGCAGUGUACAGCACAACAUCCCAGACGUCCACCCUGCCGCGGUGAUCAGCGCGUUCCAUCAGAACGUGCGAAACCGCAGGAUGUGGGAGGAGAUGGCGAUGUGCAAGAUCAGAGAUGUCAGUGAGCUAUAUGCCCUGGCCGACAAAUGUGCACGUGCUGAGGAAGGAAGGAGACUCCCCGGAGAGAAUAUAGGAGCAGGAGGAUCUGACAGUGAGGAUGCAGCCCCGGCAAGGAAGAACCGGCGGCGAAAUAACAGGAAGAAGAAAGGCAAAGAGGUGCUAGUUGUUAAGCAGUCCGGCAACGGUGGUGGCGCCAAGAAAGCCAAAGCUGGUGACUCCGGCAAGGAGAUUACCGCAGAAGCUGUGGCGGUCGCCGACAAGCAGGACGGCACCAACAAACAGUACUACAAGAUCCACCGCACCAAGGGCCAUGACCUCCAGAGCUGCAAGAAGGUCGAGCAGCUCGUUGAGCAACAAAAAGCUGAAUACGAGCAGCGCGACAAGGAGAAAGCCCAGGAAGGUGCUGGAGGAUCCGGCAAGAAACGUCCUGGCCGAGGAGGAUGCCGCGGCAAGGCCAAGCAGCGGCAAGGAGACAGACCUCCUCGCGGCCGCGACAAGGAUGAAGAUGACGACGACGAUGAAGACAUGGAUGAUGAGGAGACCAAUGAGCAGGAGUUCCAGAAAGCCACAGAGGUCCUGUGCGUUGACGGCGGUGCUUCUCUGCAUACUUCACACCGCCAGCUCAAGCAAUGGGUGCAGGAAGUUAAUGCAGCAGAACCACCCGUCGAGUCACGCAAGCCUCUGAAAUGGUCCAGCACGCCUAUCAUCUUUGAUAUUGAGGACCACCCUGAUCGCAUAACUGUGGUCGGGUGCUUGCUGAUGUUGGUUUCACCAACUAUCCGCAACCUCAAGGUCACCAAGAUGCUAGUUGACGGCAGGGCCGGCUUAAACUUGAUCUCCUUCGCGGUACUCCAGAAACUCCAGAUCCCUGAUAGCGAGCUCGAAGAGACUGGCACAUUCCAAGGAAUCAACCCGGGAAGGAGCAAGCCAAAGGGAAAGAUCACGUUGCCGGUAACAUUUGGCAGCGAGUUGAACUUCAGAACUGAGAGGGUCACUUUUGACGUUGCUGAUUUUCCAUUACCCUACAAUUGGAUACUCGGCCGUCCAGCACUCGCCAAGUUCAUGGCAGCCUCUCACUAUGCCUACAACAUGCUCAAGAUGCCAGGCCCGAUAAGUGUCAUCUCUGUCCCUGGCGACAAGAAAGAUGCUCUUAUCUAUGCCGACAAGAUCUACCGGGAAGCAACAGCCGCAAUAGAUCGCAAGUCACUUGCCGCUGAAGCUCCCGGGGGGAAGAAGAAGACCAAGUCCGGCAAGAGUUCUGAUGCCCACUCCGGCAAGCGCACCUCUUCGGAGUGCUGCACUACCGUCGAGGACGCACCAUCGAGCUCCACCGGCAAGUGUAAGAAGGCAAUGGCAGCUCCACCUGAGACCAAGAAGGUGUCCGCCAAGGAGGACAGCACUGGUGGUACCUUCACCAUCAGUGCCACUCUCGACCCCAAAUAGGAAAGCGCGCUCGUUGCUUUCUUGCGGGCGAAUGUCAACGUGUUUGCGUGGCAACCGUCUGACAUCCCCGGUGUUCCCAGGAAAGUAAUUGAGCACCACCUUGCUGUCUGUCCUCAUGCGCGGCCCGUCAAGCAGAAAGUUAGGAAACAUGCAGUGGAGCGCCAAGAAUUCAUCGUAGAAGAAAUCAAGAAGUUGGAAGCAGCAGGCCUUGUCAGAGGAGUGCUCCAUCCUACGUGGUUGGCCAAUCCUAUAGUUGUGCGCAAGGCUAACGAAAAAUGGAGGCUUUGUAUCGACUUCACUGAUGUCAAUAAAGCUUGUCCCAAACACCCAUUUCCCUUGCCGCGCAUCGAUCAGAUUGUUGACUCCACGGCCGGAUGUGAUUUGCUCUCAUUUCUUGAUGCAUACUCAGGAUACCAUCAGAUCUUCAUGGCAGAAGAGGAUGAGGAGAAGACCGCAUUCAUCACCCCGUGUGGCAUGUACUGUUUCGUACGGAUGCCUUUCGGUUUGAAGAAUGCUGGUUCAACAUUUGUAAGGGUAGUCCACCACGCUUUUGAGCCGCAGAUGCACAGAAAUGUGGAAGCCUACAUGGAUGACAUAGUGGUCAAGAGCAAGGACAGGGCGACCCUGAUUCAAGAUUUGGACGAAACAUUUGCAAAUCUGCGCAAGAUCAACCUCAAGCUCAACCCCGAGAAGUGCGUGUUUGGAGUCCCUUCCGGCAAGCUUCUCGGGUUCUUCGUGUCUCAGCGGGGAAUUGAAGCCAAUCCCGACAAGAUCAAGGCCAUUGAGCAGAUUGAAGCACCAAAGCGCGUCAAGGAUGUACGAAGACUUGCCGGUUGCAUGGCUGCUCUCAGCAGGUUUAUCUCUAGAUCUGCUGAGCGCGCCCUGCCGUUUUUCAAAAUAUUGAAAAAGGCAGGUCAAUGAAAUGGACUCUGGAAGCGGAGGCUGCGCUGCAGGACUUGAAGAGAUACAUGUUCUCCACUCCAACACUUGUCGCACCUAAACCACAAGAGAAGUUGCUGCUGUAUAUAGCGGCAACCAAUCAAGUGGUUAGUGCUGCGUUAGUGGCGGAGAGGGAGGCAGAUGACGAGCCAGCAACCACGGCAGACACAUCCAGCGACAAGCAGGGGGCUUCACCGACAAGCUCUGGUCCCGACAAGGAUGGAUCUGCGCAGGAGCAUGAUAAGAUGCAGAAGAGAAUGGUGCAGCGCCCAGUUUACUUUGUCAGUUCCCUUCUGCAGGGGGCUAGGUCAAGGUACUCUGGCGUGCAGAAAUUGCUUUUCGGCCUUCUCAUGGCCUCGAGAAAGCUGCGCCAUUACUUCCAAGCACAUGAGAUCACAGUCGUCACUCGUUUUCCGCUAAAAAGGAUACUGCAAAAUCCAGAAGCGACAGGCAGGAUUGUCGAGUGGGCGCUGGAACUGUCAAGCUUUGGCCUCAAGUUUGAAAGUACUUCAACUAUCCAAAGCAGAGCAUUGGCAGAGUUCAUAGCAGAGUGGACGCCAACACAAGAUGAAGAAACUCUAGAGACAAGCAUCCCCGUCAAGGAAGCGAGAAAAGAGUGGCUGAUGUACUUUGAUGGUGCCUUCUCGCUGCAAGGCGCCGGUGCGGGCAUGCUGCUUGUCGCACCCACCGGAGAGCACCUCAAGUACGUAGUCCAGAUGCACUUUCCCAAGGAGCAAGCAACCAACAAUACUGCGGAGUAUGAAGGAUUGCUUGCCGGUCUCAGGAUCGCAGCAGACCUUGGGAUCAAGAAGCUCGUUGUCAGGGAUGACUCACAGCUUGUCGUCCGCCAAGUGAACAAGAACUAUCAGAGUCCAUUGAUGGAAGCAUAUGUUGAUGAAGUGAGAAAGCUAGAAGAGCACUUUGACGGCCUACAGAUGGAGCAUGUUCCGAGAGCUCAGAAUGACAUUGCUGAUGGCCUGUUGAAGUGCGCCGCACUAGAGUUACCUGUGGAACUAGGGAUCUUUGUGCUCAAGCUGACUCAACCGUCCGUAAUGCCAUCAACUGGACAGAACAAGAAGAGGAAGUUGAUUUCUGGUGACUAUUUUCCGGCAGAGCUCCCUGAAGCCGCCACCAAGAAGGUCCCCAAGAUCAACGCCAAGGAUGCUGAGGAGCAGUCUACUCCGGCAAGCCUUAUGGUUUGUUCCGUCGCAGCAGACGCUCCCGACAAGCUUUGCUCCGGCAAGCUUGCCGGGGAACAUCAAGCUCCGGCUGAGCCGCAGGUUCUCACCGUGGAAGCGGAUGUUCCCGCAGCAGCAGAUGUGCCUUUAGUCCUUGUUGUCGAGCCACAAGCUCCAGCAUGGGCACAGCAGAUUGUCCAUUUCCUUCAGACAGGAGAACUUCCCGAAGAGCAAGAAGAAGCGGAAAAAGUAGCCCGGCAGUCAAGUAUGUACCAGUUUCUUGACAGCACACUGUACAGAAGAAGACUCAACGGUGUGAAAUUGAAGUGUAUUUGCCGGGAAGACGGACAAAAGUUGUUGGCAGAGAUACAUGGAGGCAUAUGUGGCCACCACAUUGGCGCAAGAGCACUUGCCGGCAAAGCGUUCCGGCAAGGUUUCUUUUGGCCGACAGCCCUCCAGGAUGCAACUGCACAAGUAACCAAGUGUGAAGCGUGCCAGUUCCAUUCCAAGCAGAUACACCAGCUAGCUCAAGCUCUCCAGACGAUCCCUUUAUCCUGGCCAUUUUCGGUCUGGGGGCUCGACAUCCUCGGCCCCUUUCCCCGAGCUGUCGGGGGCUUUGAGUACUUGUACGUCGCAAUCGACAAGUUCACAAAGUGGCCGGAAGUGGAACCAGUGAGGAAGGUGACAGCACAGUCAGCAAUCAAGUUCUUCAGGUCGAUUGUUUGCCAUUUCGGGAUCCCUAACAGGAUCAUUACCGACAACGGCACACAAUUCACGAGCCGCACCUUCAUGCAGUACGUCCAAGAUCUUGGCGCCAAGGUCUGCUUCGCUCCUGUUGCUCAUCCGAGAAGCAACGGUCAAGCGGAGAGGGCAAAUGCUGAAGUGCUGCGCAGGCUCAAGACCAGGACUUUCGACAGGCUGCGCAAGUGCGGAAGGAACUGGAUCGAGGAGCUGCCGGUGGUUCUUUGGUCGAUCAGGACGACGCCAAAUCGAGCCAUUGGCCAGACGCCUUUCGCUCUAGUCUAUGGAGCAGAGGAAGUUCUCCCCAUGGAACUUGUAUACGGGUCACCUCGAGUGCUUGCUUAUGAUGAGCUUGAGCAAGAGCAGCUGCGACAAGAUGACGCGCUGCUCCUUGAGGAGGAUCGUCUUCAGGCUGCUGUACGAGCUGCUCGAUACCAGCAAGCUUUGCGCCGCUACCAUAGCCGCAAAGUUAAAGCCAGAAGCUUCGAGGAAGGCGACCUUAUUCUUCGGCGCGUUCAGUCCGCCAAGAAUUCCAGCAAGUUGACGCCGAAGUGGGAAGGCCCUUACCGGGUGAAACGAGUCACUAGGCCUGGCGCUGUCCGCCUUGAGACCGAAGAUGGCACUCCGGUGAGCAACUCCUGGAACAUUGAGCAUCUUCGUAAGUUUUACCCGUAGGGCGCGGUUGCCGAAACCCGUUCCGGCAACCACUUUUUGUACAAGUCUUGCCGAUGUUGCAUGUAAUCCUUUGUACAAAGCUGGGCGCAGAUCCCGUGCAUAAGUAAAGCUCAUGUGCUCCGCACAUCUUGUCAAUUUCAUGCAUUAUAUUCUUUCUUGCAUGUGUUAUCUGACACUUUGUGCAGCACCUACCCCCAGUAAGCAAUAACGAGCCGAAAGGCUCCAUAUCUUUAUUUUCUCUUCUUUCUUUUUCUCAACAAAGGAAAGGAAGGUUCCCUCGCACACAAGUUUGCCGGGGGGGAAAGGAGAAGAUAAGGGUGUGGACCAGGCGUCGUUUAAGGAAGUUUCGCCUUGCCGGGAAGUGAACGAUAGAAAAGCUAAGUUGCCAAAGUUUGAGCAAUUAGUUUUAAUUUUUAAGUUAUCUUCCUCAAACGACCGGACUUUGUAUGGAAAACCUGUGCACGGAGGAACCAACUCAUAGCUAGUUGCGCCCUUACUUUGUUUCGAGUCCGCUCAACAACUUAAGUGUGCUGCAACUAGUCGCGACAAGGUUUCUUGUCGGAAGCGGCACCGCCAGCAGGCUGCUGACGUCCCGCACUCAGCGCUCGCGGCUCGGGUGCCCGCGCCGACAAGUCCCCUAAAAGCGUAGGGUAAAAACAUACAAAGGAAGGAAUCUAGUAAAGGAAAUAACGUAGCAAUUGAUAACACAAAUAGAGUUGCAUUACAAAAUAACUUGUCGCAGCUCUAACAGAUUGAUCUUAUAAUAUGGCUAGCAGCGACAAGGAGAAAGAGAAAACGGGCGGCCUAGUCUACGCGAUCGCCCUCAACCCUCUUGAUCUCGCUCACCUUGUCCACAAUGGGUGCGACAAGGGCCUUGAGCGCAUCCAGAUCGGCGUCAGGCGGCAAAGACUUGAGGACGUUGGUGAGGUUGAGGCCUGGGUUGCGGAAGGCCACCUUCAUCAGCACCUUCUGGAGAGCCCCCGCGCAAAUCCUGCGCGACUCGUCGGCCAGCUGCUUUGGGAUCCUCUCCCGGAGCCGCUGGAGUGCCGUCGCCACGCCUUUGAAGAACAGGCUGAGCUUGGCGCUGGGUUGGAGAUGCUCGUCGGAGGGAUACCCCAAAUCCUCCAUCCCCAGCUGCGCCAACUCCUCGUCGAUGGCAGCGGCAGCAUCCACUAGACCUUCAGUCCAAUGCUCCACUGUCUCCCUGAAGGCGUCGUGGGCGGCAGCAGCAUUCGCCAGCAGUGCCUCGUCGGCCUUGAUCUUCUCCGACAAAGUCACCUCUCGCUCCCUGGUGACGUCCAGCGUCUGAGUCAACAUGGCCAGCUUCAACUCCAGGUCUGCAUUUGAAUCCUUGGCGGCGCUGAGUUCCUUGCCCCUCUCAGCGAGAAGACCCUGCAGCUCACCAUGAGCGGCGGCGUCCUUCUCGCGCUCGCGCUUAAGCACGGCAAGCUCCUCGCCGCUCGCCUUGAGGUCUGCCUCCAGCUGCGCCACCUUCAUCUCCAGCUCCUUCUUGGCGGCCUCAGCAGCUACGGCGGCGUCCUUUGCUUCCUUGAGCGCCCCGCCUAUUGCUUGCUCGCACGCGGCAUGCUCCUCCUCGUGGCUGUCAAGAUUGACCUUGCGCUGCGCCAACUCUCCCUCCUGCGCAGAUAGCUUCUCGGCCGCAAGCCUUUGUUUCUCUUCGACCUCAGCCUUCUCGAGGAGGAAAGCUUUCCGCUCCUUGAGAAGUUGCUCCCGCUCCUCCGCCAAGGACCGGAGAGUUUCCUGCCUGAGGCCCCAGAGCUCCUCCGCACGCUUCUAAAUGUCAACCCCCGCCUUCGCAACGAGCGCCUCUCGGGACGCCAGUUUGGCUUGGCAGGCGUGGUUGAGUGACAGCAGCUUCCAUAGCAGUCGCUCCUCCUCAGACUCGCCGCUACUGCUGCUUGGCGCAUCGACAAGCGCCAGCCCAGCGGAGGCGAGCACCUCUUCGUCGAAGGUUUCUCCUUCGACCGGCGCCCUGGAGCUUGACGCCCAGGGAAGUUUGAUGAAGAUACCGUCGCCGCCCUUCAAGUAGGCGCCGGGCUGAGGCUCUUCAGAGCCUGGCUCCGCAGCAGCGGCGGAGGGAUCGGCGGUCGGUGCAGCGCCUAGCGCUCCUGCGGCCUCAGGGCCGUUAGUGCGAUCGCCGGACCCCUCGCCAGCCUCUGCAGCGGCAUCCUUGGCGGCCUCUUCGCCGGCGGGAUCAUCAGCGCUGGCCUCUUCUUCGGUGGCGGCGGCGUCGUCGUUGCUGCCACGCGCGCCUUCCUCGUCGGCGUCCUCAGUCUCCAUUGGCUCCGCAGCAGAUGGAUCUGAAGAACGAAGAAGGGAGAAAAGUCAAGCAAAAAUCCAAGAAAGGAAAUUCAGAAGAAAAAGAUCCCAAGGGAGGUUUUCAGGCAAGGAGAUUACCUGUACUAGGAUCUGCGGUCGUGGUCUCGACCGCCGGAGGAUCACUGGUGCCGUCCCUUCCUGGAGGAUUGUCCCUUGCCGGGGAGUUCUCCCUUGCCGGAGAGCGCUCCCUUGCCGGGGACUCCUCCCUUGGCGGCGUAGUCGAAGCAGAUGGCACUUCGGGAGCAGCUUCCGGGCACUCCUGAUGAGGCUAUUCUGCUCCUACACAAUUCAACAGCCAAGAUGUCAGUAGAGAGCACCCAUGCGCGCCUGACAGCAAAAAGUGAACUACAAACUUACGCUGGGGGCUGCACUGGGGGCUGCUCUGGGGAGUAGUUGCCAGGUCCGUCAAGGUGGUCUCAGACACACCACCUGCUGACACGGUGGGAUCAUCUUCGAUGACAAUCACCGGGGCCUUGGCUCUCUUCGCCGCUCUCUGGGCCAGCGUCCUGAAAAGGAAUGGAUUCAGAUCGAAGCAAGUCAGAUACAAGACAAAACCAACAAGAAUUGAAGAACUACAAGAGCACCAAAGAAACUUACUCUUCCUCUUCCUCGUCGGAGCUGAGCGCGGAGAGGUCGAAGUCCGGCUCUCCUCCGGUGCGGCGAGGCGGAGGAGAAGGUUCCCUUGCCCGCUUGGCAGGGGCGGUAGCGGUGGACCGGGAAGAUCCCGCUCCAGUUGCCGCAACAGCAUGAGGCGCUCCCGCGGCAACAGUACUUGCCGUGGUAGAGCAUGUUGCACGGCUUGGCGGCUGUUGGCUCGUUUGUCGCCCCGCUACGUCCCCGGCCCUGCGGAGACGCCUUCUUGGUGCAGCUGGGGGCUCCACUUGCGGCACGGUAUCUGAAGAUUCGGGCCCGACAAGGUCUCCCUCACCGGGCUCGCUCGGUUCGUCUUCAGGACCGGCAAGCUCUUCCUCGCUGACAAACUCCUCGUGCUCGGCAAGGCUUGCCGCCUCUGCUGCCUCUGCCUCCUCUACGGUGAACCCGAACGCGCCCGCGGCAGCUACUGCCGCAGCCUCUUCCGCCCUAGUGGCGAUGCGCUGCAGCUCCGCGUCGGUCGUGUCGCGGGUGAGGCUCUUCUGUUCGUCGGCGCGGACCGGCACUUCUACCAAGUCGUCGAAGAACGCUUGUACGAUGUCAUCCGCAGGUUCUUGCCAAGUUGGUGCGAUUCCGUGCGAAUCGCACAACGGCAUCAUCGCGCGGAUCCGGUCAAGCGACGAAUUGUUGCACAACGGAACGACGCUCCUCGGCAGUGUGAAUGGAUGUUGGGGAUCUCGUUUGAACAACUCCAGGAGCAUCGCAUCCAGCUCCAGGACAGUGAAGUUGAAGUUGAGGCCCGGGCGCAGCCUCAUGAUAUCCGCCGAGUUCUUGAACUCCCAGGCGGGUCUCCCCCUCUCUUGCAGGGGGCGAUGCGGCGGCGAAGGAAAUCUGCACCGACGGCACCUACAGUGAGCCCAGCAAGCCUAAGGCGAAGGAUUCGGGUGACGGCAAUCUUCAGCCUGUCGUCCUCCGGGGCCACAUUGCUCCAAUCAUUACCACGCACUAUUGGGGCUUGGUGCAGGGCAGUGAAGAGCUGCGGCUUCUCCUCGACGAUCCAGCACCACUCCGCUCUCCACUCCUCCCACUUGCUGCGGAGCUCACCCUCCAGAUACGCCUCCUUCUUGCCGACUCUCGAGAUCCAGGCGAUCCCUCCGGCAAGCGGCUCUCCUCUCUCGACCCGAGGCAUGAAGAAGUGGCGGAAAAGGGCUACAUUUGGGUGGACUCCGACAAAGUUUUCGCACAAAUGUGUGAAAACUUCCAUGGUCAGAACGGCGUUGGGGGUGAAGUCAAGGAGGCGGAACCCGUAGGUGUUCAUAAUGUCGCAGAAGAAAUCAGAAAAGGGCGGGCAAAGCCCGCAGUAGAAGAACAAUGCGAAGAACGGGUACCCGCUUGGAGCCAGUUCCAAAGCUGCAGCCGGGAGUACCCUCGUGCGCGGAUGCGCACGCGUCUCCGUCGACCAGAAGAGGUAGUAGUACUCCCUCAGCUCCUGCGCACCGAGCUGAGGGGGGAAGAGGGCCCGCUCCUUUCGCAGCGCCGCGAGCCGCUGCGCCUCGGCCGACUUCACGCCCUUCCCCUUGUCGGCUUUUGGAGCCAUGGCGGAGGUGGCGGGGGAGAUCGGCGGCGUUGGUGAUGCUGGUGGCAAUGGGGAGUGGAGCGCUGCUCUCUUUUUGCUUCGAGAAGAAGGGGGGAGCGGCGGAGAUUUCUGGAGUUGAAGCAACAAACGGUGAGAUGGGCAAACUGCCCCUGUUUCCCCUGCUUAUAAUGAGGGAGGGGGCGGACGUUUCGCCCUUCCAAAUAAAGAAACCACCCAUGAUCUCUCCCACGACGCCGCAUUCGACGCGUGCCGUUAGGGAGGGCGCGGUGGAUACGGAGUCAGAUACGGCGUAACCCAGGCCGCGUGUGCCCGUGCCCUGUUUUGGGCCUGGCCCAACAGCGCUCGGCACCGUGUAUGGCCCAGGCCCGGGGGCUCCUGUCGGUGUACUAGAAUAGGGGUACCCUAGUAUCCCGAACUUGUGCACGGGCAGUUGCAGCGCCUCGCGGCAAGGCUUGCCGGGCGACCGCCAAGGUCCUCCAUGGUUCCUUUGGAGCCAUUCAAGAACAAAGUAUUCAAGCCAAGGCCCCGGCAAGACGAGCUUGCCGGGAAAGCCAACCAAGGCAUCCCAAGGAACUUGCCGCGACGCGCCAUGUGUCCCGGCAAGGCGACAAGGCCCCGGCAAGAGGAGCUUGCCGGAAGACCAACCAAGGCAUAUCAGGGCCCGGUGAGCGACAAGCUUCCGGACCCGACAAGACAACGGCCGCGGCAAGGUGCUUGCCGCGGCAGGCGGCCACUCUGUGCCCACGCUCCAGCGUAUCCACCAACGUGUCGCUCUGGGGGCCUUUCCAAGUGCGCAUGGCGGGAGGCUGUGGAGCCAGCGGUGCGCGGUGGCAUGCAAAGUUGACAAGAUCGCCAUCGUGGCGAGCGGUGGCGCCCUUGACGGUCCUUUUCUGCACUGUUUGGGCUACACGGACGGGCAUUUAAUGCCCUUGUCCCCUACUGUCAGGGUUAGGUAGGAAACACUGUACAAGUAACUGUACCAACCACCUCGCUUUUUACGCUUUUACCCUUCUCUGCGUUGCCACCUGUCGGUGACCCCUUGAGAAUAUAAAAGGAGGCCCAUGCGCAACGUAGAGGGGGUUCGACUCAUUCGUAAGCCAGAAAACACUUAGCUCUCUCGAGCAAGAACACAAUACAAUCAGACAGGCAGCAGUAGGAGUAUUAUCUCUCCAGAGAGCUCCGAAGCUGGGUAAACUGCUCGUGUGCUUCGCCUCGAUCUGCUCUUCGUGCGAUCUCCGCCGCUCGCCGAACCGAAAGGGGCCCGGUCCGCCGGCCCCAUAGGUGUUCGUGGAUCAGUUUCCCCGACAGAUAUAGGUUUUUGUAAUCUGAAAAUAUAAAAAUAGCAAGGUAACAAGUGGUAAAAAAGUGAGCAUAAACGGUACUGCAAUGCUAGGAAACAAGGCCUAAGGUUCAUACUUUCACUCGUGCAAGUUCUCUCAACAAUAAUAACAUAAUUGGAUCAUAUAACUAUCCCUCAACAUGCAACAAAGAGUCACUCCAAAGUCACUAAUAGCGGAGAACAAACAAAGAGAUUAUUGUAGGGUACGAAACCACCUCAAAGUUAUCCUUUCUGAUCGACCUAUUCAAGAGUCCGUAGUAAAAUAACACGAAGCUAUUAUUUCUGUUCGAUCUAUCAUAGAGUGCAUACUAGAAUAACACCUUAAGACACAAAUCAACCAAAACCCUAAUGUCACCUAGAUACUCCAAUGUCACCUCAAGUAUCCAUGGGCAUGAUUAUACGAUAUGCAUCACACAAUCUCAGAUUCAUCUAUUCAACCAACACAAAGAACUUCAAAGAGUGCCCCAAAGUUUCUACCGGAGAGUCAAGAUGAAAACGUGUGCCAACCCCUAUGCAUAGAUUCCCAAGGUCACGGAAUCCGCAAGUUGAUCACCAAAACAUACAUCAAGUCGAUCAAUAGAAUACCCCAUUGUCACCACGGAUAUCCCUUGCAAGACAUACAUCAAGUGUUCUCAAAUCCUUAAAGACUCAAUCUGAUAAGAUAACUUCAAAGGGAAAACUCAAUCCAUUACAAGAGAGUAGAGGGGGAGAAACAUCAUAAGAUCCAACUAUAAUACUAAAGCUCGCGAUACAUCAAGAUCGUACCACCUCAAGAACACGAGAGACAGAGAUCAAACACAUAGCUACUGGUACAUACCCUCAACCCCGAGGGUGAACUACUCCCUCCUCGUCAUGGAGAGCACCGGGAUGAUGAAGAUGGCCAUCGAUGAGGGAUCCCCCCACCGGCAGUGUGCCCAAACAGGGUCCCGGUUGGUUUUUGGUGGCUACAGAGGCUUGCGGCGGCGGAAUUCCCGAUCUAUUGUGCUCCCCAAUGUUUUUAGGGUAUAUGGACAUAUAUAGGUGAAAGAAGUCGGUCAGGGGAGCCACGAGAGGCCCACGAGGGUGGGGGCGCACCCAGGGGGUAGGGUGUGCCUCCCUGCCUCGUGGCUUCCUCGAAGCAUCCCUGACAUCUACUCCAAGUCUCCUGGAUUGCUUCCGUUCCAAAAAUAACUCUCCCGAAGGUUUCAUUCCGUUUGGGCUCCGUUUGAUAUUCCUUUUCUUCGAAACACUAAAAUAGGCAAAAAAAACAGCAAUCUAGGCUGGGCCUCCGGUUAAUAGGUUAGUCCCAAAAAUGAUAUAAAAGUGUAGAGUAAAGCCCAUAAACAUCCAAAACGGGUAAUAUAAUAGCAUGGAACAAUCAAAAAUUAUAGAUACGUUGGAGACGUAUCAGACCCUGCUUUUGCUACUUCACCUAUCUAUAUUUAUGAUAAGGAUUAUGAUUUAUGUGUCGAUCUUGAGUUAAUUACUUUGGUUGAAUCUGAUCCUUUUUAUGGCUAUGAAUCUGAAACUGUUGUGGCACAUCUUACUAACUUGAAUGAUAUAGCCACCCUAUUUACUCAUGAGGAAAAAAUUCGUUAUUACUAUAUCCUUAAAUUGUUCCCAUUCUCAUUAAAGGGUGCUCCUAAAUUAUGGUUUAAUUCUCUUUCUCUUGGUUGUGUGUGUAGUCCCCAAGAUAUGAUUUAUUACUUCUCUGCUAAAUAUUUCCCCGCUCAUAAGAAACAAGCUGCCUUAAGGGAAAUAUAUAAUUUUGUGCAAAUUCAAGAAGAGAGUCUCCCGCAAGCUUGGGGGAGGCUUCUCCAAUUACUUAAUGCUUUGCCUGAUCACCCUCUCGAGAAAAAUUAAAUACUUGAUACCUUUCUAAUGGACUAACUGAUGCUUCCAGAGACCACCUGGAUAGUUGUGCUGGUUGUGUUUUCAGGGAAAGAACUGUUGAGCAAGUUGAAUUUCUAUUGAAUAAUAUAUUGAGUAAUGAUAACGAUUGGACACUUCCUAAACCAACUCAUAAGCCAACUCCGAAGAAAAGGGGUGUUCUAUUUCUCAGUCCUGAAGAUAUGCAAGAGGCAAAGAAAUCUAUGAAAGAAAAAGGUAUUAAAGUUGAAGAUGUUAUGAAUUAACCACCUAUUGACGAAAUACAUGGUCUUGAUAACCCGACAUAGGUAGUAAAGGUAAAUUCUCUCUAUAGAUUUGAUGCAGGUGAUAUCCCUUGUUAUAAGUCUGCUAGCCAAUGCUUGGAUGAGUUUGAUAAUUUUAUUAUUAAACAAGAAAACUUCAAUGCUUAUGUUGGUAGACAAUUGCAACGUAAUGCAUAUGAUUGAACACUUGAGUGAUUAUAUGUCUAGAGUUAAAGGUGACCUUAAGAUUAUUAGUAAACAUGCAUCUAUGGUUACCACUCAAGUAGAAAAAGUGCUUAAAGUACAAGAUGAUUUGCUCCGUGAAUUAAACAAUAAGAAAAAUGAUAAUGUUGUUAGAGUUAUGAAUAGAGGUGGUUGAAUGACUCAGGAACCUUUGUAUCCUAAGGGCCAUCCUAAGGGAGUUUAGCAAGAUUCUCAGAGAACGAAUGUUGAUGCACCUAGUCCUUCUAAGAAAAAGAAAAGGAAAAAUGAUAGGACUUUGCAUGCUUCUAGUGAACCUGUCAUAGACACACCUAAGAAUCCCAAUGAUAUUUCUAUUUUUGAUCCUGAAACACAAUCUGGUAAUGAAAAUGAGCCUAGUGAUAAUGUUAAUGAUGAUGUUCAUGUUGAUGCUCAACCUAGUAAUAACAAUGAUGUAAAAAUCGAACCUGUUGUUGAUCUUGAUAACCCACAAUCAAAGAAUCAAUGUUAUGAUAAGAGAGACAUCGUUGCUAGAAAGCACAGUAAAGAAAGAGAACCAUGGGUUCAGAAACCCAUGCCUUUUCGUCCUAAGACAUCCAAGAAAAAAGGAUGAUGAGGAUUUUGAGCGAUUUGCUGAAAUGAUUAGACCUAUCUUCUUGCGUAUGCGUUUGACUGAUAUGAUUAAAAUGAAUCCCUAUGCUAAGUACAUGAAAGAUAUUGUUACAAAUAAAAGAAAGAUAGCGGAAGCUGAAAUUUCCACUAUGCUUGCUAAUUAUAAUUUCAAGGGUGGAAUACCUAAGAAACUUGGAGAUCCAGGAGUACCAACUAUACCAUGCUCCAUUAAAAGACUAUAUUAAAACUGCUUUAUGUGAUCUUUGAGCCGGUGUUAGUGUUAUGACUCUCUCUUUAUAUCGUAGACUUGACUUUAAUAAGUUGACACCUACUGAACUCUCUUUGCAAAUGGCUGAUAAAUCAACUGCUAUACUUAUCGGUAUUUGUGAGGAUGUGCCUGUUGUGGUUGCAAAUGUUACUAUUUUAAUGGGAUUUGUUAUUCUUGGUAUUCCCAAGGACGACAGUAUGUCGAUUAUCCUUGGUAGACCCUUUUUGAAUACUACAGGGGCUGUUAUUGAUUGCAACAAAGGCAACGUCACUUUUCAUGUUAAUGGUAAUGAGCAUACGAUACACUUUCCGAGGAAACAACCUCAAGUCCAUAGUAUCAAUUCUGUUGGAAAAAUUUCAACGAUUACUAUUGGAGGUUUUGAAUUCCCUCUUCCUACUGUCAAAAAGAAAUAUGAUAUUCUUAUUGUUGGGGACAUGCAUAUCCCCGUUGAGGUAACCUGGUGUUAUUCGAAAAUUCUCCGGUUUCAUGUUAUCCGAAAGAAGUUUGUUAACAAGACUUGAUCAACCUUGUUAGUGGAUUCCUUUUGAUGAGCAUGAGAUGGAUGAAGUUAGAAAGCACAACUCUCUGUACCCUCCUUUUACUUUCUGUUAUUUAGAUGAAAUAAAGCAAAAAUAGUAUUUCUCUGUCUGUUUUCUGAGUUAUCAAUGCAAUAAAAAAUACCCCAAAAAUAAAAGUUCUCCAAAUGUCCAGAAAAUGAAGUAUGAUUUUUUGUAGAAUAUUUAAGAAUUUCUGGCACUGAGAACACACCAGGGGGGCCCACCAUUUGACCAGGAGGGCACGGGGCGUGCCCACUGAUAGAGGCAAAGGUGUCCCGUCUUUCGAUGAGAUGAUGGAUAUCGCUUUGGUGGAAAUCGACUUUGACGAUCCGACUACGAACGUGCGAGGACACCGCGCCUUAGCAAUCGCUAAACCAACUCCGAGAGGUUAUCGACCACACCGGAGUACGAUCAACCUGACCACGAGGGUCUUUUUCCUGCGAGCAAAUGAAGAACAAGCAAGAAACUGAGAUUGCAAUCUGGAUAUUGCGAAUAUAAGAUGAAAGCUUUAUUGAUCAAGGUGGGGUUCUGUGACGCCUUUGUCUGGUUGUUGAACACAAACGAAGUACGCGAAGUUGCAGCUAUGGCGAACUUUUAAGCUAAACAAAACCCAAAGUCUAAACGACGCCCUAAGGGUUGUAUAUAUGGAGGAAGAGGGGGGAAUUUCGUGGCCCUUGGGGAAGGGGUCCGAAACCAACCCUAUCUCUUGUUUCCCCACACAUACGGACUCUAAAAACAGCCUAUACUCAAGUAUUUCGAAAAUACAUGGGCCUGGCCCAAUAAUAAGGUGACGCAUCACCUAGAAUAGCCUCUGGACGAAAGUUAUGAAGUAGCAUCUUGUAUAUUUCGUCCAAGGCUUCAUCCACUCAUUAUGGUGGCUUCAACGUCCUCAAAUCAUCACUUGUAACUAGGUUCUUGUUCCCCUUGCGCAUGCCAUCAUCUCCAUGCUUGUUCUUGCUCCAAUGUUCAUCCUUCUCCAAGCUAGGCCCUUCAUUUGUAAGCAAAACAAAUGGCAGCAUCAUAUUCUCAUGAACAUUAGAAUCAUUACCAAGAAACGAAAGUACCUGCUAAUUUAAUUGGCGUGCGCGAGCUCUAGUAAUUGGUCCAGUAUGUAUAGCAGCAGGGGUUGUGGGUGUAAUAAUGGUAUUGAUGUCCUCAUCAUCCUCCCCGUCUUAAAUGAAGUCGUCCUCGACGGAAGCUCAUCUUCCUCACCCAAAUAAGGCUUCAAAUCUGCAAUGUUAUAAGUGGGACUAACCCCAAAAUCUGCAGGCAGCUCAAGUUUAUAUGCAUUAUCAUUCAUAUUCUCUAACACCUUAAAAGGACCAUCAGCACGUGGCAUUAGCUUUGAUUUGCGCAAAUCAGGAAAUCUAUCCUUACGCAAAUGUAACCAAACAAGAUCUCCAGGUGCAAACACAACAUGUUUUCUACCUUUAUCUCCAGCAAGUUUAUAUUUAGCAUUCAUACGCUCAAUGUUUUCCUUAGUUAACUCAUGCAUUUUUAAAAUCAAUUCAGCACGUUGUUUAGCAUCAAAAUUAACCGUCUCCGAAGAUGGAAGAGACAACAAAUCAAUAGGUGCACGAGGUAGGAAACCAUACACAAUUUCAAAAGGGCACAUCUUAGUAGUAGAAUGCAAUGAACGAUUAUAAGCAAAUUCAAUAUGAGGCAACCAUUCUUCCCACAUUUUCUUAUUAUUCUUCAAAACAGCCCUAAGCAUAAUAGACAAUGUUCUAUUGACUACUUCAGUUUGUCCAUCAGUUUGGGGGUGACAAGUAGUACUAAAAAGUAGUUUAGUCCCCAACUUAUCCCAUAAACAUCUCCAAAAGUGGCUAAGAAAUUUAGUAUCACCAUCUGAAACAAUAGUAUUUGGCACACCAUGCAAGCGAAUUAUUUCACGGAAUAAUAAAUUAGCAACAUUAACAGCAACAUCGCUUUUAUGACAUGGUAUAAAGUGUGCCAUUUUCAAGAAUAUAUCCACGACAACAAAUAUGCUAUCCCUCCCCUUCUUUGUUCGAGGUAAACCUAAAACAAAGUCCAUAGAUAUAUCCUCCCAAGGAACACUAGGUACAGGCAAAGGCAUAUAUAAACCAUGAGGAUUGAGUCGUGACUUACUUUUUGACAUGUAGUGCAGCGAGCAACAAAGCGCUCAACAUCACGUCUCAUCUUUGGCCAAAAGAAAUGUGUAGCAAGUACGUCCUCUAUCUUCCUCACGCCAAAGUGUCCCAUUAGUCCUCCUCCAUGCGCCGCCUGCAACAACAGAAGACGAACAGAGCUAGCUGGAAUGCAUAGCUUGUAAGCACGGAACACAAAUCCAUCAUUAAUGACGAACUUGUUCCAAGUUGUUCCUUCUUUACAAUUCUGCAAUACAUCUUUAAAAUCAGCAUCAUGCACAUAUUGAUCUUUGAUGGUCUCCAAACCAAAUAUUUUGAAGUCAAGUUGUGAAAGCAUAGUAUAGCGACGAGAUAAUGCAUCAGCAAUAACAUUUUCGUUACCAUUCUUGUAUUUAAUGAAAUAAGGGAAAGUCUCAAUGAAUUCAACCCAUUUAGCAUGUCUACGAUUCAGUUUAGCUUGACUUUUAAUAUGUUUCAAAGAUUCAUGAUCAGAAUGUAUAAAAAAUUCUUUGGGCCAUAAAUAAUGUUGCCAUGUUUCUAAAGUCCGAACAAGAGCAUAUAAUUCUUUAUCAUAAGUAGAAUAAUUCAGACUAGGGCCACUCAAUUUUUCAGAAAAGUAUGCAACAGGUUUGCCAUCUUGUAAUAACACACCUCCUAAUCCAAUUCCGCUAGCAUCACAUUCAAGCUCAAAAGUCUUAUUAAAAUCAGGAAGUUGGAGUAAAGGAGCAUGUGUCAACUUAUCUUUCAACACCGUGAAGGCUUCUUCCUGUGCGGUACCCCAAACAAAAGGCACAUCCUUCUUUGUAAGCUCAUUGAGAGGUGCAGCAAUGGUGCUGAAAUCUCUCACAAAACGCCUAUAGAAUCCAGCGAGGCCAAGAAAACUCCUCACUUGUGUGACCGUUUUGGGCUGCGACCAACUCUCAAUAGCUUCAAUCUUGGCUCUAUCAACUUCAAUUCCCUAUGGAGUAACAACAUAGCCAAGAAAAGACACUCGGUUGGUGCAAAAGGUGCACUUCCCAAGGUUACCAAACAAACGUGCAUCACGUAGAGCAAUAAAAACAACACAUAAAUGUUCCAAAUGUUCCUCCAAAGAUCUGCUAUAAAUCAAUAUGCCAUCAAAGUAAACUACCACAAAUCAUCCAAUGAAAGCACGUAAAACUUCGUUCAUUAAUCUCAUGAAAGUACUAGGUGCAUUAGUUAACCCAAAAAGCAUGACUAACCACUCAUAUAAUCCAAACUUAGUUUUAAAUGUUGUUUUCCAUUCAUCCCCCAAUUUCAUACGAAUUUGAUGGUAUCCACUACGCAAAUCAACUUUGGAGAAUAUUGUAGAGCCACUCAAUUCAUCAAGCAUAUCAUCUAGCAUAGGAAUAGGAUGACAAUAACGAAUAGUAAUAUUAUUAAUGCCUCUACAAUCAACACACAUACGCGAUGUACCAUCCUUUUUCGGCACUAGAAUAAUAGGAACGGCACAAGGACUAAGGGAUUCGCGUAUAUAAUCUUUGUCGAGAAGCUCUUGUACCUGACGCAUAAUAUCCUUCGUCUCCUCUGGAUUGGUACGGUAUGGCGCACGGUUUGGCAGUGAAGCACCGGGAAUUAAGUCAAUCUGAUGCUUAAUCCCUCGAAUAGGCGGUAAUCCCGGUGGCACGUCUUGUGGAAAGACGUCAGCGAACUCCUGCAAAAUGUUAGUGACAGCAAAAGGCAAAGAGGAAGGCACGUCCUCGAAUAAAAAUAAUGCCUCUUUGCACACAAAAGCAUAGCAAACAGAUUUGCUAAAAUCUAGCUCAUCAAUAUCAGAUUUAGUGGCAAGUAAACAUGCACUUUUCAAUUUAAUUUCAGAAGCAACACUAGAUGGUUUACUAUUAGGCUUCAUUUGUUGCUCAAAUUCUUUUGCCACAAUCUGAUUUUCACUAUUAUUUUUCUCCUGUUUUGUUUUAUUAGCUCUAUUAAUAUCAUCUUUCAAAAUGGACUCAGGAGUCAUAGGAAGCAAAGUAAUAUUUUUAUCCUUAUGAACAAGAGUAUACUAAUUGUUUCUACCAUGGUGUACAGAAUUUUUAUCAAAUUGCCAUGGUCGACCAAGUAAUAAAGAACAUGCUUGCAUAGGUACCACAUCACAAUCAACAUAAUCAGCAUAUGUAGAUAUACUAAAAUGCACACGAACAGUACGUGUUACCUUGACCUUGUCGUUGUUGUUGAACCAUUGGAUGCAGUAAGGAUGUGGAUGUGGUCUUGUGGUGAGAGAUAGCUUCUCCACCAUCUCCAUGCUAGCCAAGUUGUUGCAACUCCCUCCAUCUAUGAUGACGCGCACAGAAUGUUCCUUCACAACUCCCUUUGUAUGGAACAAAUUAUGCCUCUGAUUUUGCUCAGCUUGUGUAACCUGCACACUCAAAACACGUUGAGCAACUAAACAUUCAUACCUAUCAGCAUCUUCAGGGGCCAUGUAUUGCGUCUCAUGAUCAGAAUCAUCUCCACCGUGUUCUUCACUUGUAAUAAGGGCUAAAGUCUCCUCAUCAUAGUCACUAGCAGACUCAUACCCACCAUCCUCAGUAGCAAUCAUCACACGCUAAGAUUUGCAUUCUCACGCAUAAUGUCCUCUUCCCUUACAACGAUGACAAAUAAUAUCACUUGUGUGCCAUGUUGAUGCCAUAGACGAAGAAGAGCUCUGUGCAGGCCCGGCAGGUGCGCUCUUGGCAGAUAGUGGUGGUUGUGCCUGCUUUCUUGUAUCACGGCUGGAGGUAGCAGCUGAUGGAGGUGCUGGUGCAGUGGAAGUAGAGGAUGCAUGCGGUGUCCAUGAUGAAAGUCGACCUGCAGAAAAGUUAGUUCGCGCCAAUGCUUGUCGAUCCUGCACUUCACGUUCAGCUUUACAAGCAAGAUGGAAUAAACGAGUGAUAUUAGUAUACUCCUUAUACCCUAGAAUGGUCUGAAUCUCUCUAUUUAAUCCACCCAUGAAACAUGCAAGCAUAGUUUCAUUCUCCUCAACAAUACCACAUUUAAUCAUGUCAUUUUCUAAUUCCUGAUAAUAUUCUUCUACAGAAUUUUUUCCUUGUCUUAAACACUGCAAUUUUUGAAGCAAUUCACGUUGAUAAUAUGGUGGAACCCAACGAGUACGCAUAGCAGUUUUCAAAGCAGCCCAAGUAGUUGGAAUAGUAUAUAAUCUACAAUGUUCAGACCACCAUACACAUGCAAAACUAGUGAAAGCACAAACAGCUGCAGCAACCCGUCUCUCCUCGGGAUAUUAUAAACAUGUAAAACGUUGUUCAGUUUCUAACUCCCAAGUAAGAUAUAUAUCAGGAACAUAUCUACCCUCAAAUGGUGGAAUAUUCAAUUUCAGUUUCGGAAUAUGGUCAUUAUCUCGUACCUGAGGUGGUGGUGCAGGCCUACUGUUGCGAAUAUAUACCUGAGGUCGACCUGCUGGUGGUGGUGUUGGUGGCUGCACGUAGUUUUGAUUUUGAUCAACCUCAUCCUCGUAAUAGUCCUCCACCUCUGCACUAACAGCAGGAGCUACAGAAGCACCAACAGUAGUAGUAGCGGCACCAGAAUUUUGUCCUGGCUCAAUAGGAACACGCUGUGCUCGCCCUACUGUAUCGCGGCGUAGAGCUGGUUGUGGGAGACGUUUGAGUAAUUCAUCAAACUUGGCGUCCAACUUGGUGUCAAUUGACUUCUCAAUGUCAUCCAUCUUCUCCAUUGCCUUUCCAAAGCUGGCCAACACGUCUUCCACCUGUUGACCCAACAUUUGAUGAAACUUAUCAUGAAGCUCCUUGUUCGUCAUGUUCUCCAAGUCAAUCUUGUCGACUUGUGUUCCUGCCAUAGUUAGCAACAAUAGAAACAGACAAGAAUAUGAUCCUACAGACUACUGGAAUAUGGUGGUGGUGGGGUGUCACAAAUCCGUCCAGCGAAUCUGACAUUCUUACCUAUUCUUACCCAGCAGCAGGUGGUGAUCGGCAACCGUUGUAGUCAAAACUCUCAAAGCUUGGAUAGAGCGAUUACAAGGGAGAGUCAAACGCACGACGUAGAUGUAUGUGGAGCUGGGAAGGCUUAUAAUAUGGUAGCAAAAAAGAUCAGCAAUAAUCAAUUCAGAGAUGCAAAGUAGAAUAAACGCUCAACGACGGUACUGUGCUGGUCCUAGGCUAGACCGUGCUAUAGACGCGAGCCUAGAACACUAACAAAAUCACAGCGCUGCACGUAAACAAGGGAGAAGCACACUGUGGGAAUUUUUUUUCGCUCUUUUCUUUUUCGCUCUGCUUUUUUUGCGCUCCUCUUUUUUUUGCGAAAAAUCACUAUAAUGGCGAGUGUCUCAAAACUCUUCGCAGGUCAAACUGACAGGAUGGGCACGAAAUUUUUUUGACAUUUUUUUUCCGGAAAUCAGGGCAGCGACGAUGAAAAAGUGCGACAAAAAAUCACUAUGAUGGCGAGUGUCUCAAAACACUCCCUAGGACCUAAAAAUAGGAUAGGGAAAAAAUAUUUUCGGUCGCCGAAUUUUGCCCUAAAAACUGCCCGGGGGUCUCCAGACUUUUUUUUCCGAAACCUACUCAGGCAAGGAAACACGAAUCGGAAAUUAGAUGGAUCUCGAAAACAAACCUAAUAUGCAAGGAACUCGGAUUGGUGGUGGAUAUAUGGUGGUGGUAUAUGGGAGCGGUGGUGGUAUAUGGUAGCGGUGGUAGUAUAUGGAUAUGGAUCGGUGAUGGUACCUGGAUUCGGAGCGGUGGUGGUAUAUGGAUACGGAUUCGGAGCGGUGGUGGUAGGUGGCAGGGGCGAUGAUGAUGGUGCGGUGGCGGCGUGACAACUUAUGACCAGAACUCGAAACUCUAAAAGACUAGACGCUAAGACCAGCAACUUGACGCGACGAUGCAACCGCAAAUUCAACAAAGCAAAAUACUGAAAAGACUAUGCAAAGGCUCAGACUGGUUUGGAUAGGAUGAACUAACCCUAUUUUUUUGGCUUCUUCGUGGACUAUAGGUAUGAAGAACAAACUCGAUCUAAACUAGGAAAAACUGUAAAAUCUCAACGAGCAACCUGGAAAUCUGAUACCACUUGAUAGAGGCAAAGGUGUCCCGUCUUUCGAUGAGAUGAUGGAUAUCGCUUUGGUGGAAAUCGACUUUGACGAUCCGACUAUGAACGUGCGAGGACGUCGCACCUUAGCAAUCGCUAAACCAACUCCGAGAGGUUAUCGACCACGCCGGAGCACGAUCAACCUGACCAUGAGGGUAUGUUUCCUGCGAGCAAACGAAGAACAAGCAAGAAACUGAGAUUGCAAUCUGGAUAUUGUGAAUAUAAGAUGAAAGCUUUAUUGAUCAAGGUGGGGUUCUGUGACGCCUUUGUCUGGUCGUUAAACACAAACGAAGUACGCGAAGUUGCAGCUAUGGCGAACUUUUAAUCUAAACAAAACCCAAAGUCUAAACGACGCCCUAAGGGCUGUAUAUAUGGAAGAAGAGGGGGAAUUUCGUGGCCCUUGGGGAAGGGGUCCGAAACCAACCCUAUCUCUUGUUUCUCCACACAUACGGACUCUAAAAACAGCCUAUACUCAAGUAUUUCGAAAAUACAUGGGCCUGGCCCAAUAAUAUGGUGACGCGGCACCUAGAAUAGCCUUUGGACGAAAGUUAUGAAGUAGCAUCUUGUAUAUUUCGUCCAAGGCUUCAUCCACUCAUUAUGGUGGCUUCAGCGUCCUGAAAUCAUCACUUGUAACUCUGUUCUUGUUCCCCUUGCGCAUGCCAUCAUCUCCAUGCUUGUUCUUGCUCCAAUGUUCAUCCUUCUCCAAGCUAGGCCCUUCAUUUGUAAGCAAAACAAAUGUAUCCAAUUUAGGUAGCAUCAUAUUCUCAUGAACAUUAGAAUCAUUACCAAGAAACGAAAGUACCUGGUAAUUUAAUUGGCAUGCGCGAACUCUAGUAAUUGGUCCAGUAUGUAUAGCAGCAGGGGUUGUGGGUGUAGCAAUGGUAUUGAUGUCCUCAUCACCCACCCCCUAGGGCGCGCCCCUGCCUUGUGGGCCCCACGUGGACCCCACUCCACUUAUUCCAGCACCCACUCACUUCGUCUUCCUCUAGAAAAAAUCCUCCCAUAGCUCAAACCCAUGUUCUAGCUCAUCUUGCUGCCAUUUUUGAUCUCCUUGCUCAAAGCUUCAUUCACAAAACUCUUUUGGGAGAUUGUUCUUCGGUAUGUGACUCCUCCAAUGGUCCAAUUAGUUUUUGUCUAGUGGUUUAUUUAUUGCAAUUUUUUGCUGCUAAGGUGACCCUGUUCUUGAGCUUGCAUGUCAAAUUUAUAUGGUCCAAAGUAGUUUUAAUGCAUGAUAUAGCCUCUAGGCACUUGUGGGAGUAGUUGCUAUCAAUCUUGUUGAGCUUGGUUCCCUUUUAUUUUGAGUCACUAAAAAAUUUAGAAAUUUUUCAGAGAAAAUGAUGAAGAGAUUGUUGAGGGGUCUUCGAGCCGAAUCUCGAAGGAUAAGCAGAAUGAGGAGAACAAAAAUCCCAAGUACAAUCUUCCUCGCACCGUGGAAGUCCGGCCAUGCGAAUGGCCUUGUGAUGCAUUCUUGAGGGCCGCCGGAAUUCAUGAUGACUUUUAUUACUUGGCUGAGAAUGCAGGCAUCACCAACUUUCUCCAUGACUAGCGCGAACAAUAUCGCCUACUCACUAAUAUUUUCGUGCAAAUUUUUCAUUUCCAUGCUAAGAAAUCACCACCUUCAAUGGAGUUUCACUUAUAUGAUGAGGUUAAGGAGAUGUCACUCCGUGAUUUUUGUCGGGUCUGCAAGAUACCCUUUUUGGGUAGCAUCAAGGAACCACAUCAUAGUGAUGUGGAUGAAUUUAUUGAUAGAAUUGUUGUAGGGGAAACGAGGAAAGUUUCCGAUGCACGAAUUACCAGUAUACGUUUUCCUGUUCUAUGUUACUUUGCGAUAUUUGCUAGUAGAUGCUUAAUUGGUCACGGGAACAGUGGAAAUCUUACUGCUCCUGGUCUUGUUAUUUUGCACCAUGCCUUGUUUCGUGAUAUAGCUUUUAGCUUAGGUGAUAUUGUCGCUAACCUGUUAAGUCUAAACCAUACAAAGGGCCCCAUGUUUGGUGGUAUCUUUGCUUCACGCCUUGCUGGACAUUUUGAGAUACCUAUUAGGCAUUAUGAGAAAGAGGAAAAGUUGUUGCCCACUAUUUUUCUAGAUUAUAAAAGUAUGGUAGCACAUGAGUUUAUUGUUAAAAAUAAGAAGAAGAUGCUUAAGUAGAAUUUGAUAUUUGAUAAAACUCACUGUGAGACUAUUAUCUUGCCUGCACCCUCUUUGUUUAACAUAUUUUCAGGCAUGUACCUCAUCUUGCCCGAGGCCAUUUAUGCAUACUGGAGGCUGACACCAGCCCCAGAGCCUGAGCCUGAGUCACCACUUGACCCAUAUAGACAAUCUGUUUAUCAAUGGGAUCCGGAGGAGAUCGCUAACCAGCGGCACUCGGAGGAUCCUCCUCAGUACACCGGAGAGAGUAGCUUCGAGCAAUGGCCAUAGACCAACUUAGGCCAAAAGCCUAAGCUUGGGGGAGUACGUAUUUCUCACCGACAUUACAUUCAUGCUCGCACACUCAUGCUAGUUGUCAGUGCUCAUACUUUUUCAUUGUACUAUCCAUGCUAGUUUAUUUUCUUUUCUUGCUUUUUUUCUUGUGUGUUUGAAAAACCUCAAGAAAAACCAAAAAAAAAUUAGUUGUAGCCUUUAGCUAGUUUACUUUCCAUGCCUCCUGUAGUAAUUAAAAGAAAACCCAAAAAGAUUUCUCGUUCUUCUUUUUCUUGUUGGGAGCUUUCCCGUGUAAAUAUUUUUAUUUCUUUUCUUUCCUUUGGGGGUUGAGAGGAGAAGACCACGAUGAAAAUGUUGAGUGGCUCUCAUAUCCAUUAUUGUUGAUCUAACCAAGAGACCAUAUUACCUUGUCUUCUCCUUUGUAUUUAAUGCUUGCAGAUUCCAGCUUAGUCCAAUGCACGUGCACUGUUAUUAUUAUCUACACCGUUUGUUCAUGCGAGUGAAAGGCAAUAAUGACGAUAUAUGAUGGACUGAUUGAGAUGAGAGAAGUUGGUAUGAUCUCGACCUAUCUUGCUUCUGUAAAUAUGAUUAGUCCAUCGUUCCUGAUUCAGCCUAUUAUGGAUGAAACAUGUUUGCAAUGACAAUUGGAGAUUAUAGUUGCUCAUGCCAUGCUUAGUUAGCUAGGAGUUUAUAAUGGUUUACCUUGCAUGCCAAUAUGCUAUUAAAACGGUUGUGAUGUGGUAUGAUAGGGUGGUAUCCUCCUUCGAAUGAUUCGAGUGGCUUGACUUGGCACAUGUUCACGCAUGUAGUUGAAACAAAAUCAACAUAGCCUCCAUGAUAUUUAUGUUCAUGGUGAUUUAUAUCCUACUCAUGCUUGCACUCAUUGUUGAUUAAUCUUAAUGCAUGUUCAUGACUGUUGCCGCUCUCUAGUUGGUCGCUUCCCAGUCUCUUUCUAGCCUUCACUUGUACUAAGCGGGAAUACUGCUUGUGCAUCCACUUCCAUAAACCUCAAAGUUAUUCCAUAUGAGUCCACCAUACCUUCCUUUAUGCGGUAUCUACCUGUCGUUCCAAGUAAAUUUGUAUGUGCCAAACUCUAAACCUUCAAAUGAAAUUCUAUUUUGUAUGCUCAAAUAGCUCAUGUAUCAACUAGGGUUGUCUAUAUCUUCCAUGCUAUGUGGGUUAUUCUCAUGAUGAGUGGACUCCGCUCAUCAUUCACGAGAAAAUGGUUGGAAACCGGGAUGCCCAGUCCCAUGCUCAAAUCAAAUCAAAAUAAUUGCAAACAAAACUCCCCCAGGAUUGUUGUUAGUUGGACGACACCGUUGUUUCGGACAAGCCAUGGACUGAUGUUUGUUGGUGGUGGGGGAGUAUAAACUUUACCAUUCUAUUUGGGAACCGCCUAUAAUGUGUGUAGCAUGGAAGAUAUCGAGAUCUCUUGGUUGUUAUGUUGACACUGAAAGUAUGCCGCUCAAAAUAUUAUUUAUCUCUGUUUCAAAACUCAAGCUCUGGCACCUCUGCAAAUCCGUGCCUCCCUCUGCGAAGGGCCUAUAUAUUUACUUUUAUGUUGAGUCACCAUCCUCUUAUUAAAAAGCACUAGUUGGAGAGCACCGCUGUCAUUUGCAUGCAUUGCUAUUAAUUUACAUUGAGUAUGACUGUGACUGGAUCUCUUUUACCAUGAAUUACAAUGUCUAGUCAGUCCUUGAUCUUCAGGGGUGCUCUGCAUUUAUGUUUUGCGGUCUCAGAAAGGGCUAGUGAGAUACCAUCUUGUUAUAUCAUAUUAUGAUUGUUUUGAGAAAGCGUUGUCAUCCGAGAUUUAUUAUUAUUGCUCGCUAGUUGACUAUGCCAUUGAUAUGAGUAAAUGUGAGACCUAAAUGUUAUUUUGAAUAUGCUUAGUUCAUAAUCUUUAGUGAAUGAUGGCUUUACAUAUUUGCAACAACAAGAUCAAACAGAGUUUGUAAAAAAAUUCUUUAUCACUUUUAGUUUGUCAACUGCAUUUCUUGAGGACAAGCAAACGUUUAAGCUUGGGGGAGUUGAUACGUCUCCAACGUAUCUACUUUUCCAAACACUUUUGCCCUUGUUUUGGACUCUAACUUGCAUGAUUUGAAUGGAACUAACCCAGACUAACAUUGUUUUCAGCAGAACUGCCCUGGUGUUAUUUUUGUGCAGAAAUAAAAGUUCUUGGAAUGACCUGAAAAUCCACGGAGAAACUUUUUGGAAUUAAUAAAAAGUAUUGGCGAAAGAAUCAGCAUCAGGGGGCCCACACCCUGUCCAUGAGGGUGUAGGGCGCCCCCCUAGGGCGUGCCCCCUGCCUCGUGCGCCCCCUAGGACUCCACCGACCUCAACCCCAACUCCAUAUAUUCACUUUCGAGGAGAAAAAAACCAGAGAGAAGGAUUCAUCUCGUUUUACGAUACGGAGCCGCCGCCAAGCCCUAAUCUUCCUCGGGGGGCUGAUUUGGAGUCCGUUCGGGGCUCCGGAGAGGGGAAUCCAUCACCAUCGUCAUCAUCAACCAUCCUCCAUCACCAAUUUCAUGAUGCUCACCGCCGUGCGUGAGUAAUCCCAUCGUAGGCUUGCUAGAUGGUGAUGGGUUGGAUGAGAUUUACCAUGUAAUCGAGUUAGUUUUGUUGGGGUUUGAUCCCUAGUAUCCAUUAUGUUCUAAGAUUGAUGUUUCUAUGACUUUUCCAUGCUUAAUGCCUGUCACUGGUGCCCGUAUGGCAUGAUUUCAGAUCUGAACCUAUUAUGGUUUCAUGAAUAUAGGUGAGUUCUUGAUCCUAUCUUGCAAGUCAAUAGUCACCUACUAUGUGUUAUGAUCCAGCAACCCCGAAGUGACAAUAAUCGGGACCACUCCCAGUGAUGACCGUAGUUUGAGGAGUUCAUGUAUUCACUAAGUGUUAAUGCUUUGGUCUGGUAAUCUAUUAAAAGGAGCUCUUAAUAUCCCUUAGUUUCCAAUAGGACCCGCUGCCACCUGAGGGUAGGACAAAACAUGUCAUGCAAAUUCUUUUCCAUAAGCACGUAUGACUAUAUUCAGAAUACAUGCCUGCGUUACAUUGAUGAACUGGAGCUAGUUCUAUGUCACCCUAUGUUAUAACUAUUGCAUGAGGAAUCGCAUCUGGCAUAAUUAUCCAUCACUGAUCCAUUGCCUACGAGCUUUCCACAUAUUGUUCUUUGCUUAGUCACUUUUUCGUUGCCAUUGUUACAAUUGCUACAAAACUGCUACUAUUACUUUUGCCACCGUUACCGUUACUUCCAUACUACUUUGCUGCAGAUAUUAAGUCUUUCGGGUGUGGUUGAAUUGACAACUCAGCUGCUAAUACUUGAGAAUAUUCUUUGGCUCCCCUUGUGUCAAAUCAAUAAAUUUGGGUUGAAUACUCUACCCUCGAAAACUAUUGUGAACCCCUAUACUUGUGGGUUAUCAAUGACCCACUACCUAUUGAUGAUAGCUUUCCUAAUGAACAACUAGCUGCAGUAAAUUUUCUCAUAACACUCCUUGGUAUGCUGACUAUGCUAAUUAUUUUGUUGCUAAAUUUAUACCACCUAGUUUCACAUACCAACGAAAGAGAAAAUUCUUCUAUGAUUUAAGACAUUACUUUUGGGAUGACCCACAUAUUUAUAAAGAAGGAAUAGAUGGUAUUAUUAGAUAUUGUGUACCUGAGCAUGAACAGGAACAAAUCCUAUGAAAAUGUCACUCCGAAGUUUAUGGAGGACAUCAUGCGGGAGAUAGAACUGCUCGCAAGGUAUUGCAAUAUGGUUUUUAUUGGCCUACUCUCUUCAAGGAUGCUCGUAAGUUUGUUUUAUCUUGUGAUUAAUGUCAAAGGAUAGGUAAUAUUGGUAUGCGUCGGGAAAUGCCUAUGCAUUAUUCACUUGUUGUUGAACCAUUUGAUGUUUGGGGUUUUGAUUACAUGGGACCUUUUCCUUCCUCUAAUUGGUAUACACAUAUUUUGGUUGUUGUUGAUUAUGUUACUAAGUGGGUAGAAGCUAUUCCAACUAGUAGUGCUGAUCAUAACACUUCCAUUAAAAUCCUUAAAGAAGUUUUUUUCCCAAGGUUUGGAGUCCCUGGAUAUUUAAUGACUCAUGGUGUUUCACACUUUAUUCAUGGUGCUUUCCGUAAAAUGCUUGCUAAUAUAUGAUGUUAACCAUAGAAUUGCUUCACCCUAUCAUCCUCAAUCUAGUGAUCAAGUUGAACUUAGCAGCAAUAGGGAAAUAAAAUUAAUAUUACAAACAACUGUCAAUAGGUCCCGAAAGAAUUGGUCUAAGAAAUUAGAUGAUGCUCUUUGGGCCUACAGAAUGGCAUAUAAAAAUCCUAUGGGUAUGUCUCCAUAUAAAAUGGUUUAUGGAAAAGCUUGUCAUUUGCCUCUUGAGUUAGAACAUAAAGCAUAUGUCACAGCCCUAGAUUAGUCUUUGUUUGUCUUUGCUUGAUCAUCAUGUCAUCAUGUUUAUUUUCAAAUGAUUUUGAAUUGGGGAUGUUCAAACCCAAGCAUCAAAUGGAAUUCAAAUAGGUGCAACCUAAAAAUAUUUUCAAUGAACCUGAAAUGCCCUUCAUAAAUGUUCAUCAUUUUUGUUUUGGUCCAGAACCUCUGCAAAAAAUGGUGCACACUUUUCUAGGACACUCUGGGUUUUUGAACUAAAGCAUACAGUAUUUGUUCCUGGACAUUUAAAUGCUAUAAAUAAUUUUAGAUGUCCAAAUAAUCUUGAAGGUAAAUGAGGGCUGUUGGAAAUAAUCCAAACAGUGCCCACAAAUAUUUUCAGGAUUUUUGAAUAUGCUCUGGCAUUUUUAAUAAGCCAAAACAAGUGUAGAAAAUAGAAAACAGAAAAGAUUUAGAAAAGAGAGAGAGAGAGAGAGAGAGAGAGAGAGAGAGAGGAAAGCUUACCUGGGCCACCUACCUGACUGGGCCGGCCCAUCUGGCCCGUGCCAGUCAUCACCUACUUCUGCCAGUAGGCAGAGGAGGGAGACAGCGCACGCGCGCUCGCGGCGCCACGCCUCCUCUCUACUAGCAUGUGUCCCCCAGGACAGCGUGAUGCCGCUGGUCCUCUCCUCGGUGUCGUCCUGAUCUGCCCGACCUCCUCACUCGCCCCCCUCCUCUCUCCCUCGCCUCUCGUAUCCAUGGCCGAACCUCGCCCGACCUCGCCAUCGUCGUUGUCGUAGCCACAGCCUCCCUCUUGCCUCUCUGACGUAUACAAGAGCUCCGCCGCCUCGUUUACGUCCUCCUCACCGAGCCACGCGACCGGAAGAGCACCAAAACGCCGUCCCCGACCUUUCUUCCCCGUCCACGGCCGCCGGAUGCCGUCGUCUGAUUUGCCAUCUCCACCACCUCCCCGAGCCCACUGAGUUGCUCUAUGACCUCCCUGUGAGACCCGCCUUCAUCUCCCCCUCUCCCCAUCGUCGAUUUCUCGCUGCAACGCCGAUGACCGCGGGUCCCGCAUUUCACCGCUGCACGAGCUCGUCGUUGACGAGGCUCUAGUGACCAAAGGGUCCCCUGCGUGCCUUCGUUUGGUUCGUGAGCUCUCGUAGAUCCCGUAGGUGCAAACCACUGGUCCUCCCACACGCCGUGUUGUCGAUUCCGUCAACACCCGAGCUCCGGCCGCCGCCCAACUCACCGCUGCCGCCGCUAUAGACCGCCCCGCGACCUGCUACCGCCUCCGCUAGAUGCGCGGGAGCACAGGCUCCCUCCUGGUGCCCUCAGGGCACCCAGCCAUUGCCCCUAGCGCCACCACGGUGAGGCACCGCCGCUCUGGCUCGUCACUGUUGUCUAACCUUCGGCGCAGCUGAUGUGGCGCCACAUUUAGCUGCUAAACCCAAGUAAUCACCCCUGGGACACUGACUAGUGGGCCCCAGGCCAUUAUUAGUUUUGGUUAAGAUUAGUUUUAACCUUAAUUAACCUCUCAGUCACUGACUGAUGGGUCCCACAUGUCAGGUUUGACCCUGGCCGCCCAGUUGACUCGCUGAUAUCACCCUGACGUAGUGCUGACGCAAUAAGUGAUUUUCUGGAUUUAAAAAAUCCAGGAAAUUCCAGUAAAUAGUUAUAACUUCUAAAAAUCAUAGAAAAUAAUCUAUAACUCAGAAUGAAAUAAAUUAUAUAUGAAAAAUUAUCAGAAAAAUCCAAAGAAUCUGUUUAUGGCAUUUUCAUGCAUGUUUGAGAAACUUAUGCCUGCUGAUCAGGUCAAAUCAAUUAAAUGUCAUUUGAAUAUUAACAUAUGGAGUUUGAAUUUGAACCCUUGGUUCCAAUCAACUUCAUUUAAGUCACUACUAGUUGCAUUAGCUCAAAUCACAGCAUGUUGCCAUGUCAUGAGCAUGCAUCAUAUUGCUGCAUUGCAUUGAUUGUGUUCUUUCUCUAUUGCCGGUGGUUGUUCCCCCUCAGUAGACGUAUGUUUCGAUGAUAUGAUCAAUGACACCGAUGAAGAACAAUACUAUCUUUAGAAGUGCCAGGCAAGCAAAAAACCCUUGUUCAUUCUGAUACAAUCCCUCUCUCUCGCUCCUGCUCUCUUUUACUGCACCAGGACAACAACGACUCAUGUGUUACUUGCUGCGGUAGUUGAAUCCCCUUUCCCUCUGCAUGACAUGUCAUUACCACAGUAAAUAGAUGAAACCCACUAGCAUGAGUAGGAGUUGUUUGAGCCAUGUUGUGCCUACUCAUUCAUGUUUGUUGUCAUGCCUGCUACUACUUAGAGUUGAGUCAGGUCUGCUUCAUCGGGGAUGAACUGGAAUGUUGUGAACAUGUUCUACUGUGUGUGAGCUAAGUGUGUGAACACGAUUUGGUAAAGGUAGCUAUGAGAGGCCAUGUAGGAAUACAUGGUGGGUUGUCUCAUUGAAGCCGUCCUCAAGAACUGAGUUCUGUGUUUGUGAUCCAUGAACAGUUACUACCACUCAUUGGGAUCCUUAAUUGACCCUCUCGGCUUCUUAACCACCCUUGUCCUCUGUCCAGGAGUUGCAAGUAGUUUCUGGUGUUUUUAGUAUGCUGGAGGUCGUGCACAGCGUUGACCCGAGGGGUGGGCUGUGAUACGGUAGGCACAUGGCACGGUGUACCGGGCGCCCGUUUGGUGUUUUGGGAACCCUGCUCACAUCGUUCGGGGCCGUAUGUGGAAACUUCGGCCGGACUCCCUGCAGAUGGAACCUGAAUAGGCGAUAAACCUGGACUAGAGACUUGAGUGUUUAGGUAGGCCGUGGCCGACACCCUCGCCAGGCUUCCACUUGAAGGUUGCCGAGAUACAUGACGUGUACAUGGCGGUAAGUGGCGAGAGCGUGUGUGAAGAAGUACACCCCUGCAGGGUUAAGAUCAUCUAUUCGAAUAGCCGUGUCUGUGGUAAAGGACCUCUGGGUUGCCUAUACAGUUCAUAGACAAGUGAAAGUAGAUACUCUAAAAUGCACAAGAUAAGCGUGAGUGCUAUGGAUGGCGUUUUCCUAGGGAGCCAGGAGCGGAUCCAUAGUGGUGUAUUGAUAUGGUGAAUAUGUGGACUCGUGUGCGCCACCUCAAAAGUGUUACUUGUAGUCGUAGUUCAGGAUAGCCACCGAGUCAAAGCUGGCUUGCUGCAGUUAAACCCCACCAUCCCCUUUGUUGAUAAUGAUGCAUAUGUAGAUAUCUCCGAUGUAAGUCUUGUUGGGUACAUUUGUACUCAUGUUUUCCUAUUUUAUGUUUUUGCAAAGAGACUUCAGUCUCACUAGUAGUUCCGUGUGGACUUCGACUUUUAGCUUGUUACCUCAGCUACGAUCUUGUGCCCUCGGCAGGAUCUGGUAGAUAGUCAGGCUUCUCAGCCUUUUUCAUUUGUAGAUGUCUGUACUCAAACAUGUUAAGCUUCCACAUGUGUUUUGACUUGUAUGCUCUGAAUGCUGGGUCGAGAGACCCAUGUUUGUAAUAUCUCGCUCCUCGGAGCCUAUUGAAUAAAUUACUUGAGUUGUAGAGUCAUGUUGUGAUGCCAUGUUGUAUUUGCACAUAUCGAGCAUAUUGUGUGUAUGUUAUUGAAAUGCUUGGUAUGUGUGGGAUCUGAUUAUCUAGUUGUUUAUUCUUGGUAGCCUCUCUUACCGGGAAAUGUCUCCUAGUGCUUCCGUUGAGCCCUGGUAGCUUGCUACUACUCCGGAACACUUAGGCUGGCCGGCAUGUGUCCUUCUUCGUUCAUGUGUCUGUCCCUUCAGGGAAAUGUCACGCGGUGUCUACCGGAGUCCUGCUAGCCUACUACAACCCGGAUUCUCCGGAGUCCUGUUAGCCCAGCUGCUACAGCCCGGAUUCACUCGCUGAUGACCGACACGUUUGUUGCUGGGUCAUGUAUGCAUGUCCCUGUAAGUUAGUGCCACUUUGGGUUUACGACUAGCCAUGUCAGCCCGGGUUCUUUAUCAUAUGGAUGCUAGCGACACUAUCAUAUACGUGAGCCAAAAGGCGCAAACGGUCAUGGGCUUGGUAGGGUGACACCCGUGGGAAUACCGUGCGUGGGGCCCCAAAGUGAUAUGAGGUGUUACAUGCUAGAUGGGUGUGGCAUAGGAUUGGGGUCCUGACAACUUUGGUAUCAGAGCCUGACUGCAUGUAGGAUUACCAAGCCAACUGGUCGAAGUUGAGUCUAGAAAUUCUUUAGUUAUAUAAGGGAAUUGAUUGUGGGAUGGAAUGUAAGGCUCUUUUUACUCCUUAUACCUUAUGCCUUCAGAUCCGAGUCAUCCUAUCUUUCCUACGACGUUAAGGAACUAGGCUUUCUCUUCUUUCUAUCAGGAUCACGUGCUACUAAUCUGUAGACUUAUAGGAACGAUGAAUUCAAGUCUUAGUUCGGUUUAUUCUGUUGGGGAACGUAGUAAUUUCAAAAAAAAUCCUACGCACAUGCAAGAUCAGGGUGAUGCAUACAAACGAGAGGGGAGAGUGAGUCCACGUACCCUCGAAGACCGAAAACGGAAGUGUUAUCACAACGCGGUUGAUGUAGUCGUAUGUCUUCACGAUCCGACCGACCAAGUACCGAAUGUAUGGCACCUUGAUGUCUACUACACAACCUUCUUCUUGUAGACAUUGUUGGGCCUGCAAGUGCACAGGUUUGUAGGACAGUAGCAAAUUUCCCUCAAGUGGAUGACCUAAGGUUUAUCAAUCCGUGGGAGGCGUAGGAUGAAGAUGGUCUCUCUCAAACAACCCUGCAACCAAAUAACAAAGAGUCUCUUGUGUCCCCAACACACCCAAUACAAUGGUAAAUUGUAUAGGUGCACUAGUUCAGCGAAGAGAUGUUGAUACAAGUGCAAUAUGGAUAGUAAUAAAGGUAUUUGUAAUCUCAAAAUAUAAAAACAGCAAGGUAACUAAUGAUAAAAGUGAGCGUAAACGGUAUUGCAAUGGUAGGAAACAAGGCCUAGGGUUCAUACUUUCACUAGUGCAAGUUCUCUGUCAGGACCCCGACUCAAUGCCACAUCGAUCUAGCAUGUAACACCUCAUAUCACUUUGCGGCCUCACGCACGAUAUUCCCACGGGUGUCGCCUUACCUUUGCCCGGGACCGUUUGCGUCUUUUGGCACCGUAUAUGAUAGUGUCGCUAGCAUCCAUAUGAUAAGGAGCCCGGGCUGACAUGGCUAGUCGUAAACCCAAAGUGGCACAAACUUACAGGGACAGGCAUCCAUGACCCAACAUCGAACGUGUCGGUCAUCAGCGAGUGAAUCCAGGCUGUAGCACUGGGCUAGCAGGACUCCGGUGAACUGGGCUGUAGCGGGCUAACAGGACUCCGGUAUUCAUCGCGUGACAUUUCCCCGAAGGGACAGACACAGGAACGAAGAAGGACACAUGCCGGCCAGCCUAAGUGUUCCGGAGCAGUAGCAAGCUACCAUGGCUCGGUGGAAACACUAGGAGACAUUUCCCGGUAAGAGAGGCUACUAAAGAUAAACAACUAAAUAGUCAGAUCCCACACAUACCAAGCAUUUCAAUAACAUACACACAAUAUGCUCGAUAUGUGCAAACACAACAUGGCAUCACAACAUGACUCUACGACUCAAGUAUUUAUUCAUUAGGCUCCGAGGAGCGAGAUAUUACAAACAUAGGUCUCAUGACCCAACAUUCAGAGCAUACAAAUCAAAGCACAAGCGGAAGCUAUCAUGUCUGAGUACAGACAUCUAUAAAUGAAAAAGUCUGAGAAGCCUGACUAUCUACCAAAUCCUGCCGAGGCACAAGAUCGUAGCUGAGGUAACAAGCUAAACGCCGAAGUCCACGUGGAACUACUAGUGAGACCGAAGUCUCUCUGCAAAACAUAAAAUAGGCAAACGUGAGUACAAAUGUACCCAGCAAGACUUACAUCAGAACUAACUACAUAUGCAUCAUUAUUAACAAAGGGGAUGAUGGGGUUUAACUGCAGCAAGCCAGCUUUGACUCGGUGGCUAUCCUGAACUACGACUGCAAGUAACUCUUUUGAGGUGGCGCACACGAGUCCACAUAUUCACCAUAUCAAUACACCACUAUGGAUCCGCUCCCGUCUCCCUACGAGAACGCCAUCCAUAGCACUCACGCUUAUCUUGCGUAUUUUAGAGUAUCCACUUUCACUUGUCUAUGAACUGAUAUAGGCAACCCAGAAGUCCUUUUUCGUGGACACGGCUAUUCGAAUAGAUGAUGUUAACCCUGCAGGGGUGUACUUCUUCAUACAUGUUUCCACCACUUAGCGUCUGCACACGACAUGUGCUCGGCAGACUUCAAGCGAAAGCCGACGUGGGUGUAGACCACGACCUACCUAAACACUCAGGUCUCUAGUCCAGGUUUAUCGCUUAUUCGGGUUCCAUCCAUGAGGAGAUCCGGCCGGAGUUUCGCUCAUAGCCCCAAACGAUGUGAACAGGGUUCCCGAGACACCAAACGGGUGCCCGGUACACCGUGCCACGUGCCUACCGCAUCACAGCCCACCCCUCCGGUCAGCGCUGCCCACGGCCUCCAGCAUACUACAAACACCAGAAACUACUUGCAACUCCUGGACAGAGGACAAGGGUGAAUAAGAAGUCGAGCGGGGUCAUAUUUCAGGGCCCAAUGUAUGGUAGUAGCUGAAUCAUGGAUCACAAACAUAGAGCUCAGUUCCUGAGGACGGCUUCAAUGAGACAACCCACCAUGUACUCCUACAUGGCCUCUCACCGCAACCUUUACCAAAUCGUGUUCACACACUUAGCUCAUACCCAGUAGGACAUGUUCACACACCUCUGAUUCAUCCCCGAUGAAUCAGACCUGACUCAACUCUAAGCAGUAGCAGGCAUGACAAACAAGCAUGAAAGAGUAGGCACAUCAGGGCUCAAACAACUCCUACUCAUGCUAGUGGGUUUCAUCUAUUUACUGUGACAAUGACAGGUCAUGCAAAGGAUAAAGGAGUUCAGCUAUCGCAACAAGUAACAGAUGAAUCAUUGUUGUCCUAAUGCAGUAAAAGAGAGCAGGAGCGAGAGAGUGGGAUUGUAUCGGAAUGAACAAGGGGGUUUUGCUUGCCUGGCACUUCUGAAGAUAAUAUAGCUCUUCAUCGGUGUCAUCGAUCACAUCGCCGGUACACGUCUAUCAAGAGGGGACAAUUACCGGCAAACAAGGAAGAACACAAUCAAUGCAAUGCGACAAUAUGAUGCAUGAAUGUGACAUGGCAAUAUGAUGUGAUUUGGGCUAGUGCACCUAGCUAUGAUUUAAAUGAAGUUGGUUUGAAUACAUGAUUCAAAUUCCAACUCCAUAUAUGGUUAUUUAAAUGCCCUUUAUUUGUUUUGUCCAAAACAGAGGACAAACAUUGUUCAAACAUGCAUGAAAAUGGUACAGAUGGAUUCCUUGAAUUUUUCUGAUAAUUUUUCAUAUAUAAAUUAUUUCAUUCUGACUUACGGUUGAUUUUCUAUGAUUUAUUGAAGUUUGGGGUAUUUUCUGAAAUUUAUAAAUCAUUUCCUGAUUUAUUUUAAUUCCAGAAAUACUUACUGCGUCAGCAUUGCGUCACUAUGACGUCAGCAGGUCAACAGACGCUGCUGCAGGUCAAACCUGACCAAUGGGGUCCACUGGUCUGUGACUGGGGCUGGUUAGUGCGCUGACGUGUGGGGCCGGUCAACGGCCACGUCAGCUUGGUCAAAACUGACGCGUGGGGCUGCUCUGGUUUAGUUAAUCCUAAACAGAUAUUAAACUGGGGUUAAUUAGGGCAUGGGGCCUAGGUGUCAGUGACACGGUGCGGUGUUUAGUGGCUAAUUAGGCCAGCCACGUCAGCAAGUGACGCCGGCGACCACGGCGACGGCGAGACCUCGCCGGAGUUGCUCGGGACGGCGCUACAGCCCGCGGCUGGUCGCGCUGAGGGCACCGAGAGGGAGCCCGUGCUCCCGCGCAUCUAGGGGCGCACACAGCUGGGCACAGGGAGGCCGGGGUCGACGGCGGCGACCACUUAGGCGGCGGCCGGAGCUACGGCAAUGACGGUUAGGCGAUGUAGGGCGCCAGGGGAGGCGUUGGUGAGUGCUAUGUGCUCCUGGGACUGUGGUGAGCAUGACGGUGGGCUCGAGAAUGAGCUGCGGUGGCUGUGGCCACGGCCACGCCAUGGCCGGCGGCGAGAAACUCUCGGCCGCGGUGGGAGAUGGGGCUAGGGGGCGAGAACAGAGGGGGCGAGCACAGGAGAAGCAGCGGAGGCUCACAGCGGAUCCAUUCGAGGCGGAGACGAGGCCGGGGACGGUCCGGAGCCGACGAAUCGGGCGACGGCGACCGGCGGGUCCGAGGAGGGGAAAAACGUCGGGGCAGCGCUUCGGGGGCUUCUGGAGGGGCGUGGCUCGGUGAGGUGGGUCGAGGACGGAGUGGCGGAGCUUGUGGGCUAGUCGGGGAAGCGAGGGAGGCCCGGUGGCUGUGGUGGCAGUGGACGGCGGCGACGAGCUCCGCUCGGUGGCUGCAUGCGAGAAACAGAGGAGGGGGGGAGGAGCGAGGAGAGUGAGAGAGCGUCGGGGGGGUUGCGUGGCGUCGCGGGAGGCGACCAGAGCGUCGAGGGGGUAGCCAGGCAGGCAGGGAGGAGCUGGCGCAGCUCGCCUGCGCGCCGGGCACGCAGCUGCUUCAGGACGAGGGGAGGAAGACGACGAAGGGCUGCAGUGGUGGGUUGGGCCGGCCAGCUGUAGUGCUGGGCCGGUUGGCUACCAGGUGAGCGCCAGGUAAGAUUCUCUCUCUCUUGUUUUAUAUUUCUGUUCUGUUUUUCUUUUAUUAAUAUCUUUUGCCAUUGUUUUGAAUUUAAACAAAUUCAAACAAUGCCAAAAACUCCUCUGAAUAUUUUUAUUUUGCUAGAUGGACUUUUCCAAAAGCUCAUAAAAUAUUUCAGGGGUAUUUGAAAUUAUAUUCUAAUUAUAUGAAUAUAAUUCAAAUUCAAAUAGCUAAUGAUUUAAAUUCAAAGUCCCAAAAAUAAAUCCUUAAAAAUGUUCAAUAUUUUGGUUGGGACCAGAACCCUUGCCAAAAAAUUAUCAAACAUUUAAGAAGAGCAUUUUGGAACAAUGAAUGAGAUUUUAGGGUUUUUGCCCUUCUUUUAUUUAAGUUUUUGAGGCUUCCAAAUUUCCUCAGUUCAAGUUUCAAAAUUUAAACAUGAUGCAAACACUAGGCAGCACCAGAAGCUAGGGAUGUGACAACUCACCCCCACUAAACAAAAAUCUCGUCCCGAGAUUCAAGCGUAGGGUAAGGUGAAGGGGGAACGCAAACUAGCACAAUCUUCACGAUCCAGGUUGCACUUCAUAAGAACCUUGAUUCGAUCAUCAUCUUGUCUCGACGUCUUGCUCUGGGAACUCCAACCAACAUGACAACGAGAGGAGAAGGGAACUCUAGAAGGAUCAAUCUUCUCGAAGGUCGAAUAACUCAGGAUUAACUCUCGGAAUGAGACGUAGCAACAUCUCUCGAGCUGAGAGACAAAGCACACCUCUAGAGGGAUGGAGUGGAACAGAUGAUGAGGGUUCACUAGGUAGACAACAAUUUCACACUUAAAAAGGUGGUAAACGAUUGUCAACGUAGCGAGGAGUUGAGUUGCCAUGAUACCACAACGAGACACCUUAGGAACCGUGACUCGUAGAUAUAUCCCCUUAAGUGGCAAAAAGAAUUACCUUUGAUUCAAAGAUCAUUGAAACUCUUUAAACCAACCUAAGGCAAUUCUCGACCGAUCGUUUGGAGGGGGUCGGUAGAAUGGCAUACUCGGACUUGGAUGAUGUGGAUUACCUUGUUGAAGACAACGUAAUGGAUGAAUUUUCUUACCACCGGGAAUGGAAGAGACCCAUGGUAGAAUGGCACAUUGGCGGUGCAAGCUGGGAACAAAAUGCAAAUGCUGGGAAUGAUUCUGAUAACUGGGGAAGAACCCAACAAUAGAGAGUGAAUUCACUGUUUGAAAAGUCAUAGCAUUGCCGAGGAAACUGAGAGCAUCCCAGUUAGUGUCGAUGAUAACACCUAGCACAUUGUGUGUGCUCUCAAGAACUUGAGCAUUUCCAUAAUCAUCAGGGUUUUACCAACAUCCAUGUCAAGGGUGCUGACAACACAACAUACUACCAUGAUGACCAGCGAUGGACGAUGCAGAUGCAAAGGAGGAUAACACUUUCUCAUAUUUCACCUUAGCGAGGCCAAGGGGACGAAAUCAGAUGAUCGACCGAGAGACAUUUAGCACUCCGCUUCUAAUGUUCUCCUUGAUGUAUUAGCGUAUCCCAUUCCUUGAAAUGGUCUGGUAUCUAGAACAUCAGGUAAAGGUCGUACUUCGGAAACACUAAAGUCAUAAGGCAUAGCUAGGGGGUAAAUCGUACGAAGUCCUUAUGGGGAGGUGGCCAACUUCCUCAAACAAGAUACUAUAAUAAUAGGUCUACCGGAUGGGUGUGUUGGCCACGACAUCCACCUUGCCGGUUAUCGAGAGACUGAUAUUAUAGUUCUUGGGAAAUGUUCCAACCAUCACAUCUGCCUGAGAUUCAGAUCUGGUUGGUGUCAGGACAUCCCAGACUCAUCAAGUCUAGAAAGACAAAUGAAAGUUUGUAACACAAAUCGACGAGAUAAUGUUGCGGGAUUCUCGGGGAGUAAGCUACGGUAGCAAGCUCCAAAACAUGAGCUGGUUCUGCUACAAACAUGUGAACACGUUGUCCCAGACAAGCAUGACCACACAGUAGUCUUAUAAUAAAACACUACCGAGUUCAGGAGGGAAACCAUCAUCGAGGAUAUCGAAGUCCUUGCAUAAGUCUUGCUCUUAAGAAGGAACUCCUUCUCCUUGAAAAAAUCAAUCAGUGGCUUGAUGUGCUAGGGGAUACAUAUGGAAUGAGGAUGAUCAGUCUAUCAGACCAUAGAAUACUUCGCACAUGCAUGACUGACUUGGGAUGAUUCCAGAGGAGCAAAAACAAACUUUCUUGAAUUCACGGCGGCAACUUACAUCAAAUGCACAUGAGUUAAAGGAAGUCACUACCUUCAUCCAAACAUAUGCUUCAUAAACGAAACACGAAGAAAUGCUUACACAAGUUUCCAACACUAGGUUGAUGUUCAACAUGACUCAUGGGGGAGACAAAAUGCUGCUGAUGGGCUCAACAACAACUCAUCGGAAUUUCCAUAUCACUGGACUUCCACCAUCAUGUGAACACGGUGAUAGUAUUGGUCAUACCAAAGGAUGUAAUGGUAUAUGCUCGAGGGAUCAACCACGAGUAAGACAACAUUACGAGCAUCGUUGGUACUGAUUUGAUUUGAUGAUAGCCCACACUCAAAUCAAGGAUUGAUAAGACAAUAGUUCCAGCAACUGAUCACAGGGACCAAUCGAUGAAGAUAUCAUCUUUCUUCAACACACACUACACAAGAAUAUCCCUUUGGAACGAACUAAGUUAGGCAAGCUUUUAUCUUCCAAUUCUCCAAGUUGUUGUCUAGCUUAACCAUCUAGCUCCGGGAUAUCCAACACAGAUUCUUGGAGAAAGGGUGGUUCACAAGAAACCAACUUGAUCACGAGCUCAACAUAACAGUCAGGAAACAACCCGGUAACACUUCCAAGAAGAUAUUUGGAAAGUCACGAACCACCGUUAUGUUACUAAGCUCGAGAACAAUCUUGCUUUUGAGGGCAAGACGACAUGAUCAAAUGAGUGAGGACUUGAAAUAAUUCCUAACUCAUUGGUCGAGGAGUGCACCAGAAAUAGGGACUAGGUAGCACAAUCAGUCUUAGGGUGACGAUUCAAUAAUCAACACGCUAAGAAUGAGGUUAUCGUCCAUUUAACUACCAAGCAACAGAGUUGCUAGCAGUAUUGAUUUCACACGCCAUGACUCAUUUGUCGGCAUUCCGGUUACAAUAACAUAGGAACCGAGGAAUGAACAAUGAUGGCAAGAAGUAUCACUGUACCAAGAGUUCAUAGGAUGGUGUGCAAUUCCUAUAACAAUCCCGAUAUAAAAGAUGGUAAUACUCCAAGGUAGAGCAGAACAAAAGCUGGAUUAGCAAUUUGUUCUGCGGAGCACAACUUCUUGACCCAAUCCUGGAUAUGGAAGAGGUACUGGAGUUUGUUUCUCCAAGUCAUUCAGGACAGAAUGGCUUGACGGACCACAAGAACAAUAAGCAUCGAUAACACGAAUGCACAAUUACUCCUGACUAUCAAUUGAUAGACGAGGGUUAGUAGACAACUAAAGAGGGACAACUCAAAGGAACAUAUAACUUUCUGAGUUGUGGAUGCAUAGAUUAGUAUGUCGAACCAAGUUCAACAUAAUUCUUCCGGAUAACCCAUGCAGAAAGGUUGAGCUGCCAGAGUCACAAUAUAGCAUGGAGAACUCACCGAGAGCACUCUUGUUGUCAUCUUUUGGUUCAGAAGAACUCCUGCCAGGAAUGGUUCAUGGUAAUUGGAAGAAGGAUGUACCAUGAACCUCGAGGACUAUCGCAAAGGUUACUAAUAUCCUAAAGGAACUAGCAACACUAUCAACAUGAUGUAGGUAGGGUGAAUCUCGGGUUCAAGAACCCAGGAAUAGAAUACCUACUCCUAAGUAGCAUCACGAGAUGCUUUCGAGAAUGAUGGCCAGAAUUUUCACACUGGGAACACAAAAUGUUGCUAGAUUACUAGGUGACUCCUUAAAACACCUAGGGUCAUAAUAGUAGCUCCAACAUAUAUGUCAAGGCAAUAAAUUACCUCAACGCACCGGUUAGUGUGCUUAUUCUGACCAUAAGGGACAUCGGGAACGGAAAGAGAGGAUUUGCAAAUGCAUGAGACUAUUUAGAAACCUGGGAUGACUCGGACAGCAUAACGGCUAUAAAUGCUCAAAAAGAUUUGAGACCUGCUACAAAAAUGGUGGCAUAGCCACUCAGAAGCACAAUAUCAAGGUUUCGAGAUCAUCAGUUAACAUACAGAAGUGGUAGGAACUGGACUGAGGCUUAAGUCCAACAGUUCUAUAGGGCUACGGAUUAGUAACACGUGAUCCUGAUAGAAAGAAGAGAAAGCCUAGUUCCUUAACCCCGUAGAAAAGAUAAGAUGACUCAGAUCAGAAGGGCAUGAGGUAUAAGGAGUAAAAAGAGCCUUACGUUCCAUCCCACAAUCAAUUCCCUUACAUAAUUAAAGCAUUUCUAGACUCAACUUCGACCAGUUUGGCUUGGUAAUCCUACAGGCAGUCAAGCUCUGAUACCAACGCUGUCAGGACCCCGACUCAAUGCCACAUCGAUCUAGCAUGUAACACCUCAUAUCACUUUGCGGCCUCACGCAUGGUAUUCCCACGGGUGUCGCCUUGCCUUUGCCCGGGACCGUUUGCGUCUUUUGGCACACGUAUAUGAUAGUGUCGUUAGCAUCCAUAUGAUAAGGAGCCCAGGCUGACAUGGCUAGUCGUAAACCCAAAGUGGCACAAACUUACAGGGACAGGCAUCCAUGACCCAACAUCGAACGUGUCGGUCAUCAGCGAGUGAAUCCAGGCUGUAGCACUGGGCUAGCAGGACUCCGGUGAACCGGGCUGUAGCGGGCUAACAGGACUCCGGUAUUCAUCGCGUGACAUUUCCCCGAAGGGACAGACACAGGAACAAAGAAGGACACAUGCCGGCCAGCCUAAGUGUUCCGGAGUAGUAGCAAGCUACCAUGGCUCGGUGGAAACACUAGGAGACAUUUCCCGGUAAGAGAGGCUACUAAAGAUAAACAACUAAAUAGUCAGAUCCCACACAUACCAAGCAUUUCAAUAACAUACACACAAUAUGCUCGAUAUGUGCAAACACAACAUGGCAUCACAACAUGACUCUACGACUCAAGUAUUUAUUCAUUAGGCUCCGAGGAGCGAGAUAUUACAAACAUAGGUCUCAUGACCCAACAUUCAGAGCAUACAAAUCAAAGCACAAGCGGAAGCUAUCAUGUCUGAGUACAGACAUCUAUAAAUGAAAAAGGCUGAGAAGCCUGACUAUCUACCAAAUCCUGCCGAGGCACAAGAUCGUAGCUGAGGUAACAAGCUAAACGUCGAAGUCGUGGAACUACUAGUGAGACCGAAGUCUCUCUGCAAAACAUAAAAUAGGCAAACGUGAGUACAAAUGUACCCAGCAAGACUUACAUCAGAACUAACUACAUAUGCAUCAUUAUCAACAAAGGGGAUGGUGGGGUUUAACUGCAGCAAGCCAGCUUUGACUCGGUGGCUAUCUUGAACUACGACUGCAAGUAACUCUUUUGAGGUGGCGCACACGAGUCCACAUAUUCACCAUAUCAAUACACCACUAUGGUUCCGCUCCCGUCUCCCUACGAGAAUGCCAUCCAUAGCACUCACGCUUAUCUUGCGUAUUUUAGAGUAUCCACUUUCACUUGUCUAUGAACUGAUAUAGGCAACCCAGAAGUCCUUUUCCGCGGACACGGCUAUUCGAAUAGAUGAUGUUAACCCUGCAGGGGUGUACUUCUUCAUACAUGUUUCCACCACUUAGUGUCUGCACACGACAUGUGCUCGGCAGACUUCAAGCGAAAGCCUACGUAGGUGUAGACCACGACCUACCUAAACACUCAGGUCUCUAGUCCAGGUUUAUCGCCUAUUCGGGUUCCAUCCAUGAGGAGAUCCGGUCGGAGUUUCGCUCACAGCCCCAAACGAUGUGAACAGGGUUCCCGAGACACCAAACGGGCGCCCGGUACACCGUGCCACGUGCCUACCGCAUCACAGCCCACCCCUCCGGUCAGCGCUGCCCACGGCCUCCAGCAUACUACAAACACCAGAAACUUCUUGCAACUCCUGGACAGAGGACAAGGGUGAAUAAGAAGUCGAGCGGGGUCAUAUUUCAGGGCCCAAUGUAUGGUAGUAGCUGAAUCAUGGAUCACAAACACAGAGCUCAGUUCCUGAGGACGGCUUCAAUGAGACAACCCACCAUGUACUCCUACAUGGCCUCUCACCGCUACCUUUACCAAAUCGUGUUCACACACUUAGCUCAUACCCAGUAGGACAUGUUCACACACCUCUGAUUCAUCCCCAAUGAAUCAGACCUGACUCAACUCUAAGCAGUAGCAGGCAUGACAAACAAGCAUGAAAGAGUAGGCACAUCAGGGCUCAAACAACUCCUACUCAUGCUAGUGGGUUUCAUCUAUUUACUGUGACAAUGACAGGUCAUGCAAAGGAUAAAGGAGUUCAGCUACCGCAACAAGUAACAGAUGAAUCGUUGUUGUCCUAAUGCAGUAAAAGAGAGCAGGAGCAAGAGAGUGGGAUUGUAUCGGAAUGAACAAGGGGGUUUUGCUUGCCUGGCACUUCUGAAGAUAAUAUAGCUCUUCAUCGGUGUCAUCGAUCACAUCGCCGGUACACGUCUAUCGAGAGGGGACAAUUACCGGCAAACAAGGAAGAACACAAUCAAUGCAAUGCGACUAUAUGAUGCAUGAAUGUGACAUGGCAAUAUGAUGUGAUUUGGGCUAAUGCACCUAGCUAUGAUUUAAAUGAAGUUGGUUUGAAUACAUGAUUCAAAUUCCAACUCCAUAUAUGGUUAUUUAAAUGCCCUUUAUUUGUUUUGUCCAAAACAGAGGACAAACAUUGUUCAAACAUGCAUGAAAAUGGUACAGAUGGAUUCCUUGAAUUUUUCUGAUAAUUUUUCAUAUAUAAAUUAUUUCAUUCUGACUUACGGUUGAUUUUCUAUGAUUUAUUGAAGUUUGGGGUAUUUUCUGAAAUUUAUAAAUCAUUUCCUAAUUUAUUUUAAUUCCAGAAAUACUUACUGCGUCAGCAUUGCGUCACUAUGACGUCAGCAGGUCAACAGACACUGCUGCUGGUCAAACCUGACCAAUGGGGUCCACUGGUCUGUGACUGGGGCUGGUUAGUGCGCUGACGUGUGGGCCCGGUCAACAGCCACGUUAGCUUGGUCAAAACUGACGCGUGGGGCUGCUCUGGUUUAGUUAAUCCUAAACAGAUAUUAAACUGGGGUUAAUUAGGGCGUGGGGCCUAGGUGUCAGUGACACGGUGCGGUGUUUAGUGGCUAAUUAGGCCAGCCACGUCAGCAAGUAACGCCGGCGACCACGGCGACGGCGAGACCUCGCCGGAGUUGCUCGGGACGGCGCUACAGCCCGCGGCUGGUCGCGCUGAGGGCACCGAGAGGGAGCCCGUGCUCCCGCGCAUCUAGGGGCGCACACAGUUGGGCACAAGGAGGCCGGGGUCGACGGCGGCGACCACUUAGGCGGCGGCCGGAGCUACGGCAACGGCGGUUAGGCGAUGCAAGGCGCCAGGGGAGGCGUUGGUGAGUGCUAUGUGCUCCUGGGACUGUGGUGAGCACGACGGUGGGCUCGAGAACGAGCUGCGGUGGCUGUGGCCACGGCCACGCCAUGGCCGGCGGCGAGAAACUCUCGGCCGCGGUGGGAGAUGGGGCUAGGGGGCGAGAACGGAGGGGGCGAGCACAGGAGAAGCAGCGGAGGCUCACAGCGGAUCCAUUCGAGGCGGAGACGAGGCCGGGGACGGUCCGGAGCCGACGAAUCGGGCGACGGCGACCGGCGGGUCCGAGGAGGGGAAAAACGUCGGGGCGGCGCUUCGGGGGCUUCUGGAGGGGCGUGGCUCGGUGAGGUGGGUCGAGGACGGAGUGGCGGAGCUUGUGGGCUAGUCGGGGAAGCGAGGGAGGCCCGGUGGCCGUGGUGGCAGUGGACGGCGGCGACGAGCUCCGCUCGGUGGCUGCGUGCGAGAAACAGAGGAGGGGGGAAGGAGCGAGGAGAGUGAGAGAGCGUCGGGGGGGUUGCGUGGCGUCGCGGGAGGCGACCAGAGCGUCGAGGGGGUAGCCAGGCAGGCAGGGAGGAGCUGGCGCAGCUCGCCUGCGCACCGGGCACACAGCUGCUUCGGGACGAGGGGAGGAAGACGACGGAGGGCUGCAGUGGUGGGCUGGGCCGGCCAGCUGCAGUGCUGGACCGGUUGGCUACCAGGUGAGCGCCAGGUAAGAUUCUCUCUCUCUUGUUUUAUAUUUCUGUUCUGUUUUUCUUUUAUUAAUAUCUUUUGCCAUUGUUUUGAAUUUAAACAAAUUCAAACAAUGCCAAAAACUCCUCUGAAUAUUUUUAUUUUGCUAGAUGGACUUUUCCAAAAGCUUUUAAAAUAUUUCAGCGGUAUUUGAAAUUAUAUUCUAAUUAUAUGAAUAUAAUUCAAAUUCAAAUAGCUAAUGAUUUAAAUUCAAAGUCCCAAAAAUAAAUCCUUAAAAAUGUUCAAUAUUUUGGUUGGGACCAGAACCCUUGCCAAAAAUUAUCAAACAUUUAAGAAGAGCAUUUUGGAACAAUGAAUGAGAUUUUAGGGUUUUUGCCCUUCUUUUAUUUAAGUUUUUGAGGCUUCCAAAUUUCCUCAGUUCAAGUUUCAAAAUUUAAACAUGAUGCAAACACUAGGCAGCACCAGAAGCUAGGGAUGUGACAUUCUCUCAACAAUAAUAACAUAGAUAGAUCAUAUAACAAUCCCUCAACAUGCAACAAAGAGUCACUCCAAAGCCACUAAUAGCGGAGAACAAACGUAGAGAUUAUGGUAGGGUACGAAACCACCUCAAAGUUAUUCUUUCGGAUCGAUCUAUAAAAGAGUUCGUACUAGAAUAACACCUUAAGAUACAAAUGAACCAAAACCCUAAUGUCACCUAGAUACUCAAUUGUCACUUCAAGUAUCCGUGGGCAUGAUUAUAGAUAUGCAUCACACAAUCUCAGAUUCAUCCAACCAACACAAAGUACUUCAAAGAGUGCCCCAAAGUUUCUACCGGAGAGUCAAGAACGUGUGCUAACCCAUAUGCAUAGGUUCAUGGGCGGAACCCGCAAGUUGGUCACCAAAACAUACAUCAAGAGGCACAUGAUAUCCCAUUGUCACCACAGAUAAACACGGCAAGACAUACAUCAAGUGUUCUCAUAAAAGACUCAAUCCGAUAAGAUAACUUCAAAGGGGAAACUCAAUUCAUCACAAGAGAGUAGAGGGGGAGAAACAUCAUAAAAUCCAACUACAAUUGCAAAGCUCGGGAUACAUCAAGAUCAUGCCAUAGAGGUAACACGAGAGAGAACACGAGAGAGAGAGAGAGAGAGAGAGAGAGAGAGAGAGAGAUCAAACACAUAGCUACUGGUACAUACCCUCAGCCCCGAGGGUGAACUACUCCCUCCUCGUCAUGGAGAGCGUCGGGAUGAUGAAGAUGGCCACCGGUGAUGGGUUCCCCCUCCGGCAGGGUGCCAAAACGGACUCCCGAGAGGUUUUUGGUGGCUACAGAGGCUUGCGGCGGCGGAACUCCCGACCUAUCUUGUCUGUGGAUGUUUUUAGGGUACGUAGGGUUAUAUAGGCGAAAGAAGUCGGUCGGGAGGUGCUCGAGGGGCCCACGAGACAGGGAGGCGCGCCCUACAGGGGGGCGCACCCUCCUAUCUUGUGGUUGCCUUGAGGAUCUUCUAACUUGAUCUCCAAGCCUCCUGGAUGAUAAUCUUCCAAAAAAACACGUUGCCGAAGGUUUCAUUCUGUUUGGACUCCGUUUGAUAUCCCUUUUCUUCGAAAUACUGAAACAGGCAAUAAAACAGCAAUAUGGGCUGGGCCUCCAGUUAAUAGAUUAGUCCCAAAAGUAACAUGAAAGUGUAUAAUAAAGCCCAUAAUCACUCAAAACACAUAGUAAUAUAGCAUGAAUGCUUCAUAAAUUAUAGAUGCGUUGGAGACGUAUCAGCAUCCCCAAGCUUAAUUCCUACUCGUCCUCGAGUAGGUAAAUGAUAAAAGAAAGAAUUUAUGAAGUGUGAAUGCUAGAAGGUGCACAAGUUUGAUCAAUGAUAAUUUCAAUCACAUUUUCUAGCAUGAUAAUAUGUCAUAACAGUAGUUCAUCUCAUAAAACUUCUCACGAUAAAGUAACAAGAAAUUCAUGUGUCAAAGGAUAGACCAUAAACUUUCUUGAAAACUAGCAAACUUCAUUCUCAGUCAUUCAAACAAUUGCAAUUCAUCUUAUUUUCAGGAAUAACAAACUCCACAUACUCAACUAUCAUAUAGUCUUCUACAAUUGCUAACACUCACGCAAUACUAAUGGUUAUGAAGUUUUAAUCAGACAGAAAGAAAGAUUGGGGCUUAUAAUGUUGCCUCCAAACGUAUUCACCUUUGGGUGAUGUCAACAAUAAUAGUUCAUACUAACUUACAUCCAAUUGGAUAUAUAAAUCAGGAUCACCCCAACACAAAUUGCUUGCCAAAGGAUAAAGUGAAAAAGGGAAAGGUGAACAUCACCUUGACUCUUGCAUAAAGUAAAAGACAUAAAGUAAAAGAUAGGCCCUUCGUAGAGGGAAGCAGAGGUUUGUCAUGCACUUUUAGGGUUGGAUACACAAAAUCUUAAUGCGAAAGAACGUCACUUUAUAUUUCCCCUUGUAUAUGGACCUUUAUUAUGCAGUCCGUCGCUUUUAUUGCUUCCAUAACAAGUUCGUACAAAGCUUAUUUUCUCCGCACUAAUAAGUCAUGCAUAUUUAGAGAGAAAUUUUUAUUGCUUGCACCGAUGACAACUUACUUGAAGGAUCUUACUCAAUCCAUAGGUAGGUGUGGUGGACUCUCAUGGCAAAACUGGGUUUAAGGAUAUUUGGAAGCACAAGUAGUAUCUCUACUUGGUGCAAGGAAUUUUGGCUAGCAUGAGGGGGAAAGGCAAGCUCAACAUGUUUGAAUGAUCCAUGACAAUAUACUUUAACUGAGAUGUCGGAAAGCAUAAACCAUUACUUGUCUUCCUUGUCCAACAUCAACUCUUUCGCAUGUCAUACUUAAUGAGUGCUCCCAAUUAUAAAAGAUGUCUACAAUAGUAUAUUUAUAUGUGAAAUCUUUCUUCCCUCAAUAUUAUUUCAUGAAAUUGUUCAAAUGACCAAUACAAUGCUUGCUAACCUUCAAUAAAUUUACAACCUCUACUUCUUAGACGUGAAGUCAUUACUCCCCAUGGGAUAAGCAAAUGAGGCAUAUAUAAUUUCAGAUUUAUGACAAUCAACUCAUUCAAUCAUUUACUCAUAGGAUAUAAGUGAAGCACACGAGUAAAUGACAAACUACUCCAAAAAGAUAUAAGUGAAGAUCAAUGAGUAGCUAAAUAAUUAUGUAACUAUGCGAAGACUCUCUCUCAUUUAAGAAUUUCAGAUCUUGGUACUCUAAUCAAACAGCAAGCAAAACAAAAUAAAAUGACAUUGCAAGGAUAGCACAAAUCAUGUGAAGAAGCAAAAACUCAGGCUCAACCGAUACUAAAUGAUAGUUGUUGAAGAAGAAAGGUGGGAUGCCUACCGGGGCAUCCCCAAGAUUAGAUGCUUGAGACUUCUUGAAAUAUUAUCUUGGGGUGCCUUGGGCAUCCCCAAGCUUGAACUUUUGUGUCUCCUUAAUUCCUCUCAUAUCAUGGUUUCUCUUUUUAUCAAAAGCUUCGUCCACACCAAACUCAACAAGAACUCGUGAGAUAGGUUAGUAUAAACCAAUGCAAAACCUUAUCAUUUUCUACUGUAACAAAUCACUAACAUUAUAAUUCAACAUUGAAUACUAAAUGCCUCUGCAUAUCCUAUCCUCAAAUAGAAUCAUUAAACAAGAAAAUAAAUGCAAACAAUGCAAACAUAACAGCAAUAUGCCAAAACAGUACAAUCUGUAAAUAAUGCAAGAGUAACAAUACUUCCCUAACUCCAACAAUUAUGAAAUAAAAUUCCCACUGUAGUAAGUUUAUCAGAGCUCAUUAUGCAAAAGGUUUCAUCAAUAUAUCAUUCUCUGACUUUUCUAGGGAAUUUUUGCAACAGCGGUAAACUUUCUGUUUUCAAACAGCAACAUGUAUACUAGCAAAAUAAGCAUGGCAAAGGCUAUCCUUGACUUUUUUAUUGAAACUAAAGAUGCAAAACAUUAUUCUAAAUAACAUCAAGCAAAUACUAACAAAAUAAAUUGACACUCCAAGCAAAACACAUAUCAUGUGGUGAAUAAAAAUAUAGCUCCAAGUAAAGUUACCGAUGAACGAAGACAAAAGAGGGGAUGCCUUCCGGGGCAUCCCCAAGCUUAGGCUCUUCGUUGUACUUGAAUAUUACCUUGGGGUGACUUGGGCAUCCCCAAACUUAGGCUCUUUCCACUCCUUAUUCCAUAGUCCAUUGAAUCUUUACCCAAAACUUGAAAACUCCGCAACACAAAACUCAACAGAAAACUCGUAAGCUCCGUUAGUAUAAGAAAAUAAAACCACCACUUAGGUACUAUAAUGAACUCAUUCUAAAUUCAUAUUGGUGUAAUGUCUAAUGUACUCCGACUUAUCUAUGGUUCAUACAACCUAAUACUACUCAUAGAUUCAUCAAAAUAAGCAAACAACACAUAGAAAACAGAAUUUGUCAAAAACAGAACAGUCUGUAGUAAUCUGUAUCAAACGUAUACUUCUGGAACUCCAAAAAUUCUACAACAUUAGGAAGGCCUGAGAAAUUUGGGUACCAAUCCAGAGCAAAAAGAAUCAGAUCAAGAGCACGUUUCCGUGAAUUAUCAAAACUAAUUUACUGGGUGCAAAAGUUUCUGAUUUUUAGCAGGAUCAACACAACUAUCACCGUAAGCUAUCCUAAAGGUCUUACUUGGCACUUUAUUGAAACAAAAGCUAUAAAACAUGAUUACUACAGUAUAAUAAUCAUUUGGACACACAAAAACAGUAAGGAUAAAUAUUGGGUUGUCUCUCAACAAGCGCUUUUCUUUAAUGCCUUUCUAGCUAGGCAUGACGAUGACAAUGAUGCUCACCUAAAAGAUAAGAAUUGAAAUGUAAUGGGAGCAUCAUGAAGCAUAUGACUAGCACAUUUAAGCCUAACCCACUUCCUAUGCAUAGGUAUUUUGUGAGCAAACAACUUAUGGGAACAAUAAUCAACUAGUGUAGGAAGGUAAAACGAGCAUAGCUUCAAGAUUUUCAACACAUAGAGAGGAAACUUGACAUUAUUGCAAUUCCUACAAGCAUAUAUUACUCCCUCAUAAUAAUUUUCAGUAGUAUCAUGAAUGAAUUCAACAAUAUAACCAGCACGUAAAUCAUUCUUUUCAUGAUCUACAAGCAUAGAAAAUUUACUACUCUCCACAUAAGCAAAAUUCUUCUCAUUCGGAAUAGUGGGAGUAUCAUAAGAGACUUGAACACUAAAAAUUGUUUCCGCAUUAAAAGAGUAAUGCUCAGAAAAAGGGUAAUCAUAAUCAUGACAAGAUUUGUAAAUAUAAUCAUCACUACUUUUUAUAGCAUAAGUUUCAUCACAAUAAUCAUCAUAAGUAGCAACUUCGUUCUCAUCAUAAUCGAUUGAAACCUCUCCCAAGAUAGUGGAAUCACUAAAUAAAGUUGACACUCUUCCAAAUCCACUUUCAUGUUCAUCACAAUAAGAUUCCACAUCCUCCAAAAUAGUGGGAUCACUACUUCCUAAAGUUGACACUCUUCCAAACCCACUUUCAUCAAUAUAAUCAUCAUAUGUAGGAGGCAUGCUAUCAUCAUAACAACUUUGCAUAUCAAAACUUAGGAUGCUAAAAAUAUCAUCUUCAUUAAACAUAGCAUCCCCAAGCUUGGGACAAACAUUAGUUUCAGCAAAUAUAUUCUCAAAUAUUUCAUCCUUAUCAAACAUAGCUUCCCCAAGCUUGGGCCCUUUCAUAUCAUAAGCAUAAUCACUCUCAUCAUUAAAAAUAUUGAUAGCACCUAUAGUAUAGCAAUUAUCAUCAUCACAAUGAGUAGUAGGAGCAACAUAAUUUGGGAGGGAUACCUUUCUACCUUUGUUGCUCCUUCUUUUCUUUUUCUUCUUCACAUUAUGUGUGGGUUCAACCUUCCUCUUUGAGCCGCUUAUUGACGAGAUUGGUUGAAUAGAAAUCUCCUCCUCGUUACCUGAUUCAUCAUAGAAAAUAAUAGGAGGAGAUUGGGAGGUCACUUCCCUUUCAUUAGUAUUCUCAUCAUCUUCUAUUUGCUUUCUUUUCUUUAUGUAAUUCGCAAAAUAAGGAUUUUCAAUGCAAUUCUCCACACAAAACACAUAAAUAUCCUCUAGAUCAAAAUCAAGAAAUCUAUCAAGAUUAAAUUUUGGAAUACCCUCAGUUAUACGUUUCAUUUCUUCACACCCCAAAAGAAGACUAAGCUCUUUUUGAUGCCCAAGGGUAAUCAAGCUAUCACAAUUUUUGGACACGGUUCGAUCAUAAAACAAUUUGCAUUGGAGAUUUAAAUGACCACAUUCAUUGCAAAGUUCACAAGGAGCGCGAAAAAUAUUGAAUCUUCUAGCACACUCAUCAAAACUUUCUUGCAAACCUUUAGUUUUUAAGUACUUAUGGUUCUUGCAAUAUCUAUUUUCUCUAUUUGGUGUGUCCAUGCAAAUCCAAUCUACUCCACAAAAAUCAACAUGCUUAUAGGAGACAUUUUCAUCAUAACCAGUGCAAUCAUCAUUAGUACUAUGGAUAAUCAAAGAGUUCAUACUAACAACAUUACAAUCAUGCUCAUCAUUCAAAGAUUUAGUACCAAGCAUUUUAAUGCAUUCUUCUUCUAGCACUUGAGCACAAUUUUCCUUUCCAUCAUACUCACGAAAGAUAUUAAAAAGACAAAGCGUAUGAGACAACCUUAACUCCAUUUUUUUGUAGUUUUUUUUAUAAACUAAACUAGUGAUAAAACAAGAAACAAAAAGAUUCGAUUGCAAGAUCUAAAGAUAUACCUUUAAGCACUCACCUCCCCGGCAAUGGCGCCAGAAAAGAGCUUGAUGUCUACUACACAACCUUCUUCUUGUAGACGUUGUUGGGCCUGCAAGUGCACAGGUUUGUAGGACAGUAGCAAAUUUCCCUCUAAUGGAUGACCUAAGGUUUAUCAAUCCGUGGGAGGCGUAGGAUGAAGAUGGUCUCUCUCAAACAACCCUGCAACCAAAUAACAAAGAGUCUCUUGUGUCCCCAACACACCCAAUACAAUGGUAAAUUGUAUAGGUGCACUAGUUCGGCGAAGAGAUGGUGAUACAAGUGCAAUAUGGAUAGUAGAUAAAGGUAUUUCUAAUCUGAAAAUAUAAAAACAGCAAGGUAACUAAUGAUAAAAGUGAGCGUAAACCGUAUUGCAAUGGUAGGAAACAAGGCCUAGGGUUCAUACUUUCACUAGUGCAAGUUCUCUCAACAAUAAUAACAUAGAUAGAUCAUAUAACAAUCCCUCAACAUGCAACAAAGAGUCACUCCAAAGACACUAAUAGCGGAGAACAAAUGUAGAGAUUAUGGUAGGGUACGAAACCACCUCAAAGUUAUUCUUUCGGAUCGAUCUAUAAAAGAGUUCAUACUAGAAUAACACCUUAAGAUACAAAUCAACCAAAACCCUAAUGUCACCUAGAUACUCCAUUGUCACUUCAAGUAUCCGUGGGCAUGAUUAUAUGAUAUGCAUCACACAAUCUCAGAUUCAUCCAACCAACACAAAGUACUUCAAAGAGUGCCCCAAAGUUUCUACCGGAGAGUCAAGAACGUGUGCCAACCCAUAUGCAUAGGUUCAUGGGCGGAACCCACAAGUUGGUCACCAAAACAUACAUCAAGAGGCACAUGAUAUCCCAUUGUCACCACAGAUAAACACGGCAAGACAUACAUCAAGUGUUCUCAUAAAAGACUCAAUCCAAUAAGAUAACUUCAAAGGGGAAACUCAAUUCAUCACAAGAGAGUAGAGGGGGAGAAACAUCAUAAGAUCCAACUACAAUAGCAAAGCUCGGGAUACAUCAAGAUUGUGCCAUAGAGGUAACACGAGAGAGAGAGAGAUCAAACACAUAGCUAUUGGUACAUACCCUUAGCCCCGAGGGUGAACUACUCCCUCCUCGUCCGCGAUACAUCAAGAUCGUGCCAUAGAGGUAACACGAGAGAGAGAGAGAUCAAACACAUAGCUAUUGGUACAUACCCUCAGCCCCGAGGGUGAACUACUCCCUCCUCGUCAUGGAGAGCGUCGGGAUGAUGAAGAUGGCCACCGGUGAUGGGUUCCCCCUCCGACAGGGUGCCAGAACGGACUCCUGAGAGGUUUUUGGUGGCUACAGAGGCUUGCGGCGGCGGAACUCCCGAUCUAUCUUGUCCGUGGAUGUUUUUAGGGUACGUAGGGUUAUAUAGGCGAAAGAAGUUGGUUGGGAGGUGCUCGAGGGGCCCACGAGACAGGGGGCGCGCCCUACAGGGGGGUGAACCCUCCUAUCUCGUGGCUGCCUCGAGGAUCUUCUGACUUGAUCUCCAAGCCUCCUGGAUGAUAAUCUUCCAAAAAAACACGUUGUCGAAGGUUUCAUUCCGUUUGGACUCCGUUUGAUAUCCCUUUUCUUCAAAAUACUGAAACAGGCAAUAAAACAACAAUAUGGGUUGGGCCUCCGGUUAAUAUGUUAGUCCCAAAAGUAAUAUAAAAGUGUAUAAUAAAGCCUAUAAUCACUCAAAACACAUAGUAAUAUAGCAUGAAUGCUUCAUAAAUUAUAGAUACAUAGGAGACGUAUCACACCUCCGAGUUCAGCACACAUUCAGCUCAAUGACGUCCCACGAACUCCGAUCAAGCAGAGCUUUGCGGGAGAGUUCUGUCAGCACGGAGGCGUGACGAUGGCGUUGAUGAUGCUACCGACGCAGGGCUUCGCCUAUGCACCGCUAUGAUAUUACCGAGGUGGAAUAUGGUGGAGGGGGCACCACACACGGCUAAGAGAUCAAUGAUCAAUUAUUGUGUCAUGGGGUGCCCCUAGCCUCAGUAUAUAAGGAGGAGAGGAGGGGAGGGGCCGACCCUCUCUAUGGAGCGCCCUGGGGAGUCCUACUCCCAUCGGGAGUAGGAUUCCCCCCUUCCAUAUAGUAGGAGUAGGAGUCAAGGAAAGGGAAAAGAGAAGAGGAGAGAAGGAGGGGGCGGGUCUGUGAGAGAAGUUCAGUCAACGGGUCUGUCACAUUCAGAGUCGUAUGUAUUUUGCAAAUAUUCUAUGUCUACAAUGCUCUGCACGGAGCUACUCUAGCUAAUUGCUCCCACUUCCAAUAUGUAUCCAGAUUGAGACUUAGAGUCAUCUGGAUCGGUGUAAAAGUUUGCAUCGACGUAACUCUUUACGACGAACUCUUUAUCACCUCUAUAACCAAGAAAUAUUUCCUUAGUCCUUACUAAGGGUCUUCUUGACCGCUGUCCAGUGAUCUACUUCUGGAUCAAAAAAUUGUACUCCCUUGCCAAACUCAGAGCAAGGUAUACAAUAGGUCUGGUACACAGCAUAGCAUACUUUAUAGAACCUAUGACUGAGGCAUAGGGAAUGACUUUUCAUUCUCUUUCUAUUUUCUUCCCUGGUCGGGUUUUGAGUCUUACUCAACUUCACACCUUGCAACACGCUAGAACUCCGUCUUUGACUAUUCCAUUUUAAACUACUUCAACAUCUUAUCAAGGUAUGUACUCAUUGAAAAAUCUUAUCAAGCGUCUUGAUCUAUCUCUAUAGAUCUUGAUGCUCAAGGUGUAAGCAGCUUCACCAAGGUCUUUCUUUGAAAAACUCCUUUCAAACACUACUUUAUGCUUUCCAAAAAAUUCUAUAUUAUUUCUGAUCAAUAAUAUGUCAUUCACAUAUACUUAUCAGAAAGGCUGUAGUGCUCCCACUCACUUUCCUGUAAAUACAGGCUUCACCGCAAGUCUGUAUAAAACUAUAUGCUUUGAUCAACUCAUCAAAGUGUAUAUUCCAACUCUGAGAUGCUUACACCAGUCCAUAGAUGGAUCACUGGAGCUUGCACACUUUGUUAGCACCUUUAAUAUUGUCAAAACCUUCUGGUUGCAUCAUAUACAACUCUUCUUUAAUAAAUCCAUUAAGGAAUGCAGUUUUGACAUCCAUUUGCCAAAUUUCAUAAAAUGUGGCAAUUGCUAACAUGAUUCGGAUAGACUUAAGCAUCGAUACGAGUGAGAAAAUCUCAUCGUAUUCAACACCUUGAACUUGUCAAAAAAAUUGCAAUAAGUCAAGCUUUGUAGAUAGUAACACUGCUAUCAGCGUUAGUCUUCCUCUUGAAGAUCCAUUUAUUUUCUAUGGAUUGCCGAUCAUCGGGCAACUCCACCAAAGUCCACACUUUGUUCCCAUACAUGGAUCCCAUCUCAGAUUUCAUGGCCUUCAAGCCAUUUCGCGGGAUCUGGGCUCAUCAUCGCUUCCUCAUAGCUUGUAGGUUCAUCAUGGUCUAGUAACAUGACUUCCAGAAUAGGAUUACCAUACCACUCUUGUGUAGUCCAUACUCUGGAAGACCUAUGAGUUUCUGUAAUAACUUGAUCUGAAGUUUCAUGAUCAUCAUCAUUAACUUCCUCACUAAUUGGUGUAGGAAUCACUGGAACUAAUUUCUGUGAUGAACUACUUUCCAAUUCGGGAGAAGGUACAAUUACCUCAUCAAAAAGUUAUACUUUCCUCCCACUCACUUCUUUCGAGAGAAACUCCUUCUCUAGAAAGGAUCCAUUUUUAGCAAUGAAUAUCUUGCCUUUGGAUCUAUGAUAGAAGGUGUACCCAACAGUUUCCUUUGGGUAUUCUAUGAAGACGCACUUCUUUGAUUUGGGUUCGAGCUUAUCACAUUGAAACUUUUUCACAUAAGCAUCACAGCCCCAAACUUUUAGAAACAACAACUUUGGUUUCUUGCCAAACCACAGUUCAUAAGGCGUCGUCUCAACGGAUUUUGAUGGUUCCCUAUUUAAAGUGAAUGCAGCUGUCUCUAAUGCAUAACCCCAAAACGAUAGUGGUAAAUCGGUAAGAUACAUCAUAGAUCGCACCAUAUCCAAUAAAGUGCGGUUACGACAUUCGGACACACCAUUACGCUGUGGUGUUCCAUGUGGUGUGAGCUGUGAAACUAUUCCACAUUGUUUUAAAUGAAGGCCAAACUCGUAACUCAAAUAUUCUCCUCUACGAUCAGAUUGUAGAAACUUUAUUUUCUUGUUACGAUGAUUCUCCACUUCACUCUGAAAUUCUUUGAACUUUUCAAAUGUUUCAGACUUGUGCUUCAUUAAGUAGAUAUACUCAUAUCUACUCAAAUCAUCUGUGAAGGUCAGAAAAUAACGAUACUCGCCACGAGCAUCAACACUCAUUGGACCGCAUACAUCGGUAUGUAUUAUUUCCAACAAGUCAGUAGCUCGUUCCAUUGUUCCGGAGAACGGAGUUUUAGUCAUCUUGCCCAAAAGGCACGGUUCGCAAGCAUCAAAUGAUUCAUAACCAAGUGAUUCCAAAAAUCCAUCUUUAUGGAGUUUCUUCAUGCACUCUACAUCGAUAUGACCCAAACGGCAGUGCCACAAAUAAAUUGCACUAUCAUUAUCAACUUUGCAUCUUUUGGCAUCAAUAUUAUGAAUAUGUGUAUCACUACGAUCGAUAUCCAACAAACUAUUUUGAUUGGGUGUAUGACCACCGAAGGUUUUAUUCAUGUAAACAGAACAACAAUUAUUCUCUGACUUUAAAUGAAUAAUCAUAUUGCAAUAAACAUGAUCAAAUCAUAUUCAUGCUCAAUGCAAACACCAAAUAACAUUUAUUUAGGUUUAACACUAAUCCCGAAAGUAUAAGGAGUGUGCGAUGAUGAUCAUAUCAAUCUUGGAACUACUUCCAACACACAUUGUCACUUCACCCUCAACUAGUCUCUGUUUAUUCUGUAACUCCUGUUUCGAGUUACUAAUAUUUAGCAACCGAAAAAGUAUCAAAUACCCAGGGGCUACUAUAAACACUAGUAAGGUACACAUCAAUAACCUGUAUAUCAAAUAUACCCUUGUUCACUUUGCCAUCCUUCUUAUCCACCAAAUAUUCAGGGCAUUUCUACUUCCAGUGACCAUUUCCUUUGCAGUAGAAGCACUUAGUUUCAGGCUUUAGUCUCGCUUUGGGAUUCUUCACAGAAGUGACAACUUGCUUGUCAUUCUACAUGAAGUUCCCUUUCUUUCCCUUUGCCCUUUUCUUGAAACUAGUGGUCCUGUCGAUCAUCAACACUUUGAUGCUCUUUCUUGAUUUUUACCUUCAUCGAUUUCAACAUCACGAAGAGCUUCGGGAAUUGUUUUCGUCAUCCCUUGCAUACUAUAGUUCAUCACAAAGUUCCAGUAACUUGGUGAUGGUGACCAGAGAACUCUGUCAGUCACUGUCUUAUCUAGAAGAUUAACUCCCACUUGAUUCAAGUGAUUAUAGUACCCAGACAUUCUGAGCACAUGCUCACUAGUUGAGCAAUUCUCCUCCAUCUUUUAGUCAAAGUACUUGUCAGAGGUCUCAUACCUCUUGACACGGGCAUGAGUCUGAAAUACCUAUUUCAUCUCUUGGAACAUCUCAUAUGCUCCAUGGCAUUUCAAAAAAAGUUUUAUAAGUCUCGGUUCUAAGCCGUAAAGCAUGGUGCACAAAACUAUCAAGUAGCCAUCAUAUUGAGCUAGCCAAACGUUCAUAACGUCUCCAUCUGCUCCUGCAAUAGGUCUGUCACCUAGCGGUGCAUCAAGGACAUAAUUCUUCUGUGCAGCAAUGAGGAUACACCUCAGAUCAUGGACCUAGUCUGCAUCUUUUCUACUAACAUCUUUAAACUUAGUUUUCUCUAGGAACAUAUAAAAAAACAUAGGGAAGCUAUAACGCGAGCUAUUGAUCUACAACAUAAUUUGCAAAAUACUAUCAUGACUAAGUUCAUGAUAAAUUAAAGUUCAAUUAAUCAUAUUACUUAAGAACUCCCACUUAGAUAGACAUCCCUCUAAUCAUCUAAGUGAUCACGUGAUCCAAAUCAACUAAACCAUGUCUGAUCAUCACGUGAGAUGGAGUAGUUUUCAAUGGUGAACAUCACUAUGUUGAUCAUAUCUACUAUAUGAUUCACGCUCGACCUUUCGGUCUCUAGUGUUCUGAGGCCAUAUCUGCAUAUGCUAGGCUCAUCAAGUUUAACCCGAGUAUUCUGCAUGUGCAAAACUGUCUUACACCCGUUGUAUUUGAACGUAGAGCUUAUCACACCUGAUCAUCACGUGGUGUCUCGGCACGAAGAACUAUUGCAACGGUGCAUACUCAGGGAGAACACUUAUACCUUAAAAUUUUAGUAAGGGAUUAUCAUAUAAAGCUACCGUCGAACUAAGCAAAAUAAGAUGUAUAAAAGAUAAACGUCAUAUGCAAUCAAAAUAUGUGACAUGAUAUGGCCAUGAUCAUCUUGCGCCUUUGAUCUCCAACUCCAAAGUACUGUCAUGAUCUCUAUCGUCACCGACACGAUACCAUGAUCUCCAUCAUCUUGAUCUAUAUCAAUAUGUCGUCACAUGGUCGUCUCGCCAACUAUUGCUAUCACAUAGCGAUAAAGUAAAGCAAUUAUUUGGCGCUUGCAUCUUAUGCAAUAAAGAGACAACCAUAAGGCUUCUGCCAGUUGUCGAUAACUUCAACAAAACAUGAUCAUCUCAUACAACAACUUAUAUCUCAUCACGUCUUGACCAUAUAACAUCACAACAUGCCCUGCAAAAACAAGUUAGACGUCCUCUACUUUGUUGUUGCAAGUUUUACGUGGCUGUUACGGGCUGAGCAACAACCGUUCUUACCUACGCAUCAAAACCACAAUGAUAUUUCAUCAGGUUAGUGUUGUUUUAACCUUCACAAGGACUGGGUGUAGCCACACUCGAUUCAACUAAAGUUGGAGAAACUGACACCCGCCAGCCACCUGUGUGCAAAGCACGUCGGUAGAACCAGUCUCGCGUAAGCGUACGCGUAAUGUCGGUCUGGGCCGCUUCAUCCAACAAUACCGAUGAACCAAAGUAUGACAUGCUGGUAAGCAGUAUGACUAGUAUCGCCCACAACUCACUUGUGCUCUACUCUUGCAUAUAACAUCUACGCAUAAACCUGGCUCUGAUACCACUGUUGGGGAACGUAGUACUUUCAAAAAAAAAUCCUAUGCACAUGCAAGAUCAUGGUGAUGCAUAGCAACAAGAGGGGAGAGUGAGUCAUGUACCCUCGUAGACCGAAAACAGAAACGUUAGCACAACGCGGUUGAUGUAGUCGUACGUCUUCACGAUCCGACCGAUCAAGUACCGAACGUACGGCACCUCCGAGUUCAGCACACGUUCAGCUCGAUGACAUCCCACGAACUCUGAUCCAGUAGAGCUUUGCGGGAGAGUUCUGUCAGCACUACGACGUGAUGACAGUGUUGAUGAUGCUACCGACACAGGGCUUCGCCUAAGCACCGCUACGAUAUUACCGAGGUGGAAUAUGGUGGAGGGGGCACCGCACACGGCUAAGAGAUCAAUGAUCAAUUGUUGUCUCAUGGGGUGCCCCUAGCCUCAGUAUAUAAAGGAGGAGGGGAGGGCAGGGGCCGACCCUCUCUAUGGCGCGCCCUGGAGAGUCCUACUCCCACCGGGAGUAGGAUUCCCCCCCCCUUCCAUGUAGUAGGAGUAGGAGUCAAGGAAAGGGAAAAGAGAAGAGAAGGAAGGAGGGGGCGCAGCCCCUUCCCCUAGUACAAUUCGGACUAGGCAUUGGGGGCGCGCGGCCUGCCUCUCCCUCUUUCCCUUAAAGCCCGAUAAGGCCCAUAUACUCCCCGGCGAAUUCCCGUAACUCUUUGGUACUCCGAUAAAUACCCGAAUCACUCGGAACCUUUCCGAUGUCCGAAUAUAGUUGUCCAAUAUAUCGAUCUUUACGUCUCGACCAUUUCGAGACUCCUCGUCAUGUCCCCGAUCUCAUACGGGACUGAGAACUACCUUCGGUACAUCAAAACACAUAACUCAUAAUAUAAAUUGUCACCGAACGUUAAGCGUGCGGACCCUACGGGUUCGAGAACUAUGUAGACAUGACCGAGACUCAUCUCCGGUCAAUAACCAAUAGCGGAACCUGGAUGCUCAUAUUGGCUCCCACAUAUUCGACAAAGAUCUUUGUCGGUCAAACCGCAUAACAAUAUACGUUGUUCCCUUUGUCAUCGGUAUGUUACUUGCCCGAGAUUCGAUCGUCGGUAUCUCAAUACCUAGUUCAAUCUCGUUACUGGUAAGUCUCUUUACUCGUUAUGUAAUGCAUCAUCCCGCAACUAACUCAUUAGUCACAUUGCUUGCAAGGAUUAUAGUGAUGUGCAUUACCAAGAGGGCCCAGAGAUACCUCUCCGACAACCGGAGUGACAAAUCCUAAUCUCGAAAUAUGCCAACUCAACAAGUACCUUUGGAGACACCUGUAUAGCACGUUUAUAAUCACCCAGUUACGUUGUGACGUUUGGUAGCACAUAAAGUGUUCCUCCGGUAAACGGGAGUUGCCUAAUCUCAGCCAUAGGAACAUGUAUAAGUCAUGAAGAAAGCAAUAGCAACAUACUAAAUGAUCAACUGCUAAGCUAAUGGAAUGGGUCAAGUCAAUCACAUCAUUCUCCUAAUGAUGUGAUCCCGUUAAUCAAAUGACAACUCAUGUUUAUGGUUAGGAAACUUAACCAUCUUUGAUAAACGAGCUAGUCAAGUAUAGGCAUACUAGUGACACUAUGUUUGUCUAUGUAUUCACACAUGUACUAAGUUUCCGGUUAAUGCAAUUCUAGCAUGAAUAAUAAACAUUUAUCAUGAAAUAAGGAAAUAAAUAAUAACUUUAUUAUUGCCUCUAGGGCAUAUUUCCUUCAUCUUCUACCUCCGUAUGUUCAUGGUUGAUCUCGAAAUGAAUUGUGAUGUUGAGUGGUUAUGCCACCAUUUUGUAGGUUGUCACAAAAUCUUUUUGAGCACUUACAGUCGUUAUGUUGUCCGAGUCAUCCCAGGUUUCUAAACAGUCUGAUGCAUUUGCAAAUUCCUUCUUACCGUUCUGGAGGUCCUUUGUGCUAGAUCAACCACACUUACUAGUGUCUUGAGGUACUUCAUUGCCUCGGCAUUUGUGUUGGAGCUAUUAUUAUGACCCUAGGUGUCUAGAGUAUUACCUAGUAACCUAGCCAUGUUUUGUGUUCCCAGUGUGAUGAUUCUGGCCAUUAUUCUCGAAAGCAUCCCGUGAUGCCACUUAGUAGUAGGCAUUCUAUCCCUGGGUUCUUGAACCCAAGACCCACCCUACUUACUUCAUGUUGAUAGUGUGAUUUCGUGGUAUAACGUUCUUACAAAUACCAUGAACUAUACUUAUGGCAAAAGUUCCUCGUUGAACUGAAAGAUCACAACCAGAGUGCUCUUGGCGAGUUCUCGAUUCUAUGUUGUUACUCUGCCAGUUCUACCUUUCUGCAUGGGUUAUCCGGAAGGAACCUGUUGAACCUGGUUCGACAUACUAAUCUAUGCAUCCACAACUCAGAAAAUCAUAUAUUCUUUUGAGUUCUUCCUUUUGACUUGUCUUCUGACCCUCGUUUGUCAAUUGAUAGUCAAGAGUAUGUGUGUAUUCGUUCAUCAAUACCUAUUAUUCUUGUGGUCCUUCAAGCCAUUCUAUUCCGGAAUGACUAGGAGAAACAAACUCCAGUACCUCAUCCAUAUCCAGGAUUGGGUCAAAGCAGUUGUGUUCCGUAGAUCAAAUACUAAUCCAGCUUUUAUUCUGUUCUACCCUGAAGUAUUACCCACUUUAUGUCAGGAAUGUCAUGAGAACUGCACCCUCACUUAUGAAUUCUUAACGUAGUGAUACUUCUCAUCAUCAUUAUUCAUUCCUCGGUUCCUUGUUGUCACAACCGGAAUGCCGACAAGUGAAUCAUGAUGUGUGAAAUCAAUACUCCUAGCACCCUUGUUGCUUGGUAGUUAAAGGACGAUAAUUUCAUCCUUAGCAUGUUGGUUAUUGAAUCCCCAUCCUAAGGUUGAUCGUGCUACCUAGUCCUUAUUUCCGGUGCACUCUCUGAUCAAUGAGUUAGGAUUGUGUCAAUCCCUCGCUCUACUGAUCAUAUCACCUUGCCCUGAAAAGCAAGAUUGUUCCCGAGCUUAGUAACAUGUCGGUGGUUCAUGAUUUUCUGAGUGUCUUCUCAGAAGUAUCACCAGGUUGUCACCUCACCGCUAUGUUAAGCUUGUGAUCAAGUUGGUUUCUCUAUGAACCACCCCUUCUCCAAGAAUCUGUGUCGGAUACCCUGAGCUAGUUCGCUAAGCUAAACAACAACUUGGAGAGUUGGAAGAUAAAAGCUUACCCGACUUAGUUCAUUUUAAGGGAUAUCUUGUAUGUGUGUUGAACAAAGAUGAUAUCUUCACCAAUUGGUCCUCGUGAUCAGUUGUUGGAUCUAUUGUCUUGUUGAAACUUUGAUUUGAGUAUGGGCUAUCCUCAAAUCGAAUCAGAACCAACGAUAUUUGUAAUGUUUUCCUACUCGUGGUUGUUUCCUCGAGCAUACCACAUUACAUCCUUUGGGUCUGACCAAUGCUACCACCUUGUUCACAUAAUCCUAGAAUUUCACUUAUAUGGAAACCUGGAUGAAUUGUUGUUGAGCCCAUCAGCAACAUUGUUAUCUUCUCCAUGAUUUGUGUUGAACAUCCAGCAAGUAUUGGAAACUUUAUAAGAAUUACCUUCAUGUCCCGUUCAUGAAGCAUAUGCUCGGAUGAAAGAAGUGACCUCCUCUAAUUCAUGUGCAUUUGACGCAAGUUGCCACCGUGAAUUCAAGAAAGCAUGUUUUUUACCUCCUCUGGAAUCAUCCCAAGUCAGUUAUGCAUGUGCGAAGUAUUCUGUGGUAUGUUAGACUGAUCAUCUUCAUUCCAUAAGAAUUCCGUAGCACACCAAGCCACUGAUUGAUUGUUCAAGGAGAAGAAUUUCCUUUUAAGAACUAACCCGGGCUUAAUCAUGGACUUCAUUAUCCGCAAUGAUGGUUCCCCACCUGAACUCGUUAGUGUUUUAUUAUAAGACUACUAUGUGGUCAUGCUUGUCUGAGACAACGUGCUCACAUGUUUGUAGCAUAACCCUCUCCUAUUUUGGAUCUUGCUAUCGUAGUUCAUUCCCCGAGAAUCUCGCAACGUCAUCUCGUUGAUUUGUGUUGCAAACUUUCAUUUUUCCUUCUAGACUUGAUGAGUCUGGAAUAUUCUGGCACCAACCAGAUCUGAAUCUCAGGCAGAUAUGAUGGUUGGAAUGUUUCCCAAGAAUUAUAAUAUUGGUCUCUCUAUAACCCGGUAAAGUGGAUGUCGUGGCCAACACACCCAGUCGGAAGACCUAUUAUUGUAGUAUCUUGAUUGAGGAAGUUGGCCACCUCCCCAUAAGGAUUUCGUAAGAUUUACUCCCUAGUUGUUCCUUAUGGAUUCUCGUGUUCCCGAAGUCCGACCUUUACUUGAUGUUCUAGAUAUCAAACCAUAUCUAUGAACGGAUUAGGCUAGCACAUCAAGGAGAACAUUAGAAGUGGAAUCCUAAAUGUCUCUUGGUCGAUCAUCCAGAUUUUGUUACCUUGGCCUCGCUAAGGUGAAAUCUGAGAAAGUGUUAUCUUCCUUUCCAUCUGCAUCCUCCACCAAUAUUCAUCAUGGUAGUAUGUUGCGCUGCCAGGAUCCUUGACACGGGUAUUGGUAAAACCUUGAUGAAUAUGGAAAUGCUCAAGUUCUUGAGAGCACGCACAAGCACUAGGUGCUACAAUUGGCACUAACUGGGAUUGCUCCUAGUUUCCUCGGUUAUGUUAUAACUUUUCAACAGUAGACUCACUCUCUAUUGUUGAGCUCCUCCCCAGCUACUAGAAUCAUUCCAGCGUUUGCAUUUUGUUUCCAACUUGCACCGCUAUUGUGCCAUCUCACCAUGGAAUACCCUUCUCAGUAAUUACUGAUCAGGAUCAUCUCCAAGUGGUCCUACCAUGGGUUCCAUCCAUUUCUGGUGAUAAGGAAAAUCACCCCUUGCGUUGUCUUCAACAAGGUAAUCCACAUCAUCCAACUGAGUCCGGAGAUGCCAUUCCUUUGAACUCCAUCAAACGAUCAUAUGGGAAUUGCCUUAGGCUGGUAUAGAAAGUUUCAAUGAUCUUUGUAUCAAAAGUAAUUCUUUUUGACACUUAAGGGAAUAAUUCUAUGAGUCAGCUCCUCCAACAUGUCUCGUUGUAUCAAACUCAACUCCUCGCUAUGUUGACAAAUGUUCACCACCUUCUUAGGUGUGAAAUUGUUGUCUACCUAGUGAACCUUCGGCAUCUGCUUCACUCCAUUCCUUGGGAUGUGUGCUUCGUGUCUCAACUCGCGAGAAGUUUCAAUGUCUCACUCCACGAGUUGAUCUUGAGUUGUUCGAUCUUCGAGAAGAUCGAUCCUUCCAGAGUUUUUCUUUUCUUCUCGUUGUCAUGUUGGUUGGAGUUCUCAGAGCAAGGCAUCGAGACAAUGAUGGUGAUCGAAUCAACGUUCUUACAAAGUGCAACCUGGAUCAUGAAGAUUGUGUUAGUUGCGUCCCCCUUUUCAUCUUACCCAACGCUUGAAUCUCGAGACAAGAUUCUUGUAUAGUGGGAGUGAGUUGUCACAGCCCUAGAUUAGUCUUUGUUUGUCUUUGCUUGAUCAUCAUGUCAUCAUGUUUAUUUUCAAAUGAAUUUGAAUUGGGGAUGUUCAAACCCUAGCAUCAAAUGGAAUUCAAAUAGGUUCAACCUAAAAAUAUUUUCAAAGAACCUGAAAUGCCCUUCAUAAAUGUUCAUCAUUUUUGUUUUGGUCCGGAACCUCUGCCAAAAAUGGUGCACACUUUUCUAGGACACUCCAGGUUAUUGAAUUAAAUCAUACAGUAUUUGUUCUUGGACAUUUAAAUGCUAUAAAUAAUUUUAAAUGUCCAAAUAAUAUUGAAGGUAAAUGAGGGCUGUUGGAAAUAAUCAAAACAGUGGCCACAAAUAUUUUCAGGAUUUUUGAAAACGCUCUGGCAUUUUUAAUAAGCCAAAACAAUUGCAGAAAAUAGAAAACAGAAAAGAUUCAAAAACGAGAGAGAGAGAGAGAGAGAGAGAGAGAGAGGAAAGUUUACCUAGGCCACCUACCUGACUGGGCCGGCCCACCUGGCCCAUGCCAGUCAUCACCUACCUCUGCCAGUAGGCAGAGGAGGGAGACAGUGCACGCGCGCUCGCGGCGCCAUGCCUCCUCUCUGCUAGCCUGUGUCCCCCAGGACAGCGCGAUGCCGCUGGUCGUCUCCUCGGUGCCAUUCAGAUCUGCCCGACCUCCUCACUCGCCCCCUGCUCUCUCUCCCUUGCCUUCCGUAUCCAUGGCAGAACCUCGCCCGAGCUCGCCGUCGUUGUUGCCGUAGCCAUAGCCUCCCUCUCGCCUCUCUGACAUAUACAAGAGCCCCGCCGCCUCGUCUACGUCCUCCUCACCGAGCCACGCAAUCGGAAGAGAACCGAAACACCGUCCCUGACCUUUCUUCCCCGUCCACGACCGUCGGAUGCCGUCAUCGGAUUCGCCAUCGCUGCCGCCUCCCCGAGCCCACUGAGUUGCUGUACGACCUCCCUAUGAGCCUUGCCGUCAUCUCCCCCUCUCCCCAUCAUCGAUUUCUCGCUACAACGCUGAUGACCGCGAGUCUCGCAUGCCGCCGCCACAUGAGCUCGUCGCCGAAGAGGCUCCGGUGACCAAAGGGUCCCGUGCAUGCCUCUGUUUGGUUCGUGAGCUCUCGUAGAUCCCGUAGGUGCAAACCGCUGGUCCUCCUAUGCGUUGUGUUGUCGAUUCCGUCGACACCCGAGCUCUGGCCGUCGCCCAACUCACCGCUGCCACCGCUACAGACCACCCCGCGACCUGCUACCGCCUCCACUCGAUGCACGGGAGCACAGGCUCCCUCCUGGUGCCCUCAGGGCACCCAGCCGCUGCCCCUAGCGCCACCCCGGCGAGGCACCGCCGCUCUGGUUCGUCGCUGUUGUCUAACCGCCAGCGCAGGUGACGUGGCACCACCUUUAGCUGCUAAUGACCCAACUAAUCACCCCUGGGACACUGACAAGUGGGCCCGAGGCCAUUAUUAGUUUUAAGAUUAGUUUUAACCUUAGUUAACCUCUAAGUCACUGACUAAUGGGCCCCCAUGUCAGGUUAGACCCUGGCCGCCCAGUUGACUUGCUAACGUCAGCCUGAUGUAGUGCUGACGCAGUAAGUGAUUUUCUGGAUUUAAAAUAAUCCAGGAAAUUCUAGUAAAUAGUUAUAACUUCUAAAAAUCAUAGGAACUAAUCUAUAACCCAGAAUGAAAUAAAUUAUAUAUGAAAAAUUAUCAGAAAAAUUCAAAGAAUCUAUUUAUGGCAUUUUCAUGCAUGUUUGAGAAACUUAUGCCUGCUGAUCUGGUAAAAUCAAUUAAAUGUCAUUUGAAUAUUAACAUAUGGAGUUUGAAUUUGAACCCUUUGGUUCAAAUCAACUUCAUUUAAAUCAUUGAUAGUUGCAUUAGCUCAAAUCACAGCAUGUUGCCAUGUCAUGAUCAUGCAUCAUAUUAUUGCAUUGCAUUGAUUGUGUUCUUUCUCUACUAUCGGUGGUUGUUACCCCUCAGUAGACGUAUUUUUUGACGAUGUGAUCAAUGACACCGAUGAAGAACUAUACUAUCUUCAUAAGUGCCAGGCAAGCAAAAACCCCUUGUUCAUUCCGAUACAAUCCCACCCUCUCGCUCCUGCUCUCUUUUACUACAUUAGGACAACAACGACUCAUGUGUUACUUGCUGCCGUAGUUGAACCCCCUUUCCCUCUACAUGACCUGUCAUUGCCACAGUAAUUAGAUGAAACCCACUAGCAUGAGUAGGAGUUGUUUGAGCCCUGUUGUGCCUACUCAUUCAUGUUUGUUGUCAUUCCUGCUACUGCUUAGAGUUGAGUCAGGUCUGGUUCAUCGGGGAUGAACUGGAAUAUUGUGAACAUGUUCUACUGUGUGUGAGCUAAGUGUGUGAACACGAUUUGGCAAAGGUAGCGGUGAGAGGCCAUGUAGGAGUACAUGCUGGGUUGUCUCAUUGAAGCCGUCCUCAGGAACUGAGUUCUGUGUUUGUGAUCCAUGAACAGUUACUACCACUCAUUGGGAUCCUUAAUUGACCCUCUCGGCUUCUUAACCACCCUUGUCCUCUGUCCAGGAGUUGCAAGUAGUUUCUCGUGUUUGUAGUAUGCUGGAGACCGUGCGCAGCGCUGACCCGAGGGGUGGGAUGUGAUGUGGUAGGCACGUGGCACGGUGUACCGAGCGCCCAUUUGUUGUCUCGGGAACCCUGCUCACAUCAUUCGCGGCCGUAUGUGGAAACUUCAGCCGGACUCCCUAUGGAUGGAACCUGAAUAGGCGAUAAACCUGGACUAGAGACUUGAGUGUUUAGGUAGGCCGUGGCCGACACCCUCGUCAGGCCCCCGCUUGAAGGUUGCCGAGAUACAUGACGUGUACAUGGCGGUAAGUGGUGAGAGCGUGUGUGAAGAAGUACACCCCUGCACGGUUAACAUCAUCUAUUGGAAUAGAUGUGUCCGCGGUCAAGGACCUCUGGGUUGCCUAUACAGUUCAUAAACAAGUGAAAGUGGAUACUCUAAAAUGCACAAGAUAAGCUUGAGUGCUAUGGAUGGCAUUUUCCUAGGGAGACGGGAGCGGAUCCAUAGUGGUGUAUUGAUAUGGUGAAUAUGUGGACUCGUGUGCACCAUCUAAAAAGAGUUACUUGCAGUCCUAGUUCAGGAUAGCCAUCGAGUCAAAGCUGGCUUGCUGCAGUUAAACCCCGCCAUCCCCUUUGUUGAUAAUGAUUCAUAUGUAGAUAGUUCUGAUGUAAGUCUUGUUGGGUACAUUUGUACUCACGUUUGUCUAUUUUAUGUUUUUGCAGAGAGACUUCAGUCUCACUAGUAGUUCCGCAUGGACUUCGACGUUUAGCUUGUUACCUCGGCUACGAUCUUGUGCCCUCGGCGGGAUUUGGUAGAUAGUCAGGCUUCUCAGCCAUUUUCAUUUGUAGAUGUCUGUACUCAAACAUGUUAAGCUUCCACAUGUGUUUUGACUUGUAUGCUCUGAAUGCUGGGUCGAGAGACCCAUCUUUGUAAUAUCUCGCUCCUCGGAGCCUAUUGAAUAAAUUACUUGAGUUGUAGAGUCAUGUUGUGAUGCCAUGUUGUAUUUGCACAUAUCGAGCAUAUUGUGUGUACGUUAUUGAAAUGCUUGGUAUGUGUUGGAUCUGAUUAUAUAGUUGUUUAUUCUUGCUAGCCUCUCUUACUAGGAAAUGUCUCCUAGUGCUUCCACUAAGCCCUGGUAGCUUGCUACUGCUCCGGAACACUUAGGCUGGCCGGCAUGUGUCCUUCUUUGUUCCUGUGUCUAUCCCUUCGGGGAAAUGUCACGUGGUGUCUACCAGAGUCCUGCUAGACUACGACAAACCGGAUUCUCCGGAGUCCUAUUAGCCCAGCUGCUACAGCCCGGAUUCACUCGUUGAUGACCGACACGUUCGUUGUUGGGUCAUGUAUGCAUGUCCCUGUAAGUUAGUGCCACUUUGGGUUUAUGACCAGCCAUGUCAGCCCGGCUUCUUUAUCAUAUGGAUGCUAGUGACACUAUCAUAUACGUGAGCCAAAAGGCGCAAACGGUCCCGGGCCUGGUAGGGCGACACCCGUGGAAAUACCGUGUGUGAGGCCGCAAAGUGAUAUGAGGUGUUACAUGCUAGAUCGGUGUGGCAUAGGAUCGGGGUCAUGAUAGCAUAUUGGGAAAUUAAAGAACUCAUUAUGAUUUCAAACUUGCCAAUGAAAAGAGGUUAUUUGAUAUUAGCUCACUAGACGAAUGGAGAACCCAAGCUUAUGAAAAUGCGAAACUAUUCAAAGAAAAACUUAAAAGGUGGCAUGACAAAAGAAUCCAAAAGCAGGAAUUCAAAGUUGGUGAACUUGUUCUUUUGUACAACUCUUGUUUUAGAUUCUUUGCAAGAAAAGUUCUUUCCAAAUGGGAAGGACCUUAUAUUAUCAAAGAGGUUUAUCGUUCUGGAGCCACUAAGAUCAAUAAUGCCGAAGGCACUAAUCCAAAGGUGGUCUAUGGGCAAAGAAUUAAGCACUAUAUCUCAGGUACGCCUAUUAAUGUUGAAACCAAUAUUAUCCCAACCAUGACACCAGAGGAAAGAAACCUUUCAGAACACUCCAGAACCCUGAAAAAGCGGAGUUACGUGAUACGGUAUGUAAAUGGACUCCGAAAAUUCCGCAAAAAUAUUUUUUGUCAGUUUUGGAAUAUUAGAAAAUUUAGGAAAAUAAGAAACAAGCAGGAAGGAAACCGAGGUGGGCACUAUAUACCAGGGCACACCUGCCCUUCCUGACUCCAUUUUUCUCACGUUUGCUUGUUUCCCAAGAUAAAAAAAAUCUUUAUAUACUCCCGGGACGUAUUGACCAAUGCAUCACAGAAAAAUCCUCUAUUCUUAUUUCGUGUUGUUUUCCUAUCAGAUCUAGAUCGCCAUGGCUCCACCAAGCUCCUACAAGGAAAAGUUCUUUGAGAGGGUAAUCAACCCCUACUUGUCGGAGCUAAUGAAGCACCCUCAAACCAUUGAGAUGUGUGAGGGGAUGCUCCACAUCCGGGAUGUUCAAGGGCCCAAGAAGACAUGAACUAUGGAGGCUAUGCUCGAAGCUAUGGAGCAGGAGGUCUUCAAGUGCCAAGCGAUGGUGGAGCGUGGACUCAGUGCCAAUCACCUCAUGAUUACGGAUUUCAGCCAUGAUCAUAAGGUGGAUGCAAUUCAUGAAAGAAUUAAUAAGGGAAGAGAGAUUCACAUGCAAAUACACUAUCUUGGACAUCUUUUAUGAUUGUGAGCUCUCAUUAAAUAUUAUAUGCCAAAUUGUUGACAUGGGACAAGGAAGACAACAUAAUGAUUUACGCUUUUUCAUAUUCGCAUAGAAGUUAUAUUGUCAUAGAUCCUUCAACAUGUGGUGCUUGCCCAAUAUCUUUGCUAGCCAAAAACACGCAGUAAGUAGAAAUACUACUUGUGCAUACAAAAACCCUUAAACCCAAAAUCUUGUUUUGAGAGUCCACCAUACCUACCUAUGGAUUGAUCAAGAUCUUCAAGUAAGUUGUCAUCGGUGCAAUAAUGUAAUAAAAAUGGCUUCUAAAUGUGUUUGACCAUUUAGUGUAAGAGAAAUUGAGCGUUGUACGAACUUGUGAUGGCAAAGUAAUAAAAGGGACGGACUGCAUUAUAAAGGUUGCCAUCAUAAGGGGCAAUAUAAUGUGACAUUCUUUUGCAUUAAGAGAUUGAGCAUACAAACCAAAAAGAGCAUGACAACCUCUGCUUCCCUCUAUGAAGGGCCUAUCUUUUACUUUAUGUAUUUCCUUUUCAUUCAAGAGUCAAAGUCUUCCCCAUUACUUUUUAUUUUUCUAUUUUUGGAAGCAUCAUGUGGUGGGGAAAGAUCUAGGCACAUAUACCCAGUUGGAUAUGAGCGGCCAUGAGUUAUUAUUGUUGACAUCACCCUUGAGGUGAAUGAGUUGGGAUGCAAAAUUAUAAGCCCCUAUCUUUCUAUGUGUCUGAUUGAAACUUUUUGCUCAUGUGUGUACGAUGAGUGUUAGCAGUCAUAGAAGGUUCAAUGAUGGUUGAGUAUGUGGACUUGCCAAAAGGCUCAGAUAUGAGACCCUUCAUGAAGAGAUGAUGAAUUAUAGUUGCAAAGUUGACUAAGAACAUAGGUUUGUUGGUUUUCAAUAGAGUUUAUACUUUUUACUUCGAUGUUGUGAUGAAUUGUUACUUGUUCAUGAGAAGUUAUAUUAUAAAGUUUUAUAAUGAAGUUUGUUGUUGUUACAAUAAUAAGCAUGAUGCUACUAUCUCUGUAUUUUGGUUUUUAUCGACACCUCUCUCUCUCUCUCUCUCUAAGCAUGUGGACAUGUUUUUCUAUAUCGGUUUUUCGCUUGAGGACAAGCGAGGUCUAAGCUUGGGGGAGUUGAUACAUCCAUUUUGCAUCAUGUUUUCUUACUGUUAUUCAUAAUAUUUUAAUGCAUAAUAAUGCUUUAUGGAGUAAUUCUAAUGCCUUUUCUCAUGCAAGGUUUACACGAAGAGGGAGAAUACUGGCAGCUGGAAUUCUGAACCUGAAAAAGCUACAUCAGAGCUACGUAUUCUGCACAACUCCAAACGAGCUGAAAAUUUACGAAGAAUUAUUCUGGAAUAUAUAAGAAAUACUGGAGCAAAUAACUAUCAGAGGGGGGCCACCUGGUGACCACAAGACAGCAGGGCGCGCCAGGGCCCCCAGGCACGCCCUGGUGGGUUGUGGUCAGCCCACCCCACCUCCGGUGCCCAUCUUCUGUUAUUCAAGGUCUUUUGACCUAGAAAAAAUAAGGAGAGGACUUUUGGGAUGGAGUGCCGCCGUCUCGAGGCGGAACUUGAGCAGGAGCACUUUUGCCCUUCGCUAACAACCCUCUCAUCUUUGGGAGGCCAAUCUCUAUCAACAUCUUCAACAACACCAUCUCCUCUCAAACCCUAGUUCAUCUCUUGUGUUCAAUCAUUGUACCGGAAUCUUAGAUUGGUACCUGUGGGUGACUAGUAGUGUUGAUUACAUCUUGUAGUUGAUUACUAUAUGGUUUAUUUGACGGAAGAUUAUAUAUUAAGAUCCAUUAUGCUAUUUAAUACCCUAUGAUCUUGAGCAUGAAUAUCAUUUGUGAGUAGUUACUUUUGUUCUUGAGGUCACGAGAGAAGUCAUGUUGCAAGUAAUCAUGUGAACUUGGUAUGUGUUUGAUAUUUUGAUGAUAUGUAUGUUGUGAUUCCCUUAGUGGUGUCAUGUGAACGUCGACUACAUGACACCUCACCAUCUUUGGGAUUAAGGGAAUGCAUUUUGGAGUAGUUAUUAGAUGAUGGGUUGCUAGAGUGAUAGAAGCUUAAACCCUAGUUUAUGAGCUACUUCGUAAGGGAUCAAUUUGGAUCCAAAUGUUUAAUGCUAUGGUUAGAUUUUAUCUUAAUACUUUUCUCAUAGUUGUGGAUGCUUGCGAGAGGGUUAAUCAUAAGUGGGAGAUUUGUUCAAGUAAGGACAACACCCAAGCACCGGUCCACUCACAGAUCAAAUUAUCAAAGUAGCGAACACGCAUAAAACCAACAUGAUGAAAGUGACUAGAUGAAAUUCCCGUGUGCCCACAAGAACACUUUGCUUAUUAUAAGAGACUAGAUGAAAUUCCAGGGCAAAGACUGCCAGGAAGCUCGAAGGGGAGGAACCUCAAGUUUCCGAGCCACCAUGCUGCCUCCGAAGCAGGGCUAACCAAGAGUUUGUGCUCACUUUCCCGCCCCGACCCGCCCCCGUGGUAAGGAAAUCAACCUCUAAGACGGGACAUCAGGAAACGAUACGUCGGCAAUCAGUACGGCAAGUCAAAUUCAAGCCCCCAUUCUCUCAGAAAGAGCUUGCCGGGGAAAGUGAGGCUUCGCAUCUGCCGAGCUCGCUGCCGCCAGCCAUCAAGAGGGCCAGGGAGACUCCCCCGCCUCCUCAAUACAACAUGAACGUCCUCCUCAAAUCUGACAACAAGGAAUAAGUAAAUCUUUGUGUUUUCCCAAUCAAGCUUUGACUUGCUCAACUAUUAUCUUGAUCUAACUUUCUCUUGUCUUCCAGGAAUGAAGAAACACUGGUGCAACAGGCAAAAUGCACCAAGACUUUGGAGGGGCGAGGCUCCCCGGUAGGUGCUGGGCAAGGGAUGCCAGUGGUUGAUUCCGUGAUCACCAGUCCCCAGUCCAGUCCCAUGCGAGAGGACGCGCCGCCUGCCCCGCCAUCUGGUGCCAGCACCGAGGUCCCUCCUCUCGGAUCUGACAAGGAGAUGGGAGACGCCCACCAAGAGGAGAAGCGCCAGGAGGCGGAUCCUGUCAUGGGGUCUCCUCAACCACCAUUCUGGAAAGUGCGUCUUUGACAAAGGUCUCCACCGAAGGGCUCGCUCGCACAGGUGCCACCCUGACAACAGUGGUUGUUGUGGGUAUUGCAUCGGCAACGCCAGCUGUCGAGGAAGUAGAUAUCCUCCCACAACAAGCGCCAACAGGUAAUCCUUUAGUCAUUCCGCACCUUCUAGUUGAAUUCUUGUUCCUUGAACUUAUAAUUUGAAUCUUGUUUUCCGCUCUGGUCCACAGUCCCAGUUUCUCCUGAAGGAAGCAUGGUCUUUGAGACAGUGUCAGUUAUUGCGAAGGUUGCUACCGAUGAGGCUGUCAAGAUUACCACGACAGAGGAUGCUGAGCGGGUGGUCAGGGACCUUCAUGAAGCCCCCACAGAACUAGAGGAGCCCCACGGCAGUAGGCCUGAACCCGCCAAGAUGGACGUGGACGAGGCACCUGUUGUGGACGUCAUUCCAGCCCCCACCAAGCAAACACCGACAAUUUCCACCUCGUAGAACACACCAAGAAAUACGGGAUUGAGUGUUCCAAAGCACGGACUUGGAUCCCCCAACUCACUCUGGGGGCGUGGGGGAAAGUACUGAUGAAGAGAUUGUGCGGAUGUAACAUCCCAAAUUUUCAAUUUGGAAUGUUAUACAUUAGAUCAUCAUUGCAUAUCAUAUUUAUUGCAUUUUGGCUCAAUCCUAGAAAUUCUACGCAACUCAAGGACCCUCGGAGAGAGUUGGGGAUUUCAUUAUUUUCAUAUUUGAGUUUUCUCAAAUUUUUGAAAAUGGGAUCAUUUGAUUUUAUUUAUUUUAUCUUCAGUUAUUUAUAUUAUAAAAAUAAGAGAGAGGGAAUAAAAUGACUGUCCCAAAAUAAAGAAAUAUUGAGGAUUUGAUAAUAAAAUCAAAUAAGAUUUUAUUUUGGAGUUUAUUGCUAUUUUAUUUGAAUUUAGGAAAAAUGCGCAUUUUUCAAAAUUGCAUUUAGGCCGCAAAUAAAUGUUCAUCUUGACCGGCUUGAUUUUAGAAGCCGGGGAAAAUUUAUUUCGGGAUUUUUGGAGUCCGUUUAGUAUUUCUUUUAUUUGUUUUUCUACGCGUAAUGUUUUUAGGAAAAAAACGCGAACCGACUUUGGGCCGUGUUCGGUUAGGACUCCACCUGGCCAGGCCUUUAUAAGGCGCCGCCCAGAGCCCGUCAGCCCAGCCAAGCCCGGCGCCGAAACCCUAGCCCCGAGCCCGCCGCCACCGCCGCCGCUGCGAGCAGCCNNNNNNNNNNNNNNNNNNNNNNNNNNNNNNNNNNNNNNNNNNNNNNNNNNNNNNNNNNNNNNNNNNNNNNNNNNNNNNNNNNNNNNNNNNNNNNNNNNNNNNNNNNNNNNNNNNNNNNNNNNNNNNNNNNNNNNNNNNNNNNNNNNNNNNNNNNNNNNNNNNNNNNNNNNNNNNNNNNNNNNNNNNNNNNNNNNNNNNNNNNNNNNNNNNNNNNNNNNNNNNNNNNNNNNNNNNNNNNNNNNNNNNNNNNNNNNNNNNCCGGACCCCACCGCCUCGUCACCAGACCGCCGCCGCCGCACCCGUCGGGCCCCGCCGCCCUGCCAAUAGCGGUUUUCCUCAGAAAACCGUCCAGUUUUUCCGUCAGUUUUUUGUUCGGUUUUGUUAAAAAAAACCUAAAUCUGUUUUUUCGGUUUAGUUUAUUUAGCGGGAAGUUCGUCCAUACGUUCUUUUAACGAACGGUUUUCGUUUUUUUCGCAGACAGCGAACGUUCGUUUGUUAGCCUGUUCAUCCGUUUUUCUUUUUCUCGGAUUUUCCGCGAUUAUUUUUGAUCGUGAUUUCUGAUCUGUUUUUUUGUUUUAGUAUAACUUUUCGCUCGUUUAUCAGAAUCAGGUGAUUCAAGCGCCUAGAGUUUCGUCUCGAAACCCUCUUUCCAUUUAACCAACUCAAACAAGUUUUUUCUACUGUAAAAUUUGACUUAGGUCCAGAUUAGUAAACGAAGCUUGUUUCUUUCGCUGUUUGAGUUUCGUUGCUUCGUUUGAUUUGAUUCUUUUUGCAAACCGGAGUUCUUAAGUUGAACUUUCUGGUUAGAUAUCUUAUUUGAGUUUUUACUUGUGCAUUAGAUGAGUGCUUAUUGUAUGCUUGUUUGUUUGCGAUAGAGUACCUGGAGUGCGCCGCUUGCUACUUCGAAUCUCUAGGUUUCACGGAUCAUCAGCAAGGCAAGUAACACUUUGAUCAUACCUCUUUAUUACCCAGUUUUAUUGCAUUAUAUCAAUCCUCAAACAAUUGCAUGAUUAGGAUCUGAUUAACAUGUGGGUUUUGGGAAGUAGAUGAGGUAGAACCUAUUACCUGUUAUUAUCAAACCCUUGGGUGUUACUUCUACGUUUGCUUAUUAUGCCAUGCUAUGCUAGUAGACGUGGAUUGGGUGAGUGUAUCCAUGACAGAUGUGAGAUUGUUUAAUUAAUGGUUUACUUAAGGUGGCAACUUAAAUUCACAUCUGGGUGGAUUGAGGCACCUCGGGAACCCAGUGUUGCCUGUAUUUUUGGAAAUCCCGGGGUACCGUGUGAUUCUCCUAUGGACCGCCACCCAGGCUCAAAGGGAUCAUGAGAUUAUUCAUGUUAGAAACUUCUAUGUGCAGCCGCAUGCUACUAUGGGCUCUAGCAUAGUUGAUUAAGUUGCGUGAGCUCUUGAAGAGGUAGACUAGCAGAUGUAGGGGAUGUAGGUUGGUACUGUCUACCCGGAGUAGGGAGUUAAUGCUUCUGAAAGACUGUGUCUCGAUCAUCCGUUUCUCAAACACCAUGUAGUGCGAGAAAUUAAGCGGAGGAGAUCGAGUCUUGCGGGGAAAAGUGUGCAAACCUCUGCAGAGUGUAUAAACUAAUCAUGGUUAGCCGUGUCCCCGAUUAUGGACGUUUUGAGUAUCUAGUACUUGGAUUAUCAUGUGAAUCUCAUCAUGUUACUUAAUUAAAUUUUGUUGGGUUUAAUGGUGAUGCUUAAUUUGGAUUGAGUUGGAGCACCCUUCUCAAUGUUUGACAACCACCAUGAUAGUUAAAUAAAAUUUAUUCCUUUGCAAUAGGGGAAAAUUGGCUUUAUGCAAAAACUGUGACCAUAGAGCUUUCCACCAGCCAUAUAUGCAUGUAGUAUAGCAUUAUUCUUUCAUUACUCUCUAUGUGUUACAUUGCCAGCAUAUUCCAUGUGCUGACCCAUUUUCGGGCUGCAACGUUCAUGUUGCAGACUUUUCAGACGACGAGUAAGGUGCCUUAGGUCGUGAUCUUAUACUCAGUGAUGCCGUUGGAGUUGAUGGACUCGCUUAUCAUCCAAGCCUUCCGUUGUUAUCGUUAUUAGAUGGCCUUAAGCCAUAUUUAUUGUAAUAAGUUCUUUUUUAAUACAUUCAAUGUAAUAAGUGUGUGAUUGCUACUCUGUUAUAAAUCCUUCAAGUAUUGUGCGUGUCAGCAUUACUGAUCCAGGGAUGACACUGAUGCACAGAGAUCAGACUGUUUGAGGUCUGGUCGCUACAAGAUGGUAUCAGAGCACACAUUGACUGUAGGACACGACCACUAAGCUAAAGCCCUAGAUCACUACUCUCUCUUCUCAUUUUUGACUCCUCAUCUUUUCUACUCUUUUAGGAUGGCGGAUGCAAGGAACAAGUUCGUGCAACCGGAUGAAGAUACACCCUUUGGACACCACUUGAAGAAAGUCACUAGAUAUCUGAACAUCGGAGUACCAAGCUUCACCGGGACCUACAUCGCCACUUUACCCGAAGAGGAGCACUGGAUGAUUCAAGUUCAAGUUCUAGGAAGAACGUUCAUGCCAGUCACUAAGCCCAUAGAGUUUUCCUUUGAUGCACCAACCUGCAGUCUAGGAAAGAGCAUGGCAGCUCACAUCACCAUGGGUCGCGUUGGAGAAUUUUACCACAAGGAUCUCGAGGAUACUAUCUAUCAGAUUUGUGGGCGCCGAGAUGAGCAAUGGGAGAUGAUCAGCACCAGGAAGGAUAGAUCAAUUGCAGCUUUCAUCCAGGAGUUAAACCAGCACAUACGUCGCCAGAAGAACCAAAUGUGCGCAUGCAUGAUGGAUCUGAAGAAGGCAUUGACCAAGAUCACGGAGCUGGAGGAAGAACUCAAGUCUACGCGCGAUGGAUAUGAGGAGGAAAUGAUGACACUCGUGGAGAAGAAUGAUGAUCUGAAGAAGAAGCUAAAAGUAUUCAUGGGAUUUCCCGUGACUGGAGGAGAAGACGAUGAUUGCACUUGUCCGGAGAACUACAUCAUCAUCGACGACACCGACUCGGACCCAGACGAUAGUGAUGAUGACUUUGUUGAUGAAGCUGGAGCAGAUAUCAUGGAGUCUUCGACCGAGCAGUUUUUCUAGUCGACCACCAUAACAGUAGUAGUAUUCCCCAUGUAUAUAGUAUAGUCCGAGCACUUUUGUAACGAUAGUUAGACCGUUGUAUGCCCUUGUUUGAAUUGAUUGAAGUGAUAUUGUUUGCUUUUGUCUCAUGUGCAUAUGGGUAGUGUUUUCUCUCUAGACCUCAUUCUAUUCUAUAUUCUCAUCUUUUCUAAACCCUCAGAUGCCUCCGAGACAUGACAAUGGAUUUGCUUUCCCACCGAAGCUCACCCAGUUGAUCCAGCAGCAGAAUGCAUUGAUGCAGAUACUAGUCCAGAAUCAGAAUCAGGGGAACAACAACAACAACAACCCACCACCACCACCACCUGUUGAUCACUUAGCCCGUUUCUUGAGGCUGAAUCCGCCGGUGUUCUCCAGUAGCACCGAGCCGAUAGUUGUAGAUGAUUGGCUCCGCAAGAUGGGAAGGGAGUUGACCACUGCAGGAUGCACAGAUGCGGAGAAGGUGCAUUUUGCCGCACAUCAGCUUGAUGGACCCGCAGCAUCAUGGUGGGAGAAUUUCACAGCCGCUUAUCCUAUCAACACUAUCACAUGGGAUCAGUUUCAGCAAGCUUUCUGUACUGCCCAUGUUUCAGGAGGAGCUAUGGCCAUGAAAAAGCGUGAGUUUCGCAACUUACGCCAGGGAGGACGUACUGUUGGCCAGUAUGUGGAUGACUUUAGUAAGCUAGCACGCUAUGCCCCAGAUGACGUUUCUACGGAUGCAGCUAAGCAGGAAAAGUUUCUGGAAGGACUAAAUGAUGAGCUGAGCAUGCAGUUGGCGGUAGCAACCUUCAACAACUACCAGGAGUUGGUAGAUAGAGCUCUUAUGAUUGAAGGGAAGCAGCAGCAGAUUGACAGCCGCAAGAGGAAGUAUGGAAAAGGGAAGUACAAUUCUGGAGCUCAACAGAAGCCUCGUUUUACCUCGAACUCGGGAGGACAUUUUUAGCAUACCCAUGGAGGAGGUAGUUCGCACAACCAUAGUGGCCCCAAGAAUGGUAAUGGGAAUGGAGGAAGCAACGGACAGAACCGCACCAACCCAUUGACACCAGCCAAGAGGGAUCUGAGCCACGUCACCUGUUACAAAUGCCAGAAGACUGGACAUUAUGCCACCGAAUGUCCUGAAGCAAAAAAUGGAAACGGUAAUGGAAGUUCUAGGAAGAAUCCCAAUCCUUUCAACAAAGGACAGGUGAACCACGUUAGCAUGGAGGAGGUUGAAGCCCAACCAGAUGCAGUAAUAGGUAAGUUUUUGGUUUAAGUCAUUUACUGCAAUCGUUCUUUUUGAUACUGGUGCAUCGCAUUCAUACAUAUCAAGGGUAUUUGUGGAUAAGAAUAACCUGCCAACCCAAGCCCUUAGGUCAUCCAUGUUAGUAACCUCGCCAGGAGCAGAGUAUAUGGCUAGUCUAUGGUGUGAUCGUUUACCAUUAAGGAUUGGUAACUACGUGUUUCCCUCAGACCUAAUAGUACUGGAGUCGCAAGGACUGGAUGUGAUAUUAGGCAUGGAUUGGUUAUCAAAGUAUGGAGGGAACAUUGAAUGCGCCAGUAAGUCGAUUUUGCUUACCACGCCAGAAGGAAGAAGGAUCAAGUAUGUAUCCCGGCAUGUGCCGAAGAGGACUCAAGUGAAUUCCUUAUCAGGAGUUGUACAGGAAGAAGUACGAGUGGUGAAGGAUUUUCCUGACGUAUUUCCAAAGGGGUUGCCAGGCAUGCCACCGGAUAGAGACAUUGAGUUUUUGAUUGAGCUUUUCCCAGGCAUCGGGCCGAUAUCUAAGAGAGCGUACAGGAUGCCCGCAAAGGAUUUGGAUGAAAUUAAGAAGCAGAUUAAGGAGUUACUGGAUAAAGGCUAUAUUCGCCCAAGUUCUUCACCUUGGGGAUCGCCAGUACUUCUAGUGGAGAAGAAGGAUGGAUCAUUGAGGAUGGUUUUUGAUUAUCGAGGAUUGAAUGAGGUGACAAUCAAAAACAAGUACCCACUGUAGAUGAUCAAUGACUUGUUUGACCGAUUGUAAGGAGCUAAGGUAUUUUCCAAGAUCGAUUUGCGAUCAGGAUACCACCAGUUGAAGAUUCGAGAGCAGGAUAUACCCAAGACGGCUUUUACCACCAGGUACGGGCUAUACGAGUAUACUGUUAUGUCAUUUGGUCUGACAAAUGCACCUGCCUAUUUCAUGAACAUGAUGAACAAGGUGUUUAUGGAGUUUCUGGAUAAGUUCGUCGUGGUGUUCAUUGAUGAUAUUUUGGUCUACUCGAAGAAUGAAGAGGAGCAUAAGGAGCAUUUGCAUUUGGUACUGGAGAAGCUCAAAGAACAUCAGCUAUAUGCCAAGUUCAGCAAAUGUGAGUUUUGGUUAAAGGAAGUUGGAUUUCUCGGAAAUGUUAUAUCCGGAGAAGGGAUCGCAGUAGACCCCACCAAAGUUGUCACCGUGACAAAUUGGGAAGCCCCAACAACAGUUGGAGAGAUCCGGAGUUUUCUCGGACUCGCAGGAUACUACCGGAGGUUCAUUGAGAAUUUCUCAAAGAUUGCAAAGCCCAUGACAGAGUUGUUGAAGAAGGACACCAAGUUCAAAUGGACUAAGGAAUGUGAGGCCAGUUUCCAGGAGUUGAAGAAACGUUUGGUUAUAUCACCAGUGUUGAUUCUGCCUGAUCAGCGCAAGGAUUAUGAAGUAUAUUGCGACGCUUCUCGUCGAGGACUUGGAGCAGUGCUUAUGCAGGAGGGAAGAGUUGUUUUGUAUGCCUCACGACAUCUUAAACCCCAUGAGUUGAACUAUGCUACACGUGAUUUGGAGUUAGCAGCUGUAGUGCAUGCUUUGAAGACAUGGAGACAUUUUCUCAUCGGAAACCAUUGUGAGGUGUACACGGAUCACAAGAGUUUGAAGUACAUCUUCACACAGAAGGAGUUGAAUCUCAGGAAAAGGAGAUGGUUGGAGCUCAUCAAGGAUUACGACAUGAGAUUGCAUUAUCACCCCGGAAAGGCUAACAUAGUAGCCGAUACGUUGAGCCGCAAGAGCCAUGCAACACACUCAUGACCGGAGAGUUACCAAAGGAGUUAGCCAAGGAUCUUCGCGAACUAUGCUUGGGGAUAGUUUUGAGAGGCUAUGUAGCAGCAUUGGAGAUUUGGUCUACUUUGAUGGAUAAGAUCAGAGAAGCCCAGAAGAUUGACAAGGAGAUUGCCGAGAUAAAGGAGAAGAUGAACAAAGGAAAAUCUAAGGGAUUUCGUGAGGAUGAGCACGAUACCUUAUACUUUGAGGACCGCGUUUAUGUGCCUAAUGACCCGGAGAUCAGGAUGUUGAUUCUACAGGAGGCCCAUGAUUCGCCGUAUUCGAUUCACCCAGGAAAUACCAAGAUGUAUUUGGAUUUGAAGGACACUUUCUGGUGGACCGGAAUGAAGAAGGAUAUUGUGGAAUAUGUAGCAGUUUGUGAUGUAUGUCAGUAUUGGGUAACGUAGUAAUUUCAAAAAAAUUCCUACGCACACGCAAGAUCAUGGUGAUGGCAUAGCAACGAGAGGGGAGAGUGUAUUCCACGUACCCUCGUAGACCAUAAGCGGAAGCGUUAUGACAACGCGGUUGAUGUAGUUGUACGUCUUCACGAUUCGACCGAUCCAAGCACCGAACGUACGGCACCUCCGAGUUCAGCACACGUUCAGCUCGAUGACGAUCCCCAGGCUCCGAUCCAGCAAAGCUUCGGGGAUGAGUUCCGUCGGCACGACGGCGUGGUGACGAUGAUGAUGCUCUAACGGCGCAGGGCUUCGCCUAAACUCCGCGACGAUAUGACCGAGGUGGAAUAUGGUGGAGGGGGGCACCGCACACGGCUAAGGAACGAUCCGUAGAUCAACUUGUGUUUCAUGGGGUGCCCCCCUGCCCCCGUAUAUAAAGAAUCAAGGGGAGGGCCAGCCAAGGAGGAGGAGGCGCGCCCAAGGGGGGAGUCCUACUCCCACCAGGAGUAGGACUCCUCCUUUCCUAGUAGGAGUAGGAGAGAAGGAAGGGGAAGAGAGAAGAGAAGGAAGGGGGGGUGCGGCCCCUCCCCCUAGUCCAAUUUGGACUAGGCCUUGGGGGGCGCGCGGCCUGCCCUAGGCAGCCCCUCUCUCUUUCCCGUAUGGCCCAAUAAGGCCCAAUACUUCUCCCCGGCGAAUUCCCGUAACUCUCCGGUACUCCGAUAAAUACCCGAAUCACUCAGAACCUUUCCGAACUCUGAAUAUAGUCGUCCAAUAUAUCGAUCUUUACGUCUCGACCAUUUCGAGACUCCUCGUCAUGUCCCCGAUCUCAUCCGGGACUCCGAACUCCUUCGGUACAUCAAAACUCAUAAACUCAUAAUAUAACUGUCAUCGAAACCUUAAGCGUGCGGACCCUACGGGUUCGAGAACUAUGUAGACAUGACCUAGAACUAUUCUUGGUCAAUAACCAAUAGCGGACCCAUAUUGGCUCCUACAUAUUCUACGAAGAUCUUUAUCGGUCAAACCGCAUAACAACAUACGUUGUUCCCUUUGUCAUCGGUAUGUUACUUGCCCGAGAUUCGAUCGUCAGUAUCCAAUACCUAGUUCAAUCUCAUUACCGGCAAGUCUCUUUACUCGUUACAUAAUGCAUCAUCCCGCAACUAACUCAUUAGUCACAUUGCUUGCAAGGCUUAUAGUGAUGUGCAUUACCGAGAGGGCCCAGAGAUACCUCUCCGACAAUCGGAGUGACAAAACCUAAUCUCGAAAUACGCCAACCCAACAUGUACCUUUGGAGACACCUGUAGUACUCCUUUAUAAUCACCCAGUUACGUUGUGACGUUUGGUAGCACCCAAAGUAUUCCUCCGAUAAACGGGAGUUGCAUAAUCUCAUAGUUACAGGAACAUGUAUAAGUCAUGAAGAAAGCAAUAGCAACAUACUAAACGAUCAAGUGCUAGGCUAACGGAAUGGGUCAUGUCAAUCACAUCAUUCUCCUAAUGAUGUGAUCCCAUUAAUCAAAUGACAACACAUGUCUAUGGUUAUGAAACAUAACCAUCUUUGAUUAAUGAGCUAGUCAAGUAGAGGCAUACUAGUGACUAUAUGUUUGUCUAUGUAUUCACACAUGUAUCAUGUUUCUGGUUAAUACAAUUCUAGCAUGAAUAAUAAACAUUUAUCAUGAAAUAAGGAAAUAAAUAAUAACUUUAUUAUUGCCUCUAGGGCAUAUUUCCUUCAGUCUCCCACUUGCACUAGAGUCAAUAAUCUAGUUCACAUCGCUAUGUGAUUUAACACUAAUAUUCACAUCUGCAUGUGAUUAAUACCCAUAGUUCACAUCAUCAUGUGAUCAACACCCAAAGGGUUUACUAGAGUCAAUAAUCUAGUUCACAUCUCUAUGUGAUUAACAACAAAAGAGUACUAAGGUAUGAUCAUGUUUUGCUCGUGAGAGAAGCUUAGUCAAUGGUUCUGUCACAUUCAGAGCCGCAUGUAUUUUGCAAAUAUUAUCUGUCUACAAUGCUCUGCACGGAGCUACUCUAGCUAAUUGCUCCCACUUUCAGUAUGUAUCCAGAUUGAGACUUAGAGUCAUCUGGAUCGGUGUGAAAACUUGCACCGUUGUAACUUUUACGACGGGCUCUUUUAUUACCUCCAUAAUCGAGAAACAUCUCCUUAGUCUUCACUAAGGAUAUUCUUGACCGUUGUCCAGUGAUCUACUAUUAGAUCAAAAUUGUACUCCUUUGCCAAACGCAGAGCAAGGUAUACAAUAGGUCUGUUUCACAGCAUAGCAUGCUUUAUAGAACCUAUGACUGAGGCAUAGGGAAUGACUUUUCAUUCUCUUUCUAUUUUCUGCCAUGGUCGGGUCUUGAGUCUUACUCAACUUCACACCUUGCAACACAGGCAAGAACUCCUUCUUUGACUGUUCCAUUUUGAACUAUUUCAAAAAAAUUAUCAAGGUAUGUACUCAUUGAAAAAUCUUAUCAAGCGUCUUGAUCUAUCUAUAUAGAUCUUGAUGCUCAAUGUGUAAGCAGCUUCACCGAGGUCUUUCUUUGGAAAAAAAAACUCUUAUUCAAGUAUCCUUUCAUGCUAUCCAGAAUUUCUAUAUCAGUUCCAAUCAAAAAUAUGUCAUCCACAUAUAAUAUUAGAAAUGCUACAAAGCUCCCACUCACUUUCUUGUAAAUACAGGCCUUUCCAAAAGUCUGUAUAAAACCAUAUGUUUUGAUCAACUCAUCAAAGCAUAUAUUCCAACUCCGAGAUGCUUACACUAGUCCAUAGAUGGAUCGCUGGAGCUUGCACAAUUUGUUAGCACCUUUAGGAUUGACAAAACCUUCUGGUUGCAUCAUAUACAACUCUUCUUUAAGAAAACCAUUAAGGAAUGCAGUUUUGUUUAUCCAUUUGCCAGAUUUCAUAAAAUGCGGCAAUUGCUAACAUGAUUCAGACAGACUUAAGCAUAGAUACGAGUGAAAAACUCUCAUCGUAGUCAACACCUUGAACUUGUCGAAAACCUUUUGUGACAAUUCUAGCUUUGUAGAUAGUAACACUAUCAGCGUCCGUCUUCCUCUUGAAGAUCCAUUUAAUCUCAAUGUCUCGCCGAUCAUUGGGCAAGUCAAUCAAAGUCCAUACUUUGUUUUCAUACAUGGAUCUUAUCUCAGAUCUCAUGGCCUCAAGUCAUUUUGCGGAAUCUGGGCUCACCAUCGCUUCUUCAUAGUUCGUAGGUUCGUCAUGGUCUAGUAACAUAACUUCCAGAACAGGAUUACCGUACCACUCUGGUGCGGAUCUUACUCUAUAAGCCCUACGAGGUUCUGUAGUAACUUAAUCUGAAGUUUCAUGAUCAUCAUCAUUAACUUCCUCACUAAUUGGUGUAGUAGUCACAGGAACAGAUUUCUGUGAUGAACUACUUUAAAAUGAGGGAGCAGGUACAGUUACCUCAUCAAGUUCUACUUUCCUCCCACUCACUUCUUUCGAGAGAAACUCCUUCUCUAGAAAGGAUCCAUUCUUAGCAACGAAUGUUUUGCCUUUGGAUUUGUGAUAGAAGGAGUACCCAACAGUUUCCUUUGGGUAUUAUAUGAAGAUGCACUUCUCCGAUUUGGGUUCGAGCUUAUCAGGUUGAAAACCUUUUUCAUAUAAGCAUCGCAACUCCAAACUUUAAGAAACGACAGCUUAGGUUUACUUCUAAACCAUAGUUCAUACGGUGUCGUCUCAACGGAUUUAGAUGGUGCCCUUUUAAACGUGAAUGCAGCUGUCUCUAAUGCAUAACCCCAAAACGAUAAUGGUAAAUCAGUAAGAGACAUCAUAGAUCGCACCAUAUCCAAUAAAGUGCGGUUACGACGUUCGGACACACCAUAACGUUGUCUUGUUCCAGGUGGCGUGAGCUAUGAAACUAUUCCACAUUGUUUUAAUUGAAGACCAAACUCAUAAUUCAAAUAUUCGUCUCCGCGAUCAGAUCGCAGAAACUUUAUUUUCUUCUUACGAUGAUUUUUCCACUUCACUCUGAAAUUCUUUGAACCUUUCAACUAUUUCAGACUUAUGUUUCAUCAAGUAGAUAUACCCAUAUCUGCUCAAAUCAUCUGUGAAGGUCAGAAAAUAACGAUACUUGCCACGAGCAUCAACACUCAUUGGAUCGCAUACAUCGGUAUGUAUUAUUUCCAAUAAGUCAGUAGCUCGUUCCAUUGUUCCGGAGAACAGAGUUUUAGUCAUCUUGCCCAAUAGGCACGGUUCGCAAGCAUCAAAUGAUUCAUAACCAAGUGAUUCUGAAAAUCCAUCUUUAUGGAGUUUCUUCAUGCGCUUUACACCGAUAUGACCCAAACGGCAGUGCCACAAAUAAGUUGCACUAUCAUUAUUAACUUUGCAUCUUUUGGCUUCAACAUUAUGAAUAUGUGUAUCACUACGAUCGAGAUCCAACAAACCAUUUUCAUUGGGUGUAUGACCAUCGAAGGUUUUAUUCAUGUAAACAGAACAACAAUUAUUCUUUGACUUUAAAUGAAUAACCGUAUCGCAAUGAACAUGAUCAAAUCAUAUUCAUGUUCAACGCAAAUGCCAAACAACAUUUAUUUAGGUUCAACACUAAUCCCGAAAGUAUAGAGAGUGUGCGAUGAUGAUCAUAUCAAUCUUGGAACUACUUCCAACACUGAUCGUCACUUCCCCUUGAACUAGUCUUUGUUUAUUCUGUAACUCCUAUUUCAAGUCACUAAUCUUAGCAACCGAACAAGUAUCAAAUACUCAGGGGCUACUAUAAACACUAGUAAGGCACACAUCAAUAACCUGUAUAUCAAAUAUACUCUUGUUCACUUUGCCAUUCUUCUUAUCCACCAAAUAUUCAGGGCAUUUCUGCUUCCAGUGACCAUUCCCUUUGUAGUGUAAGCACUCAGUUUCAGGCUUUGGUCCAGCUUUGGUCUUCCUCACGGGAGUGACAACUUGUUUGCCAUUCUACUUGAAGUUUCCCUUUCUUUCCCUUUGCCCUUUUCUUGAAACUAGUGAUCUUGUCAACCAUCAACACUUGAUGCUCUUUCUUGAUUUCUACCUUCGUCGAUUUCAACAUCACGAAGAGACCGGGAAUCAUUUUCGUCAUCCCUUGCAUACUAUAGUUCAUCACAAAGUUCUACUAACUUGGUGAUGAUGACUAGAGAACUCUGUCAAUCACUAUCUUAUCUGGAAGAUUAACUCCCACUUGAUUCAAGCGAUUGAAGUACCCAGACAAUCUGAGCACAUGCUCACUAGUUGAGUGAUUCUCCUCCAUCUUUUAGCUAUAGAACUUGUUGGAGACUUCAUAUCUCUCAACUCGGGUAUUUUCUUUAAAUAUUAACUUCAACUCCUGGAACAUCUCAUAUGGUCCAUGACGUUCAAAACGUCUUUGAAGUCCCGAUUCUAAGCCGUUAAGCAUGGUGCACUAAACUAUCAAGUAGUCAUCAUACUGAGCUAACCAAACAUUCAUAACAUCUACAUCUGCUCCUGCAAUAGGUCUGUCACCUAGCGGUGCAUUAAGGACAUAAUUCUUCUUUGCAGUAAUGAGGAUAAACCUCAGAUCACAGAUCCAAUCCGCAUCAUUGCUACUAACAUCUUUCAACACAAUUUUCUCUAGGAACAUAUCAAAAUAAACAUAUGAAAGCAACAACGCGAGCUAUUGAUCUACAACAUAAUUUGCAAAAUACUACCAGGACUAAGUUCAUGAUAAAUUAAAGUUCAAUUAAUCAUAUUACAUAAGAACUCCCACUUAGAAAGACAUCCCUCUAAUCUUCUAAGUGAUCACGUGAUCCAAAUCAACUAAACCAUAACCGAUCAUCACGUGAGAUGGAGUAGUUUUCAAUGGUGAACAUCACUAUGUUGAUCAUAUCUACUAUAUGAUUCACGCUCGACCUUUCGGUCUCCGUGUUUCGAGGCCAUAUCUGCAUAUGCUAGGCUCGUCAAGUUUAACCCGAGUAUUCUACGUGUGCAAAACUGGCUUGCACCCAUUGUAGAUGGACGUAGAGCUUAUCACACCCGAUCAUCACGUGGUGUCUGGGCACGACGAACUUUGGCAACGGUGCAUACUCAGGGAGAACACUUCUUGAUAAUUAGUGAGAGAUCAUCUUAAAAUGCUACCGUCAAUCAAAGCAAGAUAAGAUGCAUAAAGGAUAAACAUCACAUGCAAUCAAUAUAAGUGAUAUGAUAUGGCCAUCAUCAUCUUGUGCUUGUGAUCUCCAUCUCCGAAGCACCGUCGUGAUCACCAUCGUCACCGGCGCGACACCUUGAUCUCCAUCGUAGCAUCAUUGUCGUUACGCCAUCUAUUGCUUCUACGACUAUCGCUACGCUUAGUGAUAAAGUAAAGCAAUUACAGGGCGUUUGCAUUUCAUACAAUAAAGCGACAACCAUAUGGCUCCUGCCAGUUGCCGAUAACUUCGGUUACAAAACAUGAUCAUCUCAUACAAUAAAAUAUAGCAUCACGUCUUGACCAUAUCACAUCACAACAUGCCCUGCAAAAACAACUUAGACGUCCUCUACUUUGUUGUUGCAAAUUUUACGUGGCUGCUACGGGCUUAGCAAGAACCGUUCUUACCUACGCAUCAAAAAACACAACGAUAGUUUGUCAAGUUGGUGCUGUUUUAACCUUCGCAAGGACCGGGCGUAGCCACACUCGAUUCAGCUAAAGUGAGAGAGACAGACACCCGCCAGCCACCUUUAAGCACGAGUGCUCAUAACGGUGAAACCAGUCUCGCGUAAGCGUACGCGUAAUGUCGGUCCGGGCCGCUUCAUCUCACAAUACCGCCGAACCAAAGUAUGACAUGCUGGUAAGCAAUAUGACUUGUAUCGCCCACAACUCACUUGUGUUCUACUCGUGCAUAUAAUAUCAAUGCAUAAAACCUAGGCUCGGAUACCACUGUUGGGUAACGUAGUAAUUUCAAAAAAAUUCCUACGCACACGCAAGAUCAUGGUGAUGGCAUAGCAACGAGAGGGGAGAGUGUAGUCCACGUACCCUCGUAGACCGUAAGCGGAAGCGUUAUGACAACGCGGUUGAUGUAGUCAUACGUCUUCACGAUUCGACCGAUCCAAGCACCGAACGUACGGCACCUCCGAGUUCAGCACACGUUCAGCUCAAUGACGAUCCCCGGGCUCCGAUCCAGCAAAGCUUCGGGGAUGAGUUCCGUCAGCACAACGGCGUGGUGAUGAUGAUGAUGCUCUACCGGCGCAGGGCUUCGCCUAAACUCCGCGACGAUAUGACCGAGGUGGAAUAUGGUGGAGGGGGGCACCGCACGCGGCUAAGGAACGAUCCGUAGAUCAACUUGGGUUUCAUGGGGUGCCCCCCUGCCCCCGUAUAUAAAGGAGCAAGGGGAGGGCCGGCCAAGGAGGAGGAGGCGCACCCAAGGGGGGAGUCCUACUCCCACCAGGAGUAGGACUCCUCCUUUCCUAGUAGGAGUAGGAGAGAAGGAAGGGGAAGAGAGAAGGGAAGGAAGGAGGGGGUGCGGCCCCUCCCCCUAGUCCAAUUCGGACUAGGCCUUGGGGGGCGCGCGGCCUGCCCUAGGCAGCCCCUCUCUCUUUCCCGUAUGGCCCAAUAAGGCCCAAUACUUCUCCCCGGCGAAUUCCCGUAACUCUCCGGUACUCCGAUAAAUACCCGAAUCACUCGGAACCUUUCCGAACUCUGAAUAUAGUCGUCCAAUAUAUCGAUCUUCAUGUCUCGACCAUUUCGAGACUCCUCAUCAUGUCCCCGAUCUCAUCCGGGACUCCGAACUCCUUCGGUACAUCAAAACUCAUAAACUCAUAAUAUAACUGUCAUCGAAACCUUAAGCGUGCGGACCCUACGGGUUCGAGAACUAUGUAGACAUGACCUAGAACUAUUCUUGGUCAAUAACCAAUAGCGGACCCAUAUUGGCUCCUACAUAUUCUACGAAGAUCUUUAUCGGUCAAACCGCAUAACAACAUAUGUUGUUCCCUUUGUCAUCGGUAUGUUACUUGCCCGAGAUUCGAUUGUCGGUAUCCAAUACCUAGUUCAAUCUCGUUACCGGCAAGUCUCUUUACUCGUUACUAAUGCAUCAUCCCGCAACUAACUCAUUAGUCACAUUGCUUGCAAGGCUUAUAGUGAUGUGCAUUACCGAGAGGGCCCAGAGAUACCUCUCCGACAAUCGGAGUGACAAAACCUAAUCUCGAAAUACGCCAACCCAACAUGUACCUUUGGAGACACCUAUGGUACUCCUUUAUAAUCACCCAGUUACGUUGUGACGUUUGGUAGCACCCAAAGUGUUCCUCCGAUAAACGGGGUAGAAAGCAAUAGCAACAUACUAAACGAUCAAGUGCUAGGCUAACGGAAUGGGUCAUGUCAAUCACAUCAUUCUCCUAAUGAUGUGAUCCCAUUAAUCAAAUGACAACACAUGUCUAUGGUUAUGAAACAUAACCAUCUUUGAUUAAUGAGCUAGUCAAGUAGAGGCAUACUAGUGACUAUAUGUUUGUCCAUGUAUUCACACAUGUAUCAUGUUUCUGGUUAAUACAAUUCUAGCAUGAAUAAUAAACAUUUAUCAUAAAAUAAGGAAAUAAAUAAUAACUUUAUUAUUGCCUCUAGGGCAUAUUUCCUUCAGUCAGAGAGUGAAGGCAGAGCAUCAGAAGCCAGCAGGAUUGCCACAGCCAUUGCUGAUACCCGAAUGGAAGUGGGAUAAGCUAGGCAUGGAUUUUAUCAUGGGAUUGCCCAGGACUCGUUCAGGCUAUGACUCGAUAUGGGUUGUAGUCGAUCGUUUGACGAAGGUAGCUCAUUUCAUCCCAGUGAAGACCACCUACACCAGUGCUAAGUUGGCAAAGAUCUACAUGACCAGGAUCGUAUGUCUGCAUGGAGUUCCGAGGAGCAUUGUAUCAGAUAGAGGAACCCAGUUUACCUCGAAGUUCUGGAAUCAGUUGCACAAAACUUUGGGUACCAAGCUAGAGUUCAGUACAGCUUUUCAUCCGCAGACAGAUGGACAGACUAAGAGAGUCAAUCAGAUUUUGGAGGAUAUGCUGAGAGCUUGUGCGCUAAAUUAUGGAUCUAGUUGGGACAACAAUUUGCCCUAUGCAGAGUUCUCUUACAAUAACAGUUAUCAACCCAGUUUGAAGAUGGCCCCUUUCGAAGCCUUGUACGGAAGGAGGUGCAGGACCCCAUUAUCAUGGGAUGAAGUUGGAGACCGCCAGUUGUUUGGACCGUAUUUGAUUAAGAAGUCCGAACAGAAGGUGAAGUUGAUUCGCGAUAGGCUCAAAGUAGCCCAGUCCAGGCAGAAGAGCUACACAGAUUCUAAACGUAAAGGAGACAGUUUACAAAGUCGAAGACAGAGUUUAUCUUUGUGUAUCUCCACUUCGAGGAGUUAAGCGCUUUGGAGUUAAGGGGAAAUUAGCGCCACGUUUUGUGGGACCAUACAAAGUUUUGGAGCGUAUGGGAGAAGUUGCUUACAAGUUGGAAUUGCCCGAAGGAUUGUCAGGAGUUCACGAUGUGUUCCACGUUUCCUAGUUGAAGUGCCACGCAGAGAUGGCUGAGAUACCGCUGAGAGAUACAAUGCCGCUGGAAGCGAUUCAGUUGGAUAGCGAUUUGACCUACGAAGAGAAGCCACUCAAGAUUCUCGAGUAUGCUAGCCGAGUCACCCGCAGCAAGGUUAUCAAGUUUUGCAAAGUUCAAUGGAGCCACCAUACCGAGGACGAAGCCACCUGGGAGCGAGAGGAAGAUCUACUGAAGGACCACCCAAACCUAUUUUCUAGCCAACCCGAAUCUCGAGGGCGAGAUUCAUCUUAAGGGGGGUAGGUUUGUAACAUCCCAAAUUUUCAAUUUGGAAUGUUAUACGUUAGAUCAUCAUUGCAUAUCAUAUUUAUUGCAUUUUUGCUCGAUCCUAGAAAUUCUACGCAACUCAUGGACCCUCGGAGAGAGUUGGGGAUUUUGUUAUUUUCAUAUUUGAGUUUUCUCAAUUUUUUGAAAAUGGGAUCAUUUGAUUUUAUUUAUUUUAUCUUCAAUUAUUUCUAUUAUAAAAAUAAGAGAGAGGGAAUAAAAUGAAUUUCCCAAAAUAAAGAAAUAUUGAGGAUUUGAUAAUAAAAUCAAAUAAGAUUUUAUUUUGGAGUUUAUUGCUAUUUAAUUUGAAUUUAGGAAAAAUGCGCGUUUUUCAAAAUUGCAUUUAGGCCCCAAAUAAAUGUUCAUCUUGACCGGCUUGAUUUUAGAAGCCGGGGAAAAUUUAUUUCAGGAUUUUUGGUGUCCGUUUACUAUUUCUUUUAUUUGUUUUUCUGCGUGUAAUGUUUUAAAAAAUGCGAACAGACUUUGGGCCGUGUUCGGCCAGGACUCCACCUGGCCGGGCCUCUAUAAGGCGCCGCCCCGAGCCCGUCAGCCCAGCCGAGCCCUACAUCGAAACCCUAGCCCCGAGCCCGCCGCCGCUGCUGCGAGCAGCCGCCGCCGCCGUCNNNNNNNNNNNNNNNNNNNNNNNNNNNNNNNNNNNNNNNNNNNNNNNNNNNNNNNNNNNNNNNNNNNNNNNNNNNNNNNNNNNNNNNNNNNNNNNNNNNNNNNNNNNNNNNNNNNNNNNNNNNNNNNNNNNNNNNNNNNNNNNNNNNNNNNNNNNNNNNNNNNNNNNNNNNNNNNNNNNNNNNNNNNNNNNNNNNNNNNNNNNNNNNNNNNNNNNNNNNNNNNNNNNNNNNNNNNNNNNNNNNNNNNNNNNNNNNNNNNNNNNNNNNNNNNNNNNNNNNNNNNNNNNNNNNNNNNNNNNNNNNNNNNNNNNNNNNNNNNNNNNNNNNNNNNNNNNNNNNNNNNCCCCGUCGUCUCGUCGCCGGACCGACGCUGCUGCACCCGCCGGACCCCGCCGCCCCUUCGCCGGAGGUAGCCGCCGCCCCGCCGCCGGCGGUUUUCCUUAGAAAACCGUUUAGUUUUUCCGCCGGUUUUUCGUUCGAUUUUGUUAAAAAAAAACCUAGAUCUAUUUUUUCGGUUUAGUUUAUUUAGCGGACGUUCGUCCGUAUGUUCGUUUUAACGAACGGUUUUCAUUUUUUUUCGCAGACAGCGAAUGUUCGUUAUCCUGUUCGUCCGUUUUUCCUUUUCUUGGAUUUUCCGCGAUUAUUUCCGAUCGCGAUUUCCGAUCUAUUUUUCGUUUUAGUGUAACUUUUUACUCGUUUAUCGGAAUCAGGCGAUUCAAGCGCCUAGAGUUUUGUCUUGAAACCCUCUUUCCGUUUAACCAACUCAAACAAGUUUUUGCUACUGUAAAAUUUGACUUAGGUCCAGAUUAGUAAACGAAGCUUGUUUCUUUCGUCGUUUGAGUUUCAUUGCUUUGUUUGAUUUGAUUCUUUUUGCAAAGCGGAGUUCUUAAGUUGAACUUUCUGGUUAGAUCUCUUAUUUGAGUUUUUACUUGUGCAUUAGAUGAGUGCUUAUUGUAUGCUUGUUUGAUUGUGAUAGAGUACCCAGAGUGCGCCGCUUGCUACUUCGAAUCUCUAGGUUUCACGAAUCAUCAGCAAGGCAAGUAACACUUUGGUCAUACCUCUUUAUUACCCAAUUUUAUUGCAUUAGAUCAAUCCUCAAACAAUUGCUGAUUAGGAUCUGAUUAACAUGUGGGUUUUGGAAAGUAGAUGAGGUAGAACCUAUUACCUAUUAUUAUCAAACCCUUGGGAGUUACUUCUACGUUUGCUUAUUAUGCAAUGCUAUGCUAGUAGAUGUGGAUUGGGUGAGUGUAUCCAUGACAGAUGUGAGAUUGUUUAAUUAAUGAUUUACUUAAGGUGGCAACUUAAAUUCACAUCUGGGUGGAUUGAGGCACCUGGGGAACCCAGUGUUGCCGGUAUUUUUGGAAAUCCCGGGGUACCAUGUGAUUCUCCUAUGGACCGCCACCCAGGCUCAAAGGGAUCAUGAGAUUAUUCAUGCUAGAAACUUCCGUGUGCAGCCGCAAGCUACUAUGGGCUCUAGCAUAGUUGAUUAAGUUGCGUGAGCUCUUGAAGAGGUAGACUAGCAGAUGUAGGGGAUGUAGGUUGGUACUGUCAACCCCGGAGUAGAGAGUUAAUGCUUCUGAAAGACUGUGUCUCGGUCAUCCAUUUCUCAAACACCAUAUAGUGUGAGAAAUCAAGCGGAGGAGAUCGAGUCUUGCGGGGAAAAGUGCGCAAACCUCUGCAUAGUGUAUAAACUAAUCAUGGUUAGUCGUGUCCCCGGUUAUGGACGUUUUGAGUAUCUAGUACUUGGAUUAUCAUGUGAAUCUCAUCAUGUUACUUAAUUAAAUUUUGUUUGGUUUAAUGAUGAUGCUUAAUUGGGAUUGAGUUGGAGUACCCUUCUCAAUGUUUAACAACCACCAUGAUAGUUAAAUAAAAUGUAUUCCUUUGCAGUAGGGAAAAAUUGGCUUUAUGCAAAAACUGUAACCAUAGAGCUUUCCACCAGCCAUAUAUGCAUGUAGUAUAGCAUUAUUCUUUCAUUACUCUCUAUGUGUUACAUUGCCAGCAUAUUCCAUGUGCUGACCCAUUUUCGGGCUACAAUGUUCAUGUUGCAGACUUUUCAGACGAUGAGUAAGGUGCCUUAUAUCGUGAUCUUAUACUCAGUGAUGUUGUUGGAGUUGAUGGACUCGCUUAUCUUCCAAGCAUUCCGUUGUUAUCGUUGUUAGAUGGCCUUAAGCCAUAUUUAUUGUAAUAAGUUCUCUUUUGAGACAUUUGAUGUAAUAAGUGUGUGAUUGCUACUCUAUUAUAAAUCCUUCAAGUAUUGUGCGUGUCAGCAUUACUGAUCCAAGGAUGACACUGAUGCACAGAGAUCAGACUGUUUGAGGUCUGGUCGCUACAGCGGAUCUUGCUCCCCUUGGCUCAGAAAUCCACAAACACCGACGAUAUUGCCAAUGAACACAAAGACUUUGCCUUCUUGCAGGCCAUGGCUAUCGGGUUCAAGGGCGUCCAGGAUAGGUAUGGCAAGAGGUGGAAGCAAGCUCAAGCAGAGCGCAAAUCCAUGGACUCAGUUCAUCAGCAGCUAAAGGAGAAAGCUGAAGAGCCGCGCAUAUGGUACAACGAUCGAUCCCGCAAGCUCCGAAACUAAGAGGGGAAGCUAGCCGCUGCCUGCGGGAGGGCAAUAGCUCACAACAGCAAGUUGACGGAGCGCGAAGCACUGCUCAACAUCAAGGAAAAAGAGCUUGCUGCCCAUGAGCAAAUCAUUGUUGCCACCCUUCGCAGCAAAGAUGAGGAAAUCGAAGAACUCGUGAAGCACCGGACCCAAAAGUUGGCGGACGCCCACAAGGAAGCCAUGGAGGCUCAAAUCUUGGUAAGUGCCACCAAGCUUAAGGAAGUUGCUGAUGGGGCUGCAAUUGUUGUCUCCGCUAAGGCAGAUCUAGAGGCCCAGGCAGGCAAUUUGAAGGAAGAGCUCACUGUUAGCGGCAAGGAAGUCGAGGCCCUCAAGGCCAAGGCACAGAAAACAACCCUCGCUUUAGAGGAGUUGUAGACGCAUCUCUCCUCCAAGGGACAAGAACUUACCGCUGCCAAUGACGUGGCCCCGGACCUAAAAUCCAAACUUGCUGGCCUGGAGAAGAAUCUUGAAUCCGCCAAAGAGCGGGAGAGAGUCUUGAUGGAGAAGCUGACUGCCGAGAAGAUCCUCCGGAAGGAUGUCAAGAACAAGCACGAGGAGCUGCAGAAGAUGCACUCCCUAUGGACAAAUAAACUGGUUGACACGGUAGAGCGCCUUACUUCUCAGUUGAUACAGAUGGACAUGAAGAGCUGGAGAUUCACUACCAACAAUCAUGAGGUCAUCAGUGCCAUAGACCAGGUUCUUCGACGGUUUGAUUGAAGCGUUAAAGACAUAUCAUGACGACAGGAACGCCUCCUUCGCCAACGAGUCCCGGCAGUUCGCCCACAGCAUGCUCUACGCUACGCUGCUCAACCUGGUCCAUUGCAACCCAGGGCUUGACAUCUCCAAGGUCUUCAAGAAGCUGCCACCGAACACAGAUAUCACCGCCACCGACAAAAUCGUUGCUCCUUUCACCGACAAGGUCCUCAACAUUCCCAGGGUCCAAGGCGAUCACACUGAUUAAGCCCGUUAUCACAUCCAUUGUUGCACUGCCACGCGAAAGAUACAUUUGACCUUAUGUUAGGUCUGUGCCACUUUUGUGAUGUAACAUGACUUUAAAUGUAUGUAUGGACGUAUGGUAUCCCUUUAAUUUGCUUUGCCUUUUAUCCUUGUAAUGAGAACCAUGCGCAUGCCAGAACCUUGCCGGGGCACACACUAGUCACGAGCGCUUUGGGGGCGGAUCCCUAGUAGCCUGCUGAUAGUGUUGCCACCGGCAAGCUACCCUUCGACGAAUUCAAUGCAGCCACCUGAACUAUUGAGCGAACUCGAAAUAGACAAGGGCACAAAUGAUUACGGUAGGAUUCCUGCGCGUGCACGUUUCUUAUACAAACACCAAGUUCAAACAAAGGGUGUUGCAAAAAAAUUCAGGAAUAUGGAGUUGAAAAUUUUCCAAUUUAGCCUUUUCCUUUUUGCAGUCAUCUUUGUUGUGAGGGAUGGAAGAUCCUUCCCACUAUCCCCUAGGAAUUCUUGCACACUAGGAACUCUUUUAUUCAUACAUAGAAUAUGUACAAAGAUCUGCUAUGCACCGAGAAUUAGAUAGGGGAAAGGUGAAGUGGACGUCUUGCCGUGGCAUCCUUGCAAUGACUCAGGCCUGCCGGCCCUAGCAGAUACCCAAUGAACUUGCCGCUAUCCGCGAUGCUGCCGGGCACCCAACCCUGCAAGGUGGGCGCCCGUGAUGCUGGGUGCACUAACAAAAGACACAUCCAUGACAUUUUGGGUCGAACGAAAAAAAAUUAUGUCAUACUUAUGACGCUUCUAUAACGAUAAUUGUGACAAAACCCGGUAUCAUCAUAGAUGUGGUGGGCUCCUACUUCUAUGACAAAAAAUCAUGACAAAAAAUGGGCUUUUUGUCCUGGGCAGGCCAGAGACGCAGCUGCAUGACGGAAAAAAAAACCAUGGUAGAAGCGAGGGCGAGGAAAAUAUCGAGGAGUUCCCGGUUACGGUGGGUGGUCGCGGGCCGAGCGAUGUGCGUUUCUCCCGUACCGUGCGUGCGUGGGUGCAAGGCAUUGGGCUCUAACUGAACCCGAGCGAGGCGUCACCUAACUGAACCCGAACGAUUGCACUGUAGGCUACGCGUUACUGAACCCGAGCGAUCGAGCAAUUCUUUCUCUACUGAUGCUAACUGAAGCCGAUCGAUGCUACCUCUGGAUGAACAGUGAGCAUUGUUGGGGAGUUUGGAUGAACUGUUCCUCAUGGGGGUGGAUGAACAGGACCCCGUGGUGUUGCGUCUAGAUGAACAGGACCCCGAUCGAUCGAGCCGGUUGGGGCUGGAUGAACAGGACCCCGUGGAGGGCCGGAUGAACAGGACGACCCCGUGGAGGGCUGGUUGAACAGUAGAUGGUGGAGGGCUAGAUGAAUAGUAGCCCGUGGAGGGGUGGUUGAACAGGAGCUCGUGGAGAGGGCUGGUUGAAUAGUAGCCAGCGGAGUAGCGCGUGGUGGAUGCUGGAUGAAUAGGAGCCCGUGGAUGAACAGCCGCAGGUGGAGGCUGGAGGAGGUCGAUGGUGGAUGAACAGUAGCCCGUGUAGGCUGGAGGAGGUCAAUGGUGGAGAUGAACAGUAUCCCGUGGAGUCCUGUUUUGCGGUACGCCACACCCCUCCCGAUGAACAGGACCCCCGUUUGGACCGUAGCGCUCCAACACAAGUCUGUUUCCUCCAUUUUGCGGUACGCAACACCCCUCCUGAUCAACAGGACCCCGUUUCAACUGUAGGAGGUCCAACAGAACUCCGUUUCCUUCAUUUUGCGGUACGCCAGACCCCUCCUGAUGAAUAGGAUCCUGUUUAGAAUGUGGCCGGUCGAACACAAGGCCGUUUCCUCUAUUGUGAGGUACGCCAGGCCUCGCUUCCAUCGGCUGUUCCGUCCAAGCCCUCCUGAUGAACACGACGAUGCAUUCCGUGCCGACCCAGCUGGCUGGCUCCCCAUGAACAUGACGACGACGUUGUUUCUUGGUUCUGGCCCAGCCAUGUAUACGAGCCCUGGCCGUAUGUAUGCGCGAGUAGGCGUUCGAGACCCCGCCCGUAUGUACGUACGUGGCCGUAUUUUCUUUCUUGCACACUGGCCACUAUACAUACAUGUACAUGCUACGUGCGCGCCUCUACUACAACAAGUGAGCGCCUCUACAUCGACCAGUAUGUACAUACACGUUCACAACCAGAAUGACAACGCUACGUACGCUUUGACCAGGUGGGUCCCCACCGUCAGGCACUUCCUUGCGUGCGAAGAUGGAGCUGGUGGGUCUCAGCAGUCAGGGGGGUGAAUCAUUUUUUUUUGCCCAGAAGCACUUCCUUGUGUGCGAAGAUGUGGCUGGUGGGUCCCAGCAGUCAGGGGGAAAACGUUUUUUCGUGAAAUAUGGUUGCCCGUCCGGUGGGUCCCUGCUGUCAGGUGGAGGAAUCAUUAUUUUCUGCGUAAUAAGUAGGCACUUCCUUGCUGCGGCCGUGGACCCAGCUGUCAGCCUCUCCACGUACAGUACUCUUCCGAUGGAAGUCGGGCGUUGACCACAUUGACCACGCCGCACCAAGAGCGCCAAGGCGCUGGACGACGCCAAGGCCUAGGAAGGGGAUGACGCAGAGCCGGGGAAGAUGUGACAGUGGAUGCCCACGCGGAGAGGAGUAUGAGGGUUCACUGGUUCGGCUGCGGUAUGAGGUUGUCGUCGCCGUAGAAUAACAGGGGGUGUGGGUGAUUAGAGGGAUGGCCUGGCCGGCGGUGGGAGUAGUAGGGGGCGGUGAAGCCUCUGUGGCAUCAUAGCCGGCCACGGGAGGCAGGAGCACGCGGCACGACCGACGCUAGUUUGGGCGGCUGGAGCAAGAAGACCAGAGGUUGAAGAAGCACUACGGCCGUUGGAUGAACAUCGUAUGGUAACUGGAGCUAGAAUCGUUCAUAUUGACUAAGUUGACAAAGCCCUCCGUCACCGUUAACUUGGUAGGCCCACAAGUCAGCCUCCCACUAUGCUGGGUUCCAGCUGGCAGGGGGAGUAUUCAUUUUUUUGUGCGUAAUAAGGAGGCACUUCCUUGCGUGCGAAGAUAGCUGGUGGGUCCGACCUGUUAGCGGGGGACACAUUUUUUCGUGAAAUACAGAGGCCCUUCUGGUGGGUCCCAGAUGCCAUGUGGAGGAAUCAUUAUUUUGUGUGUAAUAAGGAGGCAUUUCCUUGUGUGCGGCCGUGGACCCAGCUGUCACCCUCUCCAAGUACAGUCCACGUCCGAUGGAUGCUGUUCGUUGACCACGUUGACAAGGCCGCGCCAAGAGCACCAUGGUGGUGGACGAUGGCGAGGCCUAGGAAGGAAACGACACGGAGCCGGGGAAGACCCGACAGUGGUUGCCCACGCGGUGGGGAGUACAAGGGUUUACUGGUCCGGCUGCUGUCACCGGAAAAUAACAUGAGGUGUCGGUGAGUAGAGGAAUGGCCUGGCCAUCAAUGGAGUAGGGUGGGGCGACAUGGCCUGUGCGGCAGCACAGCCAGCCACGGGGGGCGGGAGCAGGCAAUCCCACUGGCAGGUUUGGGCGGCUGGAGCAAGAAGAUCAGAUUAUUAAAGAAGCAGCAUGGCCGUUGAAUUAACAUCCAACAGUCACUGCUGCUAUAAUCGUUUGUGGACUAAGUUGACAAAGCCUUUCUUACACGUCAACCUAGUAGACCCACAAGUCAGCCUCCAAAUCUGUCCCAAAUAGCAUACAGCCCGAAAUUUCUAGCCAGAUUCAAAUUAAUUUUAAAACUAAAUGUACCUUAAUUUAAAUUCAAUGAAAUUUUACCCGCACAAAAACAAUGAAAUUUAAAAUAUCAAAAUCCGAAAGAAAAAAGUAUUUUGGAACUAAUUGCAUGUUUGCUGUAUUUUUUAUUUUACAACCCAUUUAUUAUUACUUAUAGCCCAUUUCGUAUUACUUAUAGCCCAUUUUCGGGGGGAAAUGCAUCCCUCCUCGUCUUGAAAGAUUUCUGGCCCAGCAGGGCAUAGAAAAGAAAGUAGGCCUACGUUGGUUAUUCUGGUAAAAACAAAAUAGCUGGCUGGCCAUUUUCAGAAAGGAAAAAAACAAACUGGGCUGGUCAUGUGCUAAACAUAUGAAAUAAAAGCCUGGGCUAGACGGGCCACAACUCCCGCACAACCCAGUUGAUACCCUUCUCCGUCCCGAAAAAACAAAAAUACUACGCGUGCUGCUGGGUCCCUAUUGUCAUCCUCACCAUGUAUAGUCAUCUCCUUAUUCCUCUCGGUUGUUGACCAUGUUGACAACACCGGAGGGCGGCGCCGCGGUGAGCGAACCAAGGCGGAGGACGAUGGUGAGGCCUCGGAUGGGAAUGAACAGGAGCCUGGGAAGAUGCGCAGAGUUUUAGGGUGCGAUGUGACCAUGAUGCAUGUGAGGCGGCACAGCCAGCCGUGGGAGGCGAGAGCAGGCGGUCCCGCCGGCGCUGGUUUGCCUUUGGCGGCUCGAGGAAGAAGAGACUGAAGAAACACGACAGACGUUGAAUGUCAAUCCAACGGUCAAGGUUUGCACAGUCGUUUGUUGACUAAGCCGACACCAAGUUGCAUACUUUUUUAUAUAUAGGAAGAAAAGAAAAACUGGGCUCGUUCGCCUGAUAACAUUCCCGAAACUGCAACCGUUCGAUCUUGUGUCGCAACUAAAACUGCGAGGAAAAUGUGUUCGUCUGUCGUCCUCCUCCCAGGGAACGUUCGCCACAUAAGUGACUAGCACCCUUGGUUUUCAACCGAGAGGUCUUGGGUUCGAGUCCUAGGAACUCUCAAUUUUGUCCUCCUUCCUUCCUCGCAAAAAAGGGAAAGAAAAUCAAACACUUGAGAAGGCGUACAGAACAUGCUAGUGUACCAGUAAAGAGAUGUUGCUGAGUUGUUCAAAAAAGAGAGACGUGCUCCUGUAGCUGGUUUGAAUUCAAACCUAGACUAUGACUAUAUAUGGUGCUAUGCUACUCUGCAAGUAAUGAAACUGACAUAUCCAAUGUUCGCUUCUCCUCUUCUCUACUUACUCUGCCUAGCAUCAGAAGCUCUGGCCGCAGCAACCAUGUUCGCUGACUACUCGUCCACCUGCUCUUCAGCAGGCAACAACCAGAUAUGCGCCAAGUCGCCACCCGUACCAUCGCUUGUGGGUCUCAUCACACCCCCGUCGGCACGCGCACCGCAGCCGGUUGCUCAUCGCAACCGAUGCCGUUGGUGUGGUGCCACUGCUACAAAUCACACAGAGUCAUCCGUCGUGUCUCAACCACAAUCCUCAACCCUGGCCAAGUCUUCUACAAAUGCCCAAAUCAUGGGGUAGUAAUAUGUUUAAGUGUUGUUUUGCUGCUUUCAGUUGCUGAUUUUUUUAAUAGUUUGGCUGAUGAUCUUCCAAUUUGAUUCGUGCAGAAAAGGGAACAUUCGUGUGAUUUGUAUUUCUGGGAAGUUGCUGCAACUACGCUGAUUAUUUGGUUAGCCGAGGAAUCCCAAUACCAGCAGGUUGGGGUGUUGGACAAGUAACUGAAGGAACGGCAGAAGAGGAAGAUGCAGAGCAGAAGGGUAAAGAUGUAGUUCCUCUGAUCAUGGCCAAGCAACAGCUGCUGAAUGACCUUGACAGCAACGAGGAGAUGAAAGAGCUUGUGAAGAUAAUGGGAAAAAUCGAUGUGCUCCGUAGGAUGAUUGUCUCUUUAUUUGCAGUGUAUGUAGCACUCAUGAUGUAUUCAGUGGCUAUGACAUUAGCACUUUGCUGAAACUAGUAAUGAAUGAAACUUGUGUAGCAGGCUGGGCGUAGUGUUGUGAAUCUAAUGAUUUCUAUUAACGGAAAUCAGGGGGUAUCCCCUUUUGCUCAUAAAUAAAUAAAUGGCAGAGGCCCUUUUGGUAAUAAAUAAAUAAAUUAGCAGAGGCCCUAUCGGGUCAACUUUGUUCUCAUUCGAAGACAUCGAGCAAAUUGCAGUCCAACAGCAAACUAUGUCAUCAAAUUCAAGUUUCACAACCAAAUAUGAGUACAACUAAACAACAAUGUCAUCAUGUUUUAGUUGUCAUACAAUCACCAAACACAAAUCAGCAUACAUAACAAGUGAUGUUCUCAUAGCAAAAUAUUAAACAACACGUUCAUCGGGUUUCAAUUGUCAUAGCAAACACAAUUUCACAUAGUAGAUAAAAAAACAUCUUCUGACAGGCAAAUACGACAAAAGCAAUGUAAUCAUCAUCCGCAGCAGCAGCAUCAACAUCUUCACCAUGUGUAUCAGUCUGAAUUGUAAUUCCCCACGGUGUCAUCUUCUUCUUCAUCCUCAACGUCCUCAAACGUUGGCUUCUUCUUGAUCAACUCUUGUAUGUCCACAGCACGACAUGCAAUCUUCUCGUCGGCGUCAUUGAUGUGAUGGUUCUCAACGAUAUUAGGAACAUAUGUGUUAUCUUGUACAUCAGGAGCAGUGUAAGCAUAAUCUUGUUGUGCAACUUCAUUAAACGAAUUCCUCUGCUCAAACCUUUGCAAUACUCUCCAGUCAUCGCUACGUGCAAAUGGGUGUUCCAAGAAAAAUAUCCGUGUUGCUUGAUUUGCCAAAAUAAAAGGCUCGUUGGUCUAGUAUGCCGCCUUGACAUUGAUGAAUUUGAAAUAAUCAUCAGCUUUGGGUUUUGCGAUCCUGGAAAACAGGUUAUACCAACGACAGCACAACAGAACCACACACCGAUGAUCCUCGGAACUGGAGAUAUACUAUAACUGAACAAUGUCUGUUUUGUUAGCAUACAUUUCAGUUGUCUCUUUGUCAUACGUAUCCGUGCUCAUGAUGGCACUAUUUUCUGUCUUCCUGCCUUCAUUUCGUGCAAGGGUGUUGUAGCGCACAUCUCCAACAACGCAAGAUUCAUAAUGUCUUACCCGAGUAUCAGGACCCAUUGCUAGUGAGUAAAGGGCAUCAUCAACUGCCUGCCCAUCCUCCUGCAUCUUCUUAACCUAUGGUUAGAAAAUAGACAAGCUGAUCAUCUUAUGUACUCAAUAUAUUAAAAAAACCUGACAGUGCAAUUCAAAAGCUUCCAUGGCUCUUGAACCAUUCGCAAAUCCUGCCAUAACCAGUUUGUCAAUGUUUCUUGCAUUUUGCGGUAGUAACUCCUUUUUGUAGAUGCUCCACAACAUACUGAUCACGUCAAACAUCUAAAUAUAUAAGAAUGUGCUGCAAGUUUAGUAGAUUACGAUGUAUAAGAUGCAGUACUUAGCACUUACUUGAUAUAAGGUAGUAUCUCAGGACAGUUAUUCAACACAUACCAAACCAUUUUGUCCAAAUCUUUAGGUUUGUCCUCUUGUCGACUCUUCCCUGUAACUCGAACAGAAUAAUCGAAAACAUUGAGCCUGGGAUUGUCUUCACCCACCUCUUUGCUAAGCUGAUCAGCUGUUUCAAUGUAUUUUGAGCAGAAUGUCAACGCUUCUGUAGCAAUGUAGGCCUCUGCAGUGGAACCCUCGGGUCUAGCUCUGUUCCUAACAUAGCCCUUGAAAGUGCCUAGCCGCCUUUCAAUAGGGUACAUCCAACCAUACUGUACCGGACCUCUAAGUAGUGCCCCAUCAGGUAGAUGAAUAGCCAAAUGCACGAUCACAUCAAAGAGGCUAGAUGAUAUAUCUUCUCAAGGUCGCAUAGGAUAACAUCUUGUCUCUAAGACGCUCCAAAGCAUCUAUACUGAUAUUUCUACUACAGAGUUCCCUGAAGAAUUGUCCCAACUCUGCAACUGCUCUGUAUAAGUCAGGGCGGCCCAAUCCUCUAAGGAUAACAGGUAAAACCCUUUGAAGUAGGACGGGGCAGUCAUGAGUUUUCAACCCUUGUAAGUUGUUUCCAUCUGCACUGACUCUCCUUUCAGGGUUGGAAGCAAAUCCAUGUGAGAAUCUCACACUUGACAAGACCUCGCAAAAUUCUUUUCUUUUUACCUUGUCCAAGACGUACACAGCUGGUGCCAUAUCCCGUGGUUUACCAUCAUCUUGCACCUGCAAAUCCUGUCUGAUACCCAGGUGUGUCAAAUCAAUCCUAGAUUUUAAGGUAUCUUUCGUCUUGCCUUCAAUAUUAAGAAGUGUGCCGAUAAUGUCAUCACAUAUAUUUUUCUCGAUGUGCAUCACAUCAAGAUUAUGCCGCAGAUCCAAAUCUUUCCAAUACUCCAAGUCCCACAAAGUGGACCUGCGGGUAAACAAUAAUCUCUCUUCUGCCCUGCCACGCUUCCUUUUCCCGUUACCAUUACCAGGAUGGUUUCCUGGUGUAAUAUGCCUGACCUUAUCUAAUUCCACUUGCAACUCAUUGGCGGUGAGCCUCUUUGGUGCAUCAUGGUUUUCAUGCUUUGCAUUGAACACAUGUCUUCGGUAUUUUUUAGGAUGCAGCUUUUCCUUGGCAAGGAAAAGGCGGUGUCCAAUGUAACAGAUCUUGCUAAGUAUUGCGUAUGACAGCAGAUUCCUGUCACAGCGAACACAUGCAUUGUAACCAUGUGUCGUUCACCCUGACAUAGUGCCCAAAGCCAGAUAAUCAUGGAUGCACCAAAUUAUAACAUCACGCAGAAAGAAAUCAGCUGGUGGGCUGCUAUAUAGGUCUCGAGUGAGAACACCCCUCCAUAGCUGUUGAAGUUCCUCCACAAGAGGCUCCAUGAACAAAUCAAAAUCCUUUCGAGGACUUUUUGGACCUGGGAUGAGCAAGGCCAUCAUGUAGUUUGAUUCUUUGGUGUAGACAUUUGGAGGCAUUUGUAAGGGAUAACAAGCACUGGCCACAUGCUAUAUGUGGCGCUCUGAUGGCCAAAUGGGUUAAAUCCAUCUGAAGCUAAGCCAAGUCUAAUGUUUCUCGAGUCAGCAGCGAACUUUUUGUGUUUAUGAUUGAAGCUUUUCCACUCACUACCAUGAGGUGGAUGGCUCAUUACAUUCUGAUCUCUAUACUCCUGGUUCCUAGAAUGCCACAAUACAUCCUCUCUUAUUUCAGCAACAUGAAACAACCUCAGCAAUCCUGGUAUAAUUGGAAAAUGUCUCAGAACAUUAUGAGGAAUCCUCUCCACAGCAUCGCCAUCUUUCCAUCUUGAUGAUUUGCAUUUCGGGCAUUCACUUAAGUUGGCAUAAUACUUCCAGAAUAGAACACAAUUAUUCUUACAAAAAUGGAUCAUAUCAUAUCCUAUUCCAACUACACGAAGGAAAUUCUUCAUUUUACUGUAGGUGUGUGGCAGCUCAGACGCAUCUGGGAAAGAUUUGCAGAAAGCAGCCAACAUCGCAUCGAAUGAUUUGUUGGUCAUCCGCUCAGAUGUCUUCACCUGAAGAAAGGUGACCAUAGCUGAGAAUACUAACAGCUUAUUUCCUGGGGUGACAACCACGUUGCAUUGUUCCAACAUGCGGGCCCACCAUUUUUCUUCUGCAGGUGAAAGUUCAUGGAAUGCACGAGCAUUUCGUAGCAUUGUUUCAAUGUUGGUCAAACUCACUGGCUCCGCCACCACCACCACCUCCUCCUCUUCCACCUGAGCAUCAGGCAGACCAAGAUGGUGAUCUGCUGCUUCCACGUAGUCAAUAACAUUGACGUUCACAGCUUCACCAUGAUGAACCCACCUAGUAUAUGUCAUCGACAUCCCAUACAAGUGUAGAUGAUUUUGCACAGUUGACUGGGGUCUUGUAACUGAAUUCAUACAACUGCUACACGGGCAGAGCAUAUCUGAUUCGGACCACCGUACUCGGCUCUGAUAAAGUUCAUGAAGUUUUGAACCCCCUCGACAUAUGCAGCGGAGAAUCUUUGAGCAGAAGUUAUCCAACUCAUGUCCAUCUAUUAGACAUAGAAAUUAGUUCUUCUACUAGAUAUUAUAGGAAAAACAUAUAUGCUUUUUUAUGAAGUCCAAAAAAAAUACCUAGGUCGAUGUCUAAAGCUAUGGAAAGAUAUUUGGACGAGCAGAUCUAAGUAACGAAAUAUAUGUAAAGCUAAUUCAGCAAAAAGAUUCGAGUGCUCAAUUAUGGCAGGCUGUUUCAGCAGUCAAUGAGGCCGAGCACACAGCCAUCAAACUAUCGAAGGCCAACGCAGCAACAAAGAUCGAGUAUAAAACAGUGUAGAGCUAUUUCACCUAACAGAUUGGCUACUAGACCAUGGCAAUCUACGUCACAAUAAAUAUAUGGCAGUCUAUUUUAGCAACUAAUCAGCCUUGGCAUGCCAUCUCAGCUAAGCAGCUUGAGUGCAGAACAGGGCAAGAAAGCUUCUUAAGUAGAGCAUAUUGACUGUAAACUACUUCGGCAAACAGUGAGAUUAACAGCGUCUAUCAGCUAACAUUCAGUGCUACACCGACAUGCACGGGGCCUCAAUCUAGUUAGAAUGCGCGUACCAUGGGAGAAGCUGACCACCGUGCAUCUCCACACGAAUGUCGUCAGCGGUGGCGGCGCUGAUCGUCGUGCGCCUCCACAAGAACGUCGCCAGCGGUGGCAGCAUGGCUAGAGGACGGCAGUCUACGAGAGCGUACUGUGGGAGCGAGAGGAUCACCGUGCGUCCCCUCGACAAACCGCGGCAUCGACGUAUCGGCGGCGGGGAGGGCGGCUUUGGCGGAGCGAAUGGAGUGGAGGGGGCGGGGGGAGGGGGUUUGGGGAAUAUUAUUGAUUAGUUGGCUGAAGGGCGGUUGAAUUUAGGAUUUGGGGGGAAUUUUGGGGGAGGAGGAUUUUCACGCGGUGGGUGGGGAGAGUUUGGCGCAUGGUCGGUUUCUCCAAGUGCAGUCCCACGUGUCAGUGAAGAGGCAAGCCGAAGCGCGUUCCGUUUGCGUGAGCCGUGUGCAGGACCGAACGUGUGUGGGGUGCAAUGCGACCGCGACAGGGGUGCUGUGAGUGUACCGGCUUUUUCCUUUUAAACUAGGUGCUUUGCCCCCUCAAAAAAAACUUGGUGCUUUGCGCGAUCCAUCGAUACUAAUAAUAGUAAUCCUGUAAUCCCGACUAAAAUGGAGCGGCCGGGUCUUUUCCCGCGCGAUAUGCUGGGAGGUUGGCUUAGUUGGGUUUUUUAGGACGAGUAAUGCUAUACCUAUGUAAUCCCAGUUACGUAAUUAACGUAAUGUGAAACAUGUGAGCUAUUGAUUGUAGAUUGGGGGAGGGAGGGGCCCACUGUCGGAUUUCUGGGUCCGGCAACUCAUGAGAGGUUCGAACACUAGGGUGCAUGCGGAGAUCUCAACCUGCCUAGCCUGCCUACUCGCGAUCCUCCCUAGCCUAGCGCAAAGAGCUCACAGAGAAACAAAUACACAGGUAUUUAUACUAGUUCGGGCCACCGUUGUGGUGUAAUAGCCUACUCCGGUGUGGUGUGGUGGAUUGCCUCGAGAGGCUAUGGAAGAACUACUACAAAGGAUGAACAAGCCUUAGGAGGUGAGGUGUUCUUGAGCUGGUUGGUGCUCGAGGUGGAAUGGAUCUCCUCCUAUGGUGGUGGUUAAGUCCUAUAUAUAAUGCCUUGGUCCUCCUCCCAAAUAUGAGCGGGAAGGGAUUCCACAACGGUGGGAUUUGAAAGGGGACAAGAAGUAUAGUCUUUCCUGACAAAAGUAGUCUUCGCCUGUGAAAAGCCCAUUGUCGUGACGCUGCGGUGGGCUUGGUGAUGACCUCCGUCCUGCCGUCCAGGCGGUCUUGGUCUCGUUGCACCAGAAUAGAAACCUUUGGAUGAUUCCUCGGGACUCUGCGCCUGCGGCUUGCCUCCCUUGCACCGAAGAGGAAACCUGCGCUAUGCACCCGCCUGGCCUUGGUCGUCAUGGCUCAUGUCAGCUGAGCCUCAUGAGGUAGCUGCAUACAUCUCUCCGCCCCUCAGGAACCCUCUUGAGGAGGCCAACUCCUUCAGGGGUCUUGGCGUCGUUUGCCUCGCGAGGCUUGGCCCCUCGCGAGGGUCUUGCUGUGUCGAUGUUGAAGCUGGGCCGUACCAAGCCGUCGAUGGAGCCACAUGGUGGGCCGCAGGCAGGCAGGACUGGAUACCCCCAAGUCAGGACGCCGACAGUAGCCCCCGAGCCCAAGGCGCGCUCGGACUUGGCUUCCAGGCAAAGCCAAAGGGCAAGGAUGGAGCGUCGCGGGCCCUAGCAGCCUGCGGCCCUGGAGACACAUGGCGGUUGACGAGAUGUGGGCGUAUCCGCUUCCCCAUGUUGCCUCGGCAACUGCUUCGACUUUACAACUGUGUGUUGCAUGCAAAAAGGAUCAUCAUUAGUAGAAAUUGUGGGGAGCCGAUGAUUUACCUUUUCCCGGCUAUAAACGUGCGAGCGGGUGGAACCCCUGCUCAUUUCUCCUUCGUCUUGCUCCCGCUUGCUUUUCCCCUUCUCCAUCUUGCUCUCAUGGCGCCGAUCAGGAGGUUCUCUACGGCAGAGAAAGGGAAGGCUCCUAAGGAGGUGCCAGACCCUCUCCCACCGAAGAAACGACUCCACCUCCACGGCGAUGCUGGUGCGAGGCGAGAGGUGGCCAGGCCUUGGCAAUCGAGGCCUCCGCCUGACUUCCCCCUCCCCUUGUACGCCCGGGUGCAAGGUGAAGGAGUCCACCAUCGAGCGACGCCUCGCAGAGAUGGCAGGGCCGCCAUUGCCCAGCCGGUCGCACCAUGGACCCACGCCGAAGAUAGCUCGCGUGAGUUCGUGGUGUGGGCGGUGAUGCCUCCCGAUACCUGGAUCCAGUUCUUCGCCAGCGAACUACCUCCGAUGGGACCGGUGGAGCUGUGGCUGCAGUAUGCAGGGUGCAACAGCCCGGCACCAGGGCUGAGGUCGAGGUGGUGUCAUCCGGGGACGUCUUCAUGAUGCGAGGAUGGGGCGAGGUUGCCAGGGCUUGUCGAGCGGAGGGAUCCCUGGCAAUCCACUUCGAGUAUGAUGGCGAGGCCACCUUGUUAUUCAAGGUCUUCAACGAGUGAGGCGAGCAGCUGGAGUGCUGCCCCGGAGGAGAUAGCUCAAGAGACACCAUGAUGGGCGCUGGAUAUGCCACUGCCCAUUCAGCGCUUCGUCCAGUAGUAGCGAUGACUCAUGGGAAUCUAGCGACUCUCCUGAGCCCAGCGACUCUCCGGAAUCGAGCGAUGACAACUACAUGCCGCCGAGCUCCCUCCGGGGUAGGAGUGCUGCCGCGGCUGCCGCCCGGCGUCCUCAGCAACGCCGCCAGGCCCUGUAGUCAUUUCUCCUGCGCGAGACGAAAAUCAGCCCCCGUGGGGCUUGUAAGGACCGAGAUGUACCCAAGAGUAUUGUUAUUCCUUUUGGCUUUGUAAUGGACGCGCGUAUCCCAAUCCGGCUGAGUCCUCCCCCCCCUAUCUUCCCUAGUCAGGGUGGCGCUCUACGCCGGCAGGACCCAGUCCCCAGGCAGGCUUCAGCCAUUACUAGUAUGCCAGGUCGCGAUGCCGUGGGCAAGGCUAGGAGGUGAGCGGCCCGAGGUCCGGUAAGAGCUCAUGAGACGCGAUGCUCAUGAGGUCCCCCUUGGCGUGCAAGCAGCUGCGCAGAGAGUUGAAAAGGGGAGUUGAACCGCCCAAGUGGAACUGUAGAGUGAGGCGUUUGGAGCGAAACUAGUGCCGUAGCAAGCUGAGACUUAUCUUUUGCGGUCUGAGCCCAUUGGAGAGGCAAUGCUUGUCGUCGAGCCUGUGGUGCCAUCAGGCGCAGCCCAUCCUGGACACCCUCCUACCUCGCUUGCCAAGAUGCCCUACAUUCUCGGGACCCGGCCCUUGAGCGAGCUUAGUCGCCGCUGGUAUGCCAGGUCGUGAUGUCGUGCUCAAGGCCAGGGGUGAGGGCUGGAGAGCCAAUAGGAGCUCCCGAGGCAUGAUGCUCGGGAGGCCCCCCUUUUAACGUGCAAGUGACUCACGAGGCUAGACAGUGGUCGUCCGGGCCGACCCUUGGCUCAUUGUAGAGUGAUCCUACAAGUCAAAUGACAAGGGAGGCCGAGAGCUCCAAGCCUGAGGCGGAGGCACCAAGGACCCUACGAGGUCAUGUAUGCGAAGUGGGCCGCGAGCCAGAGCUUGAUCCCCGAGUUUAUCAGUGUUGCAGGGAUGGAUCCGAGCACAAGCGUUGUGCCAAUGUGUGUGUUAUGCAGGAAUGGCGUUAGUCACAUGAAUCAGGGCUGUGAGGCGGAGGUCGCGAGGUGACAAUCAUAGAUAAAUUCAUGGAAACGAUUAGAUAAUCCUGGUGAGCGCAAAACGAUACACACCAUAGGGCAGACCCACACGGCCCAGGGAUGAUGCAGCCCGAAGGCGCCCCCAAAUUGGAUGAACUAGGAAGAUGUCACCUGAUACCGUUGUUGAAGAGUUGUUGAAGUAGCCAAAAAACGCGUGUUGUUGAAGCCGUUCCUCAUGAGUCGCUCCGGUGCCGGGCCUCGGGAGGCUCGGAGGGACCAGAAGGCUCCUAAGGGUGCUCCUCCAUCUUCGCCAGGAUCGCCUGGCGCCUGGCAUCACAGGCCACUUGAGUGUCCCUCAUGCAGCGCUGGAACACCUCAGCCGUGCCCUCCAGGCCGAAAGGCAUGCGGAUGUAGUUGUGAGGCAGUCCCUCGCAUCGACCGACACGAGACGGCAACAUGAGUUGCCGAGAUGUGGCCUUGUUGAGCCCAGGCACUUCGAUGCAGACGCGGAACUCUCUACCCUCACUAGGGAAGCAAGCUCUGCCUCGCGGUAGGUGACGAUCGCCUUGCAGAACCCUUCCUUCCUAAAUCUCCUCGAUCGCCUUGCCGAUGAACUCCUGAACGCCUGGUGCCUCACGCCUGUUGCCUUCUCCUAGGAAGCAUGCUCUGAAGAGCGCCUCCACAUGGUGCUCGAGUGCCACUCUCGCGACAUGGUCUAAGUCUGAGGCCCUCCAAAGGAGAGCCCCCGAGCCCAGCUUGAGAGGGGCACCGGGCGCGCCUUCCUAUGCGAUGGGUGAUGGUUCCACGUCUGGAGACGCGAGGCUCAGCGCUACGUCCUCGACUGAUGCUUCCUCACGAGACCCCUGGCUCAGUUGCAGCUUCUUUGUCUUGGGGGCGACCUCACGAGGGAGCGCGCCAUCUUCAUCUUUAGGGUUUUCAACUGCUGUAGCCUAGAAAGCGCGCUCGAGGGAGCACACCGCAUCCCUCUCCUGACGGGUGAUCAUGAUGAUGCCGCCGCUUCCUGGCAUCCUGAGGAUAUUGUAGUCGUGGUGCAUGGCCGCCAUGAACUUGGCCAGCGCUGGGUACCCAAGGAUGGCGUUGUAGGGCAGGCGGAUGUCGGUGAUGUCGAAGUCAAUGAGCUCGGUGCAGUAGUUGUUGUGCUCGCCGAAGGUGACCGGGAGGCGAACCUGCCCGAUCGGGUGUGUCAAUCCGUCGGUCACUCCUGAGAAUGGCUUGGUGGGGUGCAACUGGUAGUAUGGCACUUGGAGUCUGUCAAAUGUCUGAACCGAGAGGACAUUGAGCCCUGCUCCGCCAUUGAUGAGGGUCUUGGUGACGGUCACGUUGCUAAUGACGGGGGAGCAGAGCAUGGGGAGCGCGCCAGCGGUGGCCGCGCACUUGAGCCAGUCUGAGGAGUCGAAUGUGAUGGCGCACUUGGACCACUUGAGAGGGUGAGUUGCCUCAAGCUUGGGGAGCACUACAUUGACCUCGCGCGCAAACUGCUUGAAGAAACGGUAAGAAGCUAGGGCUUGUGAGCCACCCAAGAUGCAGGCGAUGGCUCGCGGCUCCUGGAAGCCCCCAGCCCCCUCGUCCUGGUGGUGAUCUUUGUUCCUUCUUGGUGGUGGAGGCAGAGGAGGCAAAGCUGCAUUGUCCUGAGGGCGGUCCUCACGAGGCUGCUCCCUCCAGUUGCCCUCGCGAGGUUGGUCCUGCCAGCGGUCCUCACGAGGCUGGUCACGCCACUCCUGAUGGCAGUCGCGUCCAUCCCAGCGUCCUCCAUCUCAGCCACCUUCGUGAUCGUAGCCCCGAUCAUUGCACUCGGGGCGUCAACUGAGGCGCCCGUCGCGGAGAGCCCUAAGCUCCUGGCAGUCGCUGGUGUUGUGGCUGUAGACGUUGUGGAAGGCACAAAACGGCUGCUUUCCCUUGGAUAACUCGGGGUGGUCGCAGCCGCACUUGGUCUCUGGCUCUACCGCAAGCACGGCUGGCCCCUUGCGCUUCAUGUCCUUGGUCUUGGUCUUCUUGUCUUCUGGAUCAGCAUCAGGGAGCUCGAGGAGGGAGAGGCGUCCCUCCUCAGCCCUCGCACACUUGUUCGCCAUGUUGAACAUCUCGAGAGCAGUGCAGAGGUCCUCGUGGAUGGCGAGCUCCUCCUUCAUCUUGAAAUCGCGGACACCAUCGGUGAAUGCAGAGAUGAUGGCCUCGUCCGACACCUUGGGGAUCUUGAGGCGGACAUUGUUGAAGUGUUGGGUGUAGUUAUGCAAGGUCUCCCCAGGGUGCUGCUUGACGCGGCGCAGGUCGCCUGCGGCCGGCGGACGGUCGUGAGUGCCCUGGAAGUUGGCGAUGAAGUGGUUGCGCAUCUCCUCUCAGGAAGAAACCAACCCCCCGGUCAGGUUCAGGAGCCAAGAAUGUGCACCAUCCUUGAGGGCCAUCGGAAACCAGUUUGCCAUGAUCUUCUCGUCGCCAUUGGCCGCCUCUAUGCUCAGAUCGUAGAGCUGCAGGAACUCAGCAGGGUCUACGGUGCCGUCGUAGCAUGGAGGCAGGUCAGGCUUGAACUUGCUCGACCAGACGAUGUUGCAGAGCUCUGCAGUGAACGCAUGGCAUCCUGCCGUGGCCACCGAAGGUCGUCGAGGGGGUGGAACAUGGUCCUGGUGCAUGCGCACCGCCCCCUCCUGUGGAGGCUCGCGAGCCUGGUGCUGGGGCGCUGGAAGCAUGCGCGCCUCUCCUUGGGGACGUUGAACCACCUGGCAGCUCAUGUUGUCCUGAGUCGGUGUUGGGCGCUGCGGGUCACGCCAUGGAGCCACACGCCUUGGCUCGACGAUGGCGCCCCGCGCCAGAGGAGGAAGAGGAGCCCCGUGCGUGAUGUCGCCCGCUACAGGUGGUUGCUGAGGCAGCGAGUGAGUCGGCCUGUUGGAGCCCCCGUGCACGAUGUUGAUGAGCUCGGGGACGCGCUCGAGCCAUUCCUAGUAGAGAUCACCCACGAGACGGUAGCGAAGAAGCUCCCGCGCCAUGAGCAGGGCAGCCUGCGCGUCCACCUGGCCGCGGCACGCAUGGGACGACGAAGCUGCUGGGGUGAGCGACGGAGUAGCGGUGCGGCCAUCGCGGCGCACUGACGGGAGUAGCGAUGAAGCUUGCUGCUCAUGGCCGGUAGGGCCCGUGGCGGCGUUGGCCACCGGAUAAGGAGCACAGCAGGCGCAGCCGUCACCCGCCGGAGCCGUCUGAGCGACGCGGGCGGCGACCGCGGCCCGACGCUCGGUGCAAGCCAUGCGCACGUCGGCCAUGGAGAUGUCGGAGCAGAGACGGAUCGAACGACGGAAGAGAGGAUCCGACGCACCCCUACCUGGCGUGCCAACUGUCGGAUUUCGGGGUCCGGCAACUCGUGAGAGGUUCGAACACUGGGGUGCGUGCGGAGAUCUCAACCUGCCCAGCCUGCCUACUCGCGAUCCUCCCUAGCCUCGCGCGAAGAGCUCACAGAGACACAAAGACACAGAGAUUUAUACUGGUUCAGGCCACCGUUGUAGUGUAAUACCCUACUCUAGUGUGGUGUGGCGGAUUGCCUCGAGGGCCUAUGGAAGAACUAGUACAAAGGAUGAACAAGCCUCAGGAGGUGAGGUGUUCUUGAGCUGGUGUGAUGCUCGGGGUGGAAUGGAUCUCCUCCUAUGGUGGUGGCUAAGUCCUAUAUAUAGUGCCUUGGUCCUCCUCCCAAAUAUGAGCGGGAAGGGAUUCCACAACGGCGGGAUUUGAAAGGGGACAAGCAGUACAGUCUAUCCUGACAAAAGUAGUCUUCGCCUACGAAAAGCCCCUAGUCGUGACGCUGUGGUGGGCUCGGUGAUGACCUCCGUCCUACCGUCCUGGCGGUCUUGGUAUCGUUGCACCAGAAUGGAAACCUUUGGCUGAUUCCUCGGGACUCUGCGCCCGCGGCUUGCCUCCCUUGCACCAAAGAGGAAACUGCGCUCUGCGCCUGCGGCUUGCCUCCCUUGCACCAAAGAGGAAACCUGCGCUCUGCACCCGCCUGGCGCCCGCCUGGCCUUGGUCGUCAUGGCUCACGUCAGCUGAGCCUCAUGAGAAGAUGCAUAGAUCUCUCCGCCCCUCAGGAGCCCUCCUGAGGAGGCCAACUCUUUCAGGGGUCUUAGCGUCAUAUGCCACGCAAGGCUUGGCCCCUCGCGAGGGUCUUGCUGUGUCGGUGUUGAAGCUGGGCCGCACCAAGCCAUCGAUGGAGCCAUGUGGUGGGCCGCAUGUAGGCAGGACUGGAUACCCCCAAGUCCAGGACGCCGACACCCACCACCAUGAAAAUCAGUGGAGGAGAGAGAGAGGCAAUUUACGUUAAGCCUUUCGUAGGUUCCUGUAGAUGUAGAAAGAUGUGAAAUGCGUGAAUGUGUAGUGGAUGUACUAUUAGAGUGCCUAAGAUAAAUUGUGUAUGUAUAGACCCUAUGUGUUUAUUUACUUCGCAUGUUAGCUUUGUCUCGGUUCAAUAAAAAGCAGAGUUGGUGAUGAUGGUGUGCCUGUCAUCCUGCAAUAUAGGUCGUCCGAUCUAUAUCUAACGGAUAGGAAGGAAACUAUGACAAUUUACCCGCACUGCUCUCCACAUUUGCAGAUAAGGCCUUCCCUCGUUCAUCCUUUUCUCCCACGAGAUCUUGAUGUUCCAUGCAAUGCACGGGCAUCUUGCUAGUACUCCUACAAUAUACUAUAUUAUUGUGAAAGUUCGUAUACACCGACCGAGAUUAAUGCAAACGGGCAGAUUUUCAUUACAUAUCGAACUUUUAUAGGACAGAAAAAUAAAAUAAACCCGACCCUAAACCUAUUCUACGACGGAGACCGACGUCCUCCAUCUGCGAUCUCUAUGUACGGGGACGGGGUUCAAGACCCAUGAAGUGAAGGUGCGGUCUCCGACGAGGAAGAGUAGAACACGGGAUAUAGACCGGCCAGUUGGCACACCAUGCCCUACCGCCUCCCAUGCCCUACUCAUCCUCGGAGGAGUCCCCGACCUUGGCGAUGCCGGACGUUGGACGGCGGCAAGUAGGACGCGUGGCUGAUGGUGCUCCCGUCGUCGGCUACCAGUGUGGCCAUCGCUUGUGCGGUCGCGUCCGCGUCCAGCUACGCCGCUAUUGCGUCGUGAGAGGCGACUUGAGCGAGGGCGGUGACCUCGAGCUUCAUCCCCGAAGACGAGCUCUCCCAUAGAGUGUUCUCACUUUCGGUCAUGGCGGAUGUGAUGCCAGGUAGGAGGACGAUGCGCUAUGGUGUGGAGGUUAGCUAGGCGUUUCCGCUUUAAGUAGCGCAUUCUGGUGAGGCCAAGCGCCGGUGCGUUAGUAAGUCGCCGCAGUUGGUUCCUCGGGCACCGAGCCUCUUAACAACGGCAUACGGACGGACGGCAUGAAUGCGGGUAGCUGGCGCAGGCUGGGAACGCACCGCACGACAGCAUGAGGGAUGAGGGCUUUUGGUGUGCCAGGGUAGUCAGUUGCGGCCGUGGCAACGUUAGAGAUGCCCUUUGCUCACAUGCGAUCCCCGCAUGUCACUGAAAAAGCAAGACGACUCGGCAUGGUCUCAGGUCUUGAGGAUGCAGUUGGCCGCGCUACACCACUCCGCGGACGCGUCACGGCGCCCCGUGCAUCCUCGACGAGCCGGGUGUUGGGGGUGUGUUUGGAUUGUGGCCAAAGUGCACCUUACAAAAAAAUUCUUGCCAAUGUCGGCCAAAUCAUGGGCAACCAAAAUCUCAACCAAAAUUUCGGCUACCCAAUGCUCUGAUGGGGCAACCUUGGGCACAAACCAAACAUACUGUUGGUCGUGCCACGGCACUAACACCACCCUCGGCACAUGAAACCGACCGUUUCUAGUGAUGAUGAGCAUGUCGCUCACCACGGUUGUCGUGUCUAGAGGCGGUGCUAGAGCUGCGCCACAUUGUUGGCCCCCACGACCCACAUGAACGGUUGCCGGUGGUGAGGAGGUCUUGGGCCAGCUCCUCCAUUGGACUAGUCUGCGCUAUGUCGGCCCGACAAGUGUGCCCCACAUAUCGGUUUCCCUGUUUUCCCAGCCAUAUUCGAGCGUUAGUGCUCCACGUUGCGCAUUAGGCCUUUCACUAUGUAGGCCAAGCGAGACAACUUAUUAUUUAUUUGAGCCGUUCAAGUAUAAUCAUGUGGCGUUUGCUUAUUUCUCAUUCCUCUCCAACCCUCUUCUCCAUCGAUCAUGUCGCCCUCUGGUCGAGUCCAUCCUCUCGCAUGCCUCAUUUGAACAUUCCGCUGAAUAUCAUUCGCAUGUGGGCCCAGACCAUGCUUGUAUUUCCAAUGUUGUAAUUUGUCCGACAUGCAUACAAACAAACGGUUCGUUUAAAUUUUCACUUUGCCUCCACUAUGUGUCACUUCGUGUCUUAGUUUUGAAAUCCCAUUCGGUUCAUGCCCCGACACAUGUUGACGAGAUCGAUUGAUGUUGAGAAAUCAAUUGCGUGCCGUGCAAGGAGAUAAAGGUUUGGUCUGUUUCUAUGAUAGAAAUGACCCGCGGGGGCGGGGGGUCUGGGGGGAUCAGAGGGAGUAUAUUGUCCGUUCAUAAGCGAAACGAACGUAUUGUACCCACCCUAGUCCUCUUUGAAUCGUUCUCCGGACCCCGAGAUGAAAUCGAGAGAGAAUGAGUGGGGGCAUGUGUGAUACCUAAGGCGGAUUCAAAAUUUUGAACCGGUGAUCAUAGCAUCCGCAAAUCAUAUAUAAAGGGUAUUCAAUGUUCGUUUCAUUUUUGAACAUACAAUAUACUCCCUCCUAUCCUUUCUAGUUUACAUAUAAGUUUUAUGUGUAGUCAAAGUAUCUCUACUUUGAUCAAACUUACAGAAAAAAGUAUCAACAUUCAACAACGCCCAAUCAAUAUUGUUAGAUUCGUAUGUACUCCUAGAUUUGUACUCGAGAUAGUUUUCAAUUUGUUUUCAACCACGUGAAUGUGCUUGUUCUAGCGCAUGCUCUUCCUAAUAGGAUUUCACCACAUAUAGCCAGUCCAAUAGUAACUUUUUUUAAGCUCCAUGUCCAAUAGCACUAGUGGAGUACUGACAACAUAUGUACUAGAGUAUGCAGUGCUCAUAGUAGUACUCCCUCCUUCCAUUUAUAUAGGGCUAUGUCGAGGAGAGAGAUGUGAAAAAGUAACGGGAGUGAGCUUUCAUGCAAGAGCCUAGUUAUAUACGCAUUCCUAGUUAAAUACAAUAAAUAUGAAGAAAGAGAUAGAGAGGAGAUGGAAAAAAGUACUAAUACAAUAGCCAACCUUAUAAUUUUUUUGCGGGAAAUAGGCAACCUUAUAGCCCACACUACUAUAUGAGUGCAUAUAAUAGAUGAUGGCUAUAGAUGACAUGGCAGUUCCUUAUAGCCAUCGACUGGCUAUAUUAUUAACCAUGCUCUAAUGCGUUUUUCAAAACCGCAUUUGACUAUUGACAAGAUUAAUAGUACAUGAGAUGUAUAAUGUGAAAAUUAUAUCAUUGGAAGCUCCUUUCACAUACGAAUUUGACCGUAUGCUUUGUGUAAGUUGCAUGUCAUAUAUUAUUACUCUAACAUUUGGUCAAAAUUAGCCUCGAAAAACGCAUUAGGCCAUGUAUAGUAAAUGGAAGGAGGGAGUAGUAGUGGAAGUGGAUCCUCUGACGUAGGUAUCCCUGCCUUACCCUCCCUUUCGGUCACUUACUGGCGGAACCCAUGCUUGCUAGGCCCCGCAUGUCAGUUAUUCAAUGGGUUCGGCCAUGUCAGGGGAUCCUCAUCCGUAGUAUACUCCCUCUAUUUUUAUUUACUCCACAUAAAACAGAGGGGGUGGUAGUAUAAAUGACACGGGCGGGGGAGGGGGAGGGACGUCAGUUUGCUCUCAAUUGCGGUCCCGCAAACGAGAAAAAAAUGCAAGACGAAGUGUGUUCCAUUCGGUGCGACAUGGAGGGUCCAGCAUGCCGAGCUGCAAUGCGAACGCGACAAGAGCGAUGUACAGUCAAAACCGAUUGACCAGUCAUCACCGGAACCACUAUUCACACCAGAACCUUCGCUGCUCGGCCUACGCCAGCCACUGCCCUAAAACCACACCUAAUCUCCAUCCCAUCCCCCCACCUUUUGAUCCCCUAGCCCGCAUCAAGCGUCCCCUAGUUCGUCGGAAAGCCAUGGUGCGCCGCAAGAUCACGUACUACAAGAUGCUGACGCUGGAGCGCCACGCAGAAAUCGCGGCGACGGUCGGUGCCAUAGACCUCCGUUCCCAAGCUCGCUUUGCGGCGGGCCAAUCCCCGAGUUCUCUGGAGACAAGCUACAAGGAGGAGGAAGCUGAUCCAAUGUUCAUGGCGGAGGUCACGGCGCAGAAGGCCCCCGAUGGGUAUGAGACGACGGGCGUCGACUUCGUGCCGGCGUCCGAGUCCCCCAUGGUGCAGACGGACCAGCAGUUCAACCUGGCGAUACUAAAGGAGGACCGACAGGCAGAGGCUCAACUCGACAUGGAGCGCGCGGAUGCCGCUACCAUUGAGGCUCUCCAACAGGCGGAACCAAAUGUCAUGGAUGUGAACCGGGCGGCGGAGGCUCAACUUGAGGCGGAUCAUGCGGAUGCCGCUGCCAUCAAGGCCCUCCUGCAUGCGGAACCGGACGUCCUAGAUUUGAAUCGGGCGGCAAAGGGUCAACUCGACACGGAGCGUGUGGAUGCAUCUCUCAUCGAGGGCCUCCUACAGGUGAAACCGGACGUCCUGGACUUGAACCGGGUGGCGAAGGCUCGACUCGACACGGAGCGUGCGAAUGCCGCUGCCAUCAAGGCCCUCCUGCAGGCGGAACCGGACGUCCUGGACUUGAACCAGGCGGUGCUCUCAUCCGUGCAGAGCGCCCACACGCUCCGCGUGAAUGAGUAGCUGGAGGCCAAGGACAACCAUGAUGCAUAGACACACAUCGACAGCUACGGCUGGUUCGCGCCGGCAGCCAAAGACGACGAGGCCGUCUCGUUCCACGAGCAGUGAUAGUUUUUCUUUAUGUUGUUGUUUUUAUGGAUCUUUUGCUAUGUAAAAACAUAUAUUGUUAUGCAAGUCGCCUGACUUGGGUCAGUCUACCAUUUCAGGCGGUUGGAUGAAUAUCCUACGUCUCCUAACCCUUCUUCCUCACCUCUUCUUCUUCCCAAACAGACCACUGCACGGGCCAUACGGAUACCCCCCAACAUGCGGUUGGAUAAACAUACUCUAUGAACAAAAAUUAUGUGUCAGCGGUAGGAUGGCUGAGUUUGGUUUGUCCACAUGCGACAGCACGUGUCAGUGAGGGUGCGUUCCCUUGGUUGGGUUUGCGGCGUGCAGGAGCGACUAUGUGAGGGUGUGGUGCGGCCGCGGCGUGCAAGAGCGACCAUGUGAGGGUGCGGUGCGACCGUGACAGCCGUGCGCAAGUGUACCUCCUUUUCAUUUUGAAAACUUUAGGCAAGCUUGGCAAAAAUGUGUGGCGAAGUAUGGCAAUGCAAGGCCUAGACCGAAACAGGUCUAGUGUUAAAAAAGAAAGGUGGGGUUUUCCUUCGCGGGAUUAAUCGAUACAAAUCCUCGUUUGACGUGUGAAUUAAUGCAUAUUUUUUUCUCCAAAGCCCAAAGAGCUAACCAUAUCACUCCUCAUUGCUUGAUUAAUGCAGCGCCAUGCAAACCAACCUUCUCACUUCCGCAUGCAUGCAGGGUAUAUUAAUGUCCUUGGUUGAUAGUACGAGGCAAACCCCAUCAAUUUUGCCUCGAUUAGUGUUAGUGGCCUUUUGCAAAUUGUAAUUUUGAUAUACUGGCCUUGUGUACAAAAAAAUGGAGGUAGUAACUAUAUUUGACCUCCUUCCCCAUUGCGGUGACGUCGGUGAUAUCUCGAACGUUGUGGUUUGGCGAAGUGUGUUCGACGGAGAACACCAUUAAGGGAGACCACGGUAAGUCGUUCGCAAGUGCCGCCUGCAAGUGGAGACAACCGCCUUAUUUGCAUCUAGGAAGUCCGUUGAACCAAAGGACACGUAAAUGUACUAGUACUACUAGUACACAAUAGCGUCGUUCGUCCAGCUUAGUGCGGUGAGGUGGUUUCUCGAAGAAGACGAUGGAGAAGCGGAGUCAGCGAAGAGUGAAAUGAUGGUUGCUUCGUCCGUGCUUUGUGAUUUGACACCUCACUGCUUUGUGAUUUGUGAUAGAAGGGACAGGGGAGUGGACUCUGUGCUCUAUACUGUACAUGCGUCCAAGCACGGGAGAAAGAGGAGAGACGUUGCAUUUUUCUAUUCCUUCAAUCAAUCAAUCAAUCAAUCAGCAGCUUUGGUUCCAUCUUCUUGGCUUUGGCAGCACCUCCAUAAUGGUUCCCACGAUGCCAAAAGCUAUUUUCACAUUUGGCUACACAUUGUGGAUGCCCUUAACUGUACCACUUGGUUUUGCUCCUGUGUGCUAUCUAUACAAAUCUCAAUUAUAUUGAUCUAAAAAAUUAUAGAAUCAAGAUUAGUAAAAAGGAGGUGAUUUUGCCGCGCGGAUGGCGGGGGAGGUUUCUUAUUUUUAGAGGACAUUGUCCUGGCGGUUUGCUAACAUGCGGUCCCACGUGCCAGUGCUUUACCAAGCUGAUCCACGUCCCACAUGAGGCAGAACAACGGCAGAAGCAACACGUGGUUAACUUGAAGAAGAUGAGGGAUAAGCGGAUUCAGCAACGAGUGAAAUGAUGGUUGCUUCGUCCCUCCAACUUCUUUUUUUAGCAUUAUUACUUCGUCCCUCCAACUUAACUGCGGGAAAGGUGCAUCUUUGUGAUUUGACGCCUCAUUGCUCAUUACUACACCGGCACCAUGAGUGGGGUGCUUCACCCCGGCUGCUCUGCAUUGUAUUUCAGUAUGGCAUGUGGACCCGGUAGCUUGAUGUCCCACAUGUCGGCGAAAGGGACUAGAAGAUUUAUGAAAGCGAGCGCUCCACUCUUACGACGGAGGAGUACACGACACGACGGCCCAAUGAACUGUCAGUUGUACUGUAUAGUACUAUAGUUUUACUGUUUCGCACAAUCCAUCAAUACAAACCCGAUUAAACAGGAAAGGGCGGGAUUUUUCCCGCGUGGUAGAUGAUAAUGGACAUACAUUUCAAAGGCAAUUUUAGUGUAUGCAAACUGAAUAAUUAAGUAACUAUAUGAUAUCUAGUAAAACUAAAAACACAUAUGAUUUAUUGUGUUAGAGUGUAGUAGUAGUGUUGUAUUGCAUAGUUGUUAGAUGUAACAUGUGAGAACGUGUAGAGAUGUAGUUUUGGAGGGCCUACAGAGAGAAAAGCAAAUACGGUCACCGAACUUCAGAAUAAGCUGAUUACAGUCACUAUAUACGUUUUGCGGUGAUUAUACGGUCACUUGCUCAGGGUUGAGCAUCGGAUUGCACUCUGUUGACCGGCCAAAUAGUCUGCGUGGCACCAUAUUGACUAGUUAAAUUGACCAUGUUCCUUGUGGGUCCCACCUGUCGGUUCGCAUAGGGAAAAGGUGAGAUAAACACAAAUUUAUGCAGGCGCGACAAGACUCCAACCCGUGCGUGGGAAUCACCUAGUUGUGUAUGUGUCUGUCAGGGCCUGAUGUGUGCGCAUGCACGUGUAGGUUGAGCACUUGAACGUGAGAGUGUGUGUUGGUCGUGUUGUGUACUGGUGUGUGCAUGCAUGCAUGCAUGUGUGCGUGUGAGUGUUUCAUGCGUGCAUGGCUGCGUGUGUACGUGUGAGUGUUGUGUGCGUGUGUGGGUGCAUGUGUUCGUGUGAGUGUUGCGUGCAUGCAGUUCGUGUGCAUGCGUGCGUGUGUGUAUAAUCACCACACCAGCUUAUGUGUGUUAAAACAGACGGUCAACAUACCAAUACAAGGCCACCUUGUCCGUUGUGCCCACGGUCAUGACUUCGAACCACUGUCCAAUAUAUUUUUGUCGUUUGUUUUCAUUCUUACUAGCAAGAUGCCCGUGCGUUGCACAUAACAUCAAGAUGCAUUUGUAUGACUAGUUUAUCUUGUGAGAGAAAAGGAUGAACGAGGGAAGGCCUUAUUUGCAAAUGUGGAGAGGUGUGUGGGUACCUUUUUGCAAAAUUGCCAUAGUUUCCUUCCUAUGUCAGAUAUAAAUCGGAUAGCCUAUAUUGCAGGAUGGCAGGAACACCAUCAUCACCAACUCUGUUUUUUAUAAGAGUGUAUUUUAUAAGAGUGUAGAUGUAGAGUAGAUACAAGCUGAUCGGUGGGCCCAAUGGUAGUGAGAUAAUGUGAUACAACACUAGAGGUGCCACGUGGAGCGUUUAACUGGUCAACUAGUCGUGUCUUGAGCAAAUGCAGAGUUUUACGGUGAGCUCGUGACUGUAUAAUAACCAGAAAACAUAAAUGGUGACCGUAAUGAGUGGAUUCUGAAGUCCAAUGUACGUAUCGUGCUUUCGCUUCAAAUACAAUGAUCGUUACUGUAUAUAUCGUGAAAGAAAGAUGAAACAUGCGUGAAUGUGUUGGGGGCUUACUUUUAGAGGACCUGGAGAUAGUUUGUGUGUGUACUUGAAAGGGGCAUGGAGGGGGGUAUGCGAUGGAGAGAGAGAUGCUCUUCGUUUCUCUUUAUUAUGACUAACUUUAUAUAUAGUAUAAAAAUAUACAAAUUCAUAGUGCGGAAUAAAUAUCAUUGUGGGCACCAUGCAAUGGAAAUUAGCGUUCAUACUCCUCCAUAUAACUUUGUGAUGUUGUAUAUAUGUAGAAAUUCUAAAAUAAUUUUUUGGCCACACUUUAUUCAAAAGGAAUGUUGUAUGCGAAAUAAACGUGAAGAGAGGGCUUUUUAGAUCAAUGGGGUACGUGAUGUAACAUGUGUGAAUGUGUAGUUGAUGCAUUUGGCAGGGCCUAGAGAGGUAUGUGUGUGUAUUACAUAUUCGAGGGAGGCAUGGAUAGAGGGGCCGGCGGCGGGGAGGGGGUGGCGUGGGAGAGAUAGCACAAGAAAUGAGAGUGGUCUAGAGAGAGAGACGAAUAUGACGUCACUGCGAGAGAUUCCCUUUAGUGUGUAUAUGCAAGGGGGGAGGGGAUAGAGGCACCAGGAGAAUUUUUUUGUGUGGUGUCUGUGUUGGUAUGUGUGGGUGUGAGAAGAUAAUGAGACAUGGGGGCAGAGGGUGUGUCACCGCGUGAGGUCCGGUGGGUCGAGGUGAGGCCCUUUAUUCAGUUCCAUCCUGCGCCACAUUGGUCAGCCCGUGACGCAUUUAGGGAGACCCAUGGAUGACUAGUCGUACAAGACAAAGAUAGCAGAAUUGUGAAGGACUCUGUGUCCACUGACAAAGCCGGCUAGGAUUUGUAACCCUAGGUUCUCGGACUAAGGUAACCCCUUUAUCUAUGAUAUUACUAUUCAUCCAACCUAACUUUAAGGGGCAUCCUACAGAAUGCUCUGCUAGAAUCAUACUCGUCGAUUAGGAAGAGAGGUGUGAGACAAUGCAUGAGAGACAGGACUAAAGAUAAUGUGCGUACAGGAGACACAUAGGCAGGUCUAUGUAUAUAGAAAGGGUCGAUGGGGAUUGUGCGUGUGUAUGCUUGCGAGAGGAAGAGUGCUUGUGAUAAAGGUUAGUGAGAACAGUGGUAAAUGGUUAAGAGAGGGGGAGGGUUAUAUCGAGAGCAUGUCUGUGAGAAAGACACCUCGGGGGAGAGUGUGUGAGCAUGUGUGAGAGACCACCGAUGGAGAGUGAAACAACACAUAAAAGACUAAUGUACACAUUGAUUAAACAUAUAAAUUGUAUCCAAAUAUUAGGAUGGGAUCAUGAUAUUUGCAAUUCGCGUAAGGAACAGUCAUUGAUCCAUUAGACAUCUAGAUUCUAUCGAAUUUGAGCAUGUCUAUGUUAUUAUUCGACACAAUUGAUCCACAUAGUUAGUAUUUUGAACUCCAGACAAUGCAUCGCUUUAGCAAUCGAAUAUAAACGUGGGUAUAGUUCACGUUGUGUGUGUAAAGCACAUUAUACAUGCAAAAGUUACACAAUGAACAUUAUAAAUAGCUACCUAUGAACUAGCAUACAUUUGAAUUCAACUUAAGGUGGUUUAAAAAAAUCGAAUUCAACAUGAAGUCCAUUCAAUUAUUUGAAUUUGACAUCAUGGCAUUUGUAAAUCAUACCUAAAUUAUGGGGGCACCAAUCUUUGCUCUAAUUUUGUACGUAAUAGCAUAUGUAGUCGUCUACAAAAUAGAUUCAAAUUUAGCUCCUCUGUUCCAAAAUAAUCGUAGUUAUAGGAUUUUCAAGUGUCAAAAUUUCAAAAAGAAGCGGAUAAUUUAAUGAGGUUUUCAAACAUACGAGGUCAAAUUUAACAUUGUCUAUUUAGGUCAAUCCUCAAAGUUCAAGAGUACUCUGAACGUGAAUGCUUGUGUUUCAAAAUUUCGAACGAAGUGCCAAAAGAGCCUCUGCUCACCCGAAACCGUGUGAGACCAAUGUUUGGUAGUACAAAGAAAUUACUUUUCUAAUAACUCCGACCCGUGAAACCUACCGGUCCGACGUCCAAAGGUCUAAACCGGGCUAGGUUUGUAGCUUCAUCUAGACGCUACGCAACCGCCUCCGAAAAACAUUCAUACACAAUGGCCGCCUUAGCACACAUGCGCGCGGCCGAAAUCGCUCCCGCCCGCUAUUUGGGACACCUGGGAUUACCAUCCUACCCCCGGCCCGCAGUAGGUCUGAAAUUUAAGAGGGGGGCAAAGUUUGUACUUUCCCCAAAUUUCAAAGAAGCGUGUCCCAUCUUCUGUUCAAAAAAGCCAAAAACAAGCGCUUCCCAGACCGAAAGAUGGUUCUCCCUUAGCUCCCCCCUCCUUCACGCCCACCCGUCUGAUUCCCCAUUCAUACUCCGUGGGUGCAAAAACUACCUCUCCACCAGCCGCGAAACCCCGGCGUCCUCCGUCCGCCACCCCAUCCCACCCAUCAACCGCCACCCUCCUCCAUCACACCGAAGCCGAUACCCCAACAUCGUCGUCCACCGCAACCUCAACCACAACGCCCUCCAUGGCUAGUAGUUGAAGCCGAGGCCGAGCUGUCCGUACCCGAGCCAGUUCAACCACGUCGUCCUGCGCCUCACCGCUGCCGCUACAACUUCACCACCGUCCACCGCACCGGAGCUAUUCCUGCUAUGCCAUCCUUCGCCGCCUCGGAUCUGCUUCCCCUCCACCGAUAUACGGCCAUGGCAACACAGUCAACAAUUUGGCCAUGGGUUUGUCCAAGGAUCCACCGUUCUCCAAAACAUCGGUUCACCCGGGAGAAAAAAGAAGAUCGCCACGACAUAUGGAGGAGACCACACUAGCAACCGAUAAGGGUACUCCUAUUCCCCUAUUCUUGCAAAUCUUACGUGUCUGCUUGCACGGUAUUCAUCCCACAGAAGACACUAGUUGACCGCUUCUUCUUGAUACUAGAUGUUCCUAGUAACUCGCAAUGCACAAGGUUUCUCCUCAUAUACUAUUUCACCUUAGCUAGAGGUCUGUCGCCCCCCUAAAUUUCAAUUCCUGGUUAGUUGAUCCCCAAUUAACGGAAGCAUUCCCCGGCGUAACAGGCGCUAGUCCGCCUAUUACGCCGGGGAAGCAGCGCCUCAGUGUUUAUCUUAGGGGCGUGUGGGGCCUAGAGCUAUUGGCGCCCGAUCUGGAGGUCGGCCGGGAUUAAAGGGAUGGCCUGGGGACGCUGCCAAGCACGGCGGUGGUGUGAGGUCGAGGGGAGGGUGGGGCGGUGGAGGCAGGGGUCUGGGCCGGUGGUCGCUGGCGGUUCAAGAAAGAUCGUCAACAGUGACUGGCGGGGGUAGACGAAGGCCAUCUGCCCAUUCCUUAUAGAUCGGACGGUUCAUUAAAAAAUCGACUGACCUAUUUAUUUUCAGUCGACUGUUAUCUUGAUAUGACCACAUGUGGUGGUGUGCUGGAGGAGUACCUACUUUUCCCGUGCUCAUAUAUUACAAAAUCAUACGGAGUAAAAUCUAAUUUUGUUUGCCAUGCAAUGUUGUAGAGCUAUCAUAUGUCUCCUGUCAUUUAUUUUUUAGCCACCUGCUAGCGACCAGACCUCAAACAGUCUGAUCUCUAUGCAUCAGUGUCAUCCCUGGAUCGGUAAUGCUGACACGCACAGUACUUGAAGGAUUUAUAACAGAGUAGCAAUCACACACUUAUUACAUCGAAUGUCUCAAAAGAGAACUUAUUACAAUAAAUAUGGCUUAAGGCCAUCUAAGAAAGAUAACAGCGGAAGGCUUGGAAGAUAAAGCGAGUCCAUCAACUCCAACGGCAUCACUGAGUAUAAGACCACGACCUAAGGCACCUUACUCAUCGUCUGAAAAGUCUGCAACAUGAACGUUGCAGCCCGAAAAUAGGUCAGCACAUGGAAUAUGCUGGCAAUGUAACACAUAGAGAGUAAUGAACAGAAUAAUGCUAUCACUACAUGCAUAUAUGGCUAGUGGAAAGCUCUAUGGUUAGAGUUUUGCAUAAAGACAAUUUUUUCCUACAACAAAGGAAUAAAUUUUAUUUAACUAUCAUGGUGGUUGUUAAACAUUGAGAAGGUUCACCCAACUCAAUCCCAAUUAAGCAUCAUCAUUAAACCCAACAAAUUAAAUUAAGUAACAUGAUGAGAUUCACAUGAUAAUCUAAGUACUAGAUACUCAAAACGCCCAUAACCGGGGACACGGCUAACCAUGAUUAGUUUAUACACUCUGCAGAUGUUUGCGCACUUUUCCCCACAAGACUCGAUCUCCUCCGUUGGUUUUCUCGCACUACAUGGUGUUUGAGAAUCGGAUAACCGAGACAUAGUCUUUCAGAAGCGUUUGCACCUUACGAUGGGUAGACACUUACACCUACUUUCCCCUACAUCUGCUAGUCUACCACUGUAAGAGUUCACAUGACUUAAUCAACUAUGCUAGACUCCAUAGUAGCUUGCGGCUGCACACGGAAGUUUCUAGCAUGAAUAAUCUCAUGAUCCCUUUGAGCCUGGGUGGCAGUCCAUAGGAGAAUCACACGGUACCCCAGGAUUUCCAAAAAUACAAGCAACAUUGGGUUCCCCAGGUGCCUCAAUCCACCCAGAUGUGUAUUAAAGUUGCCACCUUAUGUAAACCAUUAAUUAACAAUCUCACAUCUGUCAUGGAUACACUCACCCAAUCCACGUCUACUAGCAUAACAUAGCAAUAUAAGCAAACGUAGAAGUAACUCCCAAAGGUUUGAUAAUAAACAGGUAAUAGCUUCUACCUCAUCUACUUCCCAAAACCCACAUAUUAAAAUUAGAUCCUAAUCAUGCAAUUGUUUGAGGACUGACCUAAUGCAAUAAAACUGGGUAGUAAAGAGGUAUGAUCAAAGUGUUACUUGCCUUGCUGAGGAUCCGUGAAACCUAGAGACUCGUAGUAGCAAGCGGCGCACUCCGGUUACUCUAUCGCAAACAAACAAGCAUACAAUAAGCACUCAUAUAAUGCACAGGUAAAACUCAAAUAAGAGACCUAACCAGAAAGUUCAUCUUAAGAACUCCGGUUUGCAAAAAGAAUCAAAUCAAACGAAGCAACGGAAGUCAAACGGUGAAAGAAACAAGCUUCGUUUACUAAUCUGGACCUAAGUCAAAUUUUACAGUAGUAAAACUUGUUUGAGUUGGUUAAACAGAAAGAGGGUUUCGAGACGAAACUCCAGGCGCUUGAAUCACCUAAUUCUGAUAAACGAGCGAAAAGUUAUACUAAAACAAAAAUUGGAUCAGAAAUCACGAUCAAAAAUAAUCGCGGAAAAUCUGAGAAAAAGAAAAACAGACGAACAGGCUAACGAGCGAAUGUUCACUGUCUGUGGCUAAACGACGAAAACCGUUCGUUAAAACGAACGUACGGACGAAUGUCCGCAAAAUAAAUAAACCGAGAAAAAACUAAACCGAUCUAUUAAAAAAAUAAACCGCGGUUUCCUAAAAAAUCGGUUUUCCGAAGAAAACCGGCCGCGGCGUGGGUGGCUACCUCCGGGGGCGGCGCGGUCCGGCGAGGGGCGGCGGGGCUCCGACAGGUGGCGGCGNNNNNNNNNNNNNNNNNNNNNNNNNNNNNNNNNNNNNNNNNNNNNNNNNNNNNNNNNNNNNNNNNNNNNNNNNNNNNNNNNNNNNNNNNNNNNNNNNNNNNNNNNNNNNNNNNNNNNNNNNNNNNNNNNNNNNNNNNNNNNNNNNNNNNNNNNNNNNNNNNNNNNNNNNNNNNNNNNNNNNNNNNNNNNNNNNNNNNNNNNNNNNNNNNNNNNNNNNNNNNNNNNNNNNNNNNNNNNNNNNNNNNNNNNNNNNNNNNNNNNNNNNNNNNNNNNNNNNNNNNNNNNNNNNNNNNNNNNNNNNNNNNNNNNNNNNNNNNNNNNNNNNNNNNNNNNNNNNNNNNNNNNNNNNNNNNNNNNNNNNNNNNNNNNNNNNNNNNNNNNNNNNNNNNNNNNNNNNNGCGAACAGCGGCGGCGACGCGGGGCAAACAGCGGCGGCGACGCGGGGCGAACAGCGGCGGCGCGCGCGGCAGUGGCGGUGGUGGCUGCGGGCUAGGGUUAGGGUUGGCGGCGGGGUGGGCUGAGGUGGGCUGGCGGGGUCGGCGCCUUAUAAAGGCCGAGCGGAGAGGAGUCCGGGUCGCCCACGGCGGCCCGAGUCGGUUCAUUUUUUUAAAAUAAUUCGGACGUGCAGAAAAAGAAAGAAAAGAAAUACUAAACGAACUCCAAAAAUCCCGAAAUAAAUUUUCCCCGUCCUCUAAAAAUAAGCCGGACAAGAUGAACAUUUAUUUGGGUCUAAAAUGCAACUUUGAAAAACACGCAUUUUUCCUAAAUUCAAAUAAAAUAGCGAUAAAACUCCGAAAUAAAAUCUUAUUUGAUUUUAUUAUUAAAUCUCCAAUAUUUCUUUAUUUUAGGAAAGUCAUUUUAUCCCCUCCCUCUCAUUUUGAUUAUAGAAAUAUUCGAAGAUAAAAUAAUUAAAAUCAAAUGAUCCUAUUUUCAAAAUUUGAGAAAAACUCAAAUAUGAAAAUAACGAAAUUCCCAACUCUCUCCGUGGGUCCUCGAGUUGCGUAGAAUUUCUAGGAUCAAGCCAAAAUGCAAUAAAAUAUGAUAUGCAAUGAUGAUCUAUUGUAUAACAUUCCAAAUUGAAAAUUUGGGAUGUUACAAACCUACCCCCCUUAAGAUGAAUCUCGCCCUCGAGAUUCGGUUUGGCUAGAAAAUAGGUGAGGGUGGUCCUUCAAUAGAUCUUCCUCUCACUCCGAGGUGGCUUCAUCUUCGGUAUGGUUGCUCCAUUGAACUUUGCAAAACUUGAUAACCUUGCUGUGUGUGACUCGACUAGGAAACUCGAGAAUCUUCACUGGUUUCUCCUCAUAGGUCAAAUCGUUGUCCAACUGAAUCGCUUCCAGUGGCACCAUAUCUCUCAGCGGUAUAUCAGCCAUCUCGGCGUGGCACUUCUUUCAACUGGAAAACGUGGAACACAUCAUGAACUCCUGACAAUCCUUCGGGCAACUCCAGCUUGUAAGCAACUUCUCCCAUACGCUCCAAAACUUUGUAUGGUCCCACAAAACGUGGCACUAACUUUCCCUUAACUCCAAAACACUUAACUCCUAGAAGUGGGGACACACGAAGAUAAACUCUGCCUUCAACUUUGUAAACUGCCUCCUUGCUUUUAGAAUCUGCAUAGCUCUUCUGCUUGGACUGGGCUACCUUGAGCCUAUCACGAAUCAACUUAACCUUCUCUUCAGAAUCUUUAAUCAAAUCUGGUCCAAACAACUGGCGGUCUCCAACUUCAUCCCACAACAACGGUGUCCUGCACCUCCUUCCGUACAGAGCUUCAAAAGGGGCCAUCUUCAAACUGGAUUGAUAAUUGUUGUUGUAAGAGAACUCUGCAUAUGGCAAAUUGUCGUCCCAACUAGAUCCAUAAUCUAGCGCACAAGCUCUCAGCCUGUCCUCUAGAAUCUGAUUGACUCUCUCGGUCUGUCCAUCUAUCUGUGAAUGAAAGGCUGUACUGAACUCUAGCCUAGAACCCAAAGUUUUGUGCAACUGAUUCCAGAACUUUGAGGUAAACUGGGUUCCACUAUCUGAUACAUUGGUCCUCGGAACUCCAUGCAGACAUACAAUCCUGGUCAUGUAUAUCUUUGCCAACUUAGCACUGGUGUAAGUGGUCUUCACUGGGAUGAAAUGAGCUACCUUCGUCAAACGGUCGACUACAACCCAUAUUGAGUCAUAGCCUGCACGAGUCCUGGGCAAUCCCAUGAUAAAAUCCAUGCCUAGCUUAUCCCACUUCCAUUCGGGUAUCGGCAAUGGCUGUAGCAAUCCUGCUGGCUUCUGAUGCUCUGCCUUCACUCUCUGACAUACAUCACAAACUGCUACAUACUCUACAAUAUCCUUCUUCAUUCCGGUCCACCAGAAAGUGUCCUUCAAAUCCAAAUACAUCUUGGUAUUUCCUGGGUGAACCGAAUAAGGCGAAUCAUGGGCCUCUUGCAGAAUCAACUUCCUGAUCUCCGGGUCAUUAGGCACAUAAACGCGGUCCUCAAACCAUAGGGUAUCGUGCUCAUCCUCGCGAAAUCCCUUAGCUUUUCCUUUGCUCAUUUUCUCCUUUAUCUCACAAUCUCUUUGUCUGCCUUCUGAGAUUCUCUAAUCUUAUCCAUCAAAGUAGACUGAAUUUCCAAUGCUGCUACAUAGCCUCUCGGAACUAUUUCCAAACAUAGCUCACGAAGAUCCUCGGCUAACUCCUUGGGUAAUUCUCCGGUCAUGAGUGUGUUGACAUGGCUCUUGCGGCUCAAUGCAUCGGCUACUACGUUAGCCUUUCCGGGGUGAUAAUGCAAUCUCAUAUCAUAAUCCUUAAUGAGCUGUAACCAUCUCGUUUGCCCGAGAUUUAAUGUACUUCAAACUCUUGUGAUCCAUGUACACCUCACAAUGGUUUCCGAUGAGAAAAUGUCUCCAUGUCUUCAACACAUCCACUACGGCUGCUACCUCCAAAUCAUGUGUAGCAUAAUUCAACUCAUGGGUCUUAAGCUGUUGUGAGGCAUACGAAACAACUGUUCCCUCCUGCAUAAGCACUGCUCCAAGUCCUCGGUGAGAAGUGUCGCAAUACACCUCAUAAUCCUUGGGCUGAUCUGGCAGAAUCAACACCGGUGAUGUAACCAAACGUUUCUUCAACUCCUGGAAACUGGCCUCACGUUCCUCAGUCCAUUUUAACUUGGUGUCCUUCUUCAACAACUUUGUCAUGGGCUUCGCAAUCUUUGAGAAAUUCUCAAUGAACCUCUGGUAGUAUCCUGCAAGUCCAAGGAAACUCCGGAUCUCUCCAAAUUUUGUGGGGGCUUCCCAAUUUGUCACAGGGACAACUUUGGUGGGGUCUACUGCUAUUCCUUCUCCGGAUAUAACAUGUCCGAGGAAUCCAACUUCCUUCAGCCAAAACUCACACUUGCUGAACUUGGCAUAUAACUGAUGUUCUCUGAGCUUCCCAAGUACAAGACGCAAAUGCUCUUUAUGCUCCUCUUCACUCUUCGAGUGGACCAAAAUAUCAUCAAUGAACACCACGACGAACUUAUUUAGAAACUCCAUAAACACCUUGUUCAUCAUGUUCAUGAAAUAGGCAGGUGCGUUAGUCAGACCAAAUGACAUAACGGUAUACUCAUAUAGCCCAUACCUGGUGGUAAAAGCUGUCUUAGGUAUAUCCUGCUCUCGAAUCUUCAACUGGUGGUAUCCUGAUCGCAGAUCGAUCUUGGAAAAUACCUUAGCUCCUUGCAACUGGUCAAAUAGAUCAUUGAUCAUCGGCAGUGGGUACUUGUUCUUGAUUGUCAUUUUGUUCAAUCCUCGAUAAUCGACAACCAUCCUCAAUGAUCCAUCCUUCUUCUCCACUACAAGCACUGGCGAUCCCCAAGGUGACGAACUUGGGCGAAUAUAGCCUUUAUCCAGUAACUCCUUAAUCUGUUUCUUAAUUUCCUCCAAAUCCUUUGUGGGCAUCCUGUACGGUCUCUUAGAUAUCGGCCAUGUGCCUGGCAAAAGCUCAAUCAAAAACUCAAUGUCUCUGUCCGGUGGCAUGCCAGGCAGCUCUUCUGGAAAUACAUCAGGGAAAUCCUUCACCACUGGUACUUCCUCCUGUACCACUCCUGAUAAGGAAUUUACUUGAGUCCUCUUCGGCACAUGCCGGGAUACAUACUUGAUUCUUCUUCCUUCUGGGGUGGUAAGCAAAAUCGACUUACUGGCGCAAUCGAUGUUUCCUCCAUACAUUGAUAGCCAAUCCAUACCCAGAAUCACAUCCAAACCUUGCGACUCCAAAAUGAUUAAAUCCAAGGGGAAAACAUGCCUACCUAUGGUCAAUGGCACUUGAAAACAUCCUUGACUGGCCAUAUACUCCGCUCCUGGUGAGCAUACUAACAUAGGUGUUCUAAGAACCUUGGUGGGCAGUUUAUACUUAUCCACAAAUCCCCUUGAUAUGUAUGGAUGCGAUGCACCAGUAUCAGAAAGAACGAUUGUAGUAAAUGACUUAACCAAAAACUUACCUAUUACUACAUCUGGCUGAGCUUCAACCUCCUCCACGUUAACAUGGUUCACCUGUCCCCUGUUGAAAGGGUUCGGCUUUUUCCCAGAGCUUCCAUUGUCGUUUCCAUUCUUAGCUUCAGGACAUUCGUUGGCAUAAUGUCCAGUCUUCUAGCACUUGUAGCAAGUGACGUGGCUCAGGUCCUUCUUGGCUGGGGUUGAUGGGUUGGUACGGUUCUGGCUUCCCAUUACCAUUCUUGGGGCCACUAUGGUUGUGUGAGCUCCCUCCUCCAUGGGUAUGCUGAAAAGGUCUUCCCAAGUUCGGGGUAAAACGAGGCUUCUGCUGAGCUCUAGAAUUGUACUUCCCUUGUCCAUACGUCCUCUUGCAGUUGUCAAUCUGCUGGUGCUUCCCUUCAAUCAUGAGAGCUCUAUCUACCAACUCCUAGUAGUUGUUGAAUGUUGCCACCAUCAACUGCAUGCUCAGCUCAUCAUUCAGUCCUUCCAGAAACUUCUCCUGCUUAGUUGCAUCUGUAGCAACGUUAUCUGGGGCAUAACGUGCUAGCUUACUAAAGUCAUCCACAUACUGGCCAAUUGUAUGUCCUCCUUAGCACAAGUUGCGAAACUCACGCUUCUUCAUGGCCAUAGCUCCUGCUGAAACAUGAGAAGUACAGAAAGCCUGCUGAAACUGGUCCCACGUGACAGUGUCGAUGGGGUAAGUGGCUGUGAAAUUUUCCAACCAUGAUGUUGCGGGUCCAUCAAGCUGAUGUGCGGCAAAACGCACCUUCUCCGCAUCUGUGCAUCCUGCAGUGCUCAACUCCCUUCCCAUCUUGCGGAGCCAAUCAUCUGCAACUAUCGGCUCAGUGCUACUGGAGAACACCAGCGGAUUCAGCCUCAAGAAACGGGCUAAGUGAUCAACACGUGGUGUUGGUGGUGGGUUGUUGUUGUUGUUCCCCUGAUUCUGAUUCUGGACUAGCAUCUGCAUCAAUGCAUUCUGCUGCUAGAUCAACUGAGUGAGCUCCGAUGGGAAAGCAAAUCCAUUGUCACGUCUCGGAGGCAUCUGAGGGUUUAGAAAAGAUGAGAAUAUAGAAUAGAAUGAGGUCUAUAGAGAAAAACACUACCCAUUAUGCACAUGAGACAAAUGCAAUCAAUAUCACUUCAAUCAAUUCAAACAAGGGCAUACAACGGUCUAACUAUCAUUACAAAAGUGAUUGGACUAUACUAUAUACAUGUGGGAAUAUUACUACUGUUAUGGUGGUCGACUAGAAGAAUUGAUUGGUCGAAGACUCCAUGAUAUCUGCUCCAGCUUCAUCAACAAAGUCAUCAUCGCUAUCGUCUGGGACCGAGUCGGUGUCGUCGAUGAUGAUAUAGUUCUCCAAGCAAGUGCAAUCAUCGUCUUCUCCUCCAGUCGCGGGGAAUCCCAUGAAUACUUUUAGCUUCUUCUUUAGAGCAUCAUUCUUCUCAACGAGUGUCGUCAUUUCCUCCUCAUAUCCAUCGCGUGUAGACUUGAGUUCUUCCUCUAGUUCCGUGAUCUUGGUCAUAGCCUUCUUCAGAUCUAUCAUGCCUGCGCACAUCUGGUUCUCCUGGCGACGAAUGUGCUGGUUUAACUCCUGGAUGAAAGCUGCAAUCGAUCUAUCCUUCCUUGUGCUGAUCAUCUCCCAUUGCUCAUCUCGGUGUCCACAAAUCUGGUAAAUGGUAUCCUUGAGAUCCUUAUGGUAAACUUCUCCAAUGCGUCCCAUGGUGAUGUGGGCUGCCAUGCUCUUUCCUAGACUCCAGGUUGGUGCAUCAAAGGAAAACUCUAUGGGCUAAGUGACUGGCAUGAACGUCCUUCCUGGAACUUGAACUUGAAUCAUCCAACGAUACUCUUCUGGUAAAGUGGCGAUGUAGGUUCCGGUGAAGCUUGGUACUCCGAUGUUCAGGUAUCUAGUGACUUCCUUCAACUGGCAUCCAAAGGGUGUAUCUUCAUCCGGUUGCCUGAACUUGUUCCUUGCAUCCGCCAUCCUAAAAGAGUAGAAAAAGGAGAGGAGUCAGAAAUGAGAAGAGAGUAGUGAUCUAGGGCUUUAGCUUAGUGGUCGUGUCCUACAGACACUAUGUGCUCUGAUACCAUCUUGUAGCGACCAGACCUCAAACAGUUUGAUCUCUGUGCAUCAGUGUCAUCCCUGGAUCAGUAAUGCUGACACGCACAGUACUUGAAGGAUUUAUAACAGAGUAGCAAUCACACACUUAUUACAUCGAAUGUCUCAAAAGAGAACUAAUUACAAUAAAUAUGUCUUAAGGCCAUCUAAGAAAGAUAACAGCGGAAGGCUUGGAAGAUAAAGCGAGUCCAUUUACUCCAACGGCAUCACUGUGUAUAAGACCACGACCUAAGGCACCUUACUCGUCAUCUGAAAAGUCUGCAACAUGAACGUUGCAGCCCAAAAAUGGGUUAGCACAUGGAAUAUGCUGGCAAUGUAACACAUAGAGAGUAAUGAACAGAAUAUUGCUAUCACUACAUGCAUAUAUGGCUGGUGGAAAGCUCUAUGGUUACAGUUUUGCAUAAAGCCAUUUUUUCCUACAACAAAUGAAUAAAUAUUAUUUAACUAUAAUGGUGGUUGUUAAACAUUGAGAAGGUUCACCCAACUCAAUCCCAAUUAAGCAUCAUCAUUAAACCCAACAAAUUAAAUUAAGUAACAUGAUGAGAUUCACAUGAUAAUCCAAGUACUAGAUACUCAAAACGUCCAUAACCGGGGACACGGCUAACCAUGAUUAGUUUAUACACUCUGCAGAGGUUUGCGCACUUUUCCCCACAAGACUUGAUCUCCUCCGUUGGUUUUCUCGCACUACAUGGUGUUUGACAAACGGAUGACCGAGACAUAGUCUUUGAGAAGCGUUUGCACCUUACGAUGGGUAGACAGUUACACCUACUUUUCCCUACAUCUGCUAGUGUACCACUGUAAGAGUUCACACGACUUAAUCAACCAUGCUAGAGCCUAGUAGCUUUCGGCUGCACACAGAAGUUUCUAGCAUGAAUAAUCUCAUGAUCCCUUUGAGCCUGGGUGGCAGUCCACAGGAGAAUCACACGGUACCCCGGGAUUUCCAAAAAUACAGGCAACACUGGGUUCCCCAGGUGCCUCAAUCCACCCAGAUGUGUAUUAAAGUUGCCACCUUAUGUAAACCAUUAAUUAACAAUCUCACAUAUGUCAUGGAUACACUCACCCAAUCCACGUCUACUAGCAUAGCAUAGCAAUAUAAGCAAACAUAGAAGUAACUCCCAAAGGUUUGAUAAUAAACAGGUAAUAGGUUCUACCUCAUCUACUUCCCAAAACCCACAUAUUAAAAUCAGAUCCUAAUCAUGCAAUUGUUCGAGGACUAAUCUAAUGCAAUAAAACUGGGUAGUAAAGAGGUAUGAUCAAAGUGUUACUUGCCUUGCUAAUGAUCCGUGAAACCUAGAGACUCGUAGUAGCAAGCGGCACACUCCGGGUACUCUAUCACAAACAAACAAGCAUAAAAUAAGCACUCAUCUAAUGCACAGGUAAAACUCAAAUAAGAUAUCUAACCAGAAAGUUCAACUUAAGAACUCCGGUUUGCAAAAAGAAUCAAAUCAAACGAAGUAACGAAAGUCAAACGGCGAAAGAAACAGGCUUCGUUUACUAAUCUGGACCUAAGUCAAAUUUUACAGUAGCAAAACGUGUUUGAGUUGGUUAAACAGAAAAAGGGUUUCGAGACGAUACUCCAGGCACUUGAAUCGCCUGAUUCCGAUAAACGAGCGAAAGGUUAUACUAAAACGAAAAUCGGAUCAGAAAUCACGAUCGAAAAUAAUCGCAGAAAAUUCAAGAAAAAGAAAAAUGGACGAACAGGCUAACGAACGAACGUUUGCUGUCUGCGGCUAAACAAUGAAAACCGUUCGUUGAAACGACCAUACGGACGAACGUCCGCAAAAUAAAUAAUCCGGGAAAAACACUAAACUGAUCUAUUAAAAAAACCGCGGUUUCCUGAAAAAACCAACGGUUUUCCGAAGAAAACUGGCGGCGGUGCGGGUGGCUACCUCCAGCGGCGGCGGGGUCCGGCGAGGGGCGGCGGGGCUCCGGUGGGUGGCGGCGGUCAGNNNNNNNNNNNNNNNNNNNNNNNNNNNNNNNNNNNNNNNNNNNNNNNNNNNNNNNNNNNNNNNNNNNNNNNNNNNNNNNNNNNNNNNNNNNNNNNNNNNNNNNNNNNNNNNNNNNNNNNNNNNNNNNNNNNNNNNNNNNNNNNNNNNNNNNNNNNNNNNNNNNNNNNNNNNNNNNNNNNNNNNNNNNNNNNNNNNUCGGCGCCUUAUAAAGGCCGAGCAGAGAGGAGUCCUUGUCGCCCACGGCGGCCCAAGUUGGUUCGUUUUUUUUAAAUAAUUCGGGCGUGCAGAAAAAGAAAGAAAAGAAAUACUAAACAGACUCCAAAAAUCCCGAAAUAAAUUUUCCCUCUCCUCUAAAAAUAAGUCAGACAAGAUGAACAUUUAUUUGGGCCUAAAAUGCAAUUUUAAAAAACGUGCAUUUUUCCUAAAUUCAAAUAAAAUAGCAAUAAAACUCCGAAAUAAAAUCUUAUUUGAUUUUAUUAUUAAAUCUCCAAUAUUUCUUUAUUUUGGGAAAGUCAUUUUAUUCCCUCUCUCUCUUUUUGAUUAUAGAAAUAUUCGAAGAUAAAAUAAUUAAAAUGAAAUGAACCUAUUUUCAAAAUUUGAGAACAACUCAAAUAUGAAAAUAACGAAAUUCCCAACUCUCUCCGUGGGUCUCGAGUUGCAUAGAAUUUCUAGGAUCAAGCCAAAAUGCAAUAAAAUAUGAUAUGCAAUGAUGAUCUAUUUUAUAGCAUUCCAAAUUGAAAAUUUGGGAUGUUACACUGCUACUUUUACAGUGCACUAGUUCUGCGCACACUUCACCCAUACUCUCACUAUUGUGUUUUUAUGCAAGGGUAUUUCAGAGUCUGCCUCGAGAGAAGCAGAAAAGAAAAGAGAGAAGUUGCUCCAGCUUUGUAUGAGGGUAGGCACGGCAUGUUACAGCGCUAUAAAGGGUGUCGUGUCAGCAGAUGGAGACGGUAAACAUAACUCUGGAGUUGAUGACCUCGCUCGCAAUGAACCACCAUCCCUGGUGCUUGCUUUAACUUCGCGGUGUCAUAUGUGGUUGCAUGUUCCAUAUGGUGUCUAGAUUGUAUUCGAAAGGCCGAAGUCGGUCUUUAUUAAGAUAAGGAAAUAUAUUUUUUACAUGAACCACCAUCUCGUGAGCACAAGAAGACAAAUAGCUAGUCAGGGCACAGGCCGAGCCGGUGACAAGCCCAGCAAAGAUAGGCAUCACCUGGAAGCCAACUAAAAAGCCACGAUGGUGGCGAAGCAGCCCGCCUCCCACCAGGCUCUCAGGUCCAAGAUGAUCAUGCUCACCACUCCAGCCGGAUGUCUAGCUUGUAUUGCUUCCAAUUUGGUUAAAUUGCAUCUGCUUAGCUUACACAUUAUACCUUUGAAUAUGACAUGCCUUUCUGUUUUUGGUACAUACUAGUACAUUUGUCUAUUAACCAUGUUCUUACAUCAAACUAAUGUUCUUGUGUAUCCCUCAUCAAUCACUUAUGAUGAGGCAGUCAGGUAAGUGGACUACUCCUCAUUUAAAAAAUGCAGCAUCAGCCUCCCAACAUGAUUCUCAAGAAACAACAAGGAUAGAUGAAGAUAGUGAAUGUAGCUCUGUAGUUGAUUACCGCAUUUCCCCUACACUAGCAUCGCAGGUGCUUGCUCUAACUUGGCAGCGUGAUAUGUGGUUGCAUGUUGCAUAUGGUGUCUAGAUUGUAAUUCUUCCAAUCUAGUUAAACUGCAUGUGCUAUUCUGCUUAGCUUAUACAUUAUACCUAUUAAUGUGACAUGCCUUCCUGUAUUUAGUACAUAGUACAUCUGUCUAUUAAGCAUGUCCUUACAUAAAACUAUUUUUUUUGUAUCCCGCAUCAAUAUGAUGAGACACCUUUGGUAUAUGCAGUGCGAUAUUAGUUGCAUCUUUCAUAUGAUUUAUAGCAUGCGCUGCUUCUAAUUUGUUGAAAUUCCAUUUAUGGUGGGACGCUUUUAACUUGGCAGAGUCAUAUUUGUUGCAUAUUUCAUGUGGUGUCUAGCUUGCAUUGCUUCUUAUUUGUUGGAAUGGUUUUUGCUUAGUUUACACAAACAAUUGUGAACAUGCAUGCCAUGACGUCCUAUUUUUUGUACAUAUUCCAUCAUGGUAUCAUGUGUUUGCCUUACAUCAAAGUAGUGAUUGUCAGUAUCAUGCAUGAAUGAGUUCUGAAGAGAGAAUUUUAUUGCUUUUUCUUGUUGUUUUACUUGACAAUUCAAAAUCAAUAAAGCGGAAGGAAGUUAGCAAGGCAGUGGAUAAAGGUGCUCCUUCCAAACGGAGGGCCUCUACAGUUUCUACUCCUCCACCCCCCAAGAUGAUUUCCACGACAACACAUGCAUAGACACUCAACGUAGUUGUGUUUAUGAUGAGCACGUCUCCCCUAGUGCACCAUCACUGGUGCUCCCUCUAACUUGGCACUGUUAUAUGUAGUUGCAUGUUAUGUGUGAUGUCUAGCUUGUAUUGCUUCUAAUUUUGUUGAAUUCCAUCUGCUUACUUUACACAUUAUACUUGAAUAAGACAUGUUUUCAUGUUUCUAGAACAUACAAUAUCUGUCUAUCACACCAUGUUCUUGCAUCAAAUUACUACUGUUGUGUAACCUGCAACAAUCACUUAUCAUAUGACAUGUUUGACUUGGGAGUGUGAUAUAGAUUACAUCUCGCAUUCUUUUCUAGCUUGUACUACUAAUUUGUUAAAAUGACACUUAUGAUGAGACAGUUUUAACUUGGUAGGUGAUAUUUGUUGCAUCUUUCAUAUGGUGUCUAGCUUUCAUUGCUUCUAAUUUGUUGAAAUGCCUUCUCCUUAGUUUACACAUCAUAAGGUGUGAAUAUGCAAUGUUGUGAAUAUGCAAUGGCACUAAUGACGAGAGACCUCUAACUUGGUAGUGUGAUGUUGUUUGCAUCUUGCAUAUGAUUUAUUUCUUGUACUGCUUCACAUUUGUUUAAACGCCAUUUAUGAUGAGACACUGUUAACAUGGCAGAGCGAUAUUUGUAGCAUCUUUCAUAUGGUGUCUACCUUCUAUUGCAUUACUUCUAAUUUAGUGAAAUGUCUUCUACUUAGUUUACACAUCAUACUUCUGGUUAUCUCUUCCGUCCUGUUUUUCGUAAAUAUUACAUCCUCCUAUCAUGUAGUUGUCUAACAUCAAAGUUCAGUUCGUUUGUACCAGGCAUCAAUUAGUUCUGAAGAACUAAAUUGUUAUUCGUUUUUCUUGUCGGCUUGACUUAACAUGGCACAGAGAAACAGGAAGAAACACAAAAUGGCAGGGAAUGGGAAGCGGAAGAAUCCUGCAGAUUUUGCUGGUACUGAUGGUCCAAUAGAAGGUCAAAGUCCAGCGGAAAAUUCUACAAACAGGGUAUCCCAUGCUACACGAGCUGUAGAAAAAGCCAAACAGAAACAAAUAGCUGCCACCAAACAAGCAGAGACAACCCUAGUUCUUGCAACACCUUCCACAGUACUACCAGCUGCACGAGUUACUCGUGCAUGAACUGAGCUAGCAGCACGUUCCCAAGCUCCCUUGCCACCUGACACUACUUCCCAAGCACUCUUGACAUAAGACGAGUUGGCAAGAUCAAAUGAACCUUGUGAGCUUCAACAACAAGAAGGUAGUUGCUGGAGUCAAGUUACAGUUGCAUGCUUCUUUAUAUGUAGUCUCACAGUUUGAUGUACACUAACACUUCCUAUGUUCGUUCUUGGACUAGCACCUAGGAGCAAGAGGAAACAAACAUCGGGGAUAAUGCUCGAUAGGUUAACUAAAUCUAGAGGCGGAAGAAUGGAGAUCCGUUUUGAGGCAGGUUUAAAAAGGCCACGUGAUGCUACAGAGUCACCCAAGUUAGUAUCAGAGGCAACGGUUGCCGUUAGGUGUCAUGUACGUAUCCUCCCAACAUGGAUUCAGUACAGGAAUGACAAAGACGAAACCCAGUUCAACACCUUCCUCGGCCAUUUAUCUAUAAGUAUGGUUAUAUAUGGAAACUAGUAAUAUCGUCUUGCUCUGUCCCAUACUUUCUAGGUUGCUGAUAAUGAGACUCCCGUAAUUUUCAACAAAUGAGGUUCAAGUUGGAUAGCCAAGAUGAUGCAACUAGACAAGCUUACAUCCAUGUUUUCAAGUCUGCUCUGCAACAGUAUCGGUAUAACUUGAGGAAAACUCACUUUGAAGGCAAGGCUACCAGUGAACUUGCCCAAACAUCUCCAGUGGAAAAUAUAUCGAAUGAAGACUGGAGAGGCCUCGUUAAACACUGGUCUGGUCCGAAGUAUCAGGUACAUUAUAUAUAUGUGAUCAGAUCACAUGUUGAAGUCCUAUUUAUGCAUGUGCCACACAAAUCUAUCUUCUUGUAGGUGAACUGUUCAAAGAACAAGGCCAACCGUACGGAAGUGAAAUUCCAACAGACGACAGGAUCUAGUAGCUAUAUUGCACACUACGAGGCUCUUGUAAUUAGCUGCUAUUUCACUCUUUUCGAUGUACCAUAUUAUCAGAUCUAUAUUGACUUGUUCCAAAUGCAGAGGAAAGCCCGCAAGGACCAAAAAGUACCUGAACCAAAUGUUGUGGAAAUCUUCAAGGACUGUCACACCAGCAAGAAGAAGGGCAUGACUACACCAGUCAAAGCCGUUGUUGUAAGUCCUUAAUCCUCAUGCCUUUUAACUACUACUUACUCUGACUUGUGCCUUGAACUGCAUGGCUUGCAGCCAAUGUCUAUUACUCUUUUCAAUUUUAUACACAAUUGUCGUAGCAUAUCGUUGCACCUUACAAGGUUUAAAAGAGAGGAGUGAUGUUCCUUUGAUCUUGACCUGUAAUCUAGUUCCUUGUUGGACUUGCCCACACAACGUUACAAUUGCUUGUUUGUCUGUUCUCAGUUGUUUUGUGAUAUGAAUGAUGCCAUGCUAUGCUUACCGUAUUAUAAACUUCAUCUCUUUAUCCUUAGCCCUCAAUACAAUGUGAAGAAUAGACAAUACAUUAGCGAUGGUACAUGGUCAUAUGUUUGGAACCUAGUUUUAUUAUGUACUUUGCAAUAAAAUACAACUAAUAUUUUACAUGGGUUCACCAAAAUAAGUUCUGUAUAUAGAGCAAAGCUAUUUUGUUUGGUUUUGCUGCCUCCUUAAUAUCUUCUGUUCUGGUAUUACUAAUGUAAAAACUCAACUUUUCAGCGAUCUAUGGAAAAAAUGGUGGAACUGCCACCUUCUGAAGGUGGCGAGGCAACUAUAACCGCAAUGUCAGCUCUUGCUGUAGUGGGUCAGUACCUAUCCACUAACAGUGCCAAAAGCACGUUCCUACGUAAUACUGUGUUGGUUGUUAAGGCAAUCUCGUCCAAACUGCCUCGUGAUCAAGAUAUGCAAGCUCAAAACAAUGUUGUAUCUGUGCUCCAGACACAAGUCCAUUCCCUUACAGAGACCCUUUGUAAAACAAGGAGAGACAUUGUUCGAUGUCGUCAAGAUAUGCAUGGUUUUGAAACCAGACUAUCAGACAUUUGCUAUGUUGUUCAGGAGCCUAGGAGAAAUGAAGGCGAAGGUUAUGGUGCUCCAUCGGACAAUACAACAUGAAAACGUAACAGUCAGGUCAAAUGAACUAAGCUUCUGAACUUCUGGUGGUGCAUUUAUCUGCUAGACUGUUAACUGUUAUGCCAACCUUCCUUUUGUUUUAUAGUUGUAAUUUGUUUUGGUGCACUACAAAAUUUGUUCUUAACAUGCAGCCACCGGCUGAAGAAAACAGCAAGCCAUUUUUGUAUAGUGUAGGGUGUUCCCUAUAUUUGCACUGGUGGCGAUCUUUGAUGCCGAGUGGAUGUAAUCUGUGCAAUCUCCUUAAUAGCCUAGCGUUACUUUCGGACUUAUUUAUUUCCUAGUCCUCUUUUUCCCCGGUUUGCUAGUGGCUCCAACAACCAUGGGCCAUAUACGGACCGUGGUAACCUUGACCCUGCUAUGAGUCGUAGGAUCCAUGGGUCUACUACGGGUCGUCGAUAAAUGGGCCUCCAACAGGGCCAUAGGAUCGGUGGGCCUCGAGUCGUCGGAUAAAUGGGUUUACAUGGGCCGUAAACGGGCGUAAUUGAUAUCAUCCCAGCAUGGUAACGGGCCUUUAACAGGACGGAGGACAGCAAAGGCUUAAUUCUAUCACAUGCAUAACGGGUCGUUAAUGGGUCGGAAUAUAGGACGGGAUGGAAACGGCUGAGGGAGUCCUGGACUAAGGGGUCCUCGGACAGCCGGACUAUAUACUUUGGCCGGGCUGUUGGACUAUGAAGAUACAAGAUAGAAGACUUCGUCCCGUGUCCGGAUGGGACUCUCUUUUGCGUGGAAGGCAAGCUUCACGAUUCAGAUAUGUAGAUUCCUUUCUCUGUAACCGACUUUGUACAACCCUAGUCCCCCCCCCGGGUGUCUAUAUAAACCGGAGGGUUUUAGACUUCCAGGGUUAGAGCGACAAUCAUCAUAACCUCAGGGGCUAGACAUCUAGGGUUUAGCCAUUACGAUCUCGUGGUAGAUCAACUCUUGAAACACUCAUAUUCAUCAAGAUCAAUCAAGCAGGAAGUAGGGUAUUACCUCCAUAGAGAGGGCCCGAACCUGGGUAAACAUUAUGUCCCCCACCUCAUGUUACCAUUAGCCUUAGAAGCACAGUUCGGGACCCCCUACCCGAGAUCCCCCGGUUUUGACACCGACAUUGGUGCCUUCAUUGAGAGUUCCGCCGUGUCGUUGAAGAUAGGCUUGAUGGCUCCAUCAACGUCUACAACAAUGCAGUCCAGGGGGAGAUCUUCCUCCCCGGAUAGAUAUUCGUAUUCGACGGCUUUGCACUACGGGCCAACUCGCUUGGUCAUCUAGAGCAGAUCGAUAGCUACGCCCCUGGCCAUCAGGUCAGAUUUGGAAGCCUGAAUUUUGUGGCCGAUAUCCGCGGAGACUUGAUCUUCGAUAGAUUCGAGCCCAUGACGGUUGUCCUCGGCCACCAUGCUGAACCUGACCUAGAUCUCUCAUCUAGCCACACACAGGAGAUAGCAGUUGUGACCACCCUGGCCCUAGAGCUGGAGUAGACUGUGUCUUCUGAAGACGGGAAGCUCAACCUAGCCGCGGAGGCCGCAGACUCAGCGGUGCUCGAGCCGCACAUAGACCCAACAUCAGGCUGGGCUUGUGUUACCGGAACCUCGGACUCGUCUCCAGCCAUAGGCUCCAGACCGCGUACGUCCGUGUCCAUUGAACCUGAUUGGGCGUCGGUCUUAGAGUUCAGCUUCAUGGACAUUUUCCAGGACUCGCCUUUUCGCGACGUGUUAAACUCAUUAAGAUCCCUCUCCUUGCCAGGGAACUCUUGGCCAAACUAUGUCCGGCUCGAAUGGGAAGUGGAUGAUGAAGAAACUCGUUCCCCACCCACCACCCACUUUAUAGCCACUAUCGACGACUUAACCGACAUGCUUGACUACGACUCUGAAGAAAUCGACGGUAUGGACGACGAUACCGGAGAGGAUCAGGAACCACUGCCUAUAGGGCGUUGGACAGCCACCUCCUCGUACGACAUAUACAUGGUGGAUACACCCAAAGAAAAUGGUAACGACGAUGAAAAUCUAGUCGAGGACAAACCACCUGAGAUACAGCCGAAGCGCCGACAUCAGCGGCGCCGCUCUAAGUCACGCCAUAGUAAAAACAGCAAUACCGUCAUAGAAGAGGACAACACUCCGGACGAUGCAGAAAACAAUGAAGACCCUGUUGAGCCGACCUUCGAACAGGAGGAACGGGAGGGUGGGCAAGUUAGCCCUGGCGAACCGGCCAUGAACGAAGACUCGGAGGAUAGCAACUACCUUCCGCUCUCUGAGGACGAGGUUAGCCUCGGUGACAAAGAUUUCAUCGUGCUUGAAGAGCCCGCCGAACAGGAACGCUUUAAGCGUCAGCUAAUUGCCACUGCAAGAAGCCUGAAAAAGAAGCAGCAGCAGCUUCAAGCUGAUCAAGAUCUGCUCAAUGAAAGAUGGACUGAUGUCCUGGCAGCCGAGGAAUAUGGCCUCGAGCGCCCAACCAAAAGCUACCCAAAACGCAAACUGUUACCACAGUUCGAUGACGAGGCGCUGGAGCCCAUCCUACCAAGGUACAAUACGACCGACCGACCACCACGUGGCCAGGACAAAACGGCACCUCAAGCCGAAUACCAGCCCGCACUACCUCGCCGAACAAAUAGAAAUACAACAGGUCGGGGAUAUACACAUGACCUGUGACGCGAUUUGGAAAAGAGAGCAGGUCAAACAAGAUCAAUCUAUGGAUCACGGGGGCGCGCCUCGACGCACGAUGACGGCCAUCUGGCUGAACGUGAGAAACAUAACCACGUCCGGGCUGAAAACCAUAGACGAGCUCCAUCUGAACUACGUCACGACUUGGCCCGAUAUAGAGGCACCGCACACCCCCUCUGCUUCACUGACGAAGUAAUGGGACAUGAUUUCCCAGAAGGGUUUAAACCCGUAAACAUCGAAUCAUAUGAUGGUACAACAGACCCCACGGUGUGGAUUGAGGAUUUUCUUCUCCACAUUCAUAUGGCCCGCGGCGAUGAUCUUCACGCCAUCAAAUACCUCCCGCUCAAACUCAAGGGACCAGCUAGAUACUAGUUAAACAGUCUGCCCAAAAACUCCAUUGGCAGUUGGGAGGAAUUGGAGGGCGCCUUCCUCGGCAACUUCCAAGGCACAUAUGUUCGACCUCCGGAUGCCGAUGACCUAAGUCAUAUAAUCCAACAGCCCGGAGAGUGAGCCAGGAAAUUCUGGACUCGGUUCCUAACUAAAAAGAACCAAAUCAUCGAUUGUCCGGAUGUCGAAGCCCUAGCGGCCUUUAAGCACAGCAUCCACGACGAAUGGCUGGCCAGACACCUCGGCCAAGAAAAACUGAAGUCCAUGUCAGCCCUUACGACACUCAUAACCCGCUUCUAUGCAGGCGAAGAUAGCUGGCUAGCCCGUAGCAACAACAAUACAAGCGAACCUGGCACUUCUGAAGCCAGAAGCAGCAAGGGUAAGCCCCGACGCAACAGAGAUAAGCGUCGAAACAACAGUGAUAAUACCGAAGACACGGUGGUCAAUGCCAGAUUCAGCGGCUCUAAGUCCGGUUAGUCGAAGAAGCCAUUUAAAAGGAACAAUCCGGGCCCGUCCAGACCGCAUACUAGAUCGAACAUGCCAAAUCCAUGGCACUCCGAAUAAAUCAGCCAAUCAUAUAAACAGGGAAUGUUGGGUUUUCAAACUGGCCGGCAAGUUAAAUGCCGAGGAACCCAACCACCGAAUACAGGGGGACAGAAGAAAUCCCCCCCCCCAAGUCAAAACGGUGAACAUGAUAUACGCCACCCAUAUCCCCAAGAGGGAGCGCAAGUGCGCACUCAGGGACGUCUACGCGAUGGAGCGAGUCGCCCCAGAGUUCUACCCAUGGUCCUCCUGUCCAAUCACCUUCGAUCGCCGGGACCAUCCAACCAAUAUUUGUCAUGGCAGUUCAGCCGCACUGGUCCUUGACCCAAUUAUUGAUGGAUUCCACCUAACACGAGUCCUCGUGGAUGGUGGCAGCAGCCUGAACCUGCUCUAUCAGGAUACAGUGUGCAAAAUGGGUAUUGAUCCCUCAAGGAUCAAGCCCACCAAAACCACCUUUAAAGGUGGCAUACCAGGUGUAGAGGCCUGUUGUAUGGGCUCAAUCACACUGGAAGUGGUCUUCGGAUCCCCGGAUAAUUUCCGAAGCGAAGAGUUAAUCUUCGAUAUCAUCCCCUUCUGCAGUGGUUAUCAUGCACUGCUCGAACGAACCGCAUUUGCUCGAUUCAAUGCGAUGCCACACUAUGCCUACCUCAAGCUCAAGAUGCCCGGACCUCACGGUGUUAUAACAGUCAAUGGAAAUACGGAGUGCUCCCUCCGUACUGAGGAGCACACCGUGGCCCUUGCAGCAGAAGUAUAGAGUAGCCUUCUUAGGCAGAACCUCAAUCGGGCAGUAAAGCCCCCGGGCAUCGUCAAGCGAGUCUGAACUACUCUGCAGCAGGACCGUCCAGCUCGUCCAGAGCUCAACUAGCAAUUCGGCCUCCGUCCCAGUCCCAACCAAGCGGUGAAAUUUGUGCCACGCGUACAUAACUACGCACUUAAAGUACCAUGGGCAGGGACAGAGGAACUGCUAGACCGCGGUCCGCAAUGUGACUCAACCGCCUCUAGAUCCACAUCCCUUCACUUUUUCUCUUUCUUCCAGGUUUUUCUCUUCUCAAGGCUUUUUUCGAUAACCUGAUCAUCGAACCCAUCACAAGACGGAUACACCAAGAAGGCAAGGGGCUUUGACGUACAAGGGAAAUUCCCAGGUGGUCUCUACUAAUGAUUGUUAUACAUGUUUUAAAUACCCGCACGCAGCUCUUUCUUGGUCAUGGCAUGUUAAAUAGCCUUACUUGCUUAUCGCAUUAUCUGUACAAGUACGCCUCACAUAUUAAUCAAAUUACAAUGGAAAAUAAUUUGUAGCGUCAGCUUAUUGCUUGAUUUUUUUCCUUGUCUUUGUAUGUUUUAUCAAUUGCACCCGUACACUCUGGUACGUAUUACUUCACCAGGGGCUUCAUCGCGCCCCAUAAUACGGCAAUAAAGUCCGAACACUUUUACAGUACAGUUCGGCACCCCGAACUUAUAGCAUUAUAUGCAUCGGCUCUGAAUCAUGUCUUUGGUCAAUAGGUGGGUUGCUCGGCUCCUGUGCUUACUACCUUACGUUCUGCUAUAUCGGCUAGGGUAGUAAAGGGAGAACUACUGCGAUUGUGUCCCGGUUCUUCCAGACGACCACCUCAGUAGAGAAAGCCGAAAAGUGACUGUCAUGAUGCGGCCAGAGUUGGUCAGCUGUUCAAGAGGUUUUCAAAUCCUUAGAGAUUUUUCCACUUUAUGCGAGGAAUCGGUUUUUAUACGUUUAGGCGUGUAUAGUGCCCCAACUUCGGUCUUCCGAAUACCAGGGGCUUCACCAAAAUUUUCAUUGUCAAACUCCUAUGGCUAAGUGAGGGUGAUAAAGUCGUAUAGUCCGAUUGCCUUGUUCGUUGUGCUAAACACCUCCUUCAACGACCAAAAGGUGGAGUAAAGAGUGUUUAGAUUUAUCCCGAACACCCCCGUACUAUCUACGUGGGGGCAGAAGCCGACGACUGGCCAAGUCUCAGAUUUUUAUAAACGGAUGCACAGGAGGUAAAAUUUUAAACUAAUGGACAUUACAUUACAUAACGGAUCUGUUUAAAUAUUAUAGGACAGGAUAACAUGAAUGUUUUCAUAGGAAUAUGAUAUACUUGGCACAUUGCUCCGCCACAAGGCGGGAUCCCUCCAGGACACUAUCAAAAUAUAGCUUGGGUCGGUGGUGCUCCUUGCCCUCAGGUGGCCCCUCAGUCAUCAGCUUCUUGGCAUCCAUCUUCGCCCAGUGCACCUUGGCGCGGGCAAAGGCCAUCCGCGCACCUUCAAUGCAGACCGAUCGCUUGAUGGCUUCAAGCCACAGGCAGGCACUCACAAGCUGCUUGACGAGUCCGAAGUAGCUGUUGGGCAUGGGCUCGGCAGGCCACAGCCAGACUAUUAAGUCCUUCAUGGCCAGUUCGGCCACCUUAUGCAGCUCGACCAGCUGUUUUAGCUUGUCGCAAAGGGCACUGGAAGUUCUGGUCUGAGGUAUUGGGACCAGAACAGCUUUUCCGUAGAGCUCCCUUCUUUGGCUCGAUAAAAUUCUGCAGCAUCUGAUAUGCUGCGUGGCAGAUCCGCAAACGCUCCUAGAGAGCUCCAAAUACGGGUAAGUAAAAGGAAUGUUUCCUUCACAUAUCUGCUUUGCAUAAUGAAAUCCUUACCCGCCGUAAUCUUCUUGGCCGCCUGGAUUUCCUGGAGAGCAACCUGGGCUUCAGCUCGGGCAUCUUGUGCGCUCUGGCGGGCAUUGGCAAGUUUGGACUCCUGAGUCUUUGAAUCACACUCCAAGGACUCGUACUUAUUGACGGUGUCUUGGAGCUCUUGCUGGACCUCGCUGACCCAGGCCUCCUGCUUUUCGUGCGCGGCGAGUUCCUUGGCCGCUUUGUCCUUGGCCUCGGCUAACGCCUUCUUGAGGGCCGCCACCUCGGUCGUGGCCCCUAAUAAAGUUCAUGACAUUCUAGUCAGUACGAACCAUUCGUCCUUCCUAAAUAUACACACAGGUUACUACAUACCUUUGCUUUCCUCCAACUGCUUCUUCAAGAGGCCGAGCUCUUGCUCGGUCCGCUCCAGAUUCUGCUUCAGUCCAGAGACUUCCGCAGUAUGAGCGGCAGCAGCUAGCAGCGACGCCUGCUUGUUCACAUUGAUAUAUUAUAUUAGACUCUUGUGAAAAUUGGUUGAUCCUAUGUUCGGCUUUUCUUUGCGAACACCGAAUAGAGCAUCAGGGGCUACUGUCUAUACUAUGACAUUCUUUUGCAAUUAUAUUACUUACCUCAAAGCCUGUUAAAAGGCUAGUGCAGGCUUCAGUCAGUCCGUUUUUGGUGGACUGAACCUUCUCAAUCACCGUACUCAUAAGAGUACGGUGUUAUUCCACAAUGGAAGCGCCUUGUACCGCUUCCAGUAAUCUAUACGGUGCCUCUAGAUGGACAGAGGUCACCUGUGGAGUUGGAUCGCCCCCCUCGUUCGAAAGAGGUGUACUGCUUGAAUUCGGAUCCACUUGGGCCUCCGGAGCAAUAUUCGGCUAGGGGCCGAAUUGGAUACGGCCCCCAUCAUCGGUGUCCAUAGGGGUCUGUCCUCCCACAUGUUCGGCAACCGGAGUUUUAGGACAGCCUCCUAAUCCUCUCCAUGGCUUGGGAUCCUUCGAGACAACACCUUAGUGUUGUCCGCAACCUUGGGGGAGGAGGCCGUCGGGAGAGACUCAUUGUUCAUCGCCGACGGGUCCAGCGAUCCUUCCGAAGAGGAGGACAGCACGAUGUUGGACUGGGCCGGGUUGCGAGUGCAUGAUCCAGCACAUUAAAAAUAAUAAAGUAAAGAUGUCGGAUAUAUUACCGUGUCCAGACACUUACGAGUUGGCUAGGGGCUUGACCCUGGGCUCCCACUCCCCGCCGCUUUUGGUGGCCCCUACGUAGUUGUACGGAAGGGAAGUUUUCCCCUUCUUGGACGCCUUGGCCUCCCCAUGUGUGGAGGCCUUCCUCUUCUUUCUCCCCCAGCAGGGGGAAUGGAUUUCUUCUUCCUCAUCGUCUUCGGUGGAGGAGUGUGUCUCGGCGUCUUCGGACGUCGCGUCCGAAGUGCCCUUGCGACAAAGACCACUUCUGGUUCUCGGCGCCUUCUUCUUGGCCUUCUUCUCCGGCACCUCAUAAGGCGUCGGAAACAGCAUCUUCGUCAGAAGAGGCAUUUCUGGAUCUUCGGGCAGCGGAGCCGGAUAGUUAAUCUGCUCCGCUAUCUCUAUCCAGGCCUGAAGAAUUGGUAGGGAGGCUUAGAUUCCUCCCUCAGAUGUGCCAGUAAAGGAUAUGCCUUGAAAACAUGAAAGAACUUACCGGAUUAGCCCGGCGUUUUGAGCUAAGCUCACGAUCCUCGGUCGUGGGUGGUGGUACCUCGCUGGCCUUGAAGAGCACCUUCCAUACGUCUCCAUGCUCAUGCCAAAGAGCUCCAGCAGCAUCUGGUGCUUGGCUGGGUCGAACUCCCACAAAUUGCAAGUCCGGCGCUGGCACGGAAGGAUCCGGCGGAAGAGCAUAACCUGGACCACGUUGACAAGCUUGAUUCUCCUGCUUAUCAUGUUCUAGACACACGUCUAGAGCCCCGUCAGCUCGUCCGCGGAGCCCGAGGCCAGGCCCUUCUCUUGCCAAGAGGUGAGCCGCAUUGGGACUUUGGAUCAGAAUUCGGGGGCCGCCACCCAGUUGGCGCCGCGCAGCUCGGUGAUGUAGAACCACCCCGAUUGCCACCCCUACACAGUCUCCACAAAGGAGCCCUCAGGCCAGGUGACAUUUGGCAUCUUGCCCACCAUGGCGCCUCCGCACUCCGCUUGUUGGCCGCUCCCCGAAUUUGGCUUCACAUUGAAGGUCUUCAACCAUAGGCCAAAGUGAGGUGGGAUGCGGAGGAAGGCCUCACACAUGACAAUAAAGACCGAGAUGUUGAGGAUGGAGUUGGGGGGCCAAGUCAUGGAAGUCUAGCCCGUAGUAAAACAUCAGUCCGCGGACGAACGGGUGGAGGGGGAAUCCCAGCCCGCAAACAAAGUGGGUGAGAAACACCACCCUCUCAUGGGGCUCUGGGGUAGGGACGAUCUGUCCCUUGGCCAGAAGUUGGUGAACGAUUUCCUUGGCCAGUUAACCGGCCUCCCGGAGCUCCUUGAUGUCCUUCUUCUUGACAGAAGAGGCCAUCCACUUGCCUCCAGCUCCGGAUCUGAACAUGGUUGGAGUGCUUUUUUGGGCGGAGAAGUCAAUAACUUGGGCGCUGGAGCUUGAGAAUGGAUGGGCAAAGGAAGGAGAAGGCGUGGGUGAACGAGGAUGAAUCCUUAUCCCUUUAUAAAGGCAGUAAAAGUUACGCGCCUCCCUGCUCGCCUUAAAAUCCGCCUAUUCCCCAAGCGCCGUACAGAUGACACGGUUGGGUUACCCAUGCCCGUAUUGAUGAGAAUCCCGUGAUAAGGAGACACGAUCUUUGCUUCGACAAGACAUGCCAGUGAAACCACACCUCGAAAUACAGAGCGGCGGGCUAAAAAAAGGUUUGAAUAAUGACCGGGCAGUGGUGUGAUGUCACGCUACAAAAAGUUGUCAGCGGAUUGGACUCGUGAAAUAUUAUACUCUCUGUGGUGGUGUGUGGUUCUUGUUUUGCAGAGCCGGACAUGUUUUCUAUGUUCGGAAGAUUAAGUUGGAGUAUUCGGAGAAGGAACCCGCCUUGCAAUGCCGAAGACAAUCUGUGUGUCGGGCUCAUCGUAUUUGAAGCCUGGUUCAGGGGCUACUGAGAGAGUCCUGGACUAAGGGGUCCUCGAACAGCCGGACUAUAUACUUUGGUCGUACUAUUGGACUAUGAAGAUACAAGAUAGAAUACUUUGUCCCGUGUCCGAAUGGGACUCUCCUUUGCGUGGAAGGAAAGCUUGGCGAUUCGGAUAUGUACAUUCCUUUCUCUGUAAUCGACUUUGUACAACCCUAGUCCCCCCCUGUGUAUAUAUAAACCAGAGGGUUUUAGACUUCUAGGGUUAGAGCGACAAUCAUCAGAACCUCAGGGGCUAGACUUCUAGGGUUUAGCCAUUACGAUCUUGUGGUAGAUUAACUCAUGUAACACUCAUAUUCAUCAAGAUCAAUCAAGCAGGAAGUAGGGCAUUACCUCCAUAGAGAGGGCCCGAACCUGGGUAAACAUUGUGUCCCCCGCCUCCUAUUACCAUUAGCCUUAGAUGCACAGUUCGGGACCCCCUACCCGAGAUCCGCCAGUUUUGACACCGACAACGAUGCAACAGGUUAAUAGGCCAGAAACCGGCCGACUCUUGCCACGGGCCGAAUUUGGCCCAUUAGGGGAACAGGCGAGUAACGGGCCGGAAGUAAUCGAGGGCCAGAAAGGAGCCCAAGAAUGUAUGGGCCGUUGUCAGUGUCAAAACUGGCGGAUCUCGGGUAGGGGGUCCCGAACUAUGUGUGUGAGGCUAAUGGUAACAGGAGGCGGGGGACACAAUGUUUACCCAGGUUCGGGCCCUCUCUAUGGAGGUAAUACCCUACUUCUUGCUUGAUUGAUCUUGCUGAAUAUUAGUAUUACAAGAGUUGAUCUACCACGAGAUCGUAAUGGCUAAACCCUAGAAGUCUAGCCUAUGAGAUUAUGAUGAUUAUUCUAUGGACUAAACCCUUCGGUUUAUAUAGACACCGGAGGGGGCUAGGGUUACACAAAGUCGGUUACAGAGAAAGGAAUCUACAUAUCUGAAUCGCCAAGCUUGCCUUCCACGCCAAGGAGAGUCCCAUCCGGACACGGGAAAAAGUCUUCUAUCUUGUCUCUUCAUAGCCCAACAGUCCGGACCAUGUAUAUAGUCCGACUGUCUGAGGACCCCUUAAUCCAGGAAUCCCUCAGUAGCCCUUGAACCAGGCUUCAAUGAUGAUGAGUCUGGUGUGCAGAUUGUCUUUGGUUGCAAGGCGGGUUCCUUCUCCGAAUACUUCAAAGUAGAUUUUGAACACAAGAAUCGUGUCCGGCUCUGCAAAACAAGUUCCACACACAAACGUAGAGAGUAUAAUAUUUCACGAGUCCAAUCCGCUAACAAAUUUUGUAGCAUGACAUUACAUCAUCACCCGGCCAUUAUCUUGAAUCGUUUUCUAGCCUGCCACGCCACGUUUCGAGAGGCGGUUUUUAUUGGCACGUCUUGACAAAGCAGAGAUCGUGUCCCCUUAUUGCGGGAUCUUUAUCAACACGAGCGUGGGUAACCCAACCGUUCAGUUGGCAUGAUUCCUUGGGAAUAGGCAUGCUUUAAGUCCGCGGAGGGGACAUUUGAUAUUCGUCGCCUUUAUAAAGGGGCUAAGACCCGUCCUUUUCUUUCCAUGCCAAUCCUUUCCUCUACCUCCCACCUCAAGUUCCAACACCCAAGGGUCAAUCCAGUCGCUUCGAGCUUUCAGCCAUGUCCGGACCCAGCCUUCAAGGCCGGUGGAUGGCCUCUUCUGUCACAGAGGAGGAUAUCUCAAAGCUCAGGGAGGCAACAUACCCGACUGCGGAAAUCCUCCACAAGCUUCCUGCUCAAGGGCAGGUUAUUCCUACUCCCAGACCCAAUGAGAGGGUCGUAUUUAUUUCUCACUUCCUCCGAGGGCUUGGGUUUGCUCUUCAUCCCUUUGUUCGAGGGAUCAUGUUUUAUUACGGACUAGAUUUCUAUGAUCUAGCUCCAGACUCCUUCCUUCACAUCUCAACGUUCAUCAUCACGUGCGAGGUCUUCCUUCGUAUUUCCCCACACUUCGGCCUAUGGCUUAAGACCUUUAACGUGAAACCGAAGGUAAUCAACGGGAAACAAGUGAAGUGCGGAGGUGCUUCAGUGAGAAAACUCACCACUUCUCCUUGGCCAAAGGGCUCCUUUGCAGAAUCUUCUGACCUAUGGCAACGGGAGUGGUUUUACAUUACCGAACCCCAUGGUAAAAAGUAGGCAGCUACACAUGUGUUUCGAUCUGGCCCUCCUUUACAGCUUGCAUCAUGGAUUAACAAAGGGCUAGACUGGGGAUCUAUUGAUGAAGUGCAGAAGUUGCAAAGUUGCAUUCGGAGCCUUAUUGAAAAGGACACCGGUCUUACCAAUGAGAUCCAAGUAAUGCUAGUCCACAGGAUCCUACCAUGUCAGCGGCGUCCUCUCCGUAUGUGGGAGUUCAAUCCAGAAGGUCCACGGACCCUUCAGCACUUCUCUGGCACAAUGCUCAAAGGGAUGUGGAAAUUAUUCUUCGGUGCAUGAAAGUAGUGGCCGGAUACUAUAGAAUACAUCGGUCUAGACUGCAAUCAUCCGGAUACCCCGGUAAUAACUUAACUCCCAAACAUAGUGUAGUCAAAUUCCUCAUAACAAUGUACUGAUAAAACUCUACUCGGCUAGGCUGGAUAAAGAAGGCAGCGAGAAUUAGGUGUUCGGCUCCACUUCCCGAAGACUCUGCCGAUCCGGUGUUAACAAGGAUGCUGGCUUCAACACCAUAUCAAGUGCCGGCGGGGAAAGAUAAGGAGGAGAGCGGAGAGGCCCAAGGUAGUCUCCCUUAUGGAGGCACACCAAGCAAUUUGUCCGGGGAGAUUGGAACUUCCACUUCCGAAGGUGGAAGGGAAGGGCAAGCUGACAUCCCUUCUCCUCAUGGGAAGAAAAGGACCGCCUUCGAAGACUUGAAGAGAGAAGCUUCUAAGCGAGGGAAGAUAUCCCAGUCAGGGGUGACGUUGACAUGCAGUCACUCUGCCAAGAUAGGCCCUUAGCUGAAUUGUAAGUGAACCAGGGUGUUUUAAACAUAUCUCAUUCUUUCCUGGCUGUGAGGGUAACAUUUAAAAUAUAUGUUUGCAGUCCGGUAUGCGGCCCUCCUCAAUAGUCCUCCUCUUCGGGGGAUCUUCUUCCAAAGAUGAUGGAGAGCGAGACGCCUCCACAAAUCUCCCUGCUUGAUAAGGCAGACGACGCCAAGGUAUCGUCCCGGAGGAUCUUUCCCGAUCAACAAGUGGCACGAGGGGCAGUGAAGACUGGGCCCGAAGGUAAUGCUUCGGCCGCCAGGGUCCGGGGUGUGUGGCCCUCAUGGGGACCAGCAACAAAAGUCCCAGACUAUCAAGGUUCCGAGAGACGAUGCAACCUAUUCUGGAUCUGGAGGCGCCUGAUACAUUGAUGGACAUAUUGCAACAUGCGUCCGUCUUAGACGGACAUCGUACCUUGAUGGGUACGGUGGUUGAAAGAGUUCGGUCCACGAAAAGCAGAUUGAAUGAAGCCUUUAUGAGCCUACUAAGAGGUUUCGAGGUACGUAGUGUAAUUUCAUGUAUGUUAUAAAUGCAAAUGGCACCUGUGUAUAGAUAGUAGCUCCUGAGACUCUGGUUGACAUCCAAAGGGAGGCGAUCAGAGGAUCAAAAAUGUAUGCCUAGGAAAUGAUCUGACUAAUUGAAACACAGGCUGUUACAUCUGUGGCAACUGCCCAAGCUAUAGAGGUAGCACAUCUGAGGCAGAAAGUUGAUGUAGCGAAUGAUGACAUCACGUUUAUUAACAGGCGGCUCGAUGAGGCGCAAGGUAUGUCUUUGGGGCACUCAGUAUAUGCUAGUAUUAUGAAAUGAGUGUGACACUGAGAAGUUGUAUACGCAUAACUGCAGAUAGUGCCGCCGCACUUGAGACCCUUCGGGCUGAACUUGCCCGGGCCAAGGAGCAAGCCAGGAUGAGUAAUGCGGCUGCCGAAAAGGUAGCCGCCAAAUUAAAGGCCGAGCAGACUGCUCGACGUCAGUGAGAGGAGAGAAUAUCUACUAUGGCACUUGAGCUAAAGGGUGCCACUAGCCGAUGCCAAGUUCUUGAGAGAGAUAACAAAGCCAAAGCGGCUGAUCUUGACAAGGCUUUACAAGAGGCGAGGGAAGCCCGGUCUGAGUCUAGAGAAGCUCGGGUGGAGAUCCGGCAAGCUGGGGAGAUCGCGGCUGGUAAGCCCUUUUUAUUGCAAACUAAGUUUGGCGAUCCUAAGUAUGCCCCGCUUAAUCAACUAUGGAGUUCUCCAGACUCCUUUUUGGACCUGCCGAAGAGUGUUGCCGAUGUGAAUCAGUUUUUUCAUGCGCAAGAAGGACAUGCGACAGAAAAGCUAUUUUGGUCGCAAUUUGACACGCCAAAGCGUCCACUGUUGAAUGAACAGAUGGCCCAGUGGGCCCGGCUCCACAAGAUGUCCGGAACUGCCAUGAAGGGCGUCAUAGCCCGGUUGUGGCCAACUGAGCCGAUUCCGAAUAGUUAUUUCGCUUUGGUGCGGCAAAUUGUUGAUGCGGUGCCACGUAUGGGUGCUGUGAAGCGGUCAACAUGCAUAGAAGGUGCACGGAUGGCCCUUGCCCGUGUCAAGACGUAUUGGGUGAAGAUGAAGGCCACCGAUAUUGCAGCGCAGAGUCCACCCGAAGGCAAGGACCCUAACAUGCCAGAACAUUAUUUUGAAGAUGUCCAAGAAGGUGCCCGCUUGAUAGAGGGUCAGUGCUCAAAAGAUAUUACGUUCGAGUGAAGUGUACUGAGAUUGUAAAAACAGUCUUAUGAUAUGUUUUAAGGCUAUGUUUUUAUACUUUUGCCCGAAAAGUUUUGGUGCCUCCUGUGUGGCUGUUUGUAUAUAUAUAAUCUAAAAAUUUGCCAGUCGUCGGCUUCAGCCCCCUCGCGUAUAAUGCAGGGGUGUUCGGAAAAGCACUUGAUCACACUUGACCCAACGUCUUGGUCCGUUAAGGAGGUGUCAGUGCGGCGAACUAGGAAAUCGGACUAUAGGGCUUUAACACUUUCACUUAGCCAUAGGAGUUUGACGGUGGGUCUAUGAUAUAGCCCCUGGUAUAUUCACGUGUAUCCAAAUAUGGCGCGUUUACAUACGUGACCAGAAUAACAGUCCUUCGUUUAAUAUGGAAGGAAUUGCGAAGAUUCCUAUGAGUCAUCGAGUGGUUGACCAGCUCUCGCCGCAUCAUGACAGUCAGUUUUCGGCUUUCUCUACUGAGGUGCUCAUCCGGGCGAGCCAGGACACAAUCACAGUAGUUCUCCCUUUACUACCCUAGCCGAUAUAGCAGAAUGUAAGGUAGUAAGCACAGGAGCCAGGCAUCCCAACUAUUGACCAAAGACAUGAUUCGGAGCUGAUGCAUAUAAGACCAAACUCGCGACGCCAAACACUCCCUACAGGUGUUCGGACUUUUCAAUAUAUACCAGGCUAAAUACAGGCCUUGCUAAUGGACCCUGGUAUCAAGGCACGUAUGGCAAUCCGAUGUGGGGAAAGAAAGCAGGUGGUGAGAGCAUAAAUCUCAAAACACAAUAUGAACCAAGCUGCUUCUAUAACAUCCACUUUAGUAUGGCGAGUCGUAUAUUUAUAGGUAAUGCCGAUAUCUUUCUUGGACAUUUUACAUGCCAGGAAAGUAUGAAACAAAAAGAGAUAAAAAGGUUUACACAGGGUCUUAAUCUAAAAAGAAACCUUAAUGCGGGGCCCUGCUGCACGUUUGCGCCUUUUUCUCCGCUGUGAAGUGUCCUUGAAGGGUAUAGUGUGAUGGCCAUCUGUAAAAGGGGAAAAACCAGGUAAAAGAGUCUGGUGUGGCCGUAAGUAAAGCUGGUUCGUUUGAAUGAACCGUGAAAUAUAACUUCUGGAGUCCGAAUAGGGUCGAGCCGAACUAUGGAAUUUUUGUGUGCAGCAUGCCCCCAGCGCCACCCAAGGAAUUUUGAGUGUAUAUUUGUGUAUACGUGGCACGUGUGUUGUCUCCUUAUGGGGUGGUCGAUGGGGGCAUAGCUGCUAAUCGAGCUCGGGUUUAUCUGAGCUGCCGCACUGAGAUGUGCGUUGGAUACGUUUAAAUUGUGUGUGCGAUCUUAACGACCGAUGAGCUGCUCGGCUUGAAUAGGCCGUUUUGUGCUUCGACUGCUAGAGCCGCCGUGUAUUCUUCUGUAUGAAGAGAGCGCUCUGUAUUUCCGCUGACCGUAAUGACGCCAUGUGGUCCAGGCAUUUUGAAUUUUAGAUAAGCAUAAUGCGGGACUGCAUUAAAAUGGGCGAAGGCUGUUCUGCCAAGUAGUGCAUGAUAGCCACUUCGGAAUGGAGCUAUGUAGAAGAUUAGUUCUUCGCUUCAAAAGUUAUCAAGAGAGCCGAAUACGACCUCCAAUGUCAAAGAGCCCGUGCAACGGGCUUCUACACCCGGUAUAACUCCUUUAAAGGUAGUGCUGCUUGGCUUGAUUCUUGACGGGUCUAUCACCAUCUUGCGGACGGUGUCCUGAUAUAUCAGAUUGAGACUACUGCCGCUGUCCAUAAGGACUCAAGUGAGGUGGUAUUCGUCGAGUAUUGGGUCGAGCACUAGGGCAGCCGAACCCUCGUGAUGGAUACUAGUCGGAUGAUCCCUGCGAUCAAAGGUGAUCGGACAGGCCGACCAUAGGUUGAAUUUGGGGGCGACGGGCUCGACGGCAUAGACAUCUCGAAGUGCGUGUUUGCCCUCCCUUUUUGGGAUAUGAGUGAGAUAGAUCAUGUUCACUGUUUUAAUCUCCGGUGGAAAUUUCUUCUGUCCCCCCGUGUUCGGCUGGCGAUAUUCAUCCUCGUCUUCGCUCUGAGGUCCCUUCCCUUUGUGUUCGGCGUUGAGUUUGCCGGCCUGCUUGAAGACCCAACAUUCUCUGUUGGUAUGACUGGCUGGUUUAUUGGGAGUGCCAUGGAUCUGGCAGGGCCUAUCUGGGAUUUUAUCCAGGCUAGAUGGACCGUCUUUGUUGCCUUUGAAUGGCUUCUUUCAUUGACCAGGUCUGGAGCCCCUGAAUCCAGCGUUUACCGCUGUAUUGUUUGGGCUUUCUUCAUAGUUCCGACGUUUGUUUUUGUUGCGUCAUGGUUUUCCAUUGCCAUCCCUAACCUCAGAUGUGCCGGGGUCACUGGUGCUGCUACAGGCUAACCAGCUGUCCUCGCCCGUGCAAAAGUAGGUCACUAGUGUAGUUAAGGCUGCCAUUGUCCUUGGCUUUUCCUGGCCAAGGUGUUUGGCUAGCCAUUCGCCCCAGACACUGUGUUUGAAGGCCGCUAAGGCUUCGGCGUCCGGACAGUCGACGAUUUGGUUCUUCUUAGUGAGAAACCAGUUCCAAAGCUUACGAGCUGAUUCUCCGGGUUGUUGGAUUAUGUGACUUAGAUCGUCAGCAUCCGGGGGCCGGACAUAGGUGUGGCACCCCGGUCCGCAUGGAGCAGGGGGGCUUUGCACGUCAGCCCAGGAUAACACCUGACGCACGACAGGUCCAUGAUACAACAUUCCAGGUACAAGAAUAUUCAUUGAAUACAUGUGUAUAUGAUUACAUCAGUGAUGAAUAUAAUCUUCUGGCAUAGCCCUAAGGCUAUUUACAUGACAGUGGAAGUCUAUUUAAAUGGUGGCGGAAGUCUUGGCAGCAUAUCACUCUGGCUGGGCUCCACAACUCACAGGACUAGCAAGAUUACGGCCUAGCACGACGGAACAAGCGAACAAUUUGAGCACGACCUACAAAACUAGCAUGACACACUAGGUCAGUACAUUGAAUGUACUUGCAAGACAACCAAAUACAUAACAUCCAAACAAACAGAUGAGAAAGCAAGAAUCGAGCGUCUGCAACAACCUAUCUCAUAUCAGAAACUAAGCAUGGCAAGACUUCAACCAAAGACAUAAAUCAAACUAACAUCAUGGCAUCUACUAGCAUGGCAACAACAUGGUAUAUCAAAUUUACUUCUAACAUGGCAACGGCAAAAUCGGGCAUAGCAUAGCAUCUUGAUCAUGACAUAAUCAAAGCAUGGCACAAGUUCAAUCAAAACAUGGCAUAACUCAAUCCAAACAUAGCAUGGCAUCCUGAAGCUAUGCUGAAAAUAAGCUAACAAUCAUAUCCAGGGCAGACAUAACAUGCAAUCAUCUCAUGUCCUCCCAUGGUUCUUUAAAUGCAAUUAACAAUAUAUUACUCAUGGAAUGCAAGCACACUUGUGCACCGAGUCCCUAGGACUCUCUUACCAACGGUGAUCGCUAUUGAAUCACAAACGUACCAAUCUUGUGAUCUUUCCGGCGAUCACAACCACGACCAAUAUAUGGUCUUAAACCAUGAUCCUUCCGGCGAUCACAACCACGGCCAAUAUUUGGUCUUAAACCGUGAUCCUUCCGGCGAUCACAACCACAACCAGCACUUGGUAUCAAACGGUCACCGAGACCUCGUCUUGUGAUCAUAUCAACACACCGCCAUGACUUCUCACGACUAUCUCAUAGUCCAAGUCACCACAUUCUUGUUACCACACUAAUCAGCUUAAUCAUUUCAGGUUUAUCCUCCAUUUCGACUAAGACCUGAUGGUGUGACCUACUACGAACUUGUUGCUACCGAUAGACUUUAUAAACACUCUGUAGAGGUAGCGCACUGUACCCACACCAUGAAACCCAUGGCCUUGGCAUCCCAUUCGGGUGGACCAACGGCAUUCCGACGAAAUGUUCUACUGUCAUGACACUCUCCCUGCCACUCCGACUCACUCCCCACUGGGCUAGUCCUGGGUGGCCCCGUGUCUACCAAAGACACAACGACCACCGUCGUGGCCAAAAUAUAAACGAUCCCACACAGGGACUCGGUACCAUAAACUCAACAACGGGCACACAAGGCUUAUGUCUGCCUACCUGAUCAGGGUGGCGCGCGCCCAUAACCUUCCCUAGUUGGAGGCACCGACCAGAGGCACGACAAUAGAUCGCAUUAAGGUCGUCCCAUACCGGCAAAUGUAGCUGCACUGAAAAAGUUCGAUUUGGCGGCACUAUGACUCAAUCCCGAUCGAUGACGGAGGAGGUUUGUUAUUAUUAAGUCAUUUUAUUUUCCUCUCCAUCAUCAUGAACAUGAAUGCAACAAUGAGCAUACAUCAUACAAAUGCUUUCAUAACAUAUCGAACAGCUAAGUGAACCACUACAGCAUAAAGAACAUGAUGAUACUAAGUACUAACAUAUCCAAGGUGUAUUACAAACAUCAUAGCAUUUUAUAAUGAUGUCAUGAAAAUGAAGUAGAGUAGUGACAUGACAUUAUCAAUAACAAUAUUCUAGUUAUCAUGGCAAAAGAUAUCAUGAAAAACACAAGCAUGCAUGUUAAGCAUAAUGAAAUGACUGCAACGAAACUAUAAGAAACCACUAAAACUACACACACACACAAGGUGCAAGCAAAGUCAACAUGCAAGUUCGGGGCUCAUGAUAAGAGGUUGGCUUGCCUGGGGGUCGACAAAUACUCCGGGAAGAAGUGAGAAACAACCGCGAUUUUUUUGCAGAAAACAGUUCUCUCUCGGAGGGGGCUAUUUACGGACAAGGGUAAAAUGGUCAUUUUCACUAUGUGAAAUAUUAUGAAAAUGGUACCAAUGGAAAGCUCUCGACGAACAGAGAACGUGAGCGUUGGAAUCACCUCAAUCGGAGUUACGAGCGCAAAGUUGUGGCCGUUCACUUUUUAGGCAGAAAAGCAACUAAAGCAGUGAACGUUCACAAACUAAGCACUUCGGCUGGCUGGGGCUGACCAGGCAUCCGCUCGGCCAAUGACAAGUGGGGCCCGCACAGGGGUGGGGUCCACUCACUUAGCCACGCUGGCAGGACCAGGUCAACGCCCAUAGGUCACUGCCAGGUGGGGUCAAGGGUAGGGGCCGACUCGGUCGUCUUCUUCUCCUUGUUCUCCCGACAAAACAGAGGAGGGGGCAGAACAGGGCGUUGCCGGUAGCGGCCCGGGCUGCUUCAGCCACCCUCGGUCGAGGCGAGGACACCGAUGAGUCCAGGGCAGAGUGCCGCACCUGUUCAGAUGAGGGGCAUUCACCAAGGAUGCGCAUGUCUGCCGCAGCUUGAGGCGACAUAAGACAGGGCGGGCGGCGACCGCUCUCGAGGACGAGGCUACACGGGCACUCCGGCGGCAAGAGGAAGGACGGGGAGAGUCUAUGGGCUCCGGGUGGUCCUAUGGUGGAGGAAAGAGGGAGAGGCGCGCCCGCCAUUGCUCGAAUUUGAGCAGGUCGAGGCGGUGGCCAUGGAGAUGGGGAGGGGAGGAGAGGCUCUGAGGCGAGGGGGAGAGAGCUGCGGUUGGUUGGGGACUGCGAGAGAGCUCGGGGAUGCUAUUUAUAGCCACGGGGAGAGCUCGGGAAGGAGGGGAGGAGGAGGCACGCGGCUGGUGACAUGUCUGCGCGACGGUGACAGUGCAGCGUCGGCAGGCGCAGCCGAGGCUCACGGGCAACGGUGAGAAGGCGACAAGGAGGAUGCAGCCGAGCAGCAGAGGCUCACGGAGCAACACAACGCCAAGGAGGCUCAGGGAGGAAGAAGACAGAGGACGAAGGCGACGGUGCACAUGGGAGCUCACUGUUCGACCUUUGGCACGGCUCGUCGGAGAAGAAAACGGAGGGGGCCAGAGGUCCUGGGGGAAUACGACGUCGAGGGGGAGUUGUAGGACACUAAUGGCAAGGCCAGAGAUGGUCGAAGCAGCGAUGCCGACGGGAACAGCGGCUAGACCACCGUUUUGGCUGGCUUCCCUCGUGGUCACCACUGGCAUGGCGUGGUCUGGAGUUUUUACCGAUGCCAGCUCAUGUCUACCGCGUAGUCCUUCCAAGGUAGAGUUUUACUAUGGUAAAGAUUUGGGCAGAGACAAAUGGAGGUGAGUAAACCAAGCUCCACAAGUUUGUUGUUGCAAACUUGGCAACAUCCUAUAGGUAAAACCAGAGAGGGUAAAGGGUAAAAUUGAUGUCUGGGAGGCUUAGGGUAGCAAGGACUACGGUCCUGGUAAUUAUGAGAUCAUUAGCACAAUGAUUUAGCAUAGUUGCAGUGCAAAUGCCAAAUCUGGUCCAGAAACUAGAUGAUGAACAAGAAGUCACUAGGAGUGUUGGAUUGAGCUAUAACUUGGCAAACCCUCGUGAUUUGGUCAUAAGUGGAUGAUGUAAAAAGAUCACACCAAAUGGACUUGCCAAAUUGGUUCUUGCUUCACAAGCAUCAAUUUUGACCAGAGACUUGGUAAACUUAUAGGAAAAUAUUGGCUAACUAAAAUUAGCCAAACUCUUGGGUAGUUGGGUUAUAUGGAUAGGAGAAGGCUUGGGAAUAGUUUGAGCUAUAAUGGAACAAGAUAAAAUAUGCUUGCUUCACAAACUGAAAAUUUGGAGAGAAAACAAGAAUUGCUCCUGUGCUCACAUAGCUCAAUCAAAUGAGCUGAAUUUGGGUUAAAGCUAAUUAUUUGGGAUACUUGAGAGGAUGGCAAGGUUUCAUCCUAUUUGGAAACUCUAUGAAGGUACUUCCUUCACAAAGUGACAAUCUGGUCAAAAACUUUGAAAAAUUGCACAGUGAGCUAGGACGAUUGGAUUGAGCUCAUCUUUGGUAUCCAUGGGUGAUUUAUCAAUAUUAAUCACCCUGCCAAAUUGCAGCUAAAAUAGAAUUAGGAAUAAAGCACUUCCUUUGCAAAAUGUUAGAGAAGGAAAAAACUUGCAUUGGAUCAUGUGCCCAAUUUUGGAGCUGUGGAACAUGAGGUAAAUAUGGAAAUAGUGAUUAUAUAGCAAGGACAAGAUCCACAAUUUAUGUGGGAAUUUUAUCUGCUAUAGAAAUAGUAGGUCCUUUAGAAAAUGGCAAAAAUGCAAUAUUGGUAUUAAAUAGGAAAAGGCAAUUUUCCUUAUUUAUUAUGGCCAAUAUGAUUGCGAGAGCUUGGAUUAGGCAUAAUUAUCAACUCCACCAAUUCACAUGAAUUUAGGACAUGGCUAGAUAUGCCUUUGGAUUUUAUUCCUCAGAAAGGCAAGAAAAGGAAUAAAUAAUAAUUCAAAAAUAUUGCAUGGGACUUGGCAAUAUUUUUGCAUAUCCAAGGUUGAAAAGGAUAGGAGAGUCUCUGGGAACAGGUGGGAUGAUCAACAGAUCAAGGAAAGUGAUAGCCCCUUUGAAAUCACAAAGGGCAUAUUCAAAUCCCCAAAAAAUUGGAAUUAGGGUUUGAGAGGGUUUAAGAUGAUGCAACUGAGGUCUUGCCCACUGAAAAAGACAUGAGCAAGUUUUGAAAGGUUUGAAAUGACAAGAAAUCUCGGAGUCAUCAGCAAAACUCAGGAGAAAGAUUUUGAAAAUGAGUGCCAGGAAGGAAUAACAGCACAAAAAUUGAUAACCCAAUUUUGGGGUUGUUACAAACCUUCCCCCUUAAAAGAAUCUUGUCCUCGAGAUUCCUAGGGUUACAGCACAAAUCAAAAGAUAACCACUCCAGGGAAAAACUCUGGGUUUAAAUUUAACCCUUUGGUUGAAUUUGAACGAGUUGGCGCACCAAUAAUUGGUACACCCAGGGAGAGAUAUGGGCAAAUACGAUUAUAUCCACAGCUAGGGGCAUUCGAGAUCAAACUCUCGAAAAAUUGCUAGAUGCACCCGGUGAACAGUGGACUCACCUGCUGACACGUGGGUCCAGGGCCCACUGGCAGCCUCCUACUACCUUCGGCUAACUGCUUCUUCUGUGCUGCUACUUCGCGUGCGGCUUGGCGCAACACGCAUCUAGCUCCUAGGGCGAUGAGGACCCUAGUGUCGUAGUGUGUGGCAUGCACGGCGCCGGUGCAGCGAGCACUCACGUCGCGGGCCAGCACCUUGUCGGCACUACCCGCGGAUUCGCCUCCUGGACGCCGGUGAUCGAGUGACGAGCGAUUUUCCUGGACUUUGCUCACUGUACACCGGGGUUGGGCUAUAAAAAUGGCAGUAGGGCUCGCUUCCAACACACACACAAUGCCGCUCUACUACCUCUUCGGUUUGGGCGAGAUCGAGCCGAGAUCCUUCGGCGAGGAGGUGUUCUUGGUGGCGUUACGGUUGUUCCUCGUGGCACUGCUGGGCACGCUGAUUGUCUCGUCGAUCCUCCUGGUGAUUCUCAUCAGGAAUGAGCAGGCUCGAGACAACGUGCGGUUGGUGGCUCAAGGUGUUCAAGAAGAUGGUGCACGGGGUGGUCCUCCGCCACGCUUGAUUCUCCGUCGCUUUGCGCCGGCGGAGUAAUCGCAUGCUGCGGUGAAGCAGUGGUGGCGACUUGCUGCACCACACAAGGCAGCGAUGGUGUGGAUGAUGGGUUUGGAUGCGGGUGAGGUGGCUAUGCCAUCUCAGGAAUCAAACUAGGCCGUGGGAAAAAUUUCGUGGAUUGCUCCACGAAAUGUAGGUGUCGAGGUAGAAUCGGAGUUGAAAUCUGUGUCGAGGAGUUGUAAUGGGUCGUGAGAAAUAAAGCUGGCAGUGUUUCUCCGGAAACACAAUUAGGUUCACGGAAAAGAAUCAGGGACGAGAAAUGGCCAGACAAAAAUGGCAUCUUCGACGUUCUAGGUUUGGAAAACCUCGCACACGGGGUAUGCACAGAUAGAGAGGGAUAUGUGACUUUGCAUUCCCCCGAGUAUUGCUCAAUUGUACUCGUGGGUGAACCGGGUAUGUGUGCAGUAUGCAGUAAAAUCUAAACAAACAGACAGAUGCAAUAAACAUGCAACGGAAAAACACACCAGACAAAUCACACUAAGGUGUUUUAAUGCUAGUGGGUAUAUGUACUCCUGGUAUACAUAUACCUACACCAGCGCGCAUUUUAUUAGAGACUCGGAACGAGUCAAUGUUGUUUUUAGUGUAUGUGUUCUACUGAUUAAAAUCUUGUUAGCACACAUUGCCAACCCUGUCAAACAUUUCUGUUUGACAGAGAGACAAACAACAACAAACACAAAAACAAAAGCACGAAAACAAACAACACAACAUACGGGUUACAACAGUACCAGCAUACACCGAGCACGAACGCGCUACACGCUAAACGGAACUACUCACUCUGGGAUACAUGGUUCUAUCCUCAUAUCGGGGACCUACUAGCAGAAACCACUGACUGCAUGACUGAGGUCCUAUGGGCUCCGGAUGGUCCUAUGGUGGAGGAAAGAGGGAGAGGCGCACCCGCCAUUGCUCGAAUUUGAGCAGGCCGAGGCGGCGGCCAUGGAGAUGGGGAGGGGAGGAGAGGCUCCGAGGCAAGGGGGAGAUAGUUGCGGUUGGUUGGGGACUGCGAGAGAGCUUGGGGACGCUAUUUAUAGCCGCAGGGAGAGCUCAGGAAGGAGGGGAGGAGGAGGCAUACGGCAGGCAACGUGUCCAUGCGUCAGCGACGGCGCAGUGUCGGCAGGCGCAGCCAAGGCUCACGGGCAGCGGAGGGAAGGCGACGAGGAGGAUGCAGCCGAGCAGCAGAGACUCACGGAGCAACGCAACACCAAGGAGGCUCAGGGAGGAAGAAGACAGAGGAGGAAGGCGACAGUGCACACGGGACCUCACUAUUCGACCUUUGGCACGGCUCGUCGGAGAAGAAAAUGGAGGGGGCAGAGGUCCACGGGGAAGACGACGUCGAGGGGGAGCUGUAGGACAUUAAUGGCGAGGCCAGAGAUGGUCGGAGCAGCGAUGCCGACGGGAACAGUGGCUAGACCACCGUUUUGGCUGGCUUCCCUCGUGGUCACCACUGGCAUGGCGUGCUCUGGAGUUUUUACCGAUGCCAGCUCAUGUCUACCACGUAGUCCUUCCAAGGUAGAGUGUUACUAUGGUAAAGAUUUGGGCAGAGACAAAUGGAGCUGAGUAAACCAAGCUCCACAAUUUUGCUGUUGCAAACUUGGCAACAUCCUAUAGGUAAAACCAGAGAGGGUAAAGGGUAAAAUUGAUGUCUGGGAGGCUUAGGGUAGCAAGGACUACGGUCCUGGUAAUUAUGAGAUCAUUAGCACAAUGGUUUAGCAUAGCUGCAGUGCAAAUGCCAAAUCUGGUCCAGAAACUAGAUGAUGAGCAAGCACUCACUAGGAGUGUUGGAUUGAGCUAUAACUUGGCAAACCCUCGUGAUUUGGUCAUAAGUGGAUGAUGUAAAAAUAUCACACCAAAUAGACUUGCCAAAUUGGUUCUUGCUUCACAAGCAUCAAUUUUGACCAGAGACUUGGUAAACUUAUAGGAAAAUAUUGGCUAACUAAAAUUAGCCAAACUCUUGGGUAGUUGGGUUAUAUGGAUAGCAGAAGGCUUGGGAAUAGUUUCAGCUAUAAUGGAACAAGAUAAAAUAUGCUUGCAUCACAAACUGAAAAUUUGGACAGAAAACAAGAAUUGCUCCUGUACUCACAUAGCUCAAUCAAAUGAGCUGAAUUUGGGUUAAAGCUAAUUAUUUGGGAUACUUGAGAGAAUGGAAAAGUUUCAUCCCAUUUGGAAACUCUAUGAAGGUACUUCCUUCACAAAGUGACAAUCUGGUCAGAAACUUUGAAAAAUUGCACAGGGAGCUAGGAUGAUUGGAUUGAGCUCAUCUUUGGUAUCCAUGGGUGAUUUAUCAAUAUUAAUCACCCUGCCAAAUUGCAGAUCAAAUGGAAUUAGGAAUAAAGCACUUCGUUUGCACAAUUUCAGAGAAGGCGGAAACUUGCAUUGUAUCAUGUGCCCAAUUUUUGAUCUAUGGAACUAGUGAUUAUAUAGCAAGUACAAGCUCCACAAUUUAUGUGGGAAUUUUAUCUACUAUAGAAAUAGUAGUUCCUUUAGAAAAUGGCAAAAAUGCAAUAUUGGUAUUCAAUAGGAAAAUGCAAUUUUCCUUAUUUAAUUAUGGCCAAUGUGAUUGCCAAAGCUUGUAUUAGGCAUAAUUAUCAACUCCACCAAUUCACAUGAAUUUAGGAGAUGGCUAGAUAUGCCUUUGGAUUUUACUCCUCAGAAAGGCAAGAAAAGGAAUAAAUAAUAAUUCAAAAAUAUUGCAUGGGACUUAGCAAUAUUUUUGCAUAUCCAAGUUUGAAAAGGAUAGGAGGAUCUGUGGGAACAGAUGGGAUGAUCAACAGAUCAAGGAAAGUGAUAGCCCCUUUGAAAUCACAAAGGGCAUAUUCAAAUCCCCAAAAAUUUGGAAUUAGGGUUUGAGAGGGUUUAAGAUGCUGCAACUGAGGUCUUGCCCACUGAAAAAGACAUGAGCAAGUUUUGAAAGGUUGGAAAUGACAAGAAAUCUCGGAGUCAUCAGCAAAACCCAGGAGAAAGAUUUUGAAAAUGAGUGCCAGGAAGGAAUAACAACACAAAAAUUGAUAACCCAAUUUUGGGGCUGUUACAAUAGGUCCAUUGGAAAUUGGUUCAAAAAGCGUCCUCAAAUUCUUCCCAACUUCCGAUGGAGUUUUCAGGGAGGCUUUUUAGCCUGUGCUGAGCUGGUCCUUUUAGCUUGAGGGGUAAGUAUUUGAUGGCAUGGAGAUCAUCUCUGCGAGCCAUGUGGAUGUGAAGAAUAAAGUCUUCUAUCCAAACCGCAGGGUUCGUCGUUCCAUCAUAUGCCUCGAUGUUUACGGGUUUGAACCCUUUUGGAAAAUCGUGUUCCAGCACCUCAUCGGUGAAGCACAGGGGGUGUGCGGCACCCCUGUAUUUGGCCUGUGGUGGCGUGGGUCCGACAGUUGUAAUGUUCGGUAUUGGUUUCGAACUGGUAAAUGACCGGUGUAUUUGGUUUGAUAGUCAUGGUCUCGUGUAGGUGCAUGUUCCCUGGAUCCAUAGAUGGACCUGGUUUUGCCGGCCUUUUUGUCCAGGUCCUCGCGUAGAUCGUGUUUCUGGUCUUGAGCCGCGACCUCCCUUCCUUUAUGGGGAGGGGGUGCAGGCUUGUGUGCGGCAUUGUUGGCCGCUCUGUCUCGACCACGAGGUGCUCGGUCCGGCUUGUCAGUCGUAUUGUUUUUCGGUGGUAUAGGCGCAAUAGCCUCAUCGUCGAAUUCGGGCAGCAGCUUGCGCUUAGGAUAGCCCUUUGUUUGGCGAUUACCGCCGUAUUUUUCCUCAGCGUCUAGCACUUUGUUCCAUUUGUCAUUGAGCGUAUCUUGUGCGGCAUUAAGCCGAUGCUUCUGCUUCUUCAGGCUCCUUGUAGUGGUGAUAAGCCUUUGAUGGAGGUGUUCUUGUUCUAAGGGUUCUUCUAGGACGAAGAAUUCGUCGUUGCCCAGGCCGAUCUCCUCUUCGGAGACAGGUUGGUUAUUGCUAUCUUCGGCAUCACUUGGGUCAGACAACAUCGCCAGACUGUGCUCGCCGUCCUCUCACGCGUCCUGCUCCAACGCUGGUUCUGUGGGGUCCUCGGUUUGGUUCAGAUUAUCAUCGUCGUCCGUGACAAUGUUGCUAUUUUUCCUUUUGGCAGAUCGAGGUCGAUGCUUGUGACAUCGAUGCUUGGGAGGUUCAUCGACAAGCAUACCAUUAUCAUCGUCGGCCUCCUUCUCUUUAGGUGUGUCCACCAUGUAUAUAUUGUAUGAGGAUGUAGCUGUCCAUCGCCCUAUGGGUGGGGAUUUUUGUGUCUGCUCCACUCCAGCAUAGUCAUCCGUACUGUUGAUGUCUUUGGAGCCGUAAUCGAGCAUGUCGGUUAAGUCUUUGACAGUGGCGAUGAAGUGGGCGGUGGGUGGGAAACGAAGCUCUUCGUCGUCCGCUUCCCAUUCGAGCCGGACAUAGUUCGGCCGAGAGUCCCCCGAUAGGGAGAGGGAUUUCAAUGAGUUUAACACAUCGCCUAGAGGCGAGUGCUGGAAGAUGUCCGCGGAGCUGAACUCUAAUAUCAGUGCCCGAUCAAGUUCAAUGGACGCGGAUGCACGCGGUCCGGAACCUAUAGCCGGAGACGAAUCCGAGGUUCCGGCAACACAAGCCCAGCUCGAUGUUGGGUAUGUGUGCGGCUUGAACGCCGCUGAGUCUGCGGCUUCCGUGGCGGGGUUGAGCUUCCCGUCCUCGAACGACGCUUUCUGCUCUGGAUCUAGGGCCAGAGCAGUUACGGGUGCUAUCUCCUGAGCGUGGUCCAAUGACAGAUUUAGGUCAUGUUCAUCAUGAUGGUAGGGGAUAGCCGUCGUGGGUCCGAAUCUGUUGAAAUCAAAUCUCCGCGGAUAUCGGCCACGAAAUUCAGACUUCCAAAUCUGACCUGAUGGUCAGGGGCGUAGCUAUUGAUCUGCUCUAGAUGGCCAAGCGAGUUGGCCCGCAGUGCAAAGCCGCCGAAUACGAAGAUCUGUCCGGGGAGGAAGAUCUCCCCCUGGAUUGCAUUGUUGUAGAUGAUUGAUGGAGCCAUCAAGCCUUUUGGUGACGACGCGGUGGAACUCUCAAUGAAAGCACCAAUGUCGGUGUCAAAACCAGUGGAUCUCGGGUAGGGGGUCUCGAACUGUGUGUUUGAGGCUAAUGGUAUCAGGAGGCGGGGGACACAAUGUUUACCCAGGUUCGGGCCCUCUCUAUGGAGGUAAUACCCAACUUCCUGCUUGAUUGAUCUUGAUGAAUAUGAGUAUUACAAGAGUUGAUCUACCACGAGAUCGUAAUGGCUAAACCCUAGAAGUCUAGCCUAUGAGAUUAUGAUUGUUGUUCUAUGGACUAAACCCUCCUGUUUAUAUAGACACCAGAGGGGGCUAGGGUUACACAAAGUCGGUUACAUAGAAAGGAAUCUACAUAUACGAAUCGCCAAGCUUGCCUUCCACGCCAAGGACAGUCCCAUCCAGACACCGGAAGAAGUCUUCUAUCUUGUCUCUUCAUAGCCCAACAGUCCAGACCAUGUAUAUAGUCCGGCUAUUCGAGGACCCCUUGAUCCAGGACUCCCUUAGCCGUCAAUAGGCCGAAAGCUAACACGGGCUGGAAACGGCCCAUGUGGAUCACGGGCCGUUAACGGGUACAAAGAAAUGUAUUGUUCAUUAUGGGCUAGAGACACCGCGGGCCUCUGAAGGGCCUAAAGAUACGAAGGCCACAUAUGGGACAAAAAACAUCAUGGGCCAUACAUGGGCCGAAAGUGAAACGGGCUGGUGUUAUAUUCGACGGACCACAUGACAUUGUUGGGCCGAUUUCCGUUAGGCCCUAACGGGUCGUAAGUUACCAGGCUGUAAAAUGGGCUAUUUGCGAAGAGACCAUUAACAUGCUUUUCACGGGCCAGCCCGUUAACUUUUGACCAAGUCAAAUGGGUCGGCUUUGUAAGCUAAAUGAGCCAGUAGUGGGACGUCGCAUGUGUCGACAUAUCAUAGGCGCCUAUCUGACCCACUGACGAGCUGACACGUGUUUCAUCCGGCCAAUUAGAAUUUUACACGUGGAAAUUUCCCAUUGGUCCGGGCUGUUAACGGGUUAUCGAAUCCAAAACCCGACCCGAUACCUUAACGGUGUUCCGUUACGGUGAUGCCACGUGUUGGUCACCCUUGACAAAAGCACUUCUGUGAUGCGCGAUUUAUCAUCAUGGAAGUGGACACUUCCAUGAUGAUAAUUUUGGUAAUGUCAUGGAACACUUCUACGACAUCACAGGUAUGACUAUCUUAAUUCUGUCAUAAAAUCGUCAUGGAUGUACAUGCAUGACAACAAAUGCGACCUACUGUGACAAACACGUAUCAUCACGAAAGUGUAUUUUUUGUAGUGGUGCAGGCUCGUCGACAACUGGGUUAAUCAUGCACGCCUUGUUGCCGGAGAUGCCUGAUGUUUACUACACAACUUGUUCUUGUAGACUCGUGUUGGGCCUCCAAGCGCAAAGUUUUGUAGGACAGUAGCAAUUUUCCCUCAAGUGGAUGACCUAAGGUUUAUCGAUCCAUGGGAGGCAUAGGAUGAAGAUGGACUCUCUCAAACAACCCCGCAACCAAAUAACAAAAUGUCUCUUGUGUCCCCAACACACCAAAUACAAUGGUAAUUUAUAUAGGUGCACUAGUUCGGCGAAGAGAUGGUGAUACAAGCAUAGUAAUGAUAGUAGAUAUUGAUUUUUGUAAUAGGAACAAUAAAAAACAGCAAGGUAGCAAUGAUAAAAUAGAGGACAAACGGUAUUGCAAUGUGUGAAAAUGAGGCCUAGGGUCCAUACUUUCACUAGUGCAACCUCUCAACAAUGCUAAUAUAAUUGGAUCAUAAAACCAUCCCUCGACCUGCGACGAAGAAUCACUCCGAAGUUCUUAUUUAGCAGAGAACAUAAGUAGAAAUUGUUUGUACGGUAUGAAACCACCUCAAAGUUAUCAUUUUCGAUCAAUCUAUCUAAGAGUUCAUACUAAAAUAACACCAAGUUAUCCUGAUUGAUCUAUCCAAGAGUUCGUACUGAAAUAACACCAUAUGAUACACAUCAACCAACUCUAAUGUCACCUACAUACUCAAAUGUCACUACGAGUAUCCGUGAGUUGGUUAUGCGAUAUGCAUCAAACAAUUUCAGAUUCACAAUACUCAAUUCAACACAAAGAACCUCAAAGAGUGCCACAAGAUUUCUACCGGAGAAACAAGGACGAAAACGUGCAUCAACCCCUAUGCAUAGAUUACCCCAAUGUCACCUCGUGAAUCCGUGAGUUGAGCGACAAAACAUAUAUCAAGUGAAUUAAUAUGAUACCCCAUUGUCACCACGGGUAUUCAUUGCAAGACAUACAUCAAGUGCUCUCAAAUCCGUAAAAGUAUUCAAUUAUAUAAAACAAAAUCUCGAAGGGAAAACUCAAUUCAUCACAACAAGAUAAAGAGGGAGAAACACCAUAUGACCCUCCUAUAUUAACAAAGCUCACGAUACAUCAAGAUCGUGCCAACUCAAGAACACGAGAGAGAGAGGGAGUGAGAGAGAGAGAGAGAGAUUAAACAGGUAGCUACUGGUACAAACCCUCAACCCCGAGGGUGGACUACUGCCUCCUCAUCAUGGUGGUGGUCGGGAUGAUGAAGAUGGCCACCGGUGAUGAUUUCCCCCUCCGGCAGGGUGUCGGAAGAGGGUUUAGAUUGGUUUUUCGUGGCUAUAGAGGCUUGCGGCGGCGGAACUUCUGAUCUAGGGUUAUUUCUGUAUUUAUAGGAUUGGCGUCAAUCUCACGUCUAGAUGAGCUUCGAGUGGCCCACCACCCACCAGCACAAAAGAAAGACCCCUGGCGUGCUCUUGUGGGUGGUGGCCACCUCCUUCACCUUCUGGUCCUCUGACGAAGCUUGUAGUGCCUCUUUUGUUCCAAAAAAACCGUCAAAAAGUUUCAUUGCAUUUGGAGAACUUUUAUUUCUGCAUAAAAAACAACACCACGGUAGUUCUGCUGAAAACAACGUCAGUCCGGCUUAGUUCCAUUCAAAUCAUACCAAAACCAUAUAAAAUUGUUGUAAACAAGGCAUGAAUACUUCAUAAAUUAUAGAUACGUUGGAGACGUAUCAACAUCCCCAAGCUUAAUUCCUACUCGUCCUCGAGUAGGUAAAUGAUAAAAGAAAUAAUUUAUGAAGUGUGAAUGCUAGCAAAGUGCAUAAGUUUGAUCAAUGAUAAUUUUAGCCACUUUCCUAGCAUCAUAACAACAACUCUUUCUCAUAAAACUCAUCAUGAUAAAGUAGCAAUCAAUGCACAUGUUAUUGUUCAAACAAUGUAUUCUCUCAAAACUUAACAACCUAUGUUCUCAGUCACCAAGCAAUUGUAAUUCAACUUAUUCAACAAAGUCUAAGUAAGAGCUCCACAUACUCAAUCAUCAUAUAGUCUUCUAUGAUUGCUAGUACUGAAAGCAUAUUUUUAGAACAAAUGGCAUCCAUCAAACACAAAGAAAGAUAGGGGCUUAAUGUUUCGCCUCCCAAAUCAUUUAUCAUAGAGAUAAUUGUCAACAAUAAUAAUUCAUGAUCAAAUACAUUUGACUAGUCAUAUGUGCCUAGAUCUUUCCCCACCACAUCAUGCUUGCCAACUAGAGAAUAAUUGAGGUUGAAAUGAGAAUGCAUACUAUUAACUCUUGCAUAAAAGUAAAUACUGUAAAGUAAAAGAUAGGCCCUUCGUAGAGGGAAGCAGAGGUUGUGAUGCACUUUUAUUUUUGGAUGCGCAAGCUCUUAAUGCAAAGGAACGUCACAUUAUAUUUCCCCUUAUGAUAGCAACCUUUAUUAUGCAGUCCCUCACUCUUAUUGCUUUGCAAUCAUAAGUUUGUACAACGCUUAUUUUCCCUUACAAUAAAAGAUCAAACAUAUUUUGGCUUAAUUUUUAUUGCUUUAUUCACCGAUGAUAACUUACUUGAAGGAUAUUAUUCAAUCCAUAGGUAGCUAUGCUGGACACUCAUGGCAAUAAACUGGGUUUAAGGGUUUUUGGAUGUACAAGUAGUAUCUCUACUUAGUACGAAUUUGUGGCUAGCAAAAGAUCCUAAGCAAACACCACAUGUUGGAGGAUCCAUAACAAUAUAACUUCUAUGCAAAUAUACAUAGCUAUAACCCAUUACGUUGUCUUCCUUGUCCAACUUCAAAUAAUUUGCUCAAAUUUGAAAAUAAUUAAUGGGUAUUCACAAUCAUAGAAGAUGUCCAAGAUAAUAUAUUUGUACGUGAAAGUUCUCUUCCUUAUACUAAUCAUUCACGAAUUGCUUGUAUGACCAAUAUUGUGAUUGUCAAGCUUCAAUAGAUUUCACUUUCUAAACCCAAUGUGAAGCUACUACUAGGCAUGAUAUGAACAUAUAAUUUAAACUUCAUGAUAUUCAGUUCAUUCAACAAUUUACUCAUAGGAUAUAAGUGAAGCAGAAGAGUAAAAGUCAAACUACUCCAAAAAGAUAUAAGUGAAGCUCAAGCGAGUAGUUAAGUAAACGGGUAGCCAUUUGAGGACUCUUUCUCAUUUAAAAACUUCCAGAUCUGAGUAUUUUUUUAAACAGCAAGCAAAACAAAAAUAAAGUGACAUUCCAACAAUAGCACAUAUCAUGUGAAGAAGCAAAAACUUAGGUGCAACCGAGGCUAACCAAUAAUUGUUGAUGAAGAAAGGUGGGAUGCCUACUGGGGCAUCCCCAAGCUUAGAUGCUUGAGACUUCUUGAAAUAUUAAUUUGGGAUGCCUUGGGCAUCCCCAAGCUUGAGCUCUUGUAUCUUCUCCAUUCCUCUCAUAUCACAGUUUUCCUAAAUCUCAAAAACUUCAUCCACAUAAAACUCAACAAGAACUUGUGAGAUGAGUUAGUAUAAAUCAAUGCAAAAACCUUAUCAUUCUCUACUGUAACAAAUCACUAAAAUUAUAAUUUAACAUUGCAUACUAAAUGCCUCUACAUAUUUAAUACUCCUAUCCUCAAAUAGAAUCAUUAAACAAGCAAACAUAUGCAAACAAUGCCAUCUGUGUAAAUAGGACAGUCUGUAAAGGAUGAAGCAAGAUCCAUACUUAUUUAACUCACAAAAUUCUGAACAUUUACCACACUGUAGAAAAUUUAUCAUAGCUUACGAUGCAAAUAAAUUUCAGCAUUUUAUCACGUUUUGACUUUUCUCAAGAAUUCGUGCACUAGCGCGCAACUUUCUGUUUUCAACCAGCAACAUAUAAACUUGCAAAAUAAGCAUGGCAAAGGCUAUACUUGACACUUCUAUUGAAAUAAAAGAUGAAAAAAUUAUUAUAAAUAAAAGCAAGAAAAUCCUAAUAAUAUCAAAUUAUGCUCUAAGCAAAACACAUAUCACGUGACGCAUGAAAAUAUAGCUCCAAGUAUGGUUACCGAUAAUGUUGGACACGAAAGAGGCGAUGCCUUCCGGGGCAUCAAUCCACUGCCUUAUAAAUAGGGACAGGAGGGCCCUAUUUUCAAUUCACCCCCUGCUGCUGCCGCUUCUUCUUCCUCUCGACACCAUGCGUUUUUGAGCUCCACCGCCGUCGACCUCGUCAACUACCUUGACUCCGGCCGCUGCAUCGACUUGAACGAACCAGAGCAUCGCGGCACACGUUCGCUAUCCAGCAGCCCCAGUAAGUACUCCUUUCUCGUAGCAAAUCUCUGUUAGGGUUUGCUCAAGUUCAUCAGAAUUCAUCUCCGCUCUUCUUUGUUCCUCUUUAAAUUGUGUAACAGAAUCUGAAUCCAUUACCAAAGUAGUGUUGCAACCGUUAGCAUCCCAUUUUAAUCAAAAAGAUUCCCCUUCCAUAGAAAUAAUCUAAUCUGACCACAUGAGCUCUUCCACUGCCACUGCCUUAGGUUUAGAAUUUAUUCCAUUUUCUGAACAGCUGCAGAUCCAAAAUUGUAACUCUAGUCUGUGAAAUCUGUUUGUCAUAACUUAGCAAAUCCCUACUUAUAGAUCUAAAAUUGUAGCAACCUGUUUCGGGCGGCUUAGCUGAUAAACUAUAACCCGCCAUGUAUCAUUAGUCCCCUUUUAAGCUGCCAAUAGAUAUAUCUGCAUAACUCAACGCUAUCCUCCAGCUUAACAUAUUGGCUAUUUAUAGCUCUAUUUUUUAAUCAAUAGUCCGGGUUAGUACAUGGUUUUAAACCGACAAUAUUUUCCUUUCAGACCUUCAUCCUCAACAAUGACCAAGACUAUCACCUCAUGCAACUGGGUAGCUUCCUGGGUCACCAAGGAAACUUUAAACAAGUUCGUCCAGACAAGCGUCUCAGCCAAAAAAUAUGUCAUCCACUUGAGGGUCCCAGGCAAUAAGAACCCUCCUGGGCCCAAGGAAGGCGAAGUGAUUGUUUUUAUUGAUCAUCUGCUCCGAGGCUUUACUCCUCCUGGCUCAAAAAAUUUCUGCGAUGUGCUGCACUGUUUCCAGCUCCAUCCUCAAGAUAUUGGGCCGAAUUCUGUUUCAAACAUCUGUAACUUUCAAGUGUUCUACGAGGUGUACCUUCAAUAGGAGCCCACUAUAGAACUAUUCAGAGAAUUUUAUUACUUGAACCGGCAGACCAAGUUCACAGACGGGCCCAGUCUAGAAUUAGGUGGUAUUUCGAUUCAAAGAUGGAAAGAAGCCACUUCCCCAGCUGCCAAACUGCCCAGUCAUCCCAAAGACUGGAACCAAACUUGGUUUUAUUUCCAAGACACUUCUCCAGAAGGGGAAAACCCUCUAGCGGGUCACCGUGUCAGCCGACUUAGCAACAGGCAUCCUCUUCCACACCGCAUUAGCACAGCGGAACGAAAAAAAUAUGUUUUUUUCAAAGAUCCGAGCCUUAAUGGCUAACGGCUUGACCGGAAUCGAUCUAGUUUGGUGUUGGGUCGCCUGGAGAAUUCUGCCCUUAAGUCGCAGCCCCGGCUUAAUGUGCAAGUACAUCGGUGCUUUAAAAGAUCCACAACGCCACUCCCAGAUUCAAUUGACUGAUGAGGAUAUCAAUAAUAUGACCAAGUCUCUAUUGAACGAGAGCUUGGCAGAUUGCAGUAAAGCCAGACUGAAUCCUUUCUGCACUCUCAACAAGCCGCCAGUUGUAAGUUUUGCACAUAAUUUUCAGUUGAAUCAUAUUUCCAUUUAAACUAUCCUAUUGUAAUCGUCUGAGUUCCACAGGACGAUUCUCCUUUUUGGAAUAAUAAGCUGCGGGACGAGCCGACCAAGACGACUCGGACAAAGAAUAAGGCUCAAAAAAAGCCUGCCAAGAAAAAGACCAACACCUCCGAGCUAUUUGACUUGGAUGACAUUGAGUCGGAGGUAGAACUUGACUCCCUUGGCUCAUUUUUGUACAUCUUAUUGACAAUGAUCACUAUCAGGAUGACGCCGAAGGCAGCCACGCAGAUGGCGAAGAGGUAACUAUCCUUUCCUCCGACUCAGAACCUCUGCCAAGACAAAAAGUUCGUCAAGCAAGCCAGAAAGUAAGGUUUUCUCAUCCUUUAGCUUAUUUGGAUCCCAACUUUAUUUUGAAGAAGCAGCAGCAUGAAGCUCGCCGCACGAAUGGAACAGUGAAGGCGGGAUUCUCUCCUCUGGCUUACCGAACACACCAGCUCCUCGCAAGCGUCGUCCAGAGGUUUCACCGAUUUCUGACUUAGCUUGUCCCAAGGUGGGUCUUUUUCGGCAACCUCUUAAUCCUUCCGACUCAAAUUACCAGGGAACAUCUCAUUCCUCCUCCGGUGAUUCAACGGGGACUCACAUCCCAGUCUUCAAGACCAUGCCCGGGUAAGAAUGUUAAAUCUCUGCUUUAAAUCAUGUACUCAAUUGUCAUAUUAACCCCGUCUUGUGCUUCAUUUUCAGAGCUAUGGCAAAGCCUAGCAAAAAGUUGAAAGUGACCAAAACAAUUGAAGACCUUAAUGAACCGAAGAAGCAAUUAACAAAAACUUCUCUUCAAGCUGCUGAGGCCACCACUGAUGGCCUGGCGCCAGAAGAGCACAACGUCACCAUCGAUCAUAUGGAUGUUGAACCGGCCACUACCAAGCCGCCAAGUCCCAUCGAGCCUACUGAAUAAAAGGCUGAUGAUGUUGUCAUUACUAGGCUUGGCUACACGGCGCCGGGCAAUCCCACUGUCUUGUCAAAGCACAGUGCUAAGGAUGAAAUCUCCGUUGCUGACAAAGGCAAAUGGUCGGUAAAUUUGGAAAGUUAUGCCCAAUAUAGUGCUCAAGAGAUCCACUCUGGGUAUCUGAACCAUCUGCACACAAGCUGCGACUUUGAGGCCGGCUUAGUCAAUCUUAUGAAGGAACGUUUUGAGGUAAACGCUACAGUCUUCUUCAUAUACUUCUAUCAGCCGCCAAGUCUACUAGAUAUGAUAGAAUUGAAUAUGAUGUAGACUUUAGAUAGCCUUAUAGAUAUCUAGAUCAAAACAAGAAGCCGCCAAGGGCCGGCUUAAGCUAUCAAGAUAAGCCGGGAGUUCAAAUAGUAGUGAGCAACUUUGCACCUGUAGCCCCCAAGGGCUGGCUUAAUCAGCAUGGAUAAGCCAGGACUUUUCACCAUAAUUGUCAAUAAAAUCCAAGUAUGUAGCCCCCAUGAGUCGGCUAUAGUCAUAAUAGUGUAGCCGGGUCAUCAUAGUAUUGCCUUCAAAAAAGAGCAAUGAGCAUUAGCCCCCAAGUGCCAAGUGAAAUACUUGUAUUGUGCUUGGGACUUCAAAGAAAAUGAUUGUAAUGAUGCCUGUCAUUUGCAUACUACAGGCGGAGCUAAAUAUGAAACAAUCCCAAGCCGCCGAUCUUCAGAAAAAUAUCAAGUCUCAACAAUCUGAAACUUCCAAGGCCAAAUCAGAAUUGACAACAUCCUUGGAAGAGAUGGAGAAGUUGAAAAAGGAUUUCAAGGCUGACAGGACAAAUUGGGAGACUAAGAAGACAACUCUGUUGAAAAGAGCAGAAGAAGCAGAAACAACCCUUAAACCGGUGGCUGAAGAGCUUUCCGGCUUAAAGCAUCAAAUUAACACCAUGUCAGCCACCAUCUUUGGUAAUUAACACUAUACUUCAAUAUUUCCAUAGCAAUUUAUACCAAUCAUUACCCAGUUUACCAAUACGUUGGCAUUGAUGCAGGCCCGAGAAGCUCCAGCCUUGGUGAAGAUAUGCACGUUAAACUCAAAGCCACAUAUACUCUUGUGGAGCAACUAUACUCUGGCGCUCAACGAGCCAUCUCUGCUGCUUUACACAAAAAAUCACCACCCUCUCUCAUCAAGGAAGUGCUGGAGAGGCUAUCUGUGCUGCCAUAGAGAAUCAAAGAGUUGAAGCGAUCAGCCGCCAGGGCCGUUGCCAUCACUGCAUUAACCUGGGCAAAGGCGUGUCAAGCGGAUCUUGAUCCAGAAGAUUUGACCAAUGGCUGCCCAAGCGUAAAAGAAGACGGGUCUCCCUUCAGUGUUGAUGACUUUGCUGAAAUAGUAAGGGAAAUGCGCCCAUUAGCAAGCAAACUGGUUGAAGACACAGACCUGUCCCAGUAUUAGGCGGUUUAUGACGCUGAAAACAAGAAGGUGAAAGCAUCGGUUCAUGAAGCCCAGGUCCUUAUUCCGCCAAUUCAUAAGCACACCUUUGCCCCUGAUAUUGACCCGUGACGAGGCUGUGUUCAAAGCUUUGACUGGGAUCAAUUGGGCCACAGCUGACAUCCAGUGAACGGGUGAAGAAGAAGAUGAACCGGUGCAAGAUGACCCGAAAGCCACGACCCGCCAAGACCAGGAGUCUUGAUCCAUGAGCCGAUUUACCAGCCACAGUGUUUGGAUGUCGUGUGUCUCAAAACACUUUAUUAUUUUGUGGCCACAUAAUGCCUUGUAAUAGGCUAGUUGAAAAACCAUGAUCUACCAUGCCACCGUGUGUGUUUAUUUGCAUAACACUUAUGAGCCAUUCGAUCUGAUUUGAAGAUCCACUGUUUGUGCACAUACUCAUUGUCAACCUUGCUGAUCAUGUUGUCAUAAGCCCUUCAUACAAACAGAGAACAAGUGCCCUGGCGGUUUACUCCAAGGCAGGUCAUAAUGCCCCAUAUAAAAUCCACUGGUGACUAUAUCGUCCAUAACCAAGGCGGGUUUAUCAAAACCUCAUAUAAUCAUAACAAAGUAAAUAUCAUACUUGUGAUACUUACUCAUACUGACGGCUUACAAAGCCACAUGUAAUAAGGGUAACAACCCAAAAACUGAGAGCGCAGCGCCCUAUGCAAUUUAUUCAUACUGUCGUCUUACAACACCACAGGCAGCAAAGGGUAACAUCCCGAAACUUAGAGUGUAGAACUCCAAGCACAUAAUCAUCACACACUGGCGACUUAAUGCCCAAAACCAGGCCGGCUUAGCAAAACACCGGAUAUAUUCAAAUAUGAAUUAUAAGGAUCAAGGCAACAUGGCCCUAAUCAAUUUUCAACCAUAUAUCAAUAUGGUACAAACAAAAAUCCCAAAAAAUGUUCAAAUCAAAUACAAAUCAGGAAAACAAGGCAUUCAAAGGCUGCCAAGCCUCAAUAUCAAGUGGUAUUCAAGGGCCGCACAACCACUGAGUUACUCCUUAAUUCAAACCUGUAAGUCGGGCCUCACAUGACCAAUCACCGUUUUAACUUUGAUGAGUUCAGGGUCUUUAUAAGAUUGACUAUCAAGAGUACGGAGAGUCAUUCCAAGAUUACCUAGUCGGAGUGACAAGCAUACAAAGUCAGGAUAACCCGAAUUUUUGGUGAAUACACCUGGCGUCCAAGCCUUUUACAAGGGACAACAAAGCUCUAUUCAUUUAACAAGGAGCCCUCAAGUAAUAUUUCGAUCAAGGCAUACAAGCCGGAUCAGUAGGGUAGUCAUAGCUAUGCUCAAUGAACAGGAAGCCCCCAAGUAAUUUGCAAUCAAGGCGUACAAGUCGGAUCAAGAGGGUAGUCAUAGCUAUGUUCAUUUGAACAGGAAGCCCCCAAGUGAUCUUAUGAAUUGACAAUAAAGACUCAAAUUCUCAGAAAUGAAACGACAGAGGCCCUGAAUUAUCAGGGAUGCCGGCUUUAUUAUGCUAAUCAUAAUAUAUACAUUGGUAGAAGUAUGUACAUCACAAGAGCCGGUGGCUCUGGUGUAACAAGGCCGAAGAUGAGCAAUAUUCCAUGGCCGGUAGGUCUCCUUCUCCGACGUGCGUGAGUCCUUGUGGCCUCGAACAUCGAUAAGGUAGUAUGACCCAUUGUUCAGAUUUUUGCUGACCACAAAGGGCCCUUCCCAAGGUGGGGAUAACUUAUGCAUGUCUGUUUGAUCCUGAAUGAGCCGGAGCACCAAGUCACCUUCUUGAAAGGUAUGGGUUUUAACCCGGUGGCUAUGAUAACGAUGCAUAUCCUGCUGGUAAAUCGCCGAACAAGCCGCCGCAAGGUCACGCUCCUCAUCCAGAAGGUCAAAAGCAUCCCGACGUGCUUUUUCAUUAUCAGCUUCAACAUAAGCCGCCACACGGGGCGAGUCGUGACAGAUGUCACUUGGGAGAACUGCCUCUGCUCCGUAAACCAUGAAGAAAGGCAUGUAACCCAUAGAUCUGCUGGGGGUGGUAUUGAUACUCCAAAGCACUAAAAGGUAACUCCUCAACCCAACAACCAGGCGUCCUCUGCAAAGGGACCAUAAGCUGGGGCUUUAUGCCUUUCAAGAUUUCUUGAUUGGCUCUUCUAGCUUGGCCAUUGGACUGGGGGUGAGCCAUUGAUGAUACAUCAAGACGAAUAUGCUCUUGUUGACAAAAUUCUUUCAUUGCACCCUUAGACAGGUUUGUACCGUUAUCAGUGAUGAUACUAUGAGGCCAUGAGAGUAUCCAAACCGAAAGAUCACCUAAUAACCCUUGAAAUGACCAGCAAUAGCGUCAACCUCGCGGCGAUAAGCCGCCAUGAGUGGGUCCUUUGAAUCCCAAGUUCCUGAAACUUGCUGAGCCACCAAGUCUGAGUCGCCAAAACAACUCACCCGACUUAGAUUCAUCUCUUUAGCCAUUCGAAGACCAUGGAGCAAGGCUUCAUACUCAGCUGCAUUGUUAGUACAAGGGAACAUCAACCAAAAACAUAACAAAAUUUAUCACCUCGUGGGGAAGUCAAAAUAACUCCAGCCCCCGAGCCUUCCAAUUGCCUGGAUCCAUCAAAGAAAAUAGUCCAAUAUGUGUUAUCCGGCUUUUCCUCCGGCAUCUGUAGCUCUGUACAUUGAUGAAAUCCACAAGUGUUUGAGACUUCAUAGUUGUUCGAGGUAUAUACUUCAAACCAUGAGGUCCAAGCUCAAUAGCCCAUUUGGCUACCCGACCCGUGGCUUCUCUGUUUUGAAUAAUAUCCCCUAGGGGAGCAGAACUAACCAUAGUGAUGGGAUGACCAAGGAAAUAUUGUUUCAACUUACGGCUAGCCAUGAACACGCCAUAAACCAGUUUCUGCCAAUGUGAGCAUCUCUGCUUAGACUCAAUGAGCACUUCACUGACAUAAUAAACCGGCCUUUGAACCAGAUAUUCCUUGCCUGACUCUUUCCUUUCCACCACAACUGCCACACGAACGGCUCUGUUGUUAGCAGCCACAUAUAAAAGCAAGGGCUCCUUCUCAAUAGGAGUUGCAAGAACUGGUGGCUCAGACAGCUAUUUUUUAAGCGCCUCAAACGCCUCAUUGGCCGCAUCACUACAGACGAAAUGAUUUGUCUUCUUCUUCAUCUGAUUAAGAGGAAUGGCCUUUCACCCAGAUGGCUUAUAAACCGACACAAAGCCGCAAUACGACUCGCCAAGCGCUGGACGUCAUUUAUACAUGCCUGUUUAGACAAUGAAGUGAUAGCCUUGAUUUUCUCCGGGUUAGCUUCAAUGCCUCUCUCAGAAACCCCAAACCCCAAUAGUUUGCCUGCUAGUACGCCAAAGACACACUUGGUCGGGUUAAGCAUCAUCUUAUAGACCCAAAGAUUAUCAAAGGUCUCUUUAAAAUCAUCUAUCAAAGUCUCUUUCUUCUUGGACUUCACAAGAAUAUCAUCCACAUACGCGUGAACAUUGCAUCCAAUCUGGUCAUGGAGGCAAUUCUGAACGCACCGCUGAUAAGUCGCAUGGGCACUCUUGAGCCCAAAAGGCAUAGAACAUAUCGAAAGGCUCCAAAGGGAGUGAUGAAAGUUGUCUUCUCCUGGUCCUUAACUGCCAUCUUGAUCUGAUGAUAACUGGAAUAAGCAUCCAGAAAGCUCAAACGCUCACAAACCGUCGUAGCAUCAAUAAUCUGAUCAAUACGAGGGAGAGCAAAAGGGUCAACUGGACAGGCCUUAUUAAGAUUUGUAUAAUCCAAGCACAUACGUCAAGUGCCAUUCUUCUUAAGCACCAGCACCGGGUUAGCCAACCACUCAGGAUGAAAAACUUCAAUGAUGAACCCAGCCGCCAAGAGCCGGGCCACCUCUUCACCAAUAGCCUUAUGUCUCUCUUCAUUGAAACGACGAAGGAAUUGCUUGACCGGCUUAAACUUGGGAUCAAUAUUGAGAGUGUGCUCAGCGAGUUCCCUCGGUACACCUGGCAUGUCUGAAGGUUUCCAUGCAAAGAUGUCCCGAUUCUCAAGGAUGAACUCGAUGAGCACGCUUUCCUAUUUCGGAUCCAUAUUAGCACUGAUGCUGAACUGCUUGGAUGAGUCGCCAGGAACAAAAUCAACCAACUUAGUAUCAUCCACCGACUUAAACUUCAACAAGGGGUCGUUCUUUGUAGUUGGCUUCUUCAAAGGCGUCAUAUCCGCCAGGUCAACAUUAUCUUUAUAAAAUUUCAACUCCUUUGUGGCACAAGCCGACUCAGCAUACGCAGCAUCACCUUCUUCACAAUCCAGAGUGAUCUUCCUAUUACCGUGCACCGUGAUGGUGCCUUUAUGACCCGGCAUUUUAAGCUGCAAAUAAACAUAACAAGGUCGUGCCAUAAAUUUGGCAUAAGCCGGCCGCCCGAACAGAGCAUGAUACUGGAUUUUGAUCUUGAACACCUCAAAGGUCAACUUUUCAGCUCUAGAAUCAUGGUCAUUACCAAAGGACACCUCCAGGAUUAUCUUACCCACCGGAUACGCCGACUUACCAGGCACCACCCCAUGGAAAACAGUAGAAGACGUCUUAAGGUCCUUGUCAGUCAAAUUCAUACAGCGGAAAGUAUCAUAGUAAAGGAUAUUGAUACUACUACCCCCAUCCAUGAGCACCUUUGUAAGCUUGUAUCCUCCUGCAUGAGGAGCAACCACCAAUGCCAAUUGACCCAGAUUGUCAACCCGGGGCGGGUGAUCCUCACGGCUCCAUAUGAUAGGUUGCUCAGACCACCUCAAAUAUCGAGGUAUCGCCGGCUCAAUGAGUUCACCACCCGCUUAUGGAUUUUCUGAUCUCGUUUGCACAAACUUGUGGUAAACACAUGAUAUUGACCACUAUUUAGCUGCUUUGGAUUGCUCUGAUAACCUGACUGCUGUUGCUGAUUCCCCUGACCAGAUUGCUGAUUAAAGUCACCAUGAUUGCCUUGGCCCUGAAAAACCAGAGCUUGAACCACCACCUCCAAAGCCAGGCUCGUGAGAUCCGGAUCCUGAGACGCCACGCGGGCCAUGGUUAUUUUGGAAAAAAAUAGAGUUUCUAUACUCCCUCAUGAUGAAGCAAUCCUUCCACAGAUGACUGGUCGGCUUCUCGUGGGUGCCAUGCUUUGGGCAAGGCUGAUUCAUCAUGGCCUCGAGGUUGAACUUCGGCCCUCCAAACCGGGGUGCUGGUGUUUUCCCCUUACAACGCUGAUUAUUGUUCUACGCAUUGGUGUUAGCUACAAAGUCUAAACCACCAUCGGCCUUGCGCUUACCAUUGCCACCUUGACCCGCCGUAUUAUGUUGUCCCUUUGCAUUGUCACUCCUUUUCCCUUUGUCAGCCUUCUCCUCAUCAGACUCAGGGUCCUUAGUACUAUCAGAGUCGGCAUAUUUGACGAGAGCAGCCAUGAGCUCCCCCAUAUCAUUGCAGCUGCGCUUAAGCCGCCCCAGCUUUUGUUUCAGAGGAAGAAAAUGACAAUUCUUCUCCAGCAUUAGGACGGCUAGGCCGGCGUUGAUACUGUAUGAUGAAUGGAUAAUGAUAGAGAUCUGGCGUAUCCAAUUGGUUCUUAACUCGCCUUCUCCCUGGACACAUGAAUCUAAGUAUGGAAUUGACAUAGGCUGCUUGCAUGUGUCUUUAAAAUUUUGAAUGAAAUGCGCCUUCAGCUCAACCCAUGAUCUGAUGGAGUUAGCAGGCAAUCCUUUCAGCCAAGUAUGCGUCGGCCCAUCCAAGAUCAUAGUGAAGUAUUUAGCACAUGCGGCAUCACUAACAUCCAACAUCUCCAUAGCCAUCUCAUAACUCUCAAUCCAAGCUUCCGGUGGUUGAUCCACCAUGUAAUUAGGCACAUUGUGAGGGCCCUUGAAAUCCUUAGGCAAGCGCUCGUUUCGUAGAGCCGACACCAAACAUGGCACACCAAGGGUUCUGGAGGUCACACCUGCCUCCAGAGACGCCGACGGAUAAACCGGACAUUGUUGUUGAGCCGCCAGCUCAGCCUCACGCUGUGCUCUGCCGUGGUCCACCAAAGCCUGAGCAUCAUUACCAGCGCGCGGCGGGUCGGGCCUACGAGGCUGGUUGUGGUGCCGCUCACUGCUCGACAGUGCCUGUGAGUCAAUGUGCAUGCUAUAACUCCGGCUUGGACGCGGGGUUGAAUGAAUCCAUUCACGACUGUAUGAAUAAGCCACCUGUUGAGCCACUGCCAUCUGAAGAAGCUCUCCGGCUCGCUGUAUCUCCAUCGCAGCUGGUGACUCAUCUUGAACAGGAAGGCUGCCAAACGGGUGGCCGCAAUGAUCAUAUUGUCCAGAGGGUUAGAAUAAUGACCCAGGGGCGUCGGAACAUGCUGAGGAGGGGUUAAGUUCAAACGUGGGGGGUCUGCAGCACGUGGCUAAACCGGUGUUCCAGCUGCCGGCGCCUUAAUGACCCAAUCCACAACAGGCGGGUUACUGGUUCCUGCCCAAGGCGUGUUGAAAAGGUUUCUCGCAUCGUAAACUGGGGGUAAAUGACUUGUAUGCCUUCUGUUAAAGACAAAGUUUGAUGCGUUCCGGUCUAAGCUCAAGCGAAAAUUUUCUGCUUGAAUCCGCUUUGCUUCGCUCUCCAAGGCAGCUCGUUCCGUUGCCAUCCGUGUGUUCUCAGUGUUAAGACCCUCCUUAGCUUGAGUUAUCUCAUCACGUAACUUUGCAACAUCCACAUUAUGUUGCGCUUGGUUCGCCGGGGUUACUUCCACCAUCAGCAAUGUCGCCAGAGCUUCCAAUAGUUCAGAUAAAACUUGAGCCGGCGGGCGCACAGGGCCUCCUGCCCUGGCUGCCGCAGCAGUUGCUAAACCGGAGAUCAUUGUUGCCGUAGCUAAAGAAUUCUGCACCGGCUGUGUACCGGCCAUCAAUAUUGCAACCCGGUUUGGCGACUCAUAUGGGUCCGGAAUGCUGUCGCCAUCGGAACAAUCCCCAAGCCUACCAUCUUGCACUUGAUACAUGGAGUUGGCCUCGCCGGUUUAGGACUCAUCGCCUGAGUAGAUGGCCGUCUCUCCACUGGACACAGAUCCUCCUUCCAGAUCCACUCCUUGAGUAAAGACAACAAAGACACGCUUUGGGGCAGCUUGAAUCUUGGCGGGUCGCGGGCGCUAAGCCGUUUCGACGAUGUCAGUGCAGGUGUCCGGCUCAGCUUCUGACUCACCGAUCUUGCCGAUGAAGACAUGAAUUCCGCCGAAGGGGACCCGAUACCCGUACUCAAUUAAGCCGGCCUCGGGGGCCCAACCCGCGUCAUCAAUGUAGAGCUUGUCGCGGUGACUCUUAGUCAUCCGGCCUAUAGCGUAUCCCUUGAUCCAUGCGUAGUUGUCCUUCAAGAACUCGAAACCACCGCGCGUUGGCCCCACGGUGGGCGUGAACUGUCAUGGACUUAACACGACAGAUGCCCUAGAAAGAGGACUUACGUGCGGAGCCACUGCCGCCAGGUUAGCUUGAAGGGGUUAAAAUGGGACAAAUGACACAGAGAGUUUUACCCAGGCCCGACCCCUCUUAACGAGGUAAAAGCCUACUCAUGCUUUAGGUUGUAUUGCUUGGGUUUCGAUUACUAGGGAGCGAAUACACUUGACCUAGUUCUCGAUCUGUUGUUUCUUGUCUUAACCCGCCACCAGUCACCCCUUUAUAUACACAGGCUGGUACCCGACGGCUUACACAGUCCCGGCCGGCUCAUACACAACGUGUCCGGCUCGGUGAAAACUGAGCUUGCCUUACAAUACAAGUUACACAUAUGGCGGUUUAUCCUCUUGGUCCUUAAGUCGCCUCUAGGUCUUGGGCCUUCAAUAGGCUUACUUCAUAACCCGCCAUCUUCAUCCUUGAGUUGCCAACAGUAUGACCCGACCCCUCUUGGGCAGGUCAUACCUAAUAGUUAUAUCCCCAACACCCCUGGAGCUGCACACUCUCGUAGGCACGACCAUGAAGUUGCACACCCUCGUUGGCAUAGUCGCACACAUGUGAUGACAGAGGCGUAUAGACUUGUUGCCACAGCAGCUCAAGCAGAACCGCGAGAGUUGCACACAUGCGGCGGGAUAGUCGCACAUGCAGAGAAGUUGCACACUAUUGUCCACAUAGUCAUACACGCACGACCGCGGAGUUGCACACUUUUGUCGGCAUAGUCGCACACGCACGAUGACAGAGCUACACACUCCCGUCGGCGUAGUAGCUCACGCACUUUCGCGGAGUUGCACGCUAUCAUUGAGAUAGUCGCACACACAUGGUAGCGGAGUCGCACACACACGACCGCGAGUUGCACACUCUCGUAGGCAUAGUCGCACACGCACGACCGCUGAGUUGCAUGCUCUCGUCAGCAUAGUUUCUCACAUGCGACCGCGUAGGUGCACACUCGGCCUAGCAGCUCACGAACGAGAGUUGCACACACGUAGUGGCAUAGUCGCACACACAACCAUGGAGUUGCACACUCUCGUCGGUGUAGUACCCCACGCACGACCACGGAGUUGCACUUUCGUCCGCAUAUAGUCACACACGCAUGGCCGCAGAGGUGCACUCUUGUCGGCAUAGGUGUCCACUCUCGUUGGUUGUGAGAGUUGCACAAGCGCGAUGGAGUAGUUGCUCACAUGCGGUUGCGGAGCACACCCUAUGUUGCUCACGAAUGGACUGCGGAGUUGCACAUUCUCAUCUGAUAGUUUCUCAUGCACGGCUGCAAGCUCUCGUUGUUAUAGUAGCUCAGGCACUACCACGUGAGUUCCACAUGCGCGGUGGCAUAGCCGUACAAUCACGGUUGCAGGAGUUGCACACGCGCAGUGUCAUAGUCACACACGCACAACCACGGAGUUACACGCUCUUGUUGGCAUAGUUGGCCGAGACAACAUAUGAAGUUGCACAUCCACUGUUAGGCCGUUGGCCAAGAUAACGAACAGUGAAAACUACACAUCUGUGGGUCGAGGGAAAGUUGUACAUCAACUUCUAUGCAGUUGGCCAGGGCAAGAAUCUACGUUGCACAUCUCACUAGUAGGGUAUAGUCUGGGGUGGAGGCGUCAUCCAUGAAAACAUCAUGUACAUGGUACAAGGAAAAGUUGUACAUCGACUGUUAGUUAGUUGCACAUUGACUACUAGAUAGUUGCACCAAACGGGGAGUAAGCCGCACACAUAAAAGUUCAUCGAAACAUGCUCAAGCGGGAUUUAGUUUCGAAGAGCACAUCCUGGCAGUUACAACGGUAAAAGCGGAUCUCAAUUUCGAUGUUAGGUUCAAAAGUUAUGACAUUUAAAAAAAUGAAAUGUGAAUUUAAUGUGUUCACACAUGUUCGCAUCCGUGAAAACUGCAUGUCUACGAGUUGGGGAAAAGUUGCACGUGAACUGUGAGGUAGUUACACAUCGACUAUUAGUCAGUUGCACAAAACGGAGAGAUAAUCGCACAUAAACAAAUUCGUCAAAACAUAUUCAUGUAAGAUAUAGUACUGAAGAGCACGUCGCGGGGAUUCCAACGGUGAAAACGGAUCUUAAUUUUGAUAUCCGGUUCAAAAGUUAUGGACUUUUAAAAAAAGUCUAAAACCCAAAUUAAAUGCGUUCACCCUUGUUCACAUAGAUAUCAUUUUUCUUUUCCUUUUUCACAUGAUACUUUUCCUAAUAUGAAUUAUGAGACAAAAGUAUUUCCAUAUAUGACUGGCCACUCCGAAUGACUAACGAGCCUACGGCCACUCGCUAGAUGCGUCCUAUGUUUUUAGGUUAGUUUACCUUUUUUUAACGGUUGAUUAUGUUAGUUUACCUGCCGUUUUUUUAGAAACACUGCGUAAGUUCUUUGGUGGUUAAAAUCGUGGCCCAACCGAAAGAAACAUGGUCAGGUCCAUGGUGGUUUGAAAGCCCAUAUGUGUUGAGCGGAAAAUAGACAGCAGCUUCCAGUAAUAUCGGGCCAGCGCAAAACGCUCCGCAGUUUCCCGCUUCCUUUUUUUUUAAAAAAACUUUUUUCACACUGCCGCCAAUUGUUUUGUCAGUCCCACCGCGCGCGUAGUUCAAACCCCCCAAAAACAUCAGCGCGCCAGAAAUUUCGCCGGUUUCCCUCCCAACUCCCCCCUACCGCCCCCCACGCCCCGCCUCCCCACCCCACCACUCGAAAUAAAUACAGAUAGCAAAACCGCUGAAUAGCGCAAAGAGGAGAGAAGCACCCAAGCCCAAGUCAGUUCUAAGCCUUGUAGCUGCUCGACCUAGAGAGGAGAGAGGAAGUCAGGUGAGGCAGCGGAUCCCCGGCGGUGUAGCUUGAAACCUCUUUUGCUUGCUUGGUUUUGCUGAUGGUUUCGGUGGGUGUGCAGGUAGGAGGCUCUGCUGCGAAGGGAGAUGGCCGGGAAGGGAGGCAAGGGGCUGCUUGCGGCGAAGACGACGGCGGCCAAGGGCGCCGCCGACAAGGACAAGGACAAGAAGAAGGCGCCUGUGUCCCGCUCCUCCCGCGCCGGGAUUCAGGUUUGCCCGCUCCCCAAUUCCCCCUCUCUCCUCUCUCUCUCUCUCUCUCUCUGAUUUUAAUCGAUAGUUCUUAUUGUGUCCCGCUCUACCCGCGCCGGGAUUUAGGUUUGCCGGCUCCCCAAUUCCCCCUCUUUCCUCUCUCUCUCUCUCUCUGAUGUUAAUCUCUAAGCGUUUCCUGCCGCGGAUCUAGUGCCAUGUUGCACCUUAUGUUUGUACGAGAUUUGUUGUAGAAUCUUAUUGUGUUCCGUUGUCUGUAUUGAUUAUCGAUUUGCAUGAGUAAUGAUUAUCGGUUAGCCGGUUCUUUUAGGCUGUCUCCCCCAUCUUAGUCGUGGUUUAUUUGUUCUAUUGUAAACUAUGUCAGAUCUAUGUUUUGCACUCCUGCAAUGUUAUGACAGUAUACUGAUUGUAGGCUUCAUUACCAUGCACUGGCAAAAGCCCUAUAUUUUAUUGAUCUAACUUGUAGCUGUACCUUUUGAAUUCUACCCACACUUGUACCGUACUAUUGUGUGAUCCGUUUACGAUUUUUUCUAUAUAUUAAUAACAUUGCCGGAGAUAGGCAUGUGUUUUUGUGAUGCAAGCAUUGCUGUCUACUUGGUUACUUGUGCCAUUCGAGGGAAUGCACUCUUCCAUGUUAUCAACUUACUACUGAUGCUGCAGGAUUCAGCAUCAUGAGCGCUCAAUCUCACUUGUUCUGUGUUUCUAGAUCAUUCACUUGUUCUGUAUUUGGCACAGCUAAUAUAUAGUUUCAGCUUGGGAUAUCCAUUAUCAGAACUGAUGUCUUUACUGUUCAUAUGUUUGCAUGUUUAAAUUAUGACCUCGUCAAUGGCUGAUCAUGACCUGCUCGUGUGUUUGCACCAUGCAGUUCCCGGUGGGCCGUAUACACAGGCAGCUCAAGCAGAGGGUCUCGGCUAAUGGCCGUGUGGGUGCCACUGCCGCUGUGUACUCUGCAGCAAUCCUUGAGUACCUUACUGCUGAGGUCCUUGAGCUGGCCGGCAACGCCAGCAAGGAUCUCAAGGUGAAGCGUAUCACCCCUCGCCACCUGCAGCUUGCGAUCCGUGGAGAUGAGGAGCUGGACACCCUCAUCAAGGGCACCAUCGCUGGUGGUGGUGUCAUCCCUCACAUCCACAAGUCCCUCAUCAACAAGACCUCCAAGGAGUGAAUGAAAUGCAAUAACGGGUAGUUGUUGUGCGUUGUAUCUUCGUGAUCCCCUGUUAUGUUGUGCUAUCUGUUAUGUGUUGCUAUUAUCACAACCUGAAUAGGUUGUCUGAAUUUGUGAUGGGGCUAGCUUUCGGUAACUUGUUAUUAGGUAAAGACUUGGCAAAUGUAAUCGUGAUAUGGAACUGCUCAUAUUUGGUUUCUUGAAGACUAGACAAUCCUUACUAUUCGUGUUCAUGGAUAUUAACUUUUUUAUUUUUGUUGGUUUCACUCGAGAUCACUGCAACUGGUCUGCCUGCUGGCUGGAUGCUUCGUUAGAUUAUGUGUAUGGUUUCUCUUGUCAAGAACAAAUUCUUUGACAGCAAAAUGGAUGUACAGAGAUGGAUUUAGAAAUGGAGGAGUAAUUUAUUUGUUGUAUGAUUCAACCAUAAAAUUUAUAUAUUUUCAGUGUGGAUUCAUAUAUGCUCAACAAGUUACCCCUAGUUGCACUUGCACUUAUUUAUGUUGAAGUUGUUGACGUAUAUCUAGAACGUUUACAACAUGUGUUGCCGCACAUUGUCCUCAUCAUCCAUAAUCAUGUUGUGCAAGAUUACAAAACAUGUCAUCAACUGCACAAUAUCAUUGGAUCCCACAUCAUUGCAGCUCCAUGAACAAAACCCCCAGGAUGCCGGAGCAAUCUGAAUGCCCUAUCCACAUCUUUCCUGGCACCUUCUUGCAUUCUUGCAAAAUGACAUUAUUUGUUACCUUGGCGCUUAGAUAUAGUCUUCACAAAAGCUGUCCACUGGGGACAAAUACCAUUGGCAAGGUACUAUCCAUUUUGUAGUUAUGCAUGUUGACAAUGUAGUUGCAUGCUGGAGUAUCACCAUCACAGAGUCUCUUGAACAACGGAGAUUACUAGAGCACAUUGAUGUCGUUAUGCGAACCUCGCAUGUCAAAUCUGCAAAUUCUUUGGUGCCACUGCUUCAAGCAUGAUGGUGGCCUCUUUGGUGCGACCUUGGUAUUGUCCUUGCAAACUUGUCGCGCAAUACUUUGAUAACCCACAAGUAUAGGGGAUCGCUACAGUCUUCAAGUGUAGUAUCUCACCCAAAUUUAUUAAUUCGACACAAGGGGAGCCAAAUAAUAUUUAUGAGCCUUAGCAGUUGAGUUGUCAAUUCAACCACACAUGUGAAAUUAUAUUUCUGCAGCAAAGUGUUCAGUAGCUGAUAUGUCUCCAACGUAUCUAUAAUUUUUGAUUGUUCCAUGCUAUUAUAUUAUCUGUUUUGGAUGUUUUAUAUGCAUUAAUAUGCGAUUUUAUAUUAUUUUUGGGACUAACCUUUUAACCUAGAGCCCAGUGCCAGUGUCUAUUUCCCCCCUUGUUUUUGAGUUUUACAGAAAAAAAAUACCAAACACAAUCCAAACGGAAUAAAACUUUUGCGAUGAUUUUUCUUGGACCAGAAGACACCAGAGGACUUGGAGAGGGGCCAGAAGGUUCCUGAGGAGGCCACAAGCCUCCUAGGCGCGCCGCGGGGGGGGGGCUGAGGGCUUGUGGGCCCCUCGGGAGUCCUCCAACCCUAAUCUUUCCACUAUAAAUUCAGAAAUAUCCCCCCAACAUCAGAGGCAUCCACAAAAAUACUUUUCCACCGCCGCAAGCCUCUGUUCCCGUGAGAUCCCAUCUUGGGGCCUUUUCCGGCACCCUGUCGGAGGGGGAUUCGAUCACAGAGGGCCUCUACAUCAACCUUGAUGCCCUUCUAAUGAAGCGUGAGUAGUUUACCACAGACCUAUGAGUCCAUAGCUAGUAGCUUGAUGGCUUCUUCUCUCUCUUUGAUAUUCAAUACAAUGUUCUCCUCGAUGUUCUUGGAGUUCUAUCCGACGUAAUAUUCUUUUGCGAUGUGUUUGUCGAGAUCCGAUGAAUUGUUGAUUUAUGAUCAGAUUAUCUAUGAAUAUUAUCUGAGUCUUCUCUGAACUCUUUUAUGCAUGAUUAAAUAUCUUUGUAUUUCUCUUCGAAUUAUCGGUUUGGUUUGGCCAACUAGAUUGGGUUUUCUUGCAAUGGGUACCCGCGAGUGAUGUGGAGACGGGUUGGCCAAGAAGGUGCCCGCGAGAUACUUACGAGGCGUGGCCGGACAUUCCUAGCCCCUGCCGCAAGUCCUCGAGACGGGGCAAUGGGGUCACAUCUUUCGUGAGUCUCUGCUUGUUACCACACGUUCCUAAUCCACUACGAUUUGGAUAUUUGAUCCAAGGGGCCUCUGGCCUGAUAGCACUAACCAUCACGUGGGCAUAGUAUGGGCGUUCUGCGUCGUAUACAUCAACCGAAGCUUAAUAGACAUCAGCGACUGAGCGGCGCGCGCCGGGUUGGACUGCGUAAGCACUUGCCUUUUUGAAGGAGGUAGCUAGGUCUGCUCACCGGCCGCCCACACAACGUGCAGGAGUUCCCGGGGAGAUGGCCCAUGACCCCUGGGGGCAUAGGUUUAGUCCGGCAUGCUUGACCUCUCUAUUAAGCCUAGGUCGGGUUGCGGCGUAUUGUUUGGCCGAGGCAGGGCAUGACCGAGGAAAGUGUGUUCGGCCGGAGUUAAUCGAGCGUGGUGGGUAAGUUGGUGCACCCCUGCAGGGAAGAAAACAUCUAUCAAUAGCUCGUCCUACGGUAACGGACACUUGGAGUUGUAUCCCGAUCGAUACAACUAAAACUGGAUACUUGUGAUGAGAAUUGGAUUGUGAUGAGGUGAUAACUGGAUGGUAUGGCUCUGGGAUUGCUUUCUCACAGGGAGUCGAGAAAGGAUCUCUGGCCGAGGUUGAUAACACUACUACUACUUUACUUUAUGCUACUCUACUCCCUCCUGUUUGCUGCAAGAUGGUGGUUUCCUGAAGAUGCUAGUCUUUGAUAGGACUAGGCCUUCUCUCUAUUCUGGCAUUUCUGCAGCCCAGUCCACAUAUACAGCCCCUCUUUGAUAAUGUUGCAUAUGUAGUGUAGAUCCUUGCUUGCGAGUACUUUGGAUGAGUACUCACGGUUGCUUGCUCCCCCUUUUCCCCCUUUCUUCUUCUUUCCGGUUGAUGCAACCAGAUGUCGGAGCCCAGGAUCCAGACGCCACCUUUGACGACGACUGCUACUACCACGAGGGUGCCUACUACUACGUGAAGACCGCUGACGACUAGGAAUAGUUAGGAGGCUCCCAGGCAGGAGGCCUUGCCUUUUCGAUCGUAGAUGCUUUUGUGCUAGCCUUCUUAAGGCAAACUUGUCUAACCUAUGUGUGUACUCACAUAUUGUUGCUUCCGCUGACUCUUGUGUAUUUGAGCUUAUGUAUUCGAGCCCUCGAGGCCCCUGGCUUGUAAUAUAAAGCUUGUAUUAUUUUAAUUUGUGUCUAGAGUUGUGUUGUGACAUCUUCCCGUGAGUCCAUGAUCUUGAUCAUACACAUUUGCGUGUAUGAUUAGUGUACGAUUGAAUCGAGGGUGUCACAAGUUGGUAUCAGAGCCGACUACCUGUAGGUAGCCCCCUUUCCAAUUCCUUGGCCGAAGUUGAGUCUAGUCACUAAAAAACUUGUACUAACAUUGGCUGUGUGUCUUACGGGCCCACAUCGCCAUUGGGUGGUAUUAGGAUCUUUUACUCCUCGUCUAUACUCUAGGACUCUUAACUCUCUUCUACUCGGGUUAAAUGAAUUUACUAACUCUAACAUUAGGAUCCCGUGACCACAUUCACCCCAAAGUUGGAUAAGCCAUAGUUAUUCCUUAGAAUAGCCUCUUGAAUAGUACACACACCGUCGAGUUGACUACUAUGUGGUAUCCAUCAUACCUCUUUCUUUAUGCAUGUUUCAUCAUGAAUGAUCCUUGUAUUUGCAAAUGCUCAAUGCUGAACUACCCCCUGUUACAUGUCAGCAGGAUGGUUAGACCCGCUGGUCGUGGCCAUGGUGCCAACGAUCCACCACCACCCGAAUUCUUUGCCGGAAUGAUGCAGCAAUUUGAGCUGAACCGCCAGUUCAUGGAAGGAAUGAUGGCUCAGUUUCCUUGUCCGAACAUGAAUCAGCAGCCAACCCCAGUAACUCUGCACGACUUCAUGCGCCUCAACCCAACUAUUUACCGCAACUCAACUCAGCCCCUCGAUGCUGAUGACUGGCUCCGCGACAUCACAUAUGAAAUGGAGUCUGCUAGUGUGGCCCCUGCUAGCUAUGUCACCUUUGCAUCAUUCUUUCUGAAGGGUCCCGCUGCUCAAUGGUGGGACAGCCAUAGGCAUACUCUACCUGUUGGAACAGUCAUCACUUGGCCGGAUUUCCAAGCUGCCUUCCGUGCUCGUUUUAUUCCUCAGGGAAUCAUGGACAAGAAGAAGCGCGAGUUCCACAACCUCACCCAAGGAAAUAAGGCUGUAGAUGCUUAUCAGUGGGAAUUUCUAGACUUGUCACGUUAUGCUGAAGAAGACAUUGCAACUGAUGCUCGUAAGCAAGAGAAGUUUCGUGACGGACUUCACCCGUAUAUCAAGCUAGCACUGCUCGUUCAUGACUUUGCUGAUUUCGCCACUUUGGUGAACAAGGCUAUUCAGGUUGAGACUGGUCUUCAGGAACACCAGGGAUCCCUCAGCGCAGCCGUGACGCUGGCUCAUCUUCGGGCCCGUCAGCACAGAAGCGUCGGAUAUGGAUCCCCCACAGCAUGUAUCAUCCAACUGCACCUGCUCCAAGACAUUCCUAUGUUGCACCUCGUCUACCUCCUCCACCGCAAAGGCAACCUCUUCGAGCUGUACCACCCAAAGCUCCUGAUCCCAACCCCAAUGAUGGUCUAUGCUUCAAGUGUGGCCUUCCAGGUCACCGCUCCAGGAAAUGUCCUCAGAAUCAGAAUCAACUCGCUCUUCCUGCUGCUGGUCGUGGUAACAAUCAACCCCGCAACAACAAUGCCCGACCUUAUGGUUGUGGGCAGGCUAACAACAUUGAUCUGAAUGAAGCUCAAGACCAGCCUGCUACUGUGAUGGGUACUCUCCUUGUUAAUUCAGUACCAGCUUCUGUUUUAUUCGAUUCAGGAGCAUCACAUUCAUUCAUGUCAGAAAAUUUUGCAUACGCACAUGACAUUCGAUGUGAGCCCAUGAACACUCUGAUAGUGGUACGCACCCCUGCGGGUCAGUGUUGAACUACCAUGAUUGGUCGCGACGUCCCCGUUGAAAUUGAAGGGUUGGAAUUUCAUGUUUCUCCCAUUAUUCUGGAGUCUUCCAAUAUUGACCUCAUUCUGGGAAUGGAAUGGUUGAAAGCACAAUACUGCCUCUAUCGUUUGCACCACCAAAGUCAUUCAUCUCCUACAUCCUUCCGAUGAGAUAGUAAGCUACCAUGCUCAGAUUGUUCAAAACGCUGAAGCAUGACUUUAUGCUUUGAAUGCGUUGAAUGCAGCACCUCUUGAGGGAAUUGAAAAGAUUCCAGUCGUUCGCGACUUCCAAGACGUAUUUCCAUAAGAACUUCUAGGAAUACCCCAUGCCCGGGCUGUCGAGUUCGUCAUCGACUUGAAACCAGGCACCGUUCCUAUUGCCAAACGACCCUACAAGAUGCCACCUCAUGAACUCCUUGAACUUAAGGAGGAAAUCGACAAAUCUCUUCGUAGUAGUUUCAUUCGUCCAAGUUUCUCUGCUUGGGGAGCACCUUCUCUCUUCGUCAAGAAGAAGGACGGAACGAACCGUCUAGUCCAAGACUACCGUCCUAUCAACCAAGCUACAAUUCAGAACAAAUAUCCCCUUCCUCGGAUCAAUGAUCUGUAUGAUCAACUAGCUGGUUCAUCGAUAUUCUCUAAACUUGACUUGAGGUUGGGUUACCACCAGAUCCGUGUUCGUGAAGAGGAUAUUCCAAAGACUGCAUUCGUCACUCGUUAUGGUUCUUACGAGUACACAAUUAUGUAUUUUGGCUUAACCAAUGCUCCAGCUACAUUCUCUCGUCUGAUGAACUAUAUAUUCAUGGAUUACCUCGACAAGUUUUUCGUAGUCUAUCUGGAUGAUAUACUAGUAUAUUACCGAAAAAAUCUUUCGCCCCGCUUUAUAUAUAAAGCACCAAACCACAAAGACCAUGAUAGAAACUCACGCCACCACCGCACAUGACACACACACCCAAGGCAAGAUACAAGGGUGCCGGGCACCGCCACACCACCCCAACGACUACCAAGCCACUACAAAUGCGCGAGGACAAACUGCUUGGAGCCACCAGAGACCUCCUCCUCCGAGGGGAGGUGAGACGGGAAUGACUGAACCAGGACUCCAAGAUGGUGCCUCCAAGAAGGGAACGACCACGAUAGCCGCCACCAUCCGAUCCCAAAGAUCGGGUUUUCACCCGGAGCAACUCGAAGGAGAAAGGCCACUGCAACGGAGCCUACAGGAAGGAUACGGUGUCCACGGACGCCGCCACCGUCAGCCAAUACAAGAUUGGGCAGGUAAUGAACCCCAGCACGCCCACCCCUCCGAAGCAACCUAGCUCCGUCAACCACCAGCGACCACCCACCCACGUGGCCGUGGCCGCUCGCCCGCACCGAGGCGCAAGUCCCGCCCACGAACUUCGUGCCUCCCACCGCCGGGGCCGCCGCCCUGCAUCCAGACACCCCCAGGACCGACCAAAGUGAUCAGCUUGGGCCAAAGGGCGCACCCGACCGAAGAAACCGCGGCAUACAUCCCGCCUCGAACAACGCCGGAGUUGCGUCAGCCCACACAUGGCUGGGGAACGGGGGAGGAGGGGGAGCGGACGCAUCCGGGCCGGCACACCCCUGUGCCAGCGACGGGUGGCCCGGGCUCGGCGGCGCCUCCCGUCCCUCCAGCCUGCCUCCCCACCGGACAACUCGGUAUCGCCCCACCUCGGCGGCGACCGCAGCUCCACUCGAGGCCACCAACAUACACCCGCCCACCGGCAAGGAGAGAUCCCGAGGGCCGCCACCAAUCGCGAAGGAAGCUCACUGAGGAGCCCAUCUGCGCGGCCCACCGUCGUCCAGCCGCCGAAGCUUCGGAUCCCGGCCAGCCCGCCCACCAGCCAACCGCUGCCGCGUCGCACCACCACUCGCCGUGGCCAUGGCAGGGGCAGAGACUAGCAGCCCGCACCGCCCUUGGCCCGUGCCGCCAGGUCCCAGAUCCGGCCUCGACCCGCGCCGAAGGACCCGGAUCUGGCGACCAAGGCACGCCCACCACCGCCGCGCCGGUCACGCCGCCGCCACGAAGCCGUCGCCAUCAGGCUCCAGCUCGCCGCCGUGCUGCCAUGCCCGCCACCAGCACCGCAUCCCAGGCGGCCGCCGCGACCCGCGCCGGAGGCCCCCACCAAGGAGACAAGGCAGCCCUGCCGCCGCCGGCGCCUACCAGGCUUCGCCCGGCGCGCCCUCUUUGGCGGCGACGAGGGAGAGGAAGGAGGAGGAGGGGAAGCCCGCCGGCGGCGCUAGGGUUUCUCCCGAGACGCGCGCGCGGGGCGCGUCGCGGGAGCGAGAGGGAGGAGGGGAUCGCGUCGGAAUUUCCUUUUUUCGUCGAAGAAUAAAGAAGAACAUGCUAAACAUCUUCGUCUUGUUCUGGAGAAGCUCCGAGAACAUCAACUUUAUGCCAAGUAUUCCAAGUGUGAAUUCUGGUUACCCGAAGUCACCUACCUUGGUCAUGUCAUCUCCAAGGAUGGUAUUGCCGUCAACCCAGAGCGUGUUCAGGCUAUUCUUGACUGGACCCCUCCGAAGACUGUCAAGCAAGUCAGAAGCUUUCUCGGACUAGCCAGGUAUUGUCGCAGCUUUGUCGAUAACUUCUCCAAGAUCGCCAAGCCACUUACCAAUCUGCUACACAAAGGCGUUAAGUUUGAUUGGAUUGAAAAGUGUCAGGAAAGUUUCCAGGCACUCAAGGACAAGCUGACAUCUGCCCCAGUGCUUGCUCCCCCUGAUUCUCGCAAGGACUUCGUCAUCUAUUGCGACGCUUCACGACAAGGACUAGGAUGUGUCCUAAUGCAAGAGCAUAGAGUGAUUGCUUAUGCCUCCCGUCAAGUGCGUCCUCACAAAGAGAACUACCCAGUUCAUGACCUCGAGCUUGCUGCGGUUAUCUUUGCACUGAAGCUAUGGCGACAGUACCUUCUCGGUAACCGUUGCGAGAUCUUCACCGAUCAUCAGAGUCUGAAGUACCUGUUUACUCAGCCAGAUCUGAACUCCAUCAGCAGCGAUGGAUGGAAGCUAUUGCUGACUACAACUGCGGUAUAUCUUAUACCCCUGGUAAGGCUAAUGUAAUGGCCGAUGCCCUGAGCCGUAAGUCUUACUGCAACAAUCACAUGGUCUACAAAUCUCAACCCCGCCUUUAUAAAGAGCUAUGCAAGCUAAACCUUCAACUAGUUCCAUAGGGUUCUGAUGUAGGGUGGAACCCUAUGUGGACGAUCUUUCAUGUUUGGAGUGGAUCCUACGGGAAAUCACGAAGAACACGCGGAAGCACAAAGGGGAACACGGAGGAAACGAGAGGGAAAUCACUCAACCAACAAGGAAUCAAUCACACAAGUGCUAGAUCACCGAACACAAAGAGAUACAUAUGAUCCACAAUCAACAAAGGUAAGGAUACAAAGGAACCGUUCUUCUCCGUGAGGAGGCCUUGAAAUCCACGAGGGGAUCUUCUCACGAGGGGGUCUUGAAUCCGAUAGGAUCUUCUCCGAGGAGGCCGCGGUCUCUCACGAGGAGGAGAUCCGGUGGAUGAGCGAAUAUCUAUCUCUAACUUGAGCUAAAUCAACACUAAAUCUAAUUAGGAGGAGGUGGAGGAGUAUAUAUAGUCUAGGGCCACGAAGGGGUAAGUGAAGGGGUACAUGGGCUGCGGCCCAACACACUGUGCGCAGAUAGGUGUCGGACGUCCGGAGGGUUCCGGUCGUCCGGAGGCUCGGGAAGGUCCGGACGUCCGGUGCUCUUCGGACUUCCGUAGAUUCGGCUCGGGUGCACUUCGGUCGGACGUCCGGAGGGGGCCGGUCGUCCGGAGGCUCGCGGGGUCCCGGACAUCCGAAGUUCUUCGGAUGUCCGCAUAUUCGGUUCGGUGGUCGCUGGCACGGUCGUCCGGAGGGGGCCGGUCGUCCGGAGCCUGGGAGUCGUCGGACGUCCGGUCCUGGUCGGACGUCCGGCCGCUGUAGCUUCGGGCAGCUUCUUCUCUUGGUCCUUGUACUUGGUGUCCUUGCCGUCUUGUCCAUGGUCUUCCUCCUUGUUCCUGGUCAUGCAUAGCACAUAUAUAUGAGGUAGUAACCAUGUCUCACAUGUGGGAAGUGAAGGUUCAGAGAGGAGCGAGUUCACCUUGUGUCCAAUGGCGUAUAGUUGAGGUCUCGUCACAAGUCCUCUUAGGGUUUGGAGAGUAGUCGGAGUGUACAUGGGGAUGAACGUGGGAUGCUCCGCAUCAGGUUCUCUGAAUAACCUUGUCCUGGAACCAACUCUUCUCAAAGCAAUUAAGUCUGCUCAAGCCAAAGAUGCACAUGUUGAUCUGAUGAAAAAGGAUCUUGACUUAGAGAAAUCCAGAGAUUUCUCACUUGGUGAAGAUGGAACCUUAUACUUCAGAGAUCGCAUUGUAGUGCCCCGGUUCAAGCUUAUGACAGAGAAGGUGAUGAAAGAAGUGCAUGACACCCCUCUCUCUAUUCAUCCGGGAAGUACCAAGAUGUAUCUAGACAUUCGUCAGAAGUAUUGGUGGUCUAAGAUGAAGCAAGACAUUGCUCGAUAUAUUGAAGAAUGUGACGUUUGUCGUCGCGUCAAAGCAGAACAUCAGAAACCGGCUGGACUUCUACAACCGCUUCCGAUUCCUGAAUGGAAGUGGGAUAAGAUCCAAAUGGAUUUUGUCACAGGCCUUCCCAAGUCUCAGAAAGGUAAUGAUGCUAUCUUUGUCGUCAUCGACCAAUUCUCGAUGGUUGCUCACUUUCUGCCAGUCAAGGAGACAAUCACUGCUAGUCAAUUAGCAAACUUGUAUAUCUCUUGAAUUGUGUCACUCCAUGGCAUUCCGAAGGAGAUCAGUUCAGACCGCGGCAGUAUAUUCACUUCAAAGUUCUGGGAUAGUUUCCAAGAGGAAAUGGGAACUCAUAUUACCUGGAGCACUGCUUAUCAUCCCCAAUCCCAAGGACAAGUCAAGCGAGUCAAUCAAAUUCUUGAAGAGAUCCUUCGAGCUUGUGUUAUUUCUUUUGGAAAGAAGUGGGAAGAAUCUCUCCCUUAUGCGGAGUUCUCUUAUAACAACAGCUAUCAAGCCAGCUUGAAGAUGUCACACUUCAAAGUGCUAUAUGGACGUAAGUGCCAAACCCCUCUGAAUUCGUCAAAAACUGGGGAAUGAACGCUCAUUAGUCGAGACAUUAUUCAACAAGCUGAAGAGCAGGUUCACAUUGUCCGGGAUAAUCUCAAGGCGGCCCAGUCCCGCCAGAAGAGCAACUAUGACCAGAAAACACUAGGGUUCAACUUAUCAACCUGGUGAACAAGCUUAUUUGCGUGUCACUCCUUUGAGAGGCACUCAUCGGUUCGGAGUCAAGGCAAGCUAGCUCUGCGCUACAUUGGUCCUUUCCGCAUUCUCUCCCAUCAAGGACUGGUGGCUUAUCAAUUGGAGUUGUCACCUCAGUUCUCUCACGUCCAUGACGUCUUCCACGUGUCGCAACUUCGUCGAUGUUUCAAGGAUCCGGAACGUGAAGUGGAUCCGGAAUUGAUUGAAGUUCAAGAUGAUCUCACAUACAAAGAGCAUCCAAUCCGCAUUCUUGAAGAAGCUGAACGUCGAACCCGCCAGAAGGUUACUGAUACGUCUCCAAUGUAUCUACUUUUCCAAACACUUUUGCCCUUGUUUUGGACUCUAACUUGCAUGAUUUGAAUGAAACUAACUCGGACUGACGUUGUUUUCAGCAGAACUGCCAUGAUGUUGUUUUAUGUGUAGAAACGAAAAGUUCUCGGAAUGUCUUGGAAAUCCAUGGAGGCAAUUUUAAGAAUUAAUAAGAAUUUCUAGGCGAAAGAAAUACACCAGGGGGCCCACACCCUGUCCAUGAGAUAGCCCCCCCCUAGGGCGCGUCCUCCUAUCUCGUGGGCCCCCUGGACCUCCAUCGACCUCAACUCCAACUCCCAUAUAUUCACGUUUGGGGAGAAAAAAAUCAGAGAGAAAGUUUCAUCGCGUUUUACGACACAGAGCCACCGCCAAGCCCUAAUCUCUCUCGGGAGGGCUGAUCUGGAGUCCAUUCGGGGCUCCGGAGAGGGGGAUUCAUCGCCGUCGUCAUCAUCAACCAUCCUCCACCAAUUUCAUGAUGCUCACUGCCGUGCGUGAGUAAUUCCAUCGUGGGCUUGCUGGACGGUGAUGGGUUGGAUGAGAUUUACCAUGUAAUCAAGUUAGUUUUGUUAGGGUUUGAUCCCUAGUAUCCACUAUGUUAUGAGAUUGAUGUUGCUAUGACUUUGCUAUGCUUAAUGCUUAUCACUAGGGCCCGAGUGCCAUGAUUUCAAAUCUGAACCUAUUAUGUUUUCAUGAAUAUAUGUGUGUUCUUGAUCCUAUCUUGCAAGUCUAUAGUCACCUAUUAUGUGUUAUGAUCCGACAACCCCGAAGUGACAAUAAUCGGGAUACUUCUCGGUGAUGACCGUAGUUUGAGGAGUUCAUGUAUUCACUAUGUGCUAAUGCUUUGUUCCGGUUCUCUAUUAAAAGGAGGCCUUAAUAUCCCUUAGUUUCCGCUAGGACCCCACUGCCACGGGAGGGUAGGACAAAAGAUGUCAUGCAAGUUCUUUUCCAUAAGCACGUAUGACUAUUUACGGAAUACAUGCCUACAUUACAUUGAUGAACUGGAGCUAGUUCUAUGUCACCCUAUGUUAUAGCUAUUACAUGAGGAAUCGCAUCCGACAUAAUUGUCCAUCACUGAUCCAUUGCCUACGAGCUUUUCAUAUAUUGUUUUUCGCUUAUUUACUUUUCCGUUGCUACUGUUACAACUACUACAAAAACCCAAAAUUAUUAUCUUUACUUUUGCUACCGUUACCUUUAUUAACAUACCACUUUUGCUACUAAAUACUUUGCUAUAGAUACUAAGUUAUCCAGGUGUGGUUGAAUUGACAACUCAACUGCUAAUACUCAAGAAUAUUCUUUGGCUCCCCUUGUGUCGAAUCAAUAAAUUCGGGUUGAAUACUUUACCCUCGAAAGCUGUUGCGAUCCCCUACACUUGUGGGUUAUCAAGACUAAUUUCUGGCGCCCUUGCCGGGGAGCAUAGCUCUAUUCUCCGACUAACUUGGGAUUUAUAUCUGUUGAUCACUAUGAAGAACUUGAAAGACGAUAGAACUAUGAUCUAUCCCUCAACUACGAGGGGAGGUAAGGAACUGCCAUCUAGCUCUGCACUAGAUUCUCCUUCUAUUAUUAGUAAGCUUGCGACACCUAAACCUGCUACUGCUACGAGUUCUGAUAUGUCACAUGUUAUUGAUGAUGCCACUUCUGCUAUGCAUGAUGAAACUACUUCUGUGCAUGAUACUACUUUGCCAUUAGGUGAAUUUCUUGAUGAACAACUUGCUAGAGUUAGGGGGAAUGAAAUUAUUAAAGAUGCUAUUAUUGAUGACAGUGAUGAUGAAGGUUCUGCCAAUGAUUAUGAAUUACCUAUUGUUCCUGAGGGUUAUGUUAUGAAUGAAGAAGCUGCUAGAGCUAUAUUUGCUUGCAAUGAUAGAUAUGAUCUUAAGAAAUUAUUAGCUAAAUGGAAGCAGUAGUCUCUUAAUGCUAGAAUGAAACCUGACCCUGCUUUUGCUACUUCACCUAUUUGUGUCACUGAUAAGGAUUAUGAAUUCUCUGUUGAUCCUGAAAUUAUUACUUUAGUUGAAUCUGAUCCUUUUUAUGGCCUUGAAUCUGAAACUGUUGUGGCACAUCUUACCAAGUUGAAUGAUAUAGCCACCCUAUUUACUAAUGAUGAGAAGUCUCGCUAUUAUUAUAUCCUUAAGAUAUUUCCAUUCUCAUUAAAGGGUGAUGCUAAGACUUGGUAUAAUUCUCUUGCUCCUGGUUGUGUGCGUAGUCCCCAGGAUAUGAUUUAUUACUUCUCUGCUAAAAAUUUCCCUGCUCAUAAGAAACAAGCUGCCUUGCGGGAAAUAUAUAAUUUUGUGCAAACCAAAGGAGGGAGUCUCCCACAAGCUUGGGGGAGGCUUCUCCGAUUACUCAAUGCUUUGCCUGAUCAUCCUCACAAGAAAAAUGAAAUAGUUGAUAUAUCUUUUAUAAUGGGCUAACUGAUGCUUCCAAGGACUACUUGGAUAGUUGUGCUGGUUGUGUUUUCAAGGAAAGAACAGUCGACGAAGCUGAAAUAUUAUUGAAUAAUAUGUUGACUAAUGAAAAUAAUUGGACUCUUCUUGAGCCAAUUCCUGAAGCAAUUGAGCCAAUUCCUGAGCCUAUUCCUAAACCCACUCCGAAGAAGAGAGGUGUUUUAUUUCUCAGUCCUGAAGAUAUGCAAGAGGCAAAGAAAUCAAUGAAAGAAAAAGGUAUUAAAGCUGAAGAUGUUAAGAAUUUACCACCUAUUGAAGAAAUACAUGGUCUUAAUAUACCACCUGUUGAAGAACCACAUUGUCUUGAUAACCUGACACAGGUAGUAAAGGUAAAUUCUCUCUAUAGAUAUGAUAAAGUUAAAAUUCCCUCUACUAAAUUUCGUAGCCCUUGCUUAGAUGAAUUUGAUGACUUUAUGGCUAGACAAGAAAGUUUUAAUGCUUAUAUUGGUAGCGAGUUAAAGAAUAAUGCUUUCGAGAUAGGAUGCGUAGGCGAUAAUAUAGCUAGAGUUAAAGAUGAACUCAAACUCGUUAGCAAAUAUGCUUCUAUGGUUGCUACCCAAGCUGAGCAAGUACUUAAAGCUCAAAAUGAUUUGCUUGAUGUAUUAAAUAAUAAAAAUGACUAUGCUGUUAGAGUGGCUACUAGAACUGGUAGAAUGACUCAGGAACCUUUGUAUCCUAAAGGCCACCCUAGGAGAAUCGAGCAAGAUUCUCAGAGAAACAAUUUAGAGGCACCUAGUUCUUCUAAAAAGAAGAAGAAGAAAAACGAUAAAACUUUGCAUGCUUCUAGUGAACAUAUUGUAGACACACCUGAGAAUCCCAAUGAUAUUUCUAUUUCUGAUGCUAAAACACAAUCAGGUGAUGAACAUGAACCUAGUGAUAAUGUCAAUGAUAAUGUUCAUGUUGAUGCUCAACCUAGCAAAAACAAUGAAGUAGAAAUUGAACCUGCUGUUGAUCUUGAUAACCCACAAUCAAAGAAUCAACGUUAUGAUGAGAGAGAUUUUGUUGCUAGGAAGCACGGUACAGAAAGAGAACCAUGGGUUCAGAAACCCAUGCCCUUUCCUCCUAAACCAUCCAAGUCAAAGGAUGAUGAGGAUUUUGAGCGCUUUGCUGAAAUGGUUAGACCUAUUUUCUUACGUAUGCACUUAACUGAUAUACUCAAAGUAAAUCCUUAUGCUAAGUAUAUGAAGGAUAUCAUUACAAAUAAAAGAAAGAUACCGGAAGCUGAAAUUUCCACCAUGCUUGCUAAUUACACUUUUAAGGGUGGAAUACCAAAGAAACUUGGAGAUCCGGGUGUGCCAACUAUACCAUGCUCCAUUAAAAUAAAUUAUGUUAGAACUGCUUUAUGUGAUCUUGGAGCCCAUGUUAGUGUUAUGCCUCUCUCGUUAUAUCGUAGACUUUAAUUGAAUAAGUUGACACCUACUGAAAUAUCUUUGCAAAUGGCUGAUAAAUCAACUACUAUACAUGUCGGCAUUUGUGAGGAUGUGCCUAUUGUGGUUGCAAAUGUCACUAUCUUAACGGACUUUGUUAUUCUUGAUAUUCCCGAUGAUGAUAGUAUGUCUAUUAUCCUUGGUAGACCUUUUCUUAAUACUGCAGGGGCUGUUAUUGAUUGCAACAAAGGCAAUGUCACUUUUCAUGUUAAUGGUAAUGAGCAUACGGUACACUUUCCGAGGAAACAGUCUCAAGUUCAUAGCAUCAAUUCUAUUGGAAAGGUUCCAACUAUUAUUAUUGGAGGUUUUGAAUUUCCUCUCCCUACUGUCAAGAAAAAGUAUGAUAUUCUUAUUGUUGGGGACUUUCAUAUCCCCAUUGAGGUAACUUAGUGUUAUUCGAAAUUUCUCCGGUUCCGUGUUAUUCGGAAUGAGUUUGUUAACAAGACUUGAUCAACCUUGUUAGUGGAUUCAUUUUAAUGAUCACGAGAUGGAUGGAACUAGAAGGCACAACCUUCUGCACCCUCUUUUUACUUUCUGUUAUUUAGAAUAAAUAAACCAAAAAUAGUAUUAUCUGUCUGUUUUUUGAAUUAUCCGUGCAUUAAAAAAUAGUCCGAAAAUAAAAGUGCUCCAAAUGCCCUGCAAAUUUAGUAUGAUUUUUUCUGGAAUAUUUGAGGAUUUUAGGCACUGAAAUCACUGCAGGAGGGGCAAGCACCAGGCCACGAGAGUGGAGGGUGCCCCCCCUAUAGGGCGCGCCCCUGUCUCGUGGGCCCCUUGUGGCCCCCUCCACUUAUGCCAGCACCCACACACUUCGUUUUCUACCCAAAAAAAA